rnacentral:lncRNA from 1 species
AAUUAUUUUCUUUUUGGAAUUAUAUUUAACACAUUAUUAAAAAUAUAAAAAAAUAUUAUUAGGUUUUUAUGUGCUGAUUGGGUUUUUUAAAUACCCAAUAUGCCCUCCAAUCUACCACUUAAGCAUCCGAUAUGGCUAAAAAUAAAUUAAAAAAAAAAAAAAGGAAAAAAAACAAAAGUGUAUGAUCCUCUUUCUCGAGUCUUCACAUUUUCAGACACUGAACCCAAAUCAAAAUUAAUCCUCCAAAUUAAUUUUCACCUCGAACCCAAACCCUAACUGCUGCCCCGUUUUCUCCUCAAACAUAGCUAUCCGAAAAACCCUAACCUCUGCCUCGUCUUCCUCUUAUCCCGGAAACCUAAAUCCCGUGACCCUAACCCCUUCUCUUUCCGAAAACCCUCCGGAAUAGGAAGAUUCAUAAUUCUUCAGAAUUAAUUUUCACCUCGAAGCCAGACCCUAACUGCCUCAUCUUCCUCUCAUUCAUAUCCUAAAAGUAGCUUCAACAGUCAGGCCUGUAGCCAUGAAAGCCGUAAUGAUCGCCACUUCCGGUGAUCCCCAAGUUCUCCAAGUGCAAGAAGUCGAAAACCCUAAAAUUGGAGAUGAUGAAGUUCUAAUUAGAGUGGACACCGCUACCAUUAAUCGAGCAGAUACGCUUCAGGGAAAGGGCUUGCACCCUCCCUCAAAGGCGGCAGUCCCUACCCCGGCCUCGAAUGUUCUGGAAUCAUCGAAGCUGUUGGAAGGGUCGUCGUUCGAUGGAAGGUUGGCGAUCAGGUAUUUCAAUUACUGAAUAUUUUUUCCUGUUCCUGUAUUUUUCUCGGCUAUCAAACACCAGGAACGCGUAAAUAAGGAGGUUAGCUGAUUGCGAAAACGGAAAUUUUUUGUUCGUGUUUGUGUUAAGGAGUCUUUGUUGAGAAUUUUGGGGAAAUUUAUGAUAAGUUUGUGAUUUUAUGAUUAAUUUUGUGUAUCAAUAAAUGUUAAUUAUUGAGCUUAUUGGUUUUUCAAAUUUAUGGUUGUAAGAAAAUUGGUCAGUGUAAGGUUAUGGGUUCAUUACCAAUUUGCUUACUGAAAAUUUUUCCAGAUAUUGUGGGCUGGUUUGGUAGCAGAAAUAAGAACUGUGUUUUCUUUUCCAAAACGGAAAUAGAUGUAGAAAACAUGUUUGGUAGCCUACUUUCAGAACUUGUUUCUGAAAAUAUUUCCUGAAAAUAUUUCCUGAAAAUGAAUUAUUUCAGAACUUGUUUUUAAAAACUGCAAGCACUUUAUCAAUUUAAAAGGUUCUGAAAUGGACAUGUUCAUGGUCUUCAUUUUGUAAAAUGAAAGCUUUUAUGAAAAAACCAUUUUCCAUUCUACUAAGCAAACAGGCUUUAUAUUGUAACGGAUCUAUUGGCCAUCUCCUUUGUCAUGUUUUGUGAAUCAUGGCAACACUGGAAUCCACUCCAUUACUCUCUAUUAGUGAUUAGGAGAGAAAGCACCGAUUUUAAUGCUAUACUUUAUGUGAUUUUGCUUCCUCCUGAGUACAAGUUCAUAAUAUAUAUGGUACAUGGUACAUGUCUGUAUGACAGUUUGUGGUAUACAGAUGUGUGCUCUUCUUUCUUGUGGUAUACAGUUUGUGGUGGAGGGUAUGCUGAAAAAGUGGCUGUUCCAGCUGGGCAAGUUCUUCUUGUCCCAUCUGGUGUUUCUCUAAAGGAUGCUGCCGGUAUUCCUGAGGUUGCAUAUCCUGUUUGGUUUUAAUGAUGAGCCGACUGUCUGCAGGAGAAACAUUCCAGGUGAAUUUUCAUUUUUUUUUAUUUUCUGAUGCCUGAUAUAUUUACCAGUACAUAACUUAGCUUAAUGGGGUUGUGCAUAUUCUAAUGGUUUAAAAAGUCCAAUGCGCACAAAUUUACACUGUUGGUGUUUAAUGUGUGUGCAUCAAUAUUGGAUUAGGGAGGCAGAAGAGCCAUGGUUUUUAUUAAAACAUUACAUCAUCAUAUUCUUAUUUAGAUACAUCGCGUCUCACGAUUUCAUUGCAUCCAAGGCCAUGUUGUUUUUGAUUGCAUGGUUUGUCAUGAUAAUUUCUCAACCCUUCUCUGGAAAAUUAUGUUGGAUGGCUGAUAUUAAUUACCCCAAAAGAAGAAAUUUUAUGUUGAAGUAAGAUGAGUACCACAAAGAGUUACUUUUGGUUGUUCCUAUCAUCAAAUAGGUGAUUGAUGCACAAUCCAAAUGGCAAACACUUUUUCCCCCUUUAUCCAGAUGGAAUUUUUAUGCAUGGAUGAAUUGUGAAAUGAGGACUGAUAAUAUUUCAGGUUCAUGGGGGUUCAAUUGGAAUUGGUACGUUUGCUAUUCAAAUAGCGAAAUACCGAGGAGCAAGGGUAUUUGUUACAGCAGGUUUGCCAUCACUAUUCUACCUCAUCUCAUGGCACCAAUUCCUUGUCUUCACAUGUUUUCGACCAUUUUUUACAACUGAAAACGAGGAAAAAUUAGCUGUUUGUAAGGAUCUUUGAGCAGAUGUGUGCAUCAAUUACAAGACAGAAGACUUUGUUGCUUGGGUGGAGGAAACAGGAGGGAAAGGUAUAUUCUAUUGUAUCCUAACAAUAAUUUCAGUUGAAGAUGGAAUUGCUUUUAAUUUUUUAGUGCACCAAAUCCACUAGUCUGGUAUGUUUGAAAAGAUAAGUAGUCAUCUUCCACUUGAUUCCGAUUGUGAAGAUCUAACUCCAAAAAUGUUGAAUGACAGGUAUUGAUGUUAUACUGGAUAAUAUUGGACGGGCCUACUUUGAGGGAGACAUCGAUAGUUUAAAUGUUGAUGGAAGGCUUUUUAUUAUUGGUUUUUAAGGGUGGAACAGUUGCAGAAGUAAAUCUUUCAGGUUUACUUGCAAGGUGCCUUACAGUGCAAGGUACCACUUUCUCUAUAGAAGAUUUUUCUGUAGUUUUGGAGUUGAUUCAAUUUGAUUAAUCUCAUCCAAGUUCAGAACUGAGGUGGAUUCUGGCAAGCCAAGGAAAAACCAAAUUACCAUAAAUUCUUUUUUUUCUGGAUUGUUUUACUUCUUGGAAAUCCUGUUUCUUGAUCUGGUCAGGUAUAUGGAAAUUCCAAGGAAAAUAUGUUUUACAUUUUCCAUAAUUGGAAACACUCAGGAAUUUAAUAUUUUCCUCUGAAAUAGCAAUGGUUUUCUAAUUACGACAUUUGUUUUUCUUGUAUCAUCCCAAAAUAUUUUUUAGGUGUUUGUUCUCUCUUGACACAGCUUUUAAUUGGGUCUGUCUUGCUUUUUGAUAGAUCUCUUGACAAGUUGCUUGUAUAUCAUACUUUCUUUAUUGUUUUCGGAUCAUGAACCUUGCUUCUGUCAGCCCUGUUAUCACUACCCAAACUAGUAAAUUUAUGCACAAAACUCCAUGUGUCAGUAACAGUGGUUAUUUGAUUGUAUUAAAUAAUUUGUAAAUACAUUGGAUAAGUUUGUACUAAAUGGCAAUUGUUUCUGCAGUGGCUGGUUUGCAAAACAGAAGUCUGGAAAAGAAAUCUGUAAUUGUGAGUGAGGUGGAGAAGAAUGUUUGGCCUACAAUCACAGGCGUACAAGUAUUUUCCAUUGACGGAAGCAGUAGAGGAUCACCAGCUCAUGGAAAGCAGCAAGCAUAUUGGGAAGAUACCACAUAUUCCAUUAUGUUAUGGUUAUGAAUGAUCUUAUGCCUCAGAGGGGGAUGACAUGAUUUUAAAACUCUUAAUGAGCAUCUACUAUCUGAUACAAUGUGUGAUGCGCGCAGGCCUAGAUGGUCAAUGCUUAGUUUCUUAUGUAGCCCUGUCAUUUGAGAAUAAAAACCAGCCUUCCCGUCCAAACAUUUAGACUACUGGAAUCUAAAGCCUCAAGAUGGUUGACAAUGAAUUUUCAUGUGGAAACAGAUCAUAACUCUCCAACCUCCACAGACGAGCUUACCUUCCUUAUCUGAAGUUUGAACAAAACUGUAUAAAACUGUUAGGUAGGUAGAACUGUCUAAGAAACCAGAGCUUGGCUAGUUGAUCACCUUAUUUACAGAGCUUGGAUGUGAGAGAAACCAGCGCCCCUAAAGGUCAGGACAAGAUCCAUUCCACCAAAGUUGAGCCUUGCAUGUAGUCACCUGGUAUUUUCUUUUAUUGGAGUCUUCCCCUCUACCCUGGCACUGGGAUUGAAAGCGAAUGAAAAACGUGCACAGAUUGAAGGUGUGCUGCUUGAGUUGAUUGUGGUUUGAGCAUGAAAAUUUGAAGAUCCAGAACAGCAAAUGAGGAAUGCCUAUCAAUUUGAAACCAGCAUGGGUGGAUGAAUGGAGAGGUUCUUCACUGAAUUUGUCCAUGAAGCUUUUUAGCACUCUAGGGCAAGGGUCUCCAAGACUAGCUGUUGAUUGCACAUCCCUCCUGCGCAAUACGAAGAACAGAGUGAAAUGCAAAUGCAGGAAAGGGUGUUUCUUAGCUGUUCAACAACUGACAAUACAUUGGCAUGACAAUUCCCUGGAUCGAUGCCCUCUUGGAGUUCCAAAGCUUGUUCACAGGUCAAUUGAACUUGAGGGUUUUGGGACAUGUACUCCAAGUUUGGUUGCCAAGAAUCUCCAGGUGGAGGAUCAGCUUCUGACACGUGUGCACACACCUCUUGGCCAGUUUGUGUUAUUGCAAUUUUAAUAAAUUGCAAAAAAAAAUUAUUGCCAACAAUUUUUUCUUUUUUUCUUUUUUCUUUUUAAACAAACUGCAAAAAUCCUUUUUUUUUUUUAUAAAAAAAAAAAAAAAAAAAAUUUCUCCAACAAAGUGAUUUUUUUUUUUUUGUGGCAUGACUCGGUUUGACCACUAACUCGGUGAACUGGUCUACCGGCUCAAGUUUGGAUCCCUUAAUUUUGUGGCAAAUUGGGCCUCAAGCCCAACAACCUAACUUCCACGCGGGCUAUCUAUAAUAGGUUAAUAUUGCAAACCAAAAUAAUAAUAGACAUGAUUCUUUUCAAAAAUUUUAUAAUGUAAUAUUUUUUAAAAUUAUAAAAUAAUAGGUUAUAUAAAUUUUAAUAUAUAGGUAAAAUUAAUUAAAUUUUAACAAAUAUCUUCACAUUUAGACAUUACAUAUCUUUUAUUUAAUAAAAUGUUAAAAUAUUAAUAUAUCUAAAUAUAAUAUUAAAAAUGAAAAAUAAAAUAGUAAUAAUUUUUAUUUUUUUUAUAUAUUUAAAUUUAUAUAAUUAUUAUUUAUUUUAAAAACAUACAAAUUGUAUAUUUAUAAUAUUAUUAGUUCAACUGUGAUUCAACCAUCGCUCCGAUUAUUCAAUUGUGAAUUAAUAAAUUUUUUAAUUCAAUGAUAGGUUUGAUCAUAAAAAUAUUAUGUUUUUUUUAUGAAAAGUACUCAAGAAAUAUCAUUAAUCACUAAGAUCACGUGGUUGGGUUAGGUGUAUCCGAAACAUAGGUAUUACUCUCUUCCUUAGUUAGGGCUUAGCUUUUGAAAAUGUAGAUAGGUAAAGUGGAUGGAAAGUCUAUAACUACGUAGAGAUUGAGCUUGGAGGCCAAUCUAGCAAAUGUGGAGAUUAGAAAUAGUUUACCAUCUAGAUAGUCAAGCAUAGCAAUUUACCAAACCCUUACCAACCAUCCAUACUAACCAAUUGUGGUUAAAUGUUUACAAAAAUGUACAUUAAAUCAAAGAGAAAAAAGAUUAAAAACGAACAAGAGAGAAGAAGUACGUCACCUAAUUUUGGUAAUAAAUGAAAUUAAAAUAAAUUCAUAAAUUUUUUAAAUUAAAAUGAAUUUGAACUUUAGAGAUUUGUGUAGAUAUCUUAUUAAAAAACCAAAAAGUUUGUUGCAUAUAUAAUUUCAACAAUGCAUAAAUAAUUACAACAUACGCAAUACAAUAAUAUUACACAAUUAUAUUUUCAAAUAUAAUAUAAGAUCAUUAAAGUGAUAAAUUGUAGUUGUAUAAAAUAUUUAUACAAGUAAAGAAGAAAUUAUGAGAUUAAAAUGCUUGUUGGAUUCUAAGUAAAAAAGAAAUGAGAUAUAGAAAUUGUCCCAUCAGACAUAUAAAAUUUCAUAUACAUAAUUUUCCCUUCAAGAAAAUUUAGGGUCAAAUUGAAAAAAUUUCAUUCAUAGAUUUUGGUAAAACCUCUAUCUAGUCCCCCAAGUCUUGUAUACAAAAGGAAAUAACAUUGGUAUGAGGGGUUUGAAUGCUUAAUUUUAGAUUGAAAAUGGUUGAGAUAAUUUUUGAUCGACUUCACAUGUGUUUUUGAUAAACUUGGAACAUUCAAACUUGUAUUUGAAGAAUCUUCAAAUCUUCAAUUUGCUCUUAAAUAAUGUUGAAACCUUUGAAAUUUGAAUAGAAGAAUCUUUAAGCAUUUGAAUUUUGGUUUAAAGAAUUUUGAAAUUUGAGAUUGAAGAAUCUUCAAAUUUGGGCCUGAAGAUCGAAGGCUAAGCUUGAAGAGUUCUUGAAGCUUGAGUGGUAUCUCUGAUUUUGUAUUGUAUUUUAUAAAAACUUUUAAAUAUAUUAUAUUUAUAGGUUUGAAGAGACAUUGAGAUUUUGUAUACAUGUUUGGAGUUUUAAACCUUGAAAUAUUACUCUUUUAUGAAAUUAACAUUUAUAAAAUUUGGAAGAACAUAAUUAGAUAAUAUUUUAAGUUAUUUUUAAUGAAAAUUGAUAAUUACCUUUUAAUUAUCAAAUUCACUAUUUCUAUUUAUUUUUGUAAUAUAUAUUAAUUACUAAAAUCAUUUAUUUCCUUUAUUUAGUUUGAAAGCAAUUAUAUAUCUUUUGUUUGUGUAGAGCUCAUGUGACACGACAAAUUUUAUUUUGUAACUUGCUCUGAAUGAAUGGCCAUUAUAAACUUCAUUUUAUCCUCAUCUGAUUUUGACGUGGGAAUAGGAGAGAUGAGGAUUUGACAUUUGGACCUAAGCCUCAGAGGGUUUUAACUCCACUCAACUACUUUAUGCCUUGUAUUUAAUAUUGCAAACCAAAAUAAUAACAGACAUGAUCCUUUUCAAAAAUUUUAUAAUAAUAGAAGUGUAAAUAAUAUAAGUAAAAAUAAUGUAAUAUUUUUUAAAAUGAUAAAAUAAUUGGUUAUAUAAAUUUUAAUAUAUAGGUAAAAUUAAUUAAAAUAUUUAAACAUUACAUAUCUUUUAUUUAAUAAAAUGUUAAAAUAUUAAUAUAUUUAAAAUUGUAUAAUUAUUUUUUAUUUUAAUACUAUAUAAAUUGUAUAUUUAUAAUAUUACUGGUUCAACUAUAAUUCAAUCACCGGUCCAACCAUUGAACCAUGAAUUAGUAAAUUUUUUUAUUCAAUGAUAGGUUUGAUUCUAAAAACAUUAUGUUUUAUAUAAAAAGUAUUUAAGAAAUAUCAUUAAUGGAUUAUCACUGGUUGGGUUAGGUGUAUCUGAAACAUAGGUAUUACUCUCUUUUUUAAUCGGGGCUUAGCUUUGGAAAAUACAAACAGGUAAAAUGGAUGGAAAGUCUCUCAUAUUAAGUUGAUUAAUUAAGUCAAAACGUUGUUACAACCAUGGAAGAAAAUAUCGGUAAUCACGGAUAUAUCGAUACUUCGAUUUUACGGAUAUAUCGGAUAUAUCGGAGAUAUAUCGGAUAUAUCGGAGAUAUAUCGGCGGAUAUUCUGGAAAAAAAUAUCGGUAGACUUAAAAUUGUUAAAAACUCAUGGAAAUGCAAGAAAAACCUCAUAAUAAUAUAAUUAGAAGUAUAAUUGACAUUUUAAAGUUGUUUUAUUGAAAAAUUUGAUAUAUAUAUAUGAUAUAAUUUACGAUAUUUGAUGUAAUUACAUCAUGUCGAUCUAUAAGAAAUGUUAAUUUUGUAAUUGUUCUCAUUAUAAAGUCACAUAAAAUAUUUCAUUUUAUUAAAUAUCAAUAAUUUGUACACAUUAAAUUCAUUAAAUAAACAUAUUUCAUAUUCAAAAUAUACUAUUUCAUGUUAAUUAAAUUAAUUAAAUAAUUUAGCUAAGUUAACUAGUUUAAUUUAAUUCUAAAUGUGAAAAUAAAUCACAAAUAAUCAUCUAAAAUAAACAUAUCAAUUUAUAAUUAAAUAAUCAAAUUAACCUAAGUUAAUUCAAUAAAAAUAUAAAAAUUAAUUACAAUUGAAUGUAAAAAUAAUAUUAAAUCAUCCAUAUUGCAAACAUACUAAUUAAACAAUAUAAAAUAAAUAAUGAUAUAUAUAUAUAUAUAUAUAUAUAUAUAUAUAUAUAUAUAUAUAUAUAUAUAUAUAAUUUUUUAAUAUUUAAUUAAUUAUUAAUGAUAUUAAAAACAUUAUGAAGAAAAUUAUAUAAUUUUUAUAUUUUUGGUAAUUAAUUAAAAGACUUUGCAUUUAAUUAUAAAAUAAUUAUAAUUAAUUUGCUAUUUAAAAUAUUCUUAUAUUUUCUUUAUAUAAUGAAUUUAAGUAUAUAUAUAAUUGUUGCAUAUUAUAUAUCAAGGGCAACUUAGCUCAGGUGGUAAGCGGAUGAACCCCAAACCUUUUGAUUUGGGGUUCAAAUCCUCUCAGCAGCAAGAAAAUAGAGGCACUGUAGCGCGUUGACGGGCACUGUAUUGCCGAAAUAUCGUGACAUUUUCUACUACUUCUUUGACUGCUUUAUGUGAAUUGGAGUAAUUACUUGCUCAUUGUGAAAUGUUUUCCAAUAGACUAUCAUUUAAUGGAUAACUAUGGAAGAGGAGUUUGGUUGAAAGAAAAAGAUCAAUAAAGUCAAAAUAAAUUAUUAAAACUAUUUUUUUUGAUGGAUUAUAUCAAUCUAGAUAAUGUCAAAGAUAUUACCAAUUUGAUAUCACCAAUUGAUAACACAAUUAAAAAAUAAUAUGAAUUUGAACAUAUUUCAAUUCAUUGUAAUCAUAUCCAUGACCUAAUUUUACACAUCCUUAAAUCAUGGUUGAGUUAUGAAACAAAUCUAUACCAUCAAUAGAAAAUAAAUAAAUAAAUAAAUACAAAAAAAUAUAUAGAUAGUCAAGCAUAGCAAUUUACCAAACCCUUAGCCACCAUCCAUACUAACCAGUUGUUGUUAAAUGUUUACAAAAAUAUACAUUAAAUCAAAGAGUAAAAAGAUUAAAAACAAACAAGAGAGAAGAAAUACAUCACCUAAUUUUUGUAAUAAAUGAAAUUAUAAUAAAUUCAUAAUUUUUUUAAAUUAAAAUAGAAAUUCAAAUACAUGUAACUAUUGUUUUUGUCUUGUAAAUCAUCCAAUUUUUCAAUGAAUUUAAACUCCACAGAUUUGUGUAGAUAUCUUAUUAAAAAAAGCAAAAAGUUUUCACUAAAAUCAUAAAAUUUAGAUUAGAAAUGAUUUACUAUAUUAGUUCAAAAUUCAUCUCCACAAAAAUUGAAAUAAAUUAAUUAUCUUCAAUUCAAAUAAAAUUUCUCCAAUUAAAUUUCCAAAUAUGUGCCUUAAUACCUAUAAUGUAAUUUGUAAUUUUAAUUAAAAAAUAAAUAAAAAUAAGGAUUUGAUCUUUUUCUUACCAUUUGAUGAAAAUUAUAAAAUAUAUUAAAAUUACAAGUGAUCAGACAUUUGAAAUUUGCAUCAUUUCUACCAUUGCAAACACCACCAACUCCAUAUUUCCCAUUUUUCUACCUGCUGCCAAUUCACUCAUCUCUCUAGGAAGAUUUUUGAGGUUAUCGUCAUGCUUGAGAUAAUCCAGAAAGUUGAUUUGGAAAAUUUCUUUUGUAAAAUUCCCCAUUAUCAUGCCCUAAACCAAGACAUAUCAUGAUUGGAUGGCCCCUUCACCAAUUUCACAAUAUCCAAUAGCAUAUCAUCUACUUCCAUUUUGUCAAUGGGAAUUACCAUUUUGCAUGGGAAGCACCAACGAAGAUGGGGGUUUUCAAAUUGGAUCACUAGCAAGGAAACCCACCGCAACAAUCUGAAUUAUUGAGCACAACAUCGGCUUUAGAGAACCCCUCCUGAAGGCGAAAUCGUCAUCUUGGCUAAACGUAGUCAUAGUUGGGUUGUGAGAAAUGGAGAUGAAUCACAGAAGGCUUUCAGUUUGACAGCAACGAAAAGGUAAAUGUACUCUAGAGAAGUUUUGACCUUGGGAGAAGUGCUUUUGAAUCCAAGUCAAGGUCUGUUCUGGAUCCCUUUUUGACUCUUUCUAUUAAAGGAAGAUAAUCUGCCUAGGAUUUGGAUGCAAGCCUGCAAGGCCAUGUUUAGGAGACUUAUGCAAAAUAUUUAUCCAUAGCUCCCCGCUUGAAACAUCUACAUAAAGCGUCUUCCAAGUGUGAACCAUCGUCUUGGGUCCUUGAGAUGAACCCAACUAUUUAGCAAAUUCUAGAGCUCUCAUUCCAAAUCCAUCAGUUUUCCUAGAUGAUUGGCCAGUGGAGAUCCAUGGAUAUAACAUAUGAAAUGUGCACAAUAAAAGUAACCAAACGGUUGGUUGGUUUGGCUGAAUCCCACAAUCGCAAAGACUUAUCAUACGAAACUGUUACCAACUGAGUUGAAUUUGGCAUAAAAAGGAUAUUCGUUACUACAAACUAGCGUUCUUUCGUGGUGCUCUCUUUUUGUAGGCUAUCCAUGUUCCAAAGAAAAACCCUCGUCAUGUCUGGCAUUGGGUACUGAUUAGAGUGUGGGAUGUUCAUUCUCCAUUAUCACCAAACAUAUGCAGGAUAUAUAUAUAUAUAUCCUGCAUAUGUUUGGUGAUAAUUCAAAAUAUGCCUUCAUUUUAUGGAACAUACCCGAAUCCAUUUUGUUUGUGUUGAAGAGGUGUAGAUCUUCUAAGGCUAUGAAGGGCACCACAUUUUCUAAGAAUUCUCUCUGACGAUGGGAAGUCAGAGAGAACAGGUUCUGUUUUUAUUUUGAAAACGUUGUUAUCCUUAAAGAACAAACACUAUUCUUUGGAUUUAUACCCUCCUACCUUAGGGAUCAUACCGUUUGGCUAUUGGGCCUCACGAGUCUUAGGCCCAUCAUCUAAGACCCGUGAUGGCAUUGGGCUCUACACAUAAGGUGGCCCAUACUCUAGAACGAAUAGAAAUCAUAUGUAUAUAUAUGGAUAGCUAAAUCCUGAACAAUGGUUAAUAUGAUGUCGGUCCACAUUUUUUCUAUCAAUCUCCCACUUGGACCACAUAUAUUACAAAACAAUGUUCAUGAUAGUACUUUAUUGAGCUCAUAUUUGCUAUCCUAUCCUAAUAUCCUUAAACAAUCCGGUCUACUAGUUAUGCUAACAUAGGAUCAAAGUGGCCUUCAUUAAUCAUAAUUAUAACUAGACCCAUCAAUGCUCACAACAUUAACAAAAUUAGUAACAUGGAUCAAGUAUGGAUGUGUAGCAUGGAAAUUACAUAAAAUGUGAUCUUUAUUAUGUCUAUUUCCAAUUGGUCCUACUUUAUGACUAAAAAAUAGUCAAAUUCCACUUUCAACACUUGAUGCUAAACUGCUUCUGAAAGUCAUCAUUUCAAUUCAGAGAAUUCAAAUACAAUAGUCUUUAAAAUCAAGGUUUGUACAGAUAACACAACAUAAUAUCAUAUCAAGAAAAUAAACACAAAAUCUAAAUACUAACUCCCACUAUACUAGAACAUCAUCAAUAUGUACAACACCCAUAUGUGUGACAUGCUCAUGAUAUACUUUGGGUGGCAAACCCUUAGUGAGCGGAUCCGCAAUCAUGGAGUUUGUGCUUGUGUGUUCAAUCGAUACUUGAAGACUCUGAACUCUUUCUUUCACAACCAAGAACUUGAUGUCAAUGUGUUUGGACUUUGACAAACUUCGGUUGUUCUUAGAAUUACAAUUCUGUGGCUUUAUUAUCAUAAUUUAUUCUUAAUGGUUUCUCAAUCUCAUCAAUGAUUCACAACUGAGUGACGAAAUUCCGCAGCCAUAUCCCAUGGUUUGAUGCUUUGUAGUAGGCUAUGAAUUCUGCCUCCAUGGUGAAAGAAGCAAUAAGUAUUUGUUUAACACUUUUCCAUGAAACUGUUCAUCCAACCAACAUGAAAAUGUAGCCUGAAGUGGAUCUCCUGCUGUCAAGACACCCCGCAAAAAUGGAGUCCGAAUAUCCCAUGAUCUCUAAAUGACUAGAUCUACGGUAUGUGAGCAUAUAAUCUUUAGUUCUUUGUAAAUAACGCAUAACCUAUUUUGCCUUUUUCCAAUGAUCCAUACCUAGGUUACUCGAAUAUUUGCCUAACAUUCCAAUAAUGUACGCAAUAUCCGGACGUGUACAAACUUGUGCAUACAUGAGACUUCCUAUUGCUGAGGCAUAGGGAAACCUCUUCAUAUCCUUCUUUUUAAGUUCAUUUUUCGGACAUUGGUGCAAACUAAAUUUAUCGCCUUUUGCUACAAGCAUGUCUCCUGGUGCACAAUUGCUCAUGCCAAAUCUACUCAACACCUUAUCGAUGUAGGCCUUUUGUGAUAAUCCAAGUAAAACGAUCCCUAUAGAUCUGUAUACCCAACAAAAAAGAUGCAUUACCAAGAUCCUUCAUGUCAAAUUUACUAGACAAAAAUCGUUUGGUUUCAUGCAAAAGUCCCACAUCACUACUUGCAAGUAGAAUAUCAUCAACAUAUAGCACCAAGAUACUGAAUUUGCUCCCACUGAACUUGAGAUAUAUGCAUUGAUCAAUGGUGUUUUCCUUAAAACCAAAUGAAGUAAUCAUCUGAUCAAACUUUUGGUACCAUUGUUAAGAUGCUUGCCUUAAACCAUAUAUGGACCUUUUUAAUCUGCAUGCAAGUUGCUUUGAAUCAUUAGACUCAAAGUUCUCCAGUUGCAUCAUGAAUAUUGUUUCAUCAAUGUUACCAUUAAGAAACGCAGUUUUAACGUCCAUUUGAUGCAGCUCUAAAUCAUAAUGAGCCACAAGUGUCAUGAUGAUUCUAAAUGAGUCAUUUGAUGAAACCGGUGAAAAGGUCUUGUAGACCCUCAAUUUUGUCCAUUUAGCACAUGUCUUUAAAUUCACAUCCAGUGCUCCACGGUAGUUCCUUGGUGGCCCAUUACUACUCAUAUGGCUUACCUUUUUUUAAGUCACCUCGGAGACUUUGGUUGAGGGAUUAUCUGACCCCUUAUUGUGAUCCUUGGCAAUCCUAAUUUAGAUUGGGCUUGAAUUAGAUACACUUAGCCCAUUUAGGCACCUUAGGCCCACUUAGGCAUCUUAGGCCCGUUUAGAUACACUUGGCCCACUUAGGCUCACUUAGACCCACUUAGGUCAUCUUUUAAAUAUUUUUUUUACAUAUUUGCAUGAUUGCAUUUUUUUGUAUGACUUGCACGGUUGCAUGGCUCAUGGGGCCUAAUUUUUGUUAAUUUGUUUGUUUUAUUUUUAGUUUUAGUUUUAUCAUUAUCAAUCACUCGUUUAUUUAUUUAUUUAUUUUAUUUGUUAUCUCAUUCUUUAUAUUAUUUUCCUUAAUUUAUUUAUUUAUUAUUGUUUUAUUGUUUUCUAAUUUGUUUGCUUAUUUAGUUAUUCAUUCAAUUAUAUAAUUUCAAAAAUUUCAUGUUUUUGCAAGGAAACUUACCAUUGGAGACUAAGGAAAGCGGGACUCUCCUUGGAAAGUUUUGGAGGGGAAUUUGAAGUUGGGAAGAUUGCUUUUGAAUUAGAAGAUUUAGAAAAAGGGAAAAAGGAAGAAGAGAAGAAGAAUGGAAAUAGGGGAAUUUUCUUUUUUUUUGGAAACAAAUUUAGGUCUUGAGGGAUGAUAUAUAUAUGUGAGAAAAGAAAGAGAAAGGGGGAGUGAACAAGCACGCAUUGGAGGAUUGGGAGAAAUUCUGGGAAAAGGUGGAGAGACGUAUUGGAGGCAUUGGAGGAAACCAUUUAAGAGGAGAAGAAGAAAGAAGCACAGAAAAACCAGUGGAGAUUUUCUGAGGAUAGAAACCAGUGCAGAUUUUUUUUUUUUCGUCAAAAGGAAGCAUUCCCAGGUAUGUCUACUGUAGAUUCCUUCUUCAUUCCCAUUAUCCUUUUGUUAUGUACUAAUCUUUGCCGGGUUUUGAGUCUUGCUUGGAUGCUAGGGGGGCAGAAUGACGGAGGUCACAUGUUUGUCUACAUUGAUACUUGCUUCUAUAGAUGUUAUUGAUUUAUCCCUUAGGAGUUCUCUAAUUUUGAUUUAGUGUUGCUAGGUUCCAUUUAUUAUUAUUUCCUGUGCAUUACAUGAGAACUGUGGUUGUAUUCGUUUGUUGGAAUCUGCUCGUACUUAUCCCAUCAUUCCAAACCCAUUGAACCUAACAUGAAAUGGGUUUUCAUUUAAUGGAUCACUUAUUUGUUCAUCCAUUUUUUUUUAUCAAACUCUAUUUUGGCGGGGUUGUUUUUCUACAGUUGAGCAUGCUUCAAAUUGCUCUGUUUUGCUUCCCGGGUGUGUCUUCCUAUAUUUAUGAAUGAAUAAGGUAUAGAUUUGUGGGCUUAUGAGCUGUAAAGGUGAUUUCAGUGGGGUUGAGAUUCUGGGUCCACAAGAAAAAAAUAGAAUAGCAGAAGAGAAAAAUCUGUAAGAGAGUUGGGAAGUCCAGAGUAGUGCAAAUCCUCUUGGGCGUCUUUGGUUCAGAAAUAUCAGAAAAGUUAGAAGGAUGAGAAAAACAAGAAAGAUUGUUUGCCUUUGAACUUUUGAUUGCUUAAAGAUGUUUGACAAUGACCACUGUAAACAACCUGCUACUUUAAUGGUUGUGAUAUUUGAAUGUCAGUAUGAAGAUGUGAUUGGGGUGAAAGUGCUGAAAUCAGAGCUCAGGAGAAGAUCAUUGACUAUUGAGUCUGAUAUGGAAUACAAUUGAAAUGCCAACAUUGAGAUAUUUGGAAGAAGGGGUCUUGCUCCAGGAGUUAGACUUGGUGGGGUGGUUGGUGACUCACUUACCAGAGUUGUAGGAAUGCAAGCAGAUGCACUUUUGUUUGCAGAGGCCAGAAAAUAGGGUUUUGAUUCUUUGGAAAGAGAAGAUGACAAAUAUUUGGAAAGAUUUAAAUUGUUUCAGUUGGAAGCUACUGAAUUUUACCAAGUCUUGAUCAAGAAAAUAAGAAGAUGUAGUGGGCGUCCAGAGGAGCCAUUGUUUUAAUGAAAGUCAGAGUUCUAUAGUUCUAUUCUACCAAUAAAAGUGCAUGAUUUUUGUUUGUCUUAAGGAUCUUGCUAGGUGCAGAGAGCUCUAUAACAAACCUGAUGUUCAGAGUCGCAAUUGGUCAAUUGCUGCUACCUGUUAUAGAGAAGUAACAAUAAUUUGGCACUGGUGCAACUGAAAGAAGAGUACAUGAGGAAAUUCCCUUUCUGGAAUGAUCCAUAUGUUCUAGUGAGCUUGCUUUCUGCUAGCCGACUGCGUGGAGAUGUUGUAAUUGGGGAGUGUUUGGCUAAAUGGCUUCUAAAACUUCAGCUUGUGACUACUUCUCCUUAUGUAUUAUUAUCAAACUUGUAUGCUUCAGAUAGGAAGUGGGCAGAUUUAAAGAACCUGUCAUCAGCGGAUAACAACUUCUCUGACUCAACUUUAGACUCAAUUUCGGGGUUAGAAUCAAUCAAGUCUUUAGAUUUAAGUCGCAACCCCUUUUCUGGUGAUAUGGCAGCAUCAUCGACAAAACUGACUAAUUUGGUAUCCCUUAAUUUAUCGUUAAAUGAGUUCGAAAGUAAAAUUCCAAAAGGUCUCGAGCUGUUUUCAAAACUUGAAAUUCUUGACUCGCAUAGGAAUAUGCUCAGUGGACUUCCAGACGAGGAAUUCUUGUAAUUUUCAGGUGCCAUUCGUGUUGACUUUAGUGGGUGCUAGCAGAGUACUAUCUAUGUUAUUCAUUAUAGCAGAUUCUUAACAUCCACAUUUAUUUAGGAAUAGAUGCUUCAGUUUGGAUGAUAAACAGAUUACAGAUUUAAGGCAUUCUAUUGAUAAGAUUCUAAGUGACAAGUCUUCUUGGAAUGAAGAUCUCUUUGUUGCUACAGUCAAAUUGCUUACUUCUGCUGCAGUUGAUCAGCCUGUUUUUUCUUGUCACCAUAAUUUCAGCCAAAGACAAUCUAGGUUUGAUGCAGCCAAUAAAUGAAGCUUCUUUUGGAAUAUUGGGGUCUGUCAAAGCAAGUUUGGUAGAUGCACUCUUGCAAGUUAUUGAAAGAUUUCAAUGAUCUUAUCAAAUAGCAAUCCCCGUUUACUACUGAAUGUGCUUGACUUACUGAAAACAUUGUGGCAAGGGGCUGCUCAAUAUGCAGAUAUUUUGGAAUGGCUGAAAAACUCUGAAAAGUUCUGAAAACUAUUUUUGUAACUCUAUUUCUCUAAUUGUUAGAAUGAAAGCUCCCCUGCCUGAGAAUCUAACCAAAAUGGAGGCUCUAAGCUUGGCAUACAAAUACCAGUGUCAAACAGCUGUAUUGGAAAUAAUGGCAGAAGUCUUGUUCCUGUGGAAGAAGUUACUGCAUGCUGAAUUUCUUGAAAUGCUUGCAAAUCUGCACAGUUCACCAAUUGAGCCUAGGAAUUCUGAUAUAUCUUCAGGAAUGGAUGACGAGUCCAAUAAUAGUGAGAUGCUCGCAGCUACUAACAUCCACCCUGGACAAGAUUCAUGGAGAAAAUUGGAAGUUGAAUACAAGGAAUUGCCGCAAGUGCACAAUGGUACAUUGCAGCAGAGCAUCUCUGUCGAUGCAAAACUAAUCAAAGAGGAUGUAAUUAGCUUAGUAGAUAAGGAAAGAAGGCAAGCUCUACAGACACCACAAGUGGUUAUGAACAUGCUCGAUGCGACUAUGCCUGGUACUCUAAUGGAAGAACAUAAGAAGAAGGUCCUGGCUGCCGCAGGACAAGGAGAAACAGUUAUGUAAACUUUGUGUGAUGUUGUCCCAGGGGAUAUUUGUGGAAAGCUUUCUACUGUUGUUUCUAGAAUUUUGGCAUACUCAAGGCGUAAAUUUAAACUUUGAGGGUCUUCUGAUGAUUGACCAGACUCCUAAUGUUUCGUCAGGAUUGAAAUCUAAGAUCCAAAAAGAAAUUGGAAUAACAUCAAGUGAAGAAGGUGGGACCGAAAGCUAGGAUACAGUUGAAGAUUACAAAGGUAUAGUUCUUGGAGGUUCCGAAGCCGCCAAACACUCCUUGGAGAAAUUAGGGAAAAUAUCAGAUGGAAGUUCUUGCUCCGGUGUAGAGAAUUCUUGUAAUCAUUCACAGAGAAUCGGUGGUCAAAUUAUAAGUGACUCGGAUGAAGAAGUGGACAUUGAUGAAUAAGGAGGUGGAAAUGAGUUAUUUGAUUUUGCUGCACUGGCUGCUCUCACGAAAAUAGUAGCAAGUGCAAGUUCCGAUAGUGGUAGUAUCACAAUAACCUCUCCAAAGGGAUCCAAGCUUCUCUCUGAUUGCCCCCCCUGCUGGAUUGGGAUCUACAAACCAGUCUCUAAGACCUGCUCCCCAACAAAACCUGUCCAAUCUUUUUACCCAUUUUCCAAUCUUGCAGGGAGGCAAACUGGUGAAGAAUUUAAUCUUGAUAUUGCAGAGAGAGUUGUUUGUGAUCUUAACACUACUGAAGCGUUUCCAAGUGUGUUAGAUCUAAAAUGCAGCCUGAAGUUCUCUGGCCAACUAAACUCGAGCCACUUGAUCGCCAGAUUGUCGAAGAACAAAUCCAGUUCAGUUCUUUCCUUUUACUGGUUUUCUGGCUCAUCCCUACCUCAUGAAUACACCCAGUUAGGCAGUGUUAUUAAAGUACCAAGGGACCUUAUUGAUCCCUACAUCCUGGUUAGCAUCCUUGCUUACGGGCAAUCCUGAACAUGGUGCGCAGCUGUACUGAUAAUCCGUCAUCUGAUAAGUCUUGGAGAUGUUCCCUGCUGCUAUUGCAUUCAGAAAACUCAGAUUGCAUAAGGAAGCUUGCUGAAAGUAUCUCAUAAAUGCUACAACAAAGGACAACUAAAAGGCAAUUUCCCAAGACUUAAUGCCUCAUUUCUGAAACCUGCAAGGGGAGAUGAAGUAUUAUCCAAAGAACCUAAAUGACGAUAUGGAGCUUCAUUAAAAUCUGUCCAGAGAAUUCAAACAGAUCAAUGAAGAGCUGUCUCUAAAGUCAUUCAUGAAAUCGAAAGGACAAAGCCGCGUCAAAAGCUGUUGCUGCUCGCGGUCUUGGACGCAAUGCAAAGAUUGGUUCUGGGAGGGGUCUCAGUGUUGUAGCUAUGGCAACAUCUGCGCAAAGAAAGGAAAUGACAAAUUCGAACAUGAAAUGGAAGUAGGGAUCUUCGCCAAGGUUCAUACUGAGAGAAUGGUUUCAUCUUCAAGAUUUGGAAUCCCAUCAAGACCUCUUGCCAAAUGUUCUCCUCAUGUUUGUUUUCGUUUGCUAUUAUAGUUACCUACGGUGUCGGAUUUCAUUCGAAUUUUUCAGACAAGUCUCCGCAUUCAGCCCAUGGAAAUGACAACCAGAAUUCCAAAACAACAGCGAUCAGACCAGUUCCCAGAUUCCAAUUGUUGGAUAUGUUGGUCAGCCAUAUGGAGCCCCGUCACUACCAAUCUCCCCUCUCUAAUAUCUGUAGCUGAAUUAGCAUCACCAGCUUCAUACGAUUGGCAUCUGGUCUACCUCUUUCAUUAUACUUUCCUCAGAAUUUGUUUUCCAGACAGCAAUGGCAGGUUCCAAUUUGGAACCCAAUAGCUAAAUAGAACCCACCUGGUAGUAAAGGUCAGCAAGCAGGGCUUCAAAACAGAGAAAAUCGGAAGUGAGGAGACCAAAAUCUUGUGCAAUAAGUAAAGAACACUUCAAAUGCCAUAUCCUUUUUCAUUAGAUGCAGAAGGAGGACUCUCUCUGGGUAGGAAUUGUAAUGAUAUGGAAAGGAUGGGAAGUCAUGAUACAAAGCUGUUUUAUCGUUUUAGCUUGGGAAUUGACAACUUCAUCUUCAAACGGUGGAAUUCCAUGAAUAAGGAGCUUUAAGACAUGCCAACAAAUUGCCAAGGAAUAGUCAACUUCUUCACCCAACAGUGAAACUAAAAGUGGAAAGAGCAGAGUAGCAUUGUUUUUUUUGGACCUUUUAUGAUCAUCAUGCAGAAAAAAAACAGCUCAGUAGCUGAAGUUGAGUAUAUUGGCAAACCUGAGAAUGCACUUCCAACCGAUGGAACUGAACAGCAGCAUAAGAAAUCUGAUUUGGAGUUAAGACCUACUACCACAUUACAAGCUCUAGUUGAUGAUUCAAAUUGUGAUCUCGAGAAACUAAAGUUGAAUCCAAACGACAUUGCUGAUGAAAUCAUGUAUCAAACCCUAUGAGCUUUGACUCUGAAAUGAAUAUGGACAGUUCGUUUCCAGUCACGCCAGCAGUAUACGGAGAUCUCUUCACACAACCACCAGCAACGUAGUCACAGCCAAACCCCCAAACCCCCAAACCCCAUUCUCCAUGACCGAUCUGGUGCACACUACUCUUUUCCUUUCACACCCCUCUUGCUUUCCUCGUGAUUUUAUGUGUCUUGAAUUGUGUUUUCAAAAAUUGUUUUCAUCCAAAUAAAUCUAAUUUUAGAUAAUCAUCUUUAGACCUUCUCUAGGCAUUGAAAUCUAAAUUUCAACACCCUUUUGCUGCCAUUUUCCUUCCGGCAUGCGUCUUCACUAUUUUAUUUGAUUUUCAACUAAUUUUCUUGAUUUUCAACAAGCAUGAACAAACUUCAUGAUUCCAAACAAUGGAAUUCAUUGAAUUGACUCAUGCAAAAUCAACUAGGGCUUUGGUGGGGGCCCGACAUUCAUAACACUCACUUCAAUACUGUUUACUUGAUAUGUUGAUUUUUGAUUCUUCUUGAUGAAAUACUUGAAUUCACUUAAUAUUUAUUGUUGAGAUGCUCUCGUUUCCCAUAGAGGAGUACUAGCUUGCUAUCCAGGUACGCUCUCUUCUCAUCUAUUUUUUUAGAACUCUAUGGACUUGUAUGUCAUUGAUGACCAUAUCCAUAUUUGAUGUGAUUCUUGAAUCUCUUGAUAUAUGCCUGAUUUGCUUGAAUAAAACAAAUGUUGUGUGAUGUAUCUCCAAACUAAUCUCUUAUGUUUUAUGAUAGCGCUUGGGAAGCCGUCCAGGUACGCAUUUUUAACUCUUCUUAAUUGUGAUCUGAUCUUGUUUGAUAUGUUAUGUUUUUGGAAUCACCUAGCCUACUUAGGUAUCCAUGAUCAACCAUUUAAUUGCCACGCUUCCCUUAACUUAGUCAGUAGAGACCUCUUUAGGGCUUAGAGGGGUGCUACCUCCUAGAGGUACCUUUCCAAUAAGUAACCUGAUCCCCGGACCUAAACUUGGGUUUCUCAAAGACAUGCUUUUUCCAAAACUAGAGAGUCACUUUUUAGGGUUUUUCUUUCUUGUUUUAUUUUCCCUUUAAAAUAAAAAUAAAAUAGGUGGCGACUCCAACUUUUUUUCCAAAAAUAAUAAAAAGCGAGUCUCGCCGAUCGAGUGGGGGCGCACGUGAAAAAUGCGGGUCCACAAAUUGGCGACUCCGCUGGUGAUUUUGAGGAUCAAGCUUGAACACUAGUUAAGGAAAAUGUGGCGUUUAAUUGGUCGAUUAGUGGGUACCUCUUUUUUUUAGGCAAGGUGAUUCGAUUUGCUUGCUUGUUUGGUUUGCUAUCUUAACAUGUUUGAUUGCCUUGGAUGAUCACUUGAUUGUUUUGCUCACUUUAGCAUGAUUCACUAUCACAUAUGUUAGAUAGGACUUUGUUUGUUUGAUAUUUAUUUGCUUCGCAUGACUGUUUGAAUGAUCACUUGAUUGUUUUGCUCACUUUAGCAUGAUUCACUCUCACAUAUGAUAGAUAGGACUUUGAUUGUUUGAUAUUUAUCUGCUUCACAUGACUGCUUGUUGCAUGACAACCCUUUCUCUUGCAUGUUCGUAUGAUUGCUUGUCUUCAUUCACUAUUUCACUUUAGAUCUUAGGUUUUUUUCGGAUGCACCCACAUCCUUCAUUGUGCACUUUAGAUUAUCCUUGAGUGUUGAGAGAUGGGAGAGCCUUCACCAUUAAGAAACCCCCUGAGAACGCGAGGAAGUGCAUGUGUAGAGGUGAUGACCACCUUGCAUGGAAGCACCCCAUCUCUUUGGAGGCAUGCAGAGGGUUGCGUACCGCCGGAGGGUACGAUCGCUUCUGCUAGGGAUCCUUUGACCCACCCAUUUUACCCUAUAGAACCACCUCAACCUUGUAGGUUAGCCUAGACCCAAUUAAGAUCUCAUUCCUACACGUGGGUGCAUCUGUGGACCUUCAGAACUGCCUUGGUCACAAUUGGAUUCGGUUAUCCCUUCCUUAGUCUCCUUUUGGUGUAAUCAGAGGAGGGUAUCAGAUUGAGUACAUUUGGGCUAUUCUCUUGCACACUUAUCAGCUGAUUCAUACAGAGUCACUUUCGUAUCGCAACUUAUCCAGUGUUUCCAUACUUGUAGGAGAGUUUACCGUGACCAGUCUGGAUUCACCUUCGUGGAUUAGAGUUAGAGGCAGAUUGACCAGAGCAUCAGAUCAGUCAGACCGGAAAUCAGAUCAGGGGGAUAUGGAUUCUCAGAUAGUUAUCGUUGACCAGUUUGCUGCAGCCAUGGCUUCGAUCCAAGAGGCUAUAGCUAGCCUUGGCCAGAGGAUAGAUGGGCAGCAGGCCCGACAGGUCCCAGUUCAGGAGGAUAUCCAGUUUGAUACCACAGUACCACCGCCACCUCCGCACAGUCAGCCAGCACCACAGACUAUACCUUUUACUCUGCAUAGUCAGACUGAGGUUGCACCACCUCCUGCCAUAGUGCCUACUCCGAUCUCAGAGGACCCACAUGCUCGUAUGGAUAAACUUGAGCAGAAGUUGAGACAGAUGAGGACUUCAGAGGGAACUAUUACUUGGGAGGAUUUUGAUGGAGCACCAGUGGCCAGUCUACCGGCCAAGUUCAGGAUGCCUGAGAUUGAGAGAUACAUAGGCAUAGGAUGCCCUCACAUCCAUUUGAGACUCUAUAGUACUGUUAUGAGGGCCCAUGGACUGGAUGAUGCCCAGAUGGUUAUGCUCUUCCCUAUGUCAUUGAGUGGAGCUGCACAGCGUUGGUUCGCUUCAUUGGAGGUAUCACGCCGUAGGACUUGGGAUGACUUAGCCCAGGAGUUUUUGAGACAGUUUGCAUUUAACACUAUCAUUGAUGUUUCGAGGAGAGAGUUGGAGGCUUUGAGACAGAGGCCGGAGGAGUCAAUCACUUCAUUUAUCUCCCGCUGGAGGGAGAAGAUUUCACAGAUUAUAGACCGUCAUUCAGAGAGAGAUCAGAUUAGCAUGAUCAUGAGGAGCUUGCAGCCUAGAUUUGCGAGACGCUUGAUGGGAUUUCCCCAUACGGAUUUCGGAUCUUUGGUACAGGCUUUGUAUGGUAUAGAGGAGGGCAUUGCUAGAGGAUUAUGGUCUGAGUCUUCCCCUACUGAUUCUAAGGGGAAGAGGCCUUUAGGAGGACAGAGAUCAGGAGAUGUUGGUGCUAUCAGUUCAGUAGGGAUGAGACCUUCUAGACGCUAUCAGACAGUUGGGCAGACUCCUGGGUACUACUAUCCACCUUCACCUCAUGCGCAUUACAGACUACCUACUCCUUCCAGACCUAUGACUCCUACUUAUCUGCAUCCGGACUUACAGCCUGUUUUUGCUGCACACGUCGCAGAGAGGUCUCCUGCCCCAUAUACUCGACCCCGAGCUCCACAGACCACUACUUAUGUGCAGAGGCCACCACGUCAGUUUGCUCAGUUGGAUAUGCCUUUGAGUCGAGCUUUUCAGAAGCUCACAGAUGGUGGAUUACUAAUUCCAUUAGCAUCCAGGACUUUACCCCAACCCAUACCACCUCGCUUCAGGAUGGACUUACAUUGUUCCUACUAUCAGGGACCAGGGCAUGACACGGACCAUUGCACUGCUUUGAGACAUGCUAUUCAGGAUUUGAUAGAUCAGGGUUUGGUCAACUUGGGGCAGCCAAGUGUGACCACCAACCCUCUUCCUACUCAUUCCACACGCGCAGUGCAUCCAUCUUCAGGAGAUAUUCAUCACAUGGACCUUAUAGAGGGUUGACAGUAUACACAUGUUGAGUUGGGAUGAUGGAUUACCCGAGCCUAUUGUUCUACAUGACAGUUAUGAGGUCGAUGGGGUUUCAGUGGUCCCUCAAACUCCUGCACCAUUUAGUUUGAUCCCGGACGAGGCACCAUUCCAGUUGACUCAUCUUACACCUUUAGUUAUCGGAUGUCAGGAUGCUUUUGUCCCAUUCACUUUAUGGCCUGAGGAUGAUGAUUCAGUAGGGAGAGAGAUACAGAUUGUGACUCGUAGUGGGAGGAUAGCUCAGCCACCACCACCAGCAGUCAGACCAUUUGAGGGUACAGCCUCUCAUGAGGAGGUUAGGAGAGAGGAUGAUGAGGUUUUGAGACAGCUACAGAGCACUCAGGCUCGCAUUUCCAUCUGGAGUUUAUUAGCAUCAUCCAGUACUCAUAGAGAUGCUUUGAUUCGAGCCUUGAGUCAGAUCAGAGUAGAGACUACCACCACUCCAAAGGGAUUGAUUCAUAUGAUGACGGCUAGCAGGGCCACUUGCAUUGUAUUUUCAGAUGAUGACUUGCCACCUGAUGGUUUAGACCACGUGCACCCUCUAUACAUCACAGUUGGAUGUUCAGGCCGUAGAGUCCCGUCUGUCCUACUGGACAACGGCUCAGCCCUGAAUGUUUGCCCUUUAGCCACUGCUAUAGCCCUUGGUUUCGCGCCUUCAGAUUUUGGUCCUUCUACUCAGACAGUCAGGGCGUAUGAUAGCACCAAAAGGGAGGUUAUGGGUACCUUGAUGAUUGAUUUGCAGAUUGGUCCAACCAUAUUUUCCACUUUGUUCCAGGUUUUGAGGAUUCCUACAUCCUUUAACCUACUACUAGGCCGACCAUGGAUUCAUGUACCUGGAGCUAUUCCUUCUUCCCUUCAUCAGAAGGUGAAGUUUAUUCAUGAUGGGCAGGUCAUCACAGUUCGCUCUACCAGGGAUAUAUUUGCCGCUUCUGAGCCAGUACUUCAGAUCAGUCACAGUGAGGACGACCUACUUCUGACUGGGUUUACUUUUGAUGAGAUAUAGACUCUCAAGAUUGAGGAUUUUUGUAGAGACUUUGUGGCUAUGUCAUUUGAUCAGCACAGUAGCACAGUGGUCCUUGAUAUGAUGAGGGGUAUGACCUUUCUACCUGGCAUGGGGUUAGGACGACGUCAGCAGGGACCGAGCGAGUUCAUAGCUGGCAUGGACCAUGAUACGACAUUUGGACUUGGAUUCAUCCCUACUGAGGCCGAUUACCGUCACAUGGCGCGGCUACGCAAGAAGAAGGUGAGAGCCCGUUUAUCCCGCACACCAUUUGAUUAUCCUAUUCAACCCUAUAGGAUGAGUUUGGCUGACCACUUUGUCAGAGGAUCAGAGACUCGACCUCGUCUAGAGGGGAUUGAUAGUGUGGUUCAUACAGAUAGAGAGACUGACCUUCAACAUCUAUUUCACCAGCUACAGUUGAGUGAUGGGGCUCCCGACUCUUUUUUCCCUUUGACGAUUACUCCCACAUCUCCAGAUCGAGCUAGCAUGUUGUCUCUAUGCUUUCCAGAGGAAAUCACUGGUGAUGGGGUGAUUGUUGAUCCUACUGAGGUGAUUGAUGGAGUUGUUCCCCAUGAUGAGUACCGUGAUGAGAUGGACAUGAUGACCGUGAGCCAGAUUACUGGCAUUGUUCAGCUUCAGCCUGUUUCAGCAUUUGAUAUGUUUGGGGUGUCUACCAUUGAGGUUUUUGAGGGGACUCAGACUCUUCCUGUUCCAGAGCUUCUAGAGGAUGAUAGUUGUUUGUUUGAGGGCAUUAUUAGCCCAGUUGAGGGAGCGUCCGACCUUGUGGACCCACCUCUUUCUUUUGAUGUUUUAUCGGGAUUUGUCUCCCGCUCUAACGAUGUUUCUGUUGCUUCAUUUAUGGAUUUGAGCAUUUUUUAGUAUUCGCCUGUCUCUUGUGAUAGUAUCUUUAUAUCUGCACCCCACCUACCCACUUCACAGAUAUUUGAUAUAGAUGAUGAGAUUGCACAGCCCAGUUCGGAUAGGGACUCUUUGGAUCAUGACUCUGGUCCCAUAGAUGAGAGAGUUUCACCUGCUGUAGGGGACAUUGAGAUUGUUGAUUUUGGCACAGAGGAUCAGCCUAGAGAGCUGAAGAUUGGUUCACCCCUAUCUACAGAUGAGAGAGAUAGACUCAUCCAUUUACUUAGGUCAUACUUGGAUGUCUUUGCAUGGUCUUAUGAGGACAUGCCAGGUGUUGAUCCCUCUAUAGUCCAACACCAUUUACCUACCCUACCACAUGCUAGACCAGUUAAGCAGAAAUUGAGACGGUUGCAUCCACGUUGGAGUCUACAGGUAAAAGAGGAGAUUCAGAAACAACUCAGUGUUGGAUUCAUAUCAGUAGUUGAGUAUCCAGAGUGGUUGGCUAAUGUCGUCCCUGUUCCUAAAAAGGAUGGCAAAGUUAGGGUUUGUGUUGACUUCAGAGAUCUCAAUAAAGCCAGCCCUAAAGAUGACUUUCCCCUUCCACACAUUGAUUUGUUGGUUGAUGGCACCGCAGGCCAUUCGAUGUUGUCUUUCAUGGAUGGGUUUUCAGGGUAUAAUCAGAUUUUGAUGGCUCCAGAGGAUAUGGAGAAGACAACCUUUAUUACUGAGUGGGGUACCUACUGUUACAGAGUUAUGCCAUUUGGGUUGAAGAAUGCAGGAGCCACUUAUCAGAGAGCCGCUACCACUUUGUUUCAUGACAUGAUGCAUAGGGAUGUCGAGGUUUACGUGGAUGAUAUGAUUGUGAAAUCCCGAGGUAGAGCAGAUCACCUAGAUGCUUUAGAGAGAUUCUUUAAGAGGAUCCGGAAGUUUAGAUUGAGGUUGAAUCCUAAGAAGUGCACCUUUGGAGUGACUUCUGGGAAAUUAUUGGGGCAUAUGGUCAGUGAGCGAGGCAUAGAGGUCGACCCAGAUAAAAUCAAAGCCAUAUUUGACAUGCCUGCACCAAAGACUGAGAAAGAGAUUAGAGGUUUUUUGGGCAGAUUACAGUACAUUAGUCGGUUCAUAGCCAGAUUGACAGACAUAUGUGAGCCUAUCUUUCGUCUUUUGAGGAAGAACCAACCAACAAUUUGGAAUGACGACUGUCAGUUUGCAUUUGAGAAGAUCAAGGAGUAUUUGCUUUCUCCUCCUGUUUUAGUGCCUCCUACGCCAGGACGUCCACUUCUUCUAUAUUUGUCAGUUUCAGACAUGGCCUUGGGAUGUAUGUUAGCUCAGAUUAAUGACUCAGGGAAGGAACGGGCUAUUUACUACUUGAGUAAGAGGAUGCUGGAGUAUGAAGUGAAAUAUGUUAUGAUUGAGUGCCUAUGCUUAGCACUAGUUUGGGCUACCAGGAGGUUGAGGCAUUACAUGACAGAGUACUCAGUACAUUUGAUAUCCCGCCUGGACUCGUUGAGAUACUUGUUUGAUAGACCUGCAUUGACUGGUAGAUUGAUGAGAUGGCUUGUACUUUUGACAGAGUUCGAUAUUCAGUAUGUUUCUCAGAAGUCUAUUAAGGGAAGUACUGUCGCUGAUCACUUAGCCUCACUACCGACAUAUGAGGAUAGACCAAUUGAUGAUGAUUUUCCAGAUGAGGAGUUUGUUGCUAUAACCAGCUUAUCAGAAUGGUGCAUGUACUUCGAUGGUGCAGCCAAUCAGUCAGGGUAUGGGAUAGGUGUUCUAUUGGUAUCCCCUCAGGGUGAUCAUAUUCCGAGGUCCGUUCGUUUGGCAUUCUCUAAUUGACAUCCUACCACGAAUAACAUAGUUGAGUAUGAGGCUUGUAUCCUUGGUUUAGAGACUGCAUUGGAGCUUGACAUUAGACAGAUAGAGGUAUUUGGUGACUCCAAUCUGAUACUCAGGAAGAUUCAGGGGGAUUGGAAUACUAGGGACGUGAAGCUUAGACCAUAUCAUGCAUAUUUAGAGUUAUUGGUUGUGAGAUUUGACGACUUGAGAUAUGUUCAUCUGCCUAGAGCGCAGAACCGAUUUGCUGACGCCUUAGCUACUUUAGCUUUCUCCAUGGACAUUCCGAUUGAUGUAGUCAUAUGUCCAUUAUUGAUUGAGUUGAGGCUUGUACUCGCCUAUUGUUGUUUGAUUGGAGAGACAGAGGUCCAGGAUGACCUACCUUGGUAUCAUGAAAUUUAUCAGUUUCUUAGAUCUGGCACAUACCCUGAGGUAGCCACUGCCAAGGAUCGGAGAGCACUAAGGAAUUUGGCCACUAGAUUUGUGAUUUGUGGAGAUACCUUGUACAGACGAUCAGCUGAUGGUAUGCUUCUAUUGUGUUUAGAUCGAGCCUCUGCAGAUCGAGUGAUGAGAGAGGUUCAUUCAGGAGUUUAUGGUCCGCAUAUGGGAGGACACAUGCUAGCCCUUAAGAUUAUGAGGACGGACUAUUUCUGGUUGACUAUGGAGACAGAUUGUUGUCAGUUUGUCCAGAAAUGCCCAGAGUGUCAGAUUCAUGGUGAUCUCAUUCAUGUACCGCCAUCAGAGUUACACGCUUUGACCUCGCCAUGGCCAUUUUCAGUAUGGGGUAUUGAUAUUAUUUAGAAGGUUUCACCAAAAUCUUCCAGUGGUCAUGAGUUCAUCCUAGUUGCCAUAGAUUAUUUCACCAAGUGGGUGGAAGCCGCAUCAUAUGCGAGGUUGACAUCUGCUAGGGUUGCCAGUUUUAUCAGAUCACACAUCAUUUGCCGCUAUGGGGUUCCUCAUGAGUUGAUUUCCGACAGAGGGGUGCACUUCCGAGCUGAGGUAGAUACUUUGUUGCAGAAGUAUGCCAUCCGACAUCAUAGAUCUUCAGCAUAUAGGCCACAGACCAACGGGGCAGUAGAGGCUGCAAACAAGAAUAUUAAGAGGAUUUUGAGGAAAAUGGUUGAGACUUCUCGAGAUUGGUCAGAGAAGCUUCCUUUUGCGUUGUGGGCAUAUCGUACAUCUUUUCGUACUUCUACAGGAGCUACGCCUUACUCUCUAGUGUAUGGUAUGGAGGCUGUUUUGCGAGUCGAGACAGAGAUGGGUUCAUUGAGAGUAGCCAUUGAGCAGCAGAUUUCUGAGACAGAGUGGGCUCAGGCUCGAUUUGAUCAGCUUAACCUUUUAGAUGAGAGGAGAUUGAGAGCGGCAGAUCAUGUUCAGGCCUAUCAGAGAAAGAUGGCUCGUGCCUUCAAGAAACGGGUUAAGCCUAGACCAUUGCAAAAAGGGGACUUAGUUUUGAGGAUUCUCAGAGGUUUGAUUGGAGACCCUAGAGGAAAGUUUAGACCUAGUUGGAGUGGGCCUUAUGUUAUCCGAGAGUUGACUCUAGAAGGGGCUGCAUGGUUGACAGACUUAGAUGGAAACCAAUUUUCAGAGCCUACCAACGUGGAUCAGCUAAAGAAGUAUUAUGUUUGAGACCGUGGUCGCAGGAUGGGUGGCCAUCAUUUCGGUUAGCCUCAUACUUUAUCACCUCUAUAUAUUAGACCGUUGCUAGCCCAUUGAGCUUCGCAUGGUAUGUUAUAGCCUUAUUUCUUUCUUAUAGCUUUGAUUACCAUUUCUACACCCGGGUUGGGGCCCUUUGAUGUAUAUGCAUGUUUUGCUAGGAAAGUCUCAUGAGCUUUAGACUUAUAGGUCUAUCUUCUCAUUUUGUUACCAUCCUCUUAUCACCCUAUUUGUUCUAUUUUAUUAUCAUCAUAUAUUCAUUCUCUUUCUUGUCUCUAUCAUUAUUUGCUUCAUCUUAUCUAUUCUCUUCCUUGGGUUGAUGAUUCUUCACGUCUUAGUGCAAAGAGGGCAGUCAUAGCACUUCAUUCAUCCCAUCAUUUGGCAAUGAUUCGGAGAUUUUAGUUUGAGAGGUUGUCUCAUGGGUUAGGGUUCAUGUAUUCAUCAAUGAUUUGAGAGAGUUUAUUCAUUUUAUUGUAUAUUUCCCAUUGGAGUUUGACUUAUUGAUGAUCAGAGCAUGCGCAAAAAAAAAAAAAAAAAAAAAAAAGCGCAAUGACAUGUUUGUGUAUGGUAUCUUGCUCCAUUGGGUACUUAUAUCACCUUUUGAGGUAUGUUUACUGGGUAUAUUUGACAUUGUGGGUUCUUGUGAGAUGUUUAUAUGAGUUUUCACUCCUUGAGCCACUCUUGUUAUGCAUUUGGAGUGUUGGGGGUUCAUGUGAGAGUUCUAUGGUAUCCUAUGCUUCUUGGUCAUGGUUGAUACAUAUUAGGUAUGAGAGAUGAAUGACCUUUUACUAGGGUCUCCAGAUCAUUGUCUUAUCCACCAUUCCAUCAUUGGUGAUAUGACUUUCCUUUAUUGUACUAACAUGGGUUGAUCAUCACUCGUUCCACUUUCUCAUUGCUUUCUUUUGUAUCCCAUUACCGCUUUCCAGAUCUUUGUUCCACCUUUUAUUCAUUCCCUACAUAUUGAUACCCAUUACUGAUUUGAUACUUUUUUUUCACAUCAUUCACAUAUUUCAUUGAUGGUUUGACCAUUCAUCAUUUCUCUCAUUUCGUUAUCGACAUUCCCUUUGGUUACUUCUAAGUCCAUGACUCAUGAGAUUUUUCUAUGCAUUACAUCUUGUACACGAGGGUACGGGUUUGAUCAUUGGGUAUUUGAGCCUAGUUUCCCUUCAUUUCUUUCACCCUAUCACCUUGGCCUACGUUACGUCCCGUGUCUUAAGACCACCCUGAGGCCACGAGAUCAGACGUUAUCUUUGAUAGUCUUCACUUGGACAGGCUUUUGUAGAUUGAUUGAAGUAUGGUCGUUGCUAUGUUCUCUUUUAUGGAAGAUACUUUUGGAAGCAUUUGGUUUCUCUCUCGCUUGGCAUAUUGAUGUUUGAUGGAUUUUUUUGGGUUUGGAGACAGUUCAUUGAGGAUAUUGGAUUCAUCCUUUGGUUGUGCAUUAGAUGUCCAUAUUGGGGAAUAUUCCCCUUUCAUUUGGUUGAGAUGAGCCCCUAGUGGAGCACUUUCUUUGAGUCUGGGUAUUUUCACCGAUCAGAGAUUCCUAGUGAGGUAUGUUGAGGCUAUAUCAGUUUUAGUGGAGCAUCGUUGAGCCCCUAGUGGUUCCAUUCGCGGAGUACUUCUGAGAUAGACUAGGGGAUUAUUAUUGAGUUGGAGGCAGUUUUCAGUGCAGUGUAUAGAUCAGGCAUACUGGGGCAUAUUUCCCCAUUUUGAGGUUACCAGAUCCCUAUCAGAUUCAGUCAGGGAUUCAUCAGAGACAUGUUUCUACUUUUGAGAUUACCACAUUCCUCAUCAUUUUGGCUAUUCAUUUGAGAUUAGAUUUAGAGUGUCUCCCUUGAGGCAUUGGUCGAUACUUCACUCCGACUUCUUAGCAGAUUAUUGUUGAGCUGAGGAUAGUUGAUUGAUGAUGUUGGAUUCAUCCUUUGGUUGUGCAUCAUCUAUUCACACUGGGGCAUAUGCCCCCCUUCCUCCGAGAUUCUUAUCUGUUAUUGUAUACGGUACGAGGAUGGAUGAUCAUUGUUAGUUUGUUUACCUCACGACUUCGACAUUAGAUUAUCCACACUGGGGCAUAUUCCCCUCUCCUUGAUGAGAUUGUGUUUGGACAGCGGUACGAGGAUGGAUGAUCAUUGUUAGUUUGUUUGCCUCACGACUUCAACAUCCGAUAUCCAUACUGGGGCAUAUUCCCCUCUCCAUUAUGAGAUUUAUUUGAGCAGUGAUAUGAGGAUGGAUGAUUGGUGUCGGUUGUUUAGCUUAUGACUUUGACAUCAGGUCUCAUACUGGGGCAUAUUUCCCUACUUUUUGAGUAUCCUUGAGAUUGAGACAGUGACCAGCUUGGUUUUAGAUUGAGUACUAGCCUAGAGCUUCCGACGAUCGACUGUAUCAGGGCCUCCCUACAUGGAUUUGUUGAGAUAGAGAUGGAUCGUAUCAGGUUUCACCCGAGGAGCGUGGGUGGAUCCUUUAGCCAGAUGCUCAUGAGACAGAUUUGUUUUCGUCAUUGUUACCUUGUCGAUUGGGUUAUUUGAACAAGCAUCAUUUUGUGCACUUUGAGAUUUGCUUUUAGAUGAGCCACGAUAUACACGCUUUGAGAUUUACCUUUUGACAUUCGUCGGUAGAGCAAUUUUUCAGACACAGAGGCCUCUUUCAGUUUUGACUUUUCAGAGGUUUGUCAUGGUGUAUUGGUUUUUGACUCAUUGAUUCUAGCAGAUGAUUGGUUUACUGGUUGUUUCAGCAGUGUGAGCACCUUGGAUACUAGGGCAUAUUUCCCUUCUUGGUUUCAGUAGUCCGACCCUUGACAUUUUGAGUAUAUGGCUUUGAGCCAAUUUAUUUCAUGUCCACUUUCAAGUUGGUCUUCUCUAUUAUUCCCUUCUAGGCCCUGAGCCUUAUAGCCCUAAGUUAUUCAUUCCUUCUAGACCUCGAGUCUUACAGCCCUGAGCAUUCUUUUUCCUUUAGGCCCUAAGCCUUGUGGCCCUGAGCUAUCAUUUCCCAUAGACCUAGAGUCUUUCCAGCUCUUAGCUGAGCUUUCAUCACUUGGUCGCCCAUGAGUGGUUUGACAUGGAGUUUGCGUAUCGCAUUCUCCUUCUAGCCGAUCAGUCAUAGAGCCCAAAGCUCAUAGCCCUGAGCUAUUCAUCGACCCAGAGUCAUUUUCCAUCUUGACCCAGAGUCAUUCAUAGCACCCCGAGCCCUGAGCUCACGACCCGGAGUCAUUUGCAUCAUUCAUAUCCCUGAGAUGUUUCGUUUUCAUCAUUCUAGCCACUUGUGAGUGGUCUCGACCCGACAUCUUGAGUCGGAAAGUAUCUUGAUCGGCUAUCUAUUAGAGCCUGGAGCUCUCGACCCAGAGUCACUUUCCAUUUCGACCUAGAGUCAUUAUUUCCUAUUUUAGAGCCCGGAGCUCUCGACCCAGAGUCAUUUUCCAUUUUGACCCAGAGUCAUUCCUAUCUAUUUAGAGCCCGGAUCUCUCGACCCAGAGUCAUUUUCCAUUUUGACCCAGAGUCAUUCCUAUCUAUUUAGAGCUCGGAGCUCUCGACCUAGAGUCAUUUCCCAUUUUGACCCAGAGUCAUUCCUUUCCACUUAGAGCCCGGAGCUCUCGACCCGGAGUCACUUUCCAUUUUGACCUAGAGUCAUUAUUUUCCAUUUUGACCCAGAGUCAUUUUCCAUUUUGACUUAGAGUCAUUCUUUCCUAUUUAGAGCCUAGAGCUCUCGACUCAGAGUCAUUUUCCAUUUCGACCUAGAGCCAUUCUUUCCAAUUAGAGCCCUGAGCUCAUGACCCGGAGUUUUUUAUCCUAUUUCAGAUCCAGAGUCGUUCAUCUUGUCCCUGACCCAGAUUCAUUCAUCCCAUCCAUGACUUUGAGUCAUCAUUUUCACCUCUUUCCAUCUUUGUGCUACUCGUCACAUACUGUUCUCUCUUUAUUGUCAUUCCCCCCACAUAGAGUUGUCCCAUCCAUGUCAUUGAGACCCCAUCUUUUGAUCUUACCUCUUCAUGUGCUAGGACAAAAUCUCUGGUCCUUCUUUAAUUCUUCGGUAUAGUUCACUUCAUUCUGCUCAUUACUCGUGUUUCUACUCACAUUCUCUACACUCGUGAUCUAUACCAAAGAGGGGCAUAUUUGUAGACCCUUAAUUUUGUCCAUUUAGCACAUGUCUUUAAAUUCACAUCCAGUGCUCCACGGUAGUUCCUUGGUGGCCCAUUACUACUCAUAAGGCUUACCUUUUUCUGAGUCACCUCAGAGACUUUGGUUGAGGGAUUAUCUGACCCCUUAUUGUGAUCCUUGGCAAUCCUAAUUUAGAUUGGGCUUGAAUUAGAUACACUUAGCCCAUUUAGGCACCUUAGGCCCACUUAGGCAUCUUAGGCCCGUUUAGAUACACUUGGCCCACUUAGGCUCACUUAGACCCACUUAGGUCAUCUUUUAAAUAUUUUUUUUACAUAUUUGCAUGAUUGCAUUUUUUUGUAUGACUUGCAUGGUUGCAUGGCUCAUGGGGCCUAAUUUUUGUUAAUUUGUUUGUUUUAUUUUUAGUUUUAGUUUUAUCAUUAUCAAUCACUCGUUUAUUUAUUUAUUUAUUUUAUUUGUUAUCUCAUUCUUUAUAUUAUUUUCCUUAAUUUAUUUAUUUAUUAUUGUUUUAUUGUUUUCUAAUUUGUUUGCUUAUUUAGUUAUUCAUUCAAUUAUAUAAUUUCAAAAAUUUCAUGUUUUUGCAAGGAAACUUACCAUUGGAGACUAAGGAAAGCGGGACUCUCCUUGGAAAGUUUUGGAGGGGAAUUUGAAGUUGGGAAGAUUGCUUUUGAAUUGGAAGAUUUAGAAAAAGGGAAAAAGGAAGAAGAGAAGAAGAAUGGAAAUAGGGGAAUUUUCUUUUUUUUUGGAAACAAAUUUAGGUCUUGAGGGAUGAUAUAUAUAUGUGAGAAAAGAAAGAGAAAGGGGGAGUGAACAAGCACGCAUUGGAGGAUUGGGAGAAAUUCUGGGAAAAGGUGGAGAGACGUAUUGGAGGCAUUGGAGGAAACCAUUUAAGAGGAGAAGAAGAAAGAAGCACAGAAAAACCAGUGGAGAUUUUCUGAGGAUAGAAACCAGUGCAGAUUUUUUUUUUUUCGUCAAAAGGAAGCAUUCCCAGGUAUGUCUACUGUAGAUUCCUUCUUCAUUCCCAUUAUCCUUUUCUUAUGUACUAAUCUUUGUCGGGUUUUGAGUCUUGCUUGGAUGCUAGGGGGGCAGAAUGACAGAGGUCACAUGUUUGUCUACAUUGAUACUUGCUUCUAUAGAUGUUAUUGAUUUAUCCCUUAGGAGUUCUCUAAUUUUGAUUUAGUGCUGCUAGGUUCCAUUUAUUAUUAUUUCAUGUGCAUUACAUGAGAACUGUGGUUGUAUUCGUUUGUUGGAAUCUGCUCGUACUUAUCCCAUCAUUCCAAACCCAUUGAACCUAACAUGAAAUGGGUUUUCAUUUAAUGGAUCACUUAUUUGUUCAUCCAUUUUUUUUAUCAAACUCUAUUUUGGCGGGGUUGUUUUUCUACAGUUGAGCAUGCUUCAAAUUGCUCUGUUUUGCUUCCCGGGUGUGUCUUCCUAUAUUUAUGAAUGAAUAAGGUAUAGAUUUGUGGGCUUAUGAGUUGUAAAGGUGAUUUCAGUGGGGUUGAGAUUCUGGGUCCACAAGAAAAAAAUAGAAUAGCAGAAGAGAAAAAUCUGUAAGAGAGUUGGGAAGUCCAGAGUAGUGCAAAUCCUCUUGGGCGUCUUUGGUUCAGAAAUAUCAGAAAAGCUAGAAGGAUGAGAAAAACAAGAAAGAUUGUUUGCCUUUGAACUUUUGAUUGCUUAAAGAUGUUUGACAAUGACCACUGUAAACAACCUGCUACUUUAAUGGUUGUGAUAUUUGAAUGUCAGUAUGAAGAUGUGAUUGGGGUGAAAGUGCUGAAAUCAGAGCUCAGGAGAAGAUCAUUGACUGUUGAGUCUGAUAUGGAAUACAAUUGAAAUGCCAACAUUGAGAUAUUUGGAAGAAGGGGUCUUGCUCCAGGAGUUAGACUUGGUGGGGUGGUUGGUGACUCACUUACCAGAGUUGUAGGAAUGCAAGCAGAUGCACUUUUGUUUGCAGAGGCCAGAAAACAGGGUUUUGAUUCUUUGGAAAGAGAAGAUGACAAAUAUUUGGAAAGAUUUAAAUUGUUUCAGUUGGAAGCUACUGAAUUUUACCANNNNNNNNNNNNNNNNNNNNNNNNNNNNNNNNNNNNNNNNNNNNNNNNNNNNNNNNNNNNNNNNNNNNNNNNNNNNNNNNNNNNNNNNNNNNNNNNNNNNNNNNNNNNNNNNNNNNNNNNNNNNNNNNNNNNNNNNNNNNNNNNNNNNNNNNNNNNNNNNNNNNUAGGUGCAGAGAGCUCUAUAACAAACCUGAUGUUCAGAGUCGCAAUUGGUCAAUUGCUGCUACCUGUUAUAGAGAAGUAACAAUAAUUUGGCACUGGUGCAACUGAAAGAAGAGUACAUGAGGAAAUUCCCUUUCUGGAAUGAUCCAUAUGUUCUAGUGAGCUUGCUUUCUGCUAGCCGACUGCGUGGAGAUGUUGUAAUUGGGGAGUGUUUGGCUAAAUGGCUUCUAAAACUUCAGCUUGUGACUACUUCUCCUUAUGUAUUAUUAUCAAACUUGUAUGCUUCAGAUAGGAAGUGGGCAGAUUUAAAGAACCUGUCAUCAGCGGACAACAACUUCUCUGACUCAACUUUAGACUCAAUUUCGGGGUUAGAAUCAAUCAAGUCUUUAGAUUUCAGUCGCAACCCCUUUUCUGGUGAUAUGGCAGCAUCAUCGACAAAACUGACUAAUUUGGUAUCCCUUAAUUUAUCGUUAAAUGAGUUCGAAAGUAAAAUUCCAAAAGGUCUCGAGCUGUUUUCAAAACUUGAAAUUCUUGACUCGCAUAGGAAUAUGCUCAGUGGACUUCCAGACAAGGAAUUCUUGUAAUUUUCAGGUGCCAUUCGUGUUGACUUUAGUGGGUGCUAGCAGAGUACUAUCUAUGUUAUUCAUUAUAGCAGAUUCUUAACAUCCACAUUUAUUUGGGAAUAGAUGCUUCAGUUUGGAUGAUAAACAGAUUACAGAUUUAAGGCAUUCUAUUGAUAAGAUUCUAAGUGACAAGUCUUCUUGGAAUGAAGAUCUCUUUGUUGCUACAGUCAAAUUGCUUACUUCUGCUGCAGUUGAUCAGCCUGUUUUUUCUUGUCACCAUAAUUUCAGCCAAAGACAAUCUAGGUUUGAUGCAGCCAAUAAAUGAAGCUUCUUUUGGAAUAUUGGGGUCUGUCAAAGCAAGUUUGGUAGAUGCACUCUUGCAAGUUAUUGAAAGAUUUCAAUGAUCUUAUCAAAUAGCAAUCCCCGUUUACUACUGAAUGUGCUUGACUUACUGAAAACAUUGUGGCAAGGGGUUGCUCAAUAUGCAGAUAUUUUGGAAUGGCUGAAAAACUCUGAAAAGUUCUGAAAACUAUUUUUGUAACUCUAUUUCUCAAAUUGUUAGAAUGAAAGCUCCCCUGCCUGAGAAUCUAACCAAAAUGGAGGCUCUAAUCUUGGCAUACAAAUACCAGUGUCAAACAGCUGUAUUGGAAAUAAUGGCAGAAAUCUUGUUCCUGUGGAAGAAGUUACUGCAUGCUGAAUUUCUUGAAAUGCUUGCAAAUCUGCACAGUUCACCAAUUGAGCCUAGGAAUUCUGAUAUAUCUUCAGGAAUGGAUGACGAGUCCAAUAAUAGUGAGAUGCUCGCAGCUACUAACAUCCACCCUGGACAAGAUUCAUGGAGAAAAUUGGAAGUUGAAGACAAGGAAUUGCCGCAAGUGCACAAUGGUACAUUGCAGCAGAGCAUCUCUGUCGAUGCAAAACUAAUCAAAGAGGAUGUAAUUAGCUUAGUAGAUAAGGAAAGAAGGCAAGCUCUACAGACACCACAAGUGGUUAUGAACAUGCUCGAUGCGACUAUGCCUGGUACUCUAAUGGAAGAACUUAAGAAGAAGGUCCUGGCUGCCGUAGGACAAGGAGAAACAGUUAUGUAAACUUUGUGAGAUGCUGUCCCAGGAAAUAUUUGUGGAAAGCUUUCUACUGCUGUUUCUAGAAUUUUGGCAUACUCAAGGUGUAAAUUUAAACUUUGAGGGUCUUCUGAGGAUUGACCAAACUCCUAAUGUUUCGUCAGGAUUGAAAUCUAAGAUCCAAAAAGAAAUUGGAAUAACAUCAAGUGAAGAAGGUGGGACCGAAAGCUAGGAUACAGUUGAAGAUUACAAAGGUAUAGUUCUUGGAGGUUCCGAAGCCGCCAAACACUCCUUGGAGAAAUUAGGGAAAAUAUCAGAUGGAAGUUCUUGCUCUGGUGUAGAGAAUUCUUGUAAUCAUUCACAGAGAAUUGGUGGUCAAAUUAUAAGUGACUCGGAUGAAGAAGUGGACAUUGAUGAAUAAGGAGGUGGAAAUGAGUUAUUUGAUUUUGCUGCACUGGCUGCUCUCACGAAAAUAGUAGCAAGUGCAAGUUCCGAUAGUGGCAGUAUCACAAUAACCUCUCCAAAGGGAUCCAAGCUUCUCUCUGAUUGACCCCCCCUGUUGGAUUGGGAUCUACAAACCAGCCUCUAAGACCUGCUCCCCAACAAAACCUGUCCAAUCUUUUUACCCAUUUUCCAAUCUUGCAGGGAGGCAAACUGGUGAAGAAUUUAAUCUUGAUAUUGCAGAGAGAGUUGUUUGUGAUCUUAACACUACUGAAGCGUUUCCAAGUGUGUUGGAUCUAAAAUGCAGCCUGAAGUUCUCUGGCCAACUAAACUCGAGCCACUUGAUCGCCAGAUUGUCGAAGAACAAAUCCAGUUCAGUUCUUUCCUUUUACUGGUUUUUUGGCUCAUCCCUACCUCAUGAAUACACCCAGUUAGGCAGGGUUAUUAAAGUACCAAGGGACCUUAUUGAUCCCUACAUCCUGGUUAGCAUCCUUGCUUAUAGGCAAUCCUGAACAUGGUGCGCAGCUGUACUGAUAAUCCGUCAUCUGAUAAGUCUUGGAGAUGUUCCCUGCUGCUAUUGCAUUCAGAAAACUCAUAUUGCAUAAGGAAGCUUGCUGAAAGUAUCUCAUAAAUGCUACAACAAAGGACAACUAGAAGGCAAUUUCCCAAGACUUAAUGCCUCAUUUCUGAAACCUGCAAGUGGAGAUGAAGUACUAUCCAAAGAACCUAAAUGACGAUAUGGAGCUUCAUUAAAAUCUGUCCAGAGAAUUCAAACAGAUCAAUGAAGAGUUGUCUCUAAAGUCAUUCAUGAAAUCGAAAGGACAAAGCCGCGUCAAAAGCUGCUACUGCUCGCGGUCUUGGACGCAAUGCAAAGAUUGGUUCUGGGAGGGGUCUCAGUGCUGUAGCUAUGGCAACAUCUGCACAAAGAAAGGAAAGGACAAAUUCGGACAUGAAAUGGAAGUAGGGAUCUUCGCCAAGGUUCAUACUGAGAGAAUGGUUUCAUCUUUAAGAUUUGGAAUCCCAUCAAAACCUCUUACCAAAUGUUCUCCUCAUGUUUGUUUUCGUUUGCUAUUAUAGUUACCUACGGUGUCGGAUUUCAUUCGAAUUUUUCAGACAAGUCUCCGCAUUCAGCCCAUGGAAAUGACAACCAGAAUUCCAAAACAACAGCGAUCAGACCAGUUCCCAGAUUCCAAUUGUUGGAUAUGUUGGUCAGCCAUAUGGAGCCCCGUCACUGCCAAUCUCCUCUCUCUAAUAUCUGUAGUUGAAUUAGCAUCACCAGCUUCAUACGAUUGGCAUCUGGUCUACCUCUUUCAUUAUACUUUCCUCAGAAUUUGUUUUCCAAACAGCAAUGGUAGGUUCCAAUUUGGAACCCAAUAGCUAAAUAGAACCCACCUGGUAGUAAAGGUCAGCAAGCAGGGCUUCAAAACAGAGAAAAUCGGAAGUGAGGAGACCAAAAUCUUGUGCAAUAAGUAAAGAACACUUCGAAUGCCAUAUCCUUUUUCAUUAGAUUCAGAAGGAGGACUCUCUCUGGGUAGGAAUUGUAAUGAUAUGGAAAGGAUGGGAAGUCAUGAUACAAAGCUGUUUUAUCGUUUUAGCUUGGGAAUUGACAGCUUCAUCUUCAAACGGUGGAAUUCCAUGAAUAAGGAGCUUUAAGACAUGCCAACAAAUUGCCAAGGAAUAGUCAACUUCUUCACCCAACAGUGAAACUAAAAGUGGAAAGAGCAGAGUAGCAUUGUUUUUUUUGGACCUUUUAUGAUCAUCAUGCAGAAAAAAACAGCUCAGUAGCUGAAGUUGAGUAUAUUGGCAAACCUGAGAAUGCACUUCCAACCGAUGGAACUGAACAGCAGCAUAAGAAAUCUGAUUUGGAGUUAAGACCUACUACCACAUUACAAGCUCUAGUUGAUGAUUCAAAUUGUGAUCUCGAGAAACUAAAGUUGAAUCCAGACGACAUUGCUGAUGAAAUCAUGUAUCAAACCCUAUGAGCUUUGACUCUGAAAUGAAUAUGGACAGUUCGUUUCCAGUCACGCCAGCAGUAUACAGAGAUCUCUUCACACAACCACCAGCAACGCAGUCACAGCCAAACCCCCAAACCCCAUUCUCCAUGACCGGUCUAGUGCACACUACUCUUUUCCUUUCACACCCCUUUUGCUUUCCUCGUGAUUUUAUGUGUCUUGAAUUGUGUUUUCAAAAAUCGUUUUCAUCCAAAUAAAUCUGAUUUUAGAUAAUCAUCUUUAGAUAUUCUCUAGGCAUUGAAAUCUAAAUUUCAACACCCUUUUGCUGCCAUUUUCCUUCCGGCAUGCGUCUUCACUAUUUUAUUUGAUUUUCAACUAAUUUUCUUGAUUUUCAACAAGCAUGAACAAACUUCAUGAUUCCAAACAAUGGAAUUCAUUGAAUCAACUCAUGCAAAAUCAACUAGGGCUUUGGUGGGGGCCCAACAUUCAUAACACUCACUUCAAUACUGUUUACUUGAUAUGUUGAUUUUUUAUUCUUCUUGAUGAAAUACUUGAAUUCAUUUAAUAUUUAUUGUUGAGAUGCUCUCGUUUCCCAUAGAGGAGUACUAGCUUGCUAUCCAGGUACGCUCUCUUCUCAUCUAUUUUUUUAGAACUCUAUGGACUUGUAUGUCAUUGAUGACCAUAUCCAUAUUUGACGUGAUUCUUGAAUGUCUUGAUAUAUGCCUGAUUUGCUUGAAUAAAACAAAUGUUGUGUGAUGUAUCUCCAAACUAAUCUCUUAUGUUUUAUGAUAGCGCUUGGGAAGCCAUCCAGGUAUGCAUUUUUAACUUUUCUUAAUUGUGAUCUGAUCUUGUUUGAUAUGUUAUGUUUUUGGAAUCACCUAGCCUACUUAGGUAUCCAUGAUCAACCAUUUAAUUGCCACGCUUCCCUUAACUUAGUCAGUAAAGACCUCUUUAGGGCUUAGAGGGGUGCUACCUCCUAGAGGUACCUUCCCAAUAAGUAACCUGAUCCCCGGACCUAAACUCGGGUUUCUCAAAGACAUGCUUUUUCCAAAACUAGGGAGUCACUUUUUAGGGUUUUUCUUUCUUGUUUUAUUUUCCCUUUAAAAUAAAAAUAAAAUAAGUGGCGACUCCAACUUUUUUUCCAAAAAUCAAUUUUUCACAAAAAUAAUAAAAAGCGAGUCUCGCCGAUCGAGUGGGGGCGCACGUGAAAAAUGCGGGUCCACAGGUCUCCUUAUAAUCAAUGCCUUCCUUUUGAGUGAAACCUUUUGCGAUUAGGCGUGCCUUAUACCUAACAAUGUUGCCUUUUGAAUCCCACUUGAUCUUAAAAAUCCAUUUACAACCAAUCGGUUUUACACCUUCAGGCAACUUUACUAGGUCCUAAACACCAUUGUCUUUCAUUGAUUUCAUCUCAUCCUUCAUGGCUUCUAUCAACUUUUCAGAGUCAGAACUUUGUUUGACUUGACUAAUUGAAAUUGGAUCGUCUUCCAAACCCAUGUCAAACUCAUGUUCCUGGAGAUGUACAACAUAAUCAUCUGAAAUUGUACUUCUCCUUUCUCUAGUGGAUCCCCUCAGUGGCACUUGUACUUGAGGUUCUUGAGGUUGUUGAGUUACCUCUUCAUGAACUUGAAUCGGUUCCAUAACUUGAGCAGGAGGAAUCUCAGGUGUGUUUUGAAUCUCUGUUAUUGACUGUACAUUUUGGAUAGUGUCAUCAAACAUAAUAUGACCAUGUCCAGUCGUAAUAAUAGGAAUACUAACAGAUUCCUCUUCAAAUACCACCUUUUUUAACUGUUCUCUCCCACUUAACUCAACAUCCUCAAUAAAUUUAGCAUUGCCCAUUUCAAAAAAUGAUCUAGUUGAGGGGUCAUAAAACUUGAAACCUCUCGACCUUUCAGAAUAUCUUACAAAGUAGCAACUCACUGUUCUGGAGUCUAAUUUCUUUUUAUUUGGUUUGUAAGGCCUAGCUUCAACUGGACAACCCCAGACAUGCAAGUGCCUAAUACUAGGUUUCUUGCUAGUUCAUAACUCAUAUGAGGUUUUGGCUACUGCUUUGCUUGAGACUCCAUUCAAAAUAUAAAUUGUUGUUUUGAUGGCUUCGCCCCAAAGUGAUUCUGGUAAGGUGGAAUGACUGAUCAUACUUCUUACCAUAUCCUUAAGAGUACAGUUUCGCAUAUUUGCUACACCAUUUUGGCUUGGAGUUCCCAGCAUGGUGUAUUGAGGAAUAAUACCACACUUCAUCAAAUAUUUGGCGAAUGACCCUAGACGUUGUUCACUGGAUCCGUCAUAUCUACCAUAAUAUUCACCUCCACGGUCAGAUCUGACGGCCUUUAUUUUCUUGCUUAGUUGGUUCUCAACUUUAGCUUUGAAAUUCUUGAACACAUCUAAUGAUUGAGACUUCUCAUGAAUCAAAUAAAGAUAGCCAUAGCGUGAGUAAUUUUCAAUGAAAGUGAUAAAAUAUUGUUGUCCAUUCCAAGAAGGAGUAGGAAAUGGACCAUAAAUGUAUGUAUGUAUCAAUUCCAAGACGUCACUGCACUUGUUAGCAUCAUUUUUUCUCAUAUUUGUUUGUUUACCCUUAAUACACUCUAUAUAGACUUGAAAUUCUGAGAAAUUAAGUGGAUCAAGAAUUCAUUCUAACACAAGCCUUUGAUUUGAAAUAUGACCCAAACGCCUGUGCCAUAACAUCGAUGAAUUCUCAUUUGUUAAUUUUUGUUUAAUGUCAUAAUUACUUAAAUGCAAGGUUUCAUUUCCAUUAGUGGUCUUUAUGUUUAAUUUGUAUAAUUUGUCUGUUAGACUACCUAUACCAAUAACAUUUGAAUUUAGAUAAAGACUAACCAUUCCAUUUCUAAAUGAACAAUAAUAUCCAAAUUUUUCCAGACAUGAAACAAAAAUUAAAUUCCGUCUAAACGAUGGUACUAUAAAAGUCUCUUCCAAAUCCAAAGUACAUCCAGAGUCUAACUGUAAUAUAAAAAGACCAAUAGUCUUGAUUGCAACCUUGUUGCCAUUUCCCACAUAGAUGUAUCUUUCACCAUCAGUUGGCAUUCGGCUCCUUAGGCAACCCUACAUCGUGACACUUAUGUGAGUAGUUGCACCCGUAUCUAUCCACCAAGUGUCAGUAGGCACUACGACUAAAUUAAUUUAUGAACAAACAAAGUUGAGAAGUGUACCUUUCUUUUCACGCCAAGCAGCGUAUUUGGUACAUGUCUUUUUCAUAUGACCAACUUUCUUGCAAAAUAAACAAGUCAUCUUCUUAUCUUGUUUCUUCUGCACCUUUUGCUUUGAUGUCCCAAAAAUUGCAGUUUGUUUUUCUUUAUUGUCCCUCUUUCUUUUCUUGUUGGUACCAAAUGCCUGAGAUGUGGAAGCCAAGUGAGCACUUUCUAUCUUUUCUUGUUUCAAUCUCUUAUCCUUUUGUGCACAUUGAGCAAUAAGCUCAUUCAAAGUCCAUUUUUUCUUUUGUAUGUUGUAACUGAUUUUGAAUGGACUGAAUUGUGUAGGUAAAGAGAUCAAGACCAAGUGUACGAGUAUGUCUUCCGAAAACUCUAACUUUAGUGCCUUUAGUCUAGUCACAAGAUUAGACAUUUCCAUAAUACACUUCCUUAUAUUCUCUUUCCCUUUGUACCGCAUAGAGACAAGCUUACUAAGAAUAGUGCUUGUCUUAACCUUUUCUUUUGCAGCGAAUCGGCUUGCUAUCUGGUCUAAGAAUGCCUUGGCUCGAGUUUUCUCAGGUAUUACACCCUUUAUAGCUUUUGGAAUUGAGUGCUUUGUUAUCAUUAACUCAUGCGAUUGGAUCGCUCUCAUUUUUCCAUAGUAGACCUUUGCUCAGCAGUGCUGGCACUAGUAAGAUCUGAAGAGCAAUCCUCUCUUAAUGCAUAGUCUAAAUCCAUGCACCCGAGCACAAUUAUAGCGUGCUCUGUCCAUUUCUUGAAGUUUGUGCCAUUAAGCGCAGGAAUGUUAUUAACAUUUGCAGAUAUAGAAUAUGUUGAAUUCAUAAUAAUAAAGCUCACAAUCAGUCACAUAAACAUCAUACAUACAUGAAAAACAUCAUACAAGAUACCUAGCACAAACAUUAAUAUUCUGUCUUUGGACAAUAAAUAUUAACUUGUAAUUGGUAUCCUUAUACAAAAUUAAUUCAUAAAUAUUUAUCGACAAUAAAACCAAAAACAGUAUGCCUAUCUUUAGACUAACAUAUCGAAUGCAAGAUAAACUUUAUAUGUCACAUAUUUAUGAUUACUUUAUUUAUUAUUAUAUUAAAAUAAUCUUCUUUUGAGCCGAUUAUUUUAAAUAAUAAUAAUAACAUGUUUAGAUAUUAUAAAAUAAAUAAAUUAUAUAAUAUAAGUUACUUUGGCAACUAACAUACAUAAUUCAUUUAUUUUAAAAUAUUAAACACAAACAUAACAAGAAAUAAUAAAUUCAAUUAAAAUUAUUUAUUUAUUUAUGCAUAAACCCAUGUAUAUAUAUGUAUAUAUUAAUUGAAGCAUAAAAAACCAUCUACAUGUGUAUAUAUAUCAAUUGAAGCAUAUAUACAAGCUUUAGUCUAAUGGUUUAAGCAAAAAAUAGGCCAUGGUAAAGGGUUUAAGCCAACCCACCCCUUUAGUUUGGUUUUUGUUUUUGUUUUUUUUUUAAUUUCUUUUGGGCUAUUGACCAUGCAUUCUCUCAUGGCCCAACGACCACUUGUGUUCACUUACAAGCCAAGCCCCUUCCAUAUAUAUAUAUAUAUAUAUAUAUAUAUAUAUAUAUAUAUAUAUAUAUAUAUAUAUAUAUAUAUAUAUGUUUUUUUUUAUUUUAUAAAUUUUGUCCAUUGCAGCCCAAAGUGACCAUCCCUUGAAAUGGCAUCAUCAACGGUGCCAGAGUUGUCCUCGAAUGACGCCUACAGUGAAACGCCGCUGCCAUCAUCGGAACGGUGAUUUCCCAUCGCCAAACGACGGUGUCACUACCGGAAUGAUGCUGUAACGGCAUCGCUGGGAAGCAGCCUAACCUGUGGCGUGACGUCGUGACAAGCAGUGCCGCCAGCGGUGAAACGCUGUCGCCAUCAUCGGAACGGUGAUUUUCCAUCUCCAAACGACGGCGCCACCACCGGAACAACGCUGUAACGACGUCACUAGGAAGUAGCCCCACCCGCGGCACCAAAAUGGUGCUUGGAUGGCGUUUGGAAAGCUUGGAACAACACUCAAAUCAGGGCUUCUCACUGGCAAAUGACGUUUGAACGGCGUCUGGAAAUAAUGCCUGUAGCGCCUAAAAAUUGUGCUCUUUUGAACACCUGAAACAACGUCGAAAUGACGUCUAACGACGUCUGGAAUUGCACUGUUGUCUAGAAUGAUGCCAUGAUGGUGUCUCACUCGCCUUAAAUGGCACCAACCACUGUGACUUGCAGCCCCAAAAAUGGCGCUUGAACAGUGCCUGAAGUGUGCUUGGAACGACGCAGCAAACGAUGCCUAAAAUGGUGCAUUUUGUAUGCCUGAAAACGGCACAGGAAUGAAGCCUAAACUACGUCCAUUUUGAACGCCUAAACGGCAUCCUAACGGCGCCUGGAACGGUGCCUGAAUGACGCCUGGAAUUGGCCCAGAUUUAUUUUCUGUUGUUUCCUUCCUCUUGUAUAUUUUGUUUGUGUUUUAAAAAAAAAGUGUUCUGGUGAAAAUGGGAAAUGCAACCAGGCUCUGAUACCAUUUUGUGAGACGUUCAUUCUCCAUUAUCAUCGAACACAUGCAGGAUAUAUUUUAUAUAUCUAUCAAUUCAUUCAAAAUAUGCCUUCAUUUUAUGGAACAUACUCGAAUCCAUUUUGUUUGUGUUGAAGAGGUACAGAUCUUCUAAGGCUAUGGGGAGGGGAGGGAGGGGAGGGGGGUACCACCUUUUCUGAGAAUUCUCUAUGACGAUGGGAAGCCGGAGAGAACAAGUUCUAUUUUUAUUUUGAAAACGUUGUUAUCCUUAAAAAACAAACACUAUUAUUUGGAUUUAUACUCUCCUACCUUAGGGACCAUACCCUUUGGCUAUUGGGCCUCACGAGUCUUAGGUCCAUCAUCUAAGGCUCAUGAUGGCACUAGGCUUUACACAUAAGGUGACCCAUACUCUGAAACGAAUAGAAAUCAUAUGUGUAUAUAUAUAUAUAUAUAUAUAUAUAUAUAUAUAUAUAUAUAUAUAUAUAUAUAUAUAUAUGAAUAUUUAAAUCCUGAACAAUGGUUAAUAUGAUGUCGGUUCACAUUUAUUAUAUCAUAGAGACUUCCUAUCUGAAGAAAAUCGACAGCAGAUAGCUUUGCCAUUCUUAGUCCGUAUACAACCAACCUUAGCAAGGGUUGAACCCUUUUAUGCUUAGUUGUGCCAUACAGAUCCUUACCAUUUGAUAAUGUCAUCUAGUGAACCAAUACCUCCAAAUGAGAGACCAUUGCCUCGGUAACUAGGGCUCAUGACUGAGAAUUGUGUGAACCCUUUUGCUUGGGAUGGAGCUUGACUGAUGAACAAAAUAUUCAUAGGCCUCUUCCCAUAACUGGCACCUUGUGUUUGCAACAUAAUUGAACAUGUAUUGAAGUGAGUUUUUUUGCAUCUUUUUGUAAGAAAAUUCUAAACAACAUAGACUACUUAGUGUGCCCAGCUCCUCGGGGAAUCAAGGUUCAUUCUUGUAGGGCCAAUUUUAUCACAGUCGAACUAGAUAACAUGGAGAGUAUGUUGCAAUGCUUCAAUGGGGUAUUUCUUAGGAAAAUCCACUUGAAGCUGGUACAAUUCGUUGGCGUACUGAGUUCUUGGAGCUUUAUUGACUUCAAUCACCCAUCUCUGUAGAUUAUCAGUGACUUUAUGCUCGGAUCCUGUAGGAAGAUUGACCUGACAUUCCACUAGCUCUUUCUGGAAGGUAAUCUUGUUUAACACCGUAUGAGAAGAGGCAGGGGAACUGGUCAUUGUUUCUUUGAGAAGAUCAAUGGCCGAGGAUGGGUUUGGACCAGAAUUGCUAUAUGGGUUUUCUUUGGGUGAACCAAUUAGCGGAGUGGGUGGCUAUAUAGCAACUGAAGGGUGGUCAUACUAGCUGACAUUCCACUAGCUCUUUCUAGAAGGUAAUCUUGUUUAACACCUUAUGAGAAGAGGCAAGGGAACUGGUCAUUUUUCUUCGAGAAGAUCAAUGGCCGAGGAUGGGUUUGGACCAGAAUUGCUAUAUGGGUUUUCUUUGGGUGAACCAAUUAGUAGAGUGGGUGGCUAUAUAGCAACUGAAGGGUGGUCAUACUAACGAGGAGCUAUUAUUUCAUGCAAGUGGACAGGAAAUGAGUAGCUUCUUCAAGGAUAUAUGAUUAUUCAUCUUUAGCUUACGUUGAAUAUCUCCUAACAAAUUUCUGCUUUGAAGCUCCCUUAGUUUCACUACAGCUAACUUGGCUAACUUGGUUUCAUCAUGUUUCCUACAACCUCUAAGCAAAGCACGCCAGAUCACCGGAUUAGGUUCUAUUCGCAUUUUGUCCAUAAACUCCUUUGCCUAUUGACAAUAGACUGCCCCUCAAAAUUUGAUGAGAUAACAUCAAUGCUGACAUGUUGGCCAUCGCCAUAAGCAUCUUUAUAGAGAUUGAUUCUAUGUUUACAUAUUUCUCUCUCCUCAAGUGAGUUCAACUUUUCUGUAACAUCCUUCUCCUUCUCAACUAACAGUCUUAGUUGAACAUCCAACCUAUGUUCCCAAAGUGCCAACAUCUCAUAUCUGAUGACAAGCCAACAACCUUGUCCUUGCUAAGACCCAAAUAAGUAUCUAGAACCAUCAGCAUCAACCCUUUCAUAGGCCUUUGUAUUUGAAGGUCGGAUUAGGAUUGCUUUGAAUGCAUUGGCAUUGCAAUACACAAUUGUUUCUUCUCCAAUAAAAACACCACAAAGAGGUGAGAGGACUGGUAUUAGCAAAGAAGUGUUGUUAUCUAUAUUGUUCUGAGCCCAAGUACCCUCAACAAAAUCCUCAUCCUCAUCUGUACUUUUCCAUUACAUCCUUAGGCGUUUCAAUGUGAUCCACAUGGCUUACAGGAAUCCAGAAAUACCGGUCUGUAUAAAAGUUGUUCUUAAGGGGCUCUCCUAGAAAACAUCCCAAUCAAGAUGAUCAACCUAGCUUAGAUGCUCAACACCCCAAACUUACCAUAAAUAGAGGAAUAAAAAGCAAGGAUAGGAGCCAGAGUAAAAACUGAGGGAAGAGCAAAUAGGAAAUCAAGCAAAACAUGAAUGUAUAGAGCCUCAUUUCAGGUGACAUCUUUGGGCUAAUAAUAGGUGGAAUUAGCAAAGUAGAUAAGCAUGAUUGUUAUAAAUAUCAAGUUCAAGGAUGAAGCCGUGCAUCAGCUACUUAUAGGGGGAGUCAAGGAAACCAAGAUAAGAUCAAAGAGAGCAUGUAUGCAAAUAAACAGAUUCGACAAAAUAGACCAAACAGAUCAUGAAUAUCCUCCUACAAAAAACUACUACACGUGGCAAAAAGUGAUGAAACAAAAAGAGUCGGGUCCGCAUAUACAUAUCCUAUUCUAUCCUAUUCCUUCAAAUCCAAAGCAACCUAUAUUUUCAAUGGGAUUUGUUGUGAUGAAUUUUACUGGAUUGUAACAUGUAAAUAUGUUAAAAGAGGCUUGGGACAUUCCUAUAUAGUAACGCAUAAAGGUACUUCCAUUGUGAAGUUAUCAAAAUUGCAAAUUUAAAUUACAAAAUUUGAAAACAUAGAGAUGAAAGAUGAUGAAACCUUCUUUGAAAUUUUAUAUUGAACUCAUUAAUAUUAUUAAUUUUCAUUUCAGUCUAGGGGAUAGAAUUCUUUACUCUAAAGUGGUCACAAAAAUAUUAAAAUUCCUUGUCGAGAGAUUUAGACCUAAAGUGAUCAAUAUAGAAGAAAGUAAAAAUCUUCUAAGUGUAGGUAAACUUGUGACUCUACCAUUUCAUAAAAAAUCCUCAAUUUUAUAAAUUAUAUAGAUUUCUUCAUUUGAUACAAAAUUUGAAUAAAGAUUUUUCAAAUGACAACACAAGGAAAGGGAAAAAAAAUUCUCUCCAAAUCAUAUUAUUUAAUCACUUAAAUUAUUUAAAAAUAAAAAUGCUUACUGCUAACAUUAUUUAGUUUCAUCUUUCUUUUGAUGGAGGUUAAAAUUCAUAAUUUUGAGGAAAAAGAUGAGGAUUCUCAUUUUUUUUCCAUGUAUGAAUGGGAUUCUCAUUGUGUAUAUGUGGGUUACUAAAUGGCAAAUUUGCGGGCCACCAGAGUCUGCAAUAUGAGUGAAAAAAUGAAAUUGAGUUUGUCACCAAGAAUAGACAUGGUUCCUACAAAGGUGGCAUCUUUAAUUUCAUGUUUGGAUUGGACUUGUCAUGUAACAACUUAACAAGUGAAAUCCCUCAUGAACUUGGAAUGUUAAGUUUGAUUCAUGCAUUGAACUUGUCUCGUAAUCAACUAAAAGGCUCCAUUUCAAAGAGUUUUUGCAAUCUUUCUCAAAUAGAGAGCUUAGACCUUUUUAAUAAUAAACUAAUAUAAUAAAAAAUAUUUAGGUAGAUCACAUUUAAAUAUAGCUAAUAUAAUAAAAAAUUAGUAUUAUUAGAAAGACAUGAUCAAUUAAAUUUUUUUUCUUAUCUAUGACACGACUUUAUUUUUUUACAUAGUCAAUAUAAUUUAUUACAACUUAUAUGUCAUUAAAUUAUACACGUUUAUAUUAAAUAUAAUAUAAUAUCAUUAAUGGAAUAAUUAUGCAAGUAAUAUAAAUUGUAUAUAAUAUAAAAAAUUUAAACUCCAUCAAACUAAUGGAAUCUAUUAUAAUAAGUAGACUAGACACCAUGUUGGCCCGAGUUGGAAGCCUGGGCCAGAUUUUAAAGGCUGGGCUUUGAGUUGCCCGUGGGCGUGAGCCAAGGUCUUCUCUUGGUAUCAUCAUUUUGAAGAAAUAAAUUGCUGAUACAGAGAAAAAAACUAUACUAAAUAGAAAAAUAAAUAAAAGCAUUGACUAAAAUGAAGGUCAAGGUCCUUGAAAAAUAAUCUUUAAAUUGUUGCAUAUAUAAUUUCAAUAAUGCAUAAAUAAUUGCAAUAUAUAUGAUAUGAUAAAGAAUUUGGAAUUAAAAGAAGAUUGAUCUAUUUUAAAUGUGGUUGGAAUAUUUCUAAAUUUGUGAUGGGAAGUUAGACAGCCAAUUAGGGAUCCAUAUUAUUUAUUUUCAAUGAUAUGAAUUUAUUUAUUUUUAUUAAUAUUCUUAAUGCAACAAUAUAAAAUAUGUCAAUUUUCUAAAAUUUAAAAAGUAAUUGUAAAAGAAAUUUUUUAAUUAUUUUUCUGAAAUUGAGUUUAUUAUAACAUUUUUCUUUACUUAAAUUUCUUUUUUAUUUUUAUUUUUUUAAAAAAUAAGAUAUGAAAAAAAAAGAUCAAUAUUAGUAAAAGUAAAACCCAAUAUAUAAAAAAAAAUGAAUAAAUGUUUAUGAAAUAAAAUUUAAAAGUGAGAAGGUAAUAAAUUUUUUCUCUUUUAAUUCCCAUUCAAUUCAUUACAAAAAAUAUUUUUGGUUUUUAUGCUAAAAUUUAUUGUCUAUUAAAAAAUUCUAGUAUAUCUAGCUAUCAUAGAAGAGCUAUAAAAUUUUAUUGUUUAAGAGAAUAUGUGUUGCUACUUUAAAAGAUUUAUAUGCAAAAGGGAUUGAUAUUUUUUUCCUUUGGAUAUGUUUAGUUCCCGGAAAAUGUGAGGGAAGAAAAAUAGAGAAGAAAAGUAUAACAAAAUAAAAAGUGAAGGAAAAUGAAAAAUAGAUUUAAAGUUAAUAAAUUAUUUUCAUUGGUUUUUUCAAACUUAUUUUACUUAUUUUAUUCUAUUAAAUAAAGAUUAACUAAUUUUAAUUAUAUUUGGUUUGAUUUUUAUUAUUUUUCAAAGCAAAACCAAAUAUGAAAAAAAAAAACAUUUUUUUUUGUUAUUUUUUUUUUCUUUAUUACUUUUCUGGACUCAAACAUAGCUUUUAGAUUUGGAGCAUGGAAAGAUAAGAGUAUUGAAUAAAGGUUCUAUAUAUGCUCAUGCCCAUGCCCAUGAUACCAUUGAAAAAAAUGGAGAGAGGGUGAAACCUUUACUAGAUGAUAAAUUAUUCUCUUCAAUGGAAAUCAAAUAUAAUUAUUUUUAUCUUGUAUUAAUUGAAUGUUAUACUCCAUAAACUCAAAAUUAAAAUAAAUAAAUAAUUUAAAAACUAGGACAAUCCCAUUUUUUUUUCAAUUUCUUAAAAAGAAAUUAAAUUAUAUUUAUUUAUAUCUAUUUUCAUCCCUACCCAACAAAAUAAUAAUAAAAAAAAAAAACAAGGUGGGACAUGUAUGAGAAAUUCUCACACUAACUCUCCCUAGUUUAUUUUUUAUUUUUUUUAAAAAAUCAAUUUCUUUUAAAAAAAUUAAACUACAUAAAAAAUAAACAAAUUUUACAAAAUUUUUUUUAAGAAAAGUAAAUUUCUUAUUUUAUAUAUGUUAAAAAUAAAUAUAAUCUUUUAUUUUUUAUAUAUAUAAUCGGGAGUGGGACAAAGAAAUAAUCCCCUUCGAUUCCAAUCCAAAAUUUUAAAAUAUAAAAUAAAAAUCUUAAACUCAUCCCUAAUCCAUUUAUUUUUAAUCCUAAACUUGUCUUAUUAAGAAUAAGACAAAGUGAGCACAUGAAAACACUUCUUUUAUCAUCAUCUCUACAAGUUCUAAUGUUUAGAUUGCAAUCCAUAUCAAAGAUUUAUAAAGAAAGAACAACGAUGAAUUUCAUAAACAUUUGAAAGCAUAUACAAAGUUUUAAAUAAUAUUGCUUGAGGUGCAAAUAUUAUUUGGCGCACAUGUUGAGGGACUUCAACUGGUGUAGUCUAGGUUUUUUACACUAGUAAGUAAUCUUGAAUAUCUAGAGUAACUUGAUCAAAAUCUCUUUAAUUUUAUUUUCUUUGAUGGUUGUAUGAUGAAUUAGAAUGCUUAUAUAACAGGAUUAAAAAUUUUAAGAAAAAAAACCAAGAAGAAAGAAAGAAGCACCGAUCUUCCAAAUAUUGCUUCCACUUUAAUAUCUAGAAGGCUCUAAGAAAAUAACUUUAUUCAUGAAUCAUAACCCAAGUCGAAAAUAAAUUGAACCCAUUUUCUAAGUUAAAUUUUGAAUUUUUUACUAGUGAAUGCAAAUUGGGAAAAUGUAUAUAAAUAUAAUUAAACUAGAAUAGUAGAUUAGGUUUGUAGGUGGAGUUUGUUUGAAUUGUUGGAACUUCCAAGUCGUUGUGGGUCUAGUGGUCCCAUAGCUCUCUAUUAAUUUCCACCAUCAAUUUUCUACAAUAAAGUCAAGUCAUUCCUAACCCCUAUAUUAAGUUGGCCUUAAAAGUCAAGUCAUUGAUCAUAGUUACAUUCAUGAAUCACAACCCAAGUCGAAAAUAAAUUGAACCCAUUUUUCAAGUUCAACUUUGAAUUUUUUACUAGUGAAUGCAAAUUGGGAAAACAUAUAUAAAUAUAAUUAAACUAAAAUAGUAGAUUAGGUUUGUAGGUAGAGUCUGCUUGAAUUGUUGAAACUUCCAAGUCAUCGUGGGCCCAGUGGUCCCAUAGCUCUCUAUUAAUUUCCACCAUCAAUUUUUUUGCAAUAAAGUCAAGUCAUUCCUAACCCCUAUAUUAAUUUGGCCUUAAAAGUCUAGUCAUUGAUAGCUAAAUCCUAACCCAAGUCAAAAAUAAAUUGAACCCAUUUUCUAAGUUCAACUUUGAAUUUUUCUUAAUUGGAAAAAUGUAUAUAAAUACAAUUAAACUAGAAUAGUAGAUUAGGUUUGUAGGUGGAGUCUGCUUGAAUUUGUGAAACUUCCAAGUCAUCGUGGGUCUAGUGGUCCCAUAGCUCUCUAUUAACUUCCACCAUCAAUUUUCUGUAAUAAAGUCAAGUCAUUCCUAACCCCUAUAUUAAUUUGGCCUUAAAAGUCUGGUCAUUGAUAGCUACGUUCAUGAAUCCCAACCCAAGUCAAAAAUAAAUUGAACCCAUUUUCUAAGUUCAACUUUGAAUUCUUUUAAUUGGGAAAAUGUAUAUAAAUACAAUUAAACUAGAAUAGUAGAUUAGGUUUGUAGGUGGAGUCAAGCUUGAAUUUGUGAAACUUCCAAGUCGUCAUGGGUCUAGUGGUCCCAUAGCUCUUUAUUAAUUUUCACCAUCAAUUUUCUGCAAUAAAGUUAAGCCAUUCCUAAACCAUAUAUUAAUUUGGCCUUAAAAGUCAAGUCAUUGAUAGUUACGUUCAUGAAUCACAACCCAAGUCUAAAAUAAAUUGAACCCAUUUUCCAAGUUCAACUUUGAUUUUUUUACUAGUGAAUGCAAAUUGGGAAAACUUAUAUAAAUAUAAUUAAACUAGAAUAGUAUAUUAGGUUUGUAGGUGGAGUAAGCUUGAAUUGUUGAAACUUCCAAGUCAUCAUGGGUCUAAGGGUCCCAUAGCUCUCUAUUGAUUUCCAUCGUCAAUUUUUAUGAAUUAAGAUUUAAAAGUGAGAAGGGAAUAAAUUUUUUCUUUUUCAAUUCAUUACAAAAAAUAUUUUUGGUUUUUAUGCUAAAAUUUAUUGUUAUUCAAAAAAUUAAAGUAUAUAAAUAAUAUAUAUAUAUAUAUAUAGAUAUAUAUAUCUUGCUAUUAUAGAAGAGCUCCAAAGUUUUCGUGUUUAAGAGAAUAUGUGUUGCCACUUUAGAAGAUUUAUAUACAAAAAGGAUUGAUGUUUCUCCUUUGACUAUUUUUGGUUCCCAAAAAUUCGAGGGAAAGAAAAUAAAAAAAAAAAAAGUAGUAAAAAAGAAAAAUAAAGGAAAAUAAAAAAUAGUUUUAAAGUUAAUAAAUUAUUUUUAUAUGUUUUUUCAAACUUAUUUUACUUUUUUUUUCAUUAUAUAAAGAUUAAAUAAUUUUAAAAAUGUAUAAAUUUCUAACUAAUUUUAAUUAUAUUUAAUUUUUGUUUUUAUAUUUUUUAGACGGGAUCCGACACAUGAAAAAAUCCUUUUUUUUAGCAUCUUUUUUUCUUUUCUUAUUACUUUCCAAUAACCAAAUAUAACCUUUAGAUUUAGCCUUUAGACUUGGAGUAUGGAACGAUACUGACUAUUGAAAGAAGGUUUUGUAUAUGGCCAUGAUACCAUAGAAAAAAUGGGCGAGAGAGAAAAAACCUUUAUUAAAUGAUAAAUUAUUUUUUUCAAUGGAAAUCAAAUAUAAUUAUUUUUAUAAUAAUUACUUUAUUUUUAAAAAAUAAUAAUAAAACAAAUAAUUUGUUGUUGCAUUAAGUAUUCUUGCAUUUGGAGAAGCAUGUUACUACUUACUACAUAAAUAGAUAUUCAUGGAGUGCAUUCUCUAAAAAGCUCCAGUCUCAUGAAAAUGGAAAGAUGGACCGGCCGGUGAACCGGUUCGAGUUUGGAUUUAUGGGCUGCCUCAGCCUUACACGCAUGAUAGACGGUUGCAGGUGAAGAACUAAUUAAUUUAAAGCCUUCUUCUAUCCUCUCCUAUUCCUCUAUCACUCCAAAUGUUCCACAUGAUAAUGACAAUUCUUUUGUUAAAUGGUAAAAAAAAAAUUUAACAAUUAAUUUUUAAAAAUUUUAAAUUCUAAAUCCAAUUGAAAUUUGACUCUAAUUUGAUGAUAGUUAAAUUACCAUUUUGGGAGAUUCCACUCACUAGUAUUCUCAUUUAUAAAAUCAUGAACUUUGGCAUCCUAAUUAAUGCAAUUUAAACUUUUUUUUUUGUUUACAAAUGAAAUAAGAGGCAACAUAAAAACCCAAAAGUUAAUUUUCCUACCAUCUCUAUGCACCAUUUUAGCUUUACUCCAAUAUAUUUUCUAUGAUUAAUUAUUUUCAUUCAAACAAUAAUAUCAAAAUAUUUUAAAAUUAGACAUAUCAUAAUCAAAUAUCAUUAUAUUAUUAUCGAAUAAUAUUUAAUGUAAUUUAAUAAUCAACUUAUACUUAUAAAAUUUAUUUUUUUUAUUAAUGCAUAUAAUAUUAUUAUCAAAUAUCAUAAAUUAUAUAUAUAUAUAUAUUUCUUUAACAAAACAACUUUAAAAUAUCUAUUAUACUUCUAAUUUCAUUUCUAAGAGGUUUUUUUUUUUUUUUUUUUUUUUUUUUUUUACAUUUUUAUAAGUUUUGAUCAAUUGUAGGCUAACCGAUAUUUUUUAUCAAAAUAUCCACCAAUAUAUCUCCGAUAUAUUAGAUAUAUCCGUAAAAUCGAAAUACCAAUAUAUCCAUGAUUAUCGAUAUUUUUAUCCUUGAGGGAUAACAACUAAUCUAGUUUUUGCACUUAUUGAUAUUCCUCAACAUUUAGAUUGAUUUGACCAAAAUCUUUUUAAUUUUAUUUUCUUUGAUGGUUAUAUGAUGAAUUGGAAUAGUCAUAUAACAUUAACAUAUUUAAGAAAAAAUGAUAAAAAAGAUCGCAUUUUUCAAAUAUUGGUUUCAACUUUGAAUAUUUUUAUUGGUAAAUGAAAAUUGUGAAAAACCUACUAAUGCUAAUACUUUUCACCACAUAAUUAAAUAUAAUAAACUAGAAUAGUGAUUCAUUGAUGUCUCAUAAAGCUACAUGCCUUCUUUGACUUGUUAGUUGAUUUUUGUAGGCGGAGUCCAUUUCCAUUUGAAUUGUUGAAACUUCCAAGUCCUUGUGGGUCUAGUGGUCUCUCUAAUAAUUCCCACCAUUAAUUUUUUGUGAUGAAGUGCAGUCAUUGAUAGCUACUAUAUCAAUUUGCUAUUAAAAGUCAAGUCAUUGAUAACUACUAUUCAAUCUUUUUCAAUAUGGAAAUUGGAAUCGCUAGCACUACUCUUCUCAUUGUUCAUUUUUAAAUUUUAGGUAAUGUGAGAAUGUGUGAACAUAAAUGUCUUCUAAUCAACCAAUUUUUUUGAAAAAAACAUGUACAAAAUUGUAAAACUUGCAAAAUCAAACUUUCUUGUUGAAUAACCAUAGCUUGAUGGUUUUGAAGAAUCAAAGGAUGAAUCCUAAAAGGGUAUUUGAUAAAAAAUAAAAUUUAAAAAAUUAAAAGACAACUACUCCCUUAAGUGUAAUAAGUGUUGUAGACCCCCGGAAGCAGGGACUUUUUUUGAAUUUUUAUUUUUAUUUUCCCGGGGCCCGACAUGAUGGUCAGGAGCUGAUUUUUGGGGCAGAGAGGGGACUCAAGUGGGCGGCUCUCGGGGGGGCAGAUUGGACGGGAUACGGCUGGCUUGCUGAGGAAGACAGGAACAGAAGAAAAACAGAGGAGAAAAGAAGAAAAAGAAAGAGAAAGGAGAGGGGGAUUUCAGACAAGAGGGAGGGAGAAAAAGAAAAGAAAAAGCUGACUGGAGAGGAUUUUGUGGACAGAGGAACCUUCGAGGUAUGAACACUAUCGAUNNNNNNNNNNNNNNNNNNNNNNNNNNNNNNNNNNNNNNNNNNNNNNNNNNNNNNNNNNNNNNNNNNNNNNNNNNNNNNNNNNNNNNNNNNNNNNNNNNNNNNNNNNNNNNNNNNNNNNNNNNNNNNNNNNNNNNNNNNNNNNNNNNNNNNNNNNNNNNNNNNNNNNNNNNNNNNNNNNNNNNNNNNNNNNNNNNNNNNNNNNNNNNNNNNNNNNNNNNNNNNNNNNNNNNNNNNNNNNNNNNNNNNNNNNNNNNNNNNNNNNNNNNNNNNNNNNNNNNNNNNNNNNNNNNNNNNNNNNNNNNNNNNNNNNNNNNNNNNNNNNNNNNNNNNNNNNNNNNNNNNNNNNNNNNNNNNNNNNNNNNNNNNNNNNNNNNNNNNNNNNNNNNNNNNNNNNNNNNNNNNNNNNNNNNNNNNNNNNNNNNNNNNNNNNNNNNNNNNNNNNNNNNNNNNNNNNNNNNNNNNNNNNNNNNNNNNNNNNNNNNNNNNNNNNNNNNNNNNNNNNNNNNNNNNNNNNNNNNNNNNNNNNNNNNNNNNNNNNNNNNNNNNNNNNNNNNNNNNNNNNNNNNNNNNNNNNNNNNNNNNNNNNNNNNNNNNNNNNNNNNNNNNNNNNNNNNNNNNNNNNNNNNNNNNNNNNNNNNNNNNNNNNNNNNNNNNNNNNNNNNNNNNNNNNNNNNNNNNNNNNNNNNNNNNNNNNNNNNNNNNNNNNNNNNNNNNNNNNNNNNNNNNNNNNNNNNNNNNNNNNNNNNNNNNNNNNNNNNNNNNNNNNNNNNNNNNNNNNNNNNNNNNNNNNNNNNNNNNNNNNNNNNNNNNNNNNNNNNNNNNNNNNNNNNNNNNNNNNNNNNNNNNNNNNNNNNNNNNNNNNNNNNNNNNNNNNNNNNNNNNNNNNNNNNNNNNNNNNNNNNNNNNNNNNNNNNNNNNNNNNNNNNNNNNNNNNNNNNNNNNNNNNNNNNNNNNNNNNNNNNNNNNNNNNNNNNNNNNNNNNNNNNNNNNNNNNNNNNNNNNNNNNNNNNNNNNNNNNNNNNNNNNNNNNNNNNNNNNNNNNNNNNNNNNNNNNNNNNNNNNNNNNNNNNNNNNNNNNNNNNNNNNNNNNNNNNNNNNNNNNNNNNNNNNNNNNNNNNNNNNNNNNNNNNNNNNNNNNNNNNNNNNNNNNNNNNNNNNNNNNNNNNNNNNNNNNNNNNNNNNNNNNNNNNNNNNNNNNNNNNNNNNNNNNNNNNNNNNNNNNNNNNNNNNNNNNNNNNNNNNNNNNNNNNNNNNNNNNNNNNNNNNNNNNNNNNNNNNNNNNNNNNNNNNNNNNNNNNNNNNNNNNNNNNNNNNNNNNNNNNNNNNNNNNNNNNNNNNNNNNNNNNNNNNNNNNNNNNNNNNNNNNNNNNNNNNNNNNNNNNNNNNNNNNNNNNNNNNNNNNNNNNNNNNNNNNNNNNNNNNNNNNNNNNNNNNNNNNNNNNNNNNNNNNNNNNNNNNNNNNNNNNNNNNNNNNNNNNNNNNNNNNNNNNNNNNNNNNNNNNNNNNNNNNNNNNNNNNNNNNNNNNNNNNNNNNNNNNNNNNNNNNNNNNNNNNNNNNNNNNNNNNNNNNNNNNNNNNNNNNNNNNNNNNNNNNNNNNNNNNNNNNNNNNNNNNNGGCCCGCCAUACGUGCUUUCCUCAUGAUUGAUUGAUUUGAUUGAUUGAUUGACUUGGCUAUCAUACAUGAUUUAUUUAUCCUGCUCUCCGACAUGCAUGCUAUUAUUUCUUACUUGUGCACUAACCUCUCUCUUGAUAGCGCAUGGUGGCUCGUCGCCCAAGUACGCACCUACUUUCACUCUGGUAAUUGCCCAAGCAUAUUUUGAUUCUCACGUGUGCAUGAUUUAUUCUGGGUACUCAUUGAUCUACUCGUCCAUUGCCAUGAUUGCUUCAUUUUAUUAGUAGAGACCCGACUUUAGGGACUUAGAAGGGUGCUACGGUCCUUACCGUACCUUCCCGAUAAGUAACCUGACCCCCGAACCCGACCCGGUUUUUCGCAGACCGCCUUUUUCAAAAUAAGGAGUCACACUUAGGGUUUUUCUUUCUUAUUUUGUUUACCCUUUAAAAAUAAAACAAAAAUAAGUGACGACUCCAAGUCAUUUUUUUUUUCUUAAUCAAAUAAAAUCAUUUUUCUAACAAAAAUCGAGUUCGUCAUCGAGUGGGAAACACAUGAGCCGAAAUGCGGGGUCCACAAAAUGGCGACUCCGCUGGGGAUUUUUAGAGGGUCAAACUUGAACUUAGAAUGAAGCAAGCGUGGCAUUCGAUUGGACGAUCAGUGGAUGCCCAUUUCUUGAUGGCACAUUGAGGAUAUUUGAUGUAUGCUCGGAUUUUAUAUCUGUUCGAGACUUUUGACAUGUUGAUUAUGGUGAUUGAUUUUAUCCUAAUUGAGGCUUUCGAGGCCAUGUUUUUUCGUGCCUCACUGAUUAUAUCUGUUUGCUACAUCGACAUUGUUGAUUUAUUGAUGAUUGAUCUUAUUGCAUUGAUUAGCACAUUGAUUCUGAUUUUGCCAUGUUUGUUCUGAUCACUUCACAUGCAUACACUCACCACUGUAUAUCACUCGACUUGACAUGUUGAUUCUCUGACUUGUAAUACUGUUUUGACCGUCUUUGAGCAUGAUGUUUGUAUCACUAUUCGUCCCGAUCGUCGUAUUCUCGCUUAUCUUGCGUGUAUAUGAGUGAUAUAUCCUGCUCUGCCUGACUGUAUGAUGCAUGACUGCCCUACCUCUGCAUGAUUGCAUGUCGUCUGUCUAUGUGGGUCUCACUUCUAUCCCCCUACCUCCAAAUCUCUUGGUCUCGGUCAUUCUUUUCAUCUCGGUUCUCACUAUUGCAAGUGUGAGACCUUCUGUGUGCUUGCUCUCUGACCGAGCCAGAGAUUAGGAGUAGGGUCUAGCGACGGGCUAUAUCGAUGCACGGGAGCAUUCUGGAGGAGAGCGACACUUUGAUGUCGAUUGGAGUCCGAUCAUUGAAGACCUGUAUAGCCCCGAGCUAGGUUUCAUGGAUAGUCGUGCGACCAGUGUGUUUCCUCUUCUGCUCUAGAUUCUUAGGGUUUUCGGAUGUACCCACACCUUUCACUGUGCACUUUAGUUGACCAUUGAGCGUCAAGAGUUUGAGAGGUUUCACCAUAGGAAACCCCCUGGGAUGUCGAGGUAGUGCAUGUGUGGAGGUGAUGACCACCUUGCAUGGAAGCACCCCGUCUCUUUUUGAGGCGUGCAGAAGGUUGCGUACCGUCGGAGGGUACGAUCGCUUCUGCUAGGGAUCUUUUAAAGUCCACCCAUAUCCAUUUAGAGUCACCUUCACCAUGCAGGUUGAGCCAUAGAUCCUUUCAAUCAGGACUCCCUCCCUACACGUGGGUGCAUCCGUGGGCCUUCAGAGACGGUUCAGUAGCAACAGGUUUGGUUACCUUCGCAGUAGUCUCUUAUAUAUCUGCUCAGGGUUGGAUAUCAGUUUGUUCGCUUCCAGGCUACCUUUUGACACAUUUGAUAGACAUUCUUUGUGAAGUUUCCCUUACCCCGCACCUUAUCUAGUAUUUUCACUAUUGUAGGAGUACCGAUACGUUCAGUCUGGGUUUGACUUCUUGGAUCAGAGUUGGGGGUAGAUUGAUCAGGGUAUCGGACCAGUUAGGCCAGAGAUCAGAUCAGAGGGAUAUGGAUUCACAGAUAGUUACCGUCGAUCAGUUCGCUGAGGCCAUGGCUUCGAUUCAGGAGGCUAUAGCUAGCCUUGGCCGAAAGAUAGAUGGGCAGCAGGCCCAGCAGGUCCCGCCCCCGGUUGGUGCCCAGUAUGACCCUACAAUGCCACCACCUCCUCCACCCAGUCAGUCAGCGCCACAGGCCAUGCCGUUCACUCUGCAUAGUCAGACCGGGGUUGCCCCACCUCCCAUCACCGCGCCCACCCCGACCUCAGAGGACCCACAUGCUCGCAUGGAUAGACUUGAGCAGGGUUUGAGACAGUUGAGGGCUUCAGACAGAGCCACUACUUGGGAGGGUUUUGAUGGAGUACCGGUAGCUAGCUUGCCGGCUAAGUUCAGGAUGCCUGACAUUGAGAGGUAUACCGGCAUUGGUUGUCCACGCCUCCAUCUCCGAUUAUACAACACCGUGAUGAGGGCUCAUGGACUGGACGAGCCUUAGAUGAUUACUCUUUUCCCACUAUCUUUGAGUGGGGCGGCCCAGCGUUGGUUUGCAUCUUUGGAGGCCUCGAGGCGCCGCACAUGGGACGACUUGGCCCAAGAGUUCCUACGACAGUUUUCGUUUAACACUGUCGUAGAUGUAUCGAGGAGGGAGCUCGAGGCUUUGAGACAGAGGGCGGAGGAGUCUGUUUCUUCUUUCAUUUCUCGCUGGCGCGGGAAGAUAGCUGAGAUUAUCGAUAGACCAUCAGAGAGGGACCAGAUUCAGAUGGUUUUGAGGAGCCUGCAGCCGCGGAUCGCCAGACAUGUGGUAGGGGCCCCGUUCACAGAUUUUGGGUCUCUGGUUAUGGCUCUGUACGAUGUCGAGGACGGCAUCUCGAGAGGCUUAUGGGCAGAUUCUUCCCCUAGUGAUAUUAAGGGGAAGAAGCCCUUCGUAGGAUCGAGGCCAGCAGAUGUGAGCGUUAUCGGUUCUUCCAGUCAGAGGCCUCUCAGGCGCCAUCAGUCGAUCCCACAGUUUCCCGAGCCUCAUUCAUCCUAUGCAUCUCAUCAGUACAGACCACGGGCACCUCGUCCAGCUUAUGAUCAGACAUAUACUCCGCAGACUCUGGCUUUGCCUUAUUAUGCCUCCCAGGGCAUUGAGAGACCCUCAGUUUCCUACACGGCUACAGGACAGCCAUGCUAUGCUGCUCAGUUCACUACGAGACCCGCAGCGUCUUAUCCCCGACCCAGAGCUCAGCAGACUUCUGCUCCCUUUGCUUUGAGGGCGCAGAGGCAGUUCUCACAGAUAGGCAUGCCGUUGAGCCAGGCUCUUCGGAAGCUUACAGAGGCUGGGUUAUUGACUACUCUCACCCCUCGGUCGCCGCCUCAGCCGAUUCCACCUCAGUUCAGGAUGGAUCUACACUGUGCAUACCAUUAGGGGCUUGGACAUGAGACCGAUCGAUGCACCGCUUUGAGGCAUGCCGUUCAGGAUUUGAUUGACCAGGGUUUGGUACACUUGGGUCAGCCGAGUGUGACCACGAACCCGUUGCCUGCUCACACCACACAUGCAGUCCCUCCACCAGCCGAUGACAUUCAUUUCUUAGAGUUUGAUGAGAUCGAUGAUCACAUCCACAUGCUGAGUGAUGUUGAUUCAGACCCAGAGCCCAUCAUGCCAGAUGUGAUUUAUGAGACGAGUGGGGUGACUCUGGGUCCUCGGAUGCCUGCUCCAUUCCGAUUAGUUCCCGAGGCGGCGUCCGUGCAGGCUGCCACAGUUGAGCCAUUGAUUUUGCCGCAUUACAGUGUCCAGACGCCUUUCAUCUUGAUCCCGGAUGUUGAGGGGGUUCAGGCUCCGUAUGUUGAUGAUUCUCAGACUCUGGACAUUCAGUACGUUCUCCGAGGAGGUAGAGUGAUGAGAUAGCCACCUCCAGCUGCUGCCGCUAGACCCUUAGGGGGUGCGUCAUCCCAGGAGGAGGUUAGAGUAGAGGAUGACGAGAUUUUGAGGCAGUUGCAGAGCACUCAGGCUCGUAUUUCUAUCUGGAGCCUUUUAGCGUCCUCCAAUACUCACCGGGAUGCACUGACUCGAGCUCUGAGCCAGAUUAGAGUUGAUACCACGACGACUCCUGAGGGACUCAUUCAUAUGAUGACGGCUGGCAGAGCCACUUGUAUCAUCUUCUCCGAUGAUGACUUGCCACCAGAGGGUUCUGGCCACGCGCGUCCUCUCUAUAUAUCUGUUGGUUGUUCAGGUCGCCGAGUUCCAUCUGUCCUUCUGGACAAUGGCUCGGUCCUGAACGUAUGUCCUCUGGCCACCGCCAUCGCUCUUGGGUACGCACCAUCCGACUUCGGUCCAUCCACUCAGACCGUUCGAGCUUAUGACAUCACCCGUAGAGAGGUCAUGGGUACAUUGGAGAUUGAGCUCCUGAUAGGUCCGACCACAUUUAUCACUAUCUUUCAGGUUUUGAGGAUUCCUACAUCCUUUAACCUGCUUUUGGGCCGACCGUGGAUUCAUCGAGCUGGAGCCGUUCCUUCUUCACUUCAUCAGAAAGUGAAGUUCAUCCAUGAGGGCCAGGUAGUCGUCGUACAGUCGGCAGGGGACAUGUUCAUUUCCGCUGAGCCCGUGCUCCAGAUCAGCCACAGUGACGAUGAUUUACUACUGACCGGGUUCACUUUUGAUGAGGUACAGACUCUUGAGCUGGGAGACUUUUGCCGGGACUUCAUCGCUAUGUCCUUUGACCAGCAUGGGAGCACAGUGGUGCUUGAUAUCAUGAGAGGCAUGUCCUAUCUACCCGGCAUGGGGUUGGGUCGACGUCAGCAUGGACCGAGCGAGUUCAUCACCAUUCCUGAUCAUGACGUACCAUUUGGGCUUGGGUUCAUCCCCACCGAGGCUGACUAUCGAUACAUGGCGCGUUUGCGCAAGGAGAGAGCGAGGGCUCGGCUGACCCACACGCCUUUCGACUAUCCUCUUCGCCCAUACACCAGGAGCUUAUCUGAUUACUUUGUGAGGGCAUCGGAGUCACAUGCACCAUCUGAUGGGAUCAUCGGAGGACUCAGCACCACCCAGGAGGCCGAGCUUCAACGCCUUGUCCAACAGUUACAGUUGAGUGACGGAGCCCUUGGCCCUUCGGCUUCUGUGUUGAUUGCUCCUCCUUCCCCAGAUCGCACGAGCCUUAUGACGCUUUGCUUCCCGGAUGAGAUUGAUGAUCACGGGACUUUUGCCGAGAUUGGAGACGUAGUGGAUAGAGCCGUGCCGCGUGACGAGUACGUUGAUGAGAUGCUCGCGAUGAGUUUGAGCCAGACCGAGGAGAUGGCCCCGCCGGAGCUCGCUUCACCUUUUGAUCUCUUUGGGGUGUCCGUCCUCGAGAUCACUGAGGAUAUCCAGGUUGCCCCCACUCCAGAGGCCGUCGAGGAUGUUAUAGUUGUUGUUGAUUUGUUUGAUGGCCCUGUUGGCCUAGUUGAGGGAGCGUCCGACCUUGUGGACCCACCUCUCACCUUUGAUGUUUUAUCGGGAUUUGUCUCCCGUCAUGACUAUGUUUCUGACUUUUCAUCUAUGGAUUUGAGCACCUUUGAGUAUUUGCCUGUCUCUCAUGUUAUUGAUUUAUCUGCACCAUCUUCACCCACAUCACAGAUUUUUGACAUUGAUGAUGAGAUUGCGCAGCACGACUCAGACGAUGAUUCGUCUUCUGCUUCCGAUUCAGACCCCGUUGAUCAGAGAGUUUCACCUGCUGUAGGGGACACCGAGAUUGUUGACUUUGGCACAACAGAUCAGCCUAGGGAGUUGAGGAUCGGAUCAGAUUUGUCUACAAAUGAGAGAGAUAGCCUCAUCCAGCUACUCAGAUCCUACUUGGACGUUUUCGCAUGGUCCUAUGAGGACAUGCCAGGCCUUGAUCCAUCUAUCGUCCAGCAUCGUUUGCAACUUCUGCCCCGGGCCCGACCGGUUAAGCAGAAGUUGAGACGAUUGCACCCUCGUUGGAGCUUGCAGGUGAAAGAGGAGAUCCAGAAGCAGCUCAGUGUAGGAUUCUUAUCAGUGGUUGAGUACCCGGAGUGGCUGGCCAAUGUCGUCCCUGUUCCCAAGAAGGACGGCAAGGUGAGAGUCUGUGUUGAUUUCCGAGAUCUCAACAAGGCCAGUCCUAAGGAUGAUUUUCCUCUUCCACACAUCGACAUGCUAGUUGACAGUACGGCAGGUCAUUCGAUGUUGUCCUUUAUGGACGGAUUUUCCGGGUACAGUCAGAUCUUGAUGGCUCCAGAGGACAUGGAGAAGACGUCCUUCAUUACCGAGUGGGGCACUUAUUGCUAUAGAGUCAUGCCAUUCGGAUUGAAGAACGCAGGAGCCACAUAUCAGAGAGCAGCGACCACACUCUUCCAUGACAUGAUGCAUCGGGAUGUCGAGGUUUACGUAGACGACAUGAUAGUGAAAUCCCGAUAUAGAUCAGAUCAUUUGGCAGCUCUUGAGAGGUUCUUUGAGAGGAUCAGACAGUUCAGAUUGAGACUGAAUCCCAAGAAGUGCACUUUCGGAGUGACUUUCGGGAAGCUCUUGGGAUACAUGGUCAGUGAGCGAGGCAUAAAGGUAGAUCCGGACAAGAUUAGAGCCAUUCUUGACAUGCCUGCGCCGAGGACAGAGAGAGAGGUCAGAGGCUUCCUGGGCAGACUUCAGUACAUCAGUAGAUUCAUAGCCAGAUUGACAAACAUCUGCGAGCCCAUAUUUCGACUCUUGAGGAAGAGUCAACCUACUGUUUGGGAUGACCAGUGCCAACGUGCCUUCGAGAGGAUCAGAGAGUACUUGUUGUCACCUCCUGUUUUGGCGCCUCCUACACCAGGCCGUCCUCUACUCUUAUACUUGUCUGUAUCAGACGUGGCCUUGGGUUGCAUGUUAGCUCAGCUCGAUGAUUCGAGCAAGGAUCGAGCCAUUUACUAUUUGAGUAAGAGGAUGUUAGACUACGAGACGAGGUAUGUCAUGAUUGAGCGUUAUUGUUUGGCAUUGGUUUGGGCCACUCACCGGUUGAGACAUUACAUGACCGAGUAUUCCGUGCAUUUGAUAUCUCGCUUGGAUCCUCUGAGAUAUUUGUUUGACAGACCCGCUCUGGUUGGUCGCCUUAUGAGAUGGCUGGUACUUCUUACUGAGUUUGACAUCCAUUAUGUCACUCAGAAGUCCAUCAGAGGGAGCAUUGUAGCAGAUCAUCUAGCCUCAUUACCAGUUUCUGAUGCCAGAGCUAUUGACGAUGAUUUUUCAGACGAGGAUGUCGCUGCUGUGACUAGUCUGUCAGGUUGGCGCAUGUACUUUGAUGGCGCGGCCAACCAUUCCGGAUAUGGGAUAGGCGUCUUGUUGAUAUCCCCUCACGGUGAUCACAUUCCCAGAUCAGUUCGUUUGGCAUUCUCGGAUCGGCACCCUGCCACGAACAACAUUGUUGAGUAUGAGGCUUGUAUCUUGGGAUUAGAGACGGCCCUUGAGCUUAGGAUUAGACAGAUGGAGGUGUUUGGUGACUCCAAUAUGGUAUUGAGACAGAUUCAGGGUGAGUGGAAGACUAGAGAUGUGAAGCUUAGGCCUUAUCAUGCAUAUUUGGAGCUACUGGUUGGGAGAUUUGAUGAUUUGAGAUAUACCCAUCUGCCUAGAGCGCAGAACCAGUUUGCUGAUGCUUUAGCUACUCUAGCUUCCAUGAUCGAUAUUCCCGUUGACGCCACUGUUCGAUCUUUGUUGAUCGAGUCGAGAUCUGCUCCUGCUUACUGUUGCCUGAUCGAUGAUGUAGAGCCAGAUGAUGGUUUUCCAUGGUAUCACGACAUAUAUCACUUUUUGAGACUCGGCAUAUAUCCUGAGGCCGCCACGGCCAAGGAUAAGAGAGCAUUGAGACAGUUGGCCACUCGAUUCGUGAUUUGUGGCGAGACACUGUACAGGCGAUCACCUGACGGGAUGCUAUUAUUGUGUUUGGACCGCGCCUCUGCCGAUCGGGUGAUGAGAGAGGUUCAUGCGGGAGUCUGCGAACCACAUAUGGGAGGACAUAUGUUGGCUCGUAAGAUCAUGAGGACAGGAUACUUCUGGUUGACCAUGGAGACAGAUUGCUGCCAGUUUGUUCAGAGGUGUCCCGAGUGUCAGAUACACGGAGAUCUCAUUCACGUGCCGCCCUCCGAGCUGCACGCACUAACUUCACCAUGGCCAUUUUCCGUCUGGGGUAUUGAUAUCAUCGGGAAGAUUUCACCGAAAUCUUCCAGUGGUCAUGAGUUCAUCCUGGUCGCCAUCGAUUACUUCACCAAGUGGGUGGAGGUCGCUUCGUAUGCGAGAUUGACAUCGUCUGGAGUUGCUAGUUUCAUCAGAUCACACAUUAUCUGUCGCUAUGGAGUCCCUCAUGAGUUGAUUUCAGACAGAGGAGUACAUUUCAGAGCAGAGGUUGACACCUUAGUACAGAGAUACAGCAUCCGGCAUCAUAGAUCGUCUACGUACAGGCCGCAGACGAAUGGGGCAGUAGAGGCCGCGAAUAAGAAUAUCAAGAGGAUAUUACGGAGGAUGGUCGAGACUUCUCGGGAUUGGUUAGAGAAGCUCCCAUUUGCAUUGUGGGCUUAUCGAACUUCUUUUCGCACCUCUAUAGGCGCCACACCCUACUCCUUGGUAUAUGGCAUAGAGGCGAUGCUACCCGUUGAGAUUGAGAUGGGUUCGUUGAGAGUAGCACUAGAGCAGCAGAUUCCCGAGGCAGAUUGGGCUCAGGCUCGAUUUGAUCAGCUCAAUCUCCUAGAUGAGAGGAGAUUGAGAGCAGCAGACCAUGUUCGUGCGUAUCAGAGGAAGAUGGCCCGCGCUUUCAAAAAGCGGGUCAAGCCCAGACCAUUACAGAUAGGUGACUUAGUUCUGAAAGUCAUCAGGGGAUUGAUCAGAGAUCCUAGAGGGAAGUUCAGACCCAACUGGAGCGGACCUUAUUUCAUCAGGGAGUUGACCCCAGAGGACGCUGCAUGGUUGAUGGAUUUAGAUGGAAACCGAUUCUCAGAGCCAACCAAUGUGGAUCAGCUAAAGAGGUACUAUGUUUGAGACCAUGGUCGCAGGAUGGGUGGCCAUCAUUUCGGUUAGCCAUUUACCUUGUUACUCCCUUUUGAUACAUAGUCCAUUGCUAGCCCAUUGAGCCUCGCAUGCGCAUUAUAGCCUUUCUUUUUUAUCGCCUUGCUCACAUUUUCACACCGGGAUAGGGGCCCUUUAAUGUAUGCAUGCAUUGUUUGGUAGUUUCAUGAGCUUUGGACCUAGAGGCAUGUUUUUUCUCAUUGUCUUUUUCUAUCACUACACCUUUGCAUUUUCAUCUCAUCUUAUUGGUUAUGUUAUUCAUCUCUUCUUCCUUAUCCUAUCUACUAUCUGUUUGUUUCAUAUUUCGCUUCACCCUGGGGGGUGAUCCUCCUCAGUUCAUCACAUGGAGGGUAGUCACAUCAUUUCUGCCAUCUAUCUCGCGGACACUGAUUUAGAGAUCCUUAGUUUGAGAAGGUCAUCUUGUCAAAGAGAGUUUGUUUGUUACCUUAGCACUUGGGGGUGUGUCCAUUUGUUAUCGAUAUCAUCUUUGGGGUUCAUUUGUUCAUGUUCAGGGUACGCGUAUUUGUAUAUAUGUAAAAAAAAAGAGAAAAAGAAAAUUAUUAUUAUUAUUAUUAGCACAUGUGUGUAUGUGCAUAGUGUUCUCGAUCAUUGGGUAUGUAUAUUGAUGUUUGGGGGUCAUUUUUAUCGAGUAUGUUCGUUAUUGGGAGUUCGUAUGUGAACUCUCUGAGAUCCCACGCUAUUUGUAUUGCUUCGUCAUAUCUAUUUGUGAGAGAGACGAGUGACCUUCUCCUAAGGACUCCGAGUCAUUGCCUUUUCCAUCAUUACCUUCAUUAUUGAUGUGACUUCACUUCAUGUUUGAUCUGAGUCGUUCACCACCUUUCUUCACAUAUUCAUUGUUUCGCCGUCGUUUUUAUCAUUGCUUGUGAUUCAUCUCAUUCCCUUCGCGUCUUAUUCCCUCCUUAUAGCGACCCAUCUCGGUUUCGAUGCUCACUUCGCAUCAUCAUUACACAUGUCACUAUCAGUUCAUUUUGCUCCAUUUGUCUCCUUAUCGAUAUCAUAUUCACGUUAGGCAUCCUCAGGUCCAUGGCUCAUGGGGUUCACUAUACAUGUUGCAUUUCAUAUAUGAGGGCAUGAGUUUUGAUCAUUGGGUAUUUGAGCCUAGUUUCCUUUCGUUUCUAUCACCCUAUCACCUUGGCCUACGUUACGUCCCGUGUCUUAAGACCACCCUGAGGUCAUGGGAUCAGAUGUCGUCUUCGGCAGCCCCUACUUGGACAGGUGAUUGAGAUCUGGUUGAUAUUUAGAUAUUGUCAUGCUUCUUCUUCUGGGAGUCGCCCCUUUGAUGUGUAGGACUGAUUCAGUUGUGUUCGGAUUACCAGGAUCGUGAGUUUGACGAUGAUUGACUUGGUGUCACCUGUUUUUUUGACCUAUCAUACCUCUGGUACCACACUGGGGCAUAUCCCAUUUCAUUUGGAGGUUCAUGGAUCCUCACGGAGUUGCGCGAUCAUCACUUACUGGAUGCUCAUCGAGACGUGGACAUGAUCGUUACCUUACGAAGCCUCUGAGACCCAUCCAGCCAUAUGAUUUCUUGUCGCUUGAUUUCUGGCCUAUCGUGCGCCCGAUGCCAUACUGGGGCAUAUUUUCGUUUCGGAUGAGAUAUACGGAUCUUCACGGAGGUCACGUGCUCGACGAUAGAUGAUUUCAUGUCAUUUGUUCUGCAGACCUAUCGUGCGCCCGAUGCCAUACUGGGGCAUAUUUCCGUUUCGGAUGAGAUUUACGGAUCUUCACGGAGGUCACGUGCUCGACGAUAGAUGAUUUCAUGUCAUUUGUUCUUCAGACCUAUCGUGCGCCCGAUGCCAUACUGGGGCAUAUUUCCGUUUCGGAUGAGAUAUACGGAUCUUCAUGGAGGUCACGUGCUCGACGAUAGAUGAUUUCAUGUCAUUUGUUCUGCAGACCUAUCGUGCGCCCGAUGCCAUACUGGGGCAUAUUUCCGUUUCGGAUGAGAUAUACGGAUCUUCACGGAGGUCACGUGCUCGACGAUAGAUGAUUUCAUGUCAUUUGUUCUGCAGACCUAUCGUGCGCCCGAUGCCAUACUGGGGCAUAUUUCCGUUUCGGAUAAGAUUUACGGAUCUUCACGGAGGUCACGUGCUCGACGAUAGAUGAUUUCAUGUCAUUUGUUCUUCAGACCUAUCGUGCGCCCGAUGCCAUACUGGGGCAUAUUUCCGUUUCGGAUGAGAUUUACGGAUCUUCACGGAGGUCACGUGCUUGACGAUAGAUGAUUUCAUAUCGCUUUUCUUCUGACCCGUCCCACGUUCGAUGCCAUGCUAGGGGCAUAUUUCCGUUUCGAUUGAGAUUUACGGAUCUUCAUGGAGUUGCAUGCUCAUCCCCACUUACGAGAUACACACUGACAUGGUUGUUUCCUCCGUGGAGCCUCUCAGGAGUUACCCAGUUAGGCCUACACUUCGCGACGCCUCGAUGUCAUCAUGUUUUCCUUCCGGGAGACGCCCCUUUUGAUCUAUGGGUUUGAUUCAGUUGUACACGUGGAUGAUUUGGAUCGCGCAUUUGAUGACGGGUGAUCUGAGCUCAUCUGGUUCUUCUGACCUAUCACACAUCCGAUGUCAUACUGGGGCAUACCCCCAUCCUUGAGUCCACCAGGUAUUUUGCGAUUUUUCUCAUCACUUGAUCCACAUCUGGAUCUUUGCGGGUCGUCAUGCUGGGGCAUCCCCCCACUGUCAUUUACGUUUGGGGCAUCCCCCCACUGUUAUUUACGUUUGGGGCAUCUCCCCAUUGUUAUUUACGUUUGGGGCAUCCCCCCACUGUCAUUUACGUUUGGGGCAUCCCCCCAUUGUUAUUUACGUUUGGGGCAUCCCCCCACUGUCAUUUACGUUUGGGGCAUCCCCCCAUUGUCAUUUCGUUAGGGGCAUCCCCCCGCUGUCUUUACGUUUGGGGCAUCUCCCCACUGUUAUUUACGUUUGGGGCAUCCCCCCACUGUCAUUUACGUUUGGGGCAUCCCCCCAUUGUUAUUUACGUUUGGGGCAUCCCCCUAUUGUCAUUUCGUUAGGGGCAUCCCCCCGCUGUCUUUACGUUUGGGGCAUCUCCCUACUGUUAUUUACGUUUGGGGCAUCCCCCCACUGUCAUUUACGUUUGGGGCAUCCCCCGCUGUCAUUUUCGUUUGGGGCAUCCCCCCACUGUCAUUUUCGUUUGGGGCAUCCCCCCACUGUCAUUUACGUUUGGGGCAUCCCCCCAUUGUCAUUUCGUUAGGGGCAUCCCCCCGCUGUCUUUACGUUUGGGGCAUCUCCCCACUGUUAUUUACGUUUGGGGCAUCCCCCCACUGUCAUUUUCGUUAGGGGCAUCCCCCCGCUGUCUUUACGUUUGGGGCAUCUCCCCACUGUUAUUUACGUUUAGGGCAUCCCCCCACUGUCAUUUACGUUUGGGGCAUCCCCCCAUUGUCAUUUCGUUUGGGGCAUCCCCCCACUGUCAUUUUGUUUAGGGCAUCUCCCCAUUGUUAUUUAUGUUUAGGGCAUCCCCCUAUCUUCAGUUUGUUUAGGGCAUUCCCCUACCGUCAGUUCGCUUAGGGCAUCUCCCUUUGUUUCAGAUUUAUCACCACCGUAGGUCUUCACCUAUGGGCCUUAUAGUUUAGUGUUUAGAGUUAGCUUUUUGGUUUGACUUUCAGAGCUAUUAUUUUCUCAGUUUAUCAUUUAGAGUUAGUUUUUUUUUGUUUGGCUUCCAGAGCCAUUAUUCUUCUAGUUUAGUGUUUAGAGUUAGCUUUUUUAUUUGGCUUCCAGAGCUAUUAUUGUUUUUUUCCAGUUUGACGUUCAGAGUCACCAUCAUCACUUUUCAGUUUCGGCGUUCAGAGCCAUCACCGUGUUUUCAGCUCCGGCAUUCAGAGCCAUCAUCGAUUUUCAGAUCGACAUUCAGAGUCGCAUCCUCGGUUUCGGCGUUCGGAGUCGUUAUCACUCCUCGGUUUGACGUUCAGAGUCAUCAUCAUCACUUCUCAGUUUCGGCGUUCAGAGCCAUCAUCAGUUUUCAGAUCGACGUUCAGAGUCGCAUCCUCGGUUUGACGUUCAGAGUCAUCAUCAUCACCUUUCAGUUUCAGCGUUCAGAGCCAUCAUCGGUUUUCAAAUCGACGUUCAGAGUCAUCAUCAUCACUUCUCAGUUUCGACAUUCAGAGCCAUCAUCGAUUUUCAGAUCGACAUUCAGAGUCGCAUCCUCGGUUUCGGCGUUCGGAGUCGUUAUCACUUCUCGGUUUGACGUUCAGAGUCAUCAUCAUCACUUCUCAGUUUCGGUGUUCAGAGCCAUCAUCAGUUUUCAGAUCGACGUUCAGAGUCGCAUCCUCGGUUUGACGUUCAGAGUCAUCAUCAUCACUUCUCCGUUUCGGCAUUCAGAGCCAUCAUCGGUUUUCAGAUCGACAUUCAGAGUCGCAUCCUCGGUUUCGACAUUCAGAGUCGUUAUCACUUCUCAGUUUGACGUUCAAGAUCAUCGUCAUUACUUUUUAGUUUCGGCGUUCAGAGCCAUCAUCGGUUUUUAGAUCGACAUUCAGAGUCACAUCCUCAGUUUCGACGUUCCAAGCCAUCAUCACAUCUUCGUUGACGUUCAGAGCCAUCAUCACUAUUUUCAGUGUGGCGUUCAGAGCCAUCAUCGCUUCUCAGUUUAGGCUUCCAGAGCCAUUACUGUCAUCUUGUUUAGGCUUCCAGAGCCACUACUGUCAUCUUGUUUAGGCUUCCAAAACCACUACUAUCAUCUUGUUUAGGCUUCCAGAGCCAUCAUUGUCGUCUCGUUUAGGCUUCCAGAGCUGUUAUUUUCUAGUUUAGCUUUUAGAGUCAGUUUUUGGUUUGGCUUCUAGAGCUUUUACUUUCUUGGUUUAGUGAUUAGAGUUAGCUUUUCGGUUUGGCUUCCAGAGCUUUUAUUUUCUCAAUUUAGUGCCUAGAGUCGGUCUUGUCAUCCAGAGUCACAACUCCUGGCGUUCAUGUCCACUGGCAUUGCACAUCUUACCUUCAGGGUUUUGCAUUCGUCCUCGGCUUUCCUCACUUCGUUACCCGGUGCUUAUCCCAUAUUCAUCUCGUACUCCAGGGUGGUUCGACCGUUACUCAUCUUUGACAUUGAUCUCUUGAGUCACCUGUAGAGAUGUCUUAGAGGGAAUCUGGGUCCUCGAUGCAGCUUUCGAGGCGCCUUGAGCCUCUCUUAGAAUUUUAGAGCCUCGAGCGAGUUUGUGUUCUACUUGUACCUUUCGGGUUCGGGGGUCUUUCUUUGUUCUUCGAUAGAGUUCACUUCAUUUCACUCUCUUUUCACACUUCUUUUUCACUCUAGUGUUCACAUUCCUUACACUCGUGAACUCUAUCAAAGAGGGGCAUAUUUGUAGACCCCCGGAAGCAGGGACUUUUUUUGAAUUUUUAUUUUUAUUUUCCCGGGGCCCGACAUGAUGGUCAGGAGCUGAUUUUUGGGGCAGAGAGGGGACUCAAGUGGGCGGCUCUCGGGGGGGCAGAUUGGACGGGAUACGGCUGGCUUGCUGAGGAAGACAGGAACAGAAGAAAAACAGAGGAGAAAAGAAGAAAAAGAAAGAGAAAGGAGAGGGGGAUUUCAGACAAGAGGGAGGGAGAAAAAGAAAAGAAAAAGCUGACUGGAGAGGAUUUUGUGGACAGAGGAACCUUCGAGGUAUGAACACUAUCGAUCUCUCGUUUUCUUCCACAUUUUUUUUAGUCUUCAUGCAUUUUUGCUGCUGUUUCUAGCUCCCUUUCAUUGCUUGGACAUGGAUAUUAUUGGUUAUGUGCCCAUUUGUUAUUGUUCCUCUGAGAUUUCCAUGGCUGCGUUUAGGUUAUUCAGGUUGCUCUUUCUAUGGUUUUGGAUUCUACCUGUUCAUAAGUUCAGUGGUUUUCAUCAUGACAUGGGCAUUGGUUUAUAUCACCCGCCGAUUUGUGUUCCAUGUUGUGUUCUAUUUCUAAAGUUAUUUAUUUUUUUUCUUUCUUUCUUUGUUAUUAUUCUCCCCUGCUUCCAUUUCUUAUCUGGACGUGUGGCUUCUUUUGGGUGCAUUGUUUCAUCACGACAUUCCCACUCCAUUAACUUUCAUAUUCAACCUCAUGCUCUCUCUCUCUACCCUUUACUCACACCCACCGAACCCAUUCCUCCCCGCCACUUUCCAUCACCUGCCCCAAGCAUCACCCAUUCAAUCAUUUCAUUCCUUCUCCGUGUACAUGAAGCUCCAUGCAUGCGUGCAUGGGAGCCAUGCAAAGGUGGCACGCUCCUGUAAAGGCCACAGCUGCCGGAUCCGUCCUCGGACACAGACACCAGGCCGCAGCUGCAGGUUCCACUCCCGAACGCCGACGCUGGAACGCGAUGGCGAAGGCGGCAUGGGUGGCGAUAAUCGAGGCGGCGGCGUGGAAAUCGGGCAUCCUGGACAGAUUUCGAGGCCCUCCGGCGUUGCCUCUCUCACCUUCAUUUCCUCCGUCGCCGUCUUCGGAGGUGAGGAAGAAGAUGAAGUUGGCUUUUGGGCUUGCCCAUGGUGUUGGGUUUGGGCUUAAGUGGGAGCCCAGCCCAAGCAAGGUGAUGGAAGUCAAUGUCUUCUCAAUGAAUGGGUUGAGACAGGGAUGGGCUUGGGCUUGGGCUUUGCUAGUGGACUUGGAGGCUUGGAUUUGGGCUUGAGGCUUGCUGAUGGACUUGGACUGAAAUAGGGUUGAUAGGGUGAUAUUAUUAUUAUUAUUAUUAUUAUUAUUAUUAUUAUUAUUAUUAUUAUUGUUAACGAAUAUUAUUAUCAUUAUUAGCAAAAUAUUAUUAUUAUUAUUAUUAUUAUUAUUAUUAUUAUUAUUAACGGAUAUCAUCAUUAUUAAUUAUUAUUAUUUCUAUUAUUAUUAUUAUUAUUAUUAUUAUUAUUAUUAUCAUUGUCAUUAUUAUUAUUUGCUCAGUUUUUUCAAAUCUUUUCAUCGUUAUUAUUUAUUAUUAUUAUUAUUAUUAUUCAUUCAAAUUUUCAAAAUCUAUUUAUUAUUAUUAUUAUUAUUAUUAAUCCAAACUUCCAAAAAUCUCAUUAUUAUUAUUAUUAUUAUUCAUUCAAAUUUUCAAAAUCUAUUUAUUAUUAUUAUUAUCAUCAUUAAUCCAAACUUCCAAAAAUCUCAUUAUUAUUAUUAUUAUUAUUAACUCAAUUUUCAAAAAUCUAUUUAUUAUUAUUAUUAUUAAUCCAAACUUCCAAAAAUCUCAUUAUUGUUAUUAUUAUUAUUCAUUCAAAUUUUCAAAAUCUAUUUAUUAUUAUUAUUAUCAUCAUUAAUCCAAACUUCCAAAAAUCUCAUUAUUAUUAUUAUUAUUAACUCAAUUUUCAAAAAUCUAUUUAUUAUUAUUAUUAUCAUCAUUAAUCCAAACUUCCAAAAAUCUCAUUAUUAUUAUUAUUAUUAACUCAAUUUUCAAAAUCUAUUUGUUAUUAUUAUUAUCAUCAUUAAUCCAAACUUCCAAAAAUCUCAUUAUUAUUGUUAUUAUUACCUCAACUUUCAAAAUCUUAUUAUUAUUAUUAUUAUUAUCAUUAUCAUUAUCAUUGAUUAAAGCUUUCAAAACCAUAUUAUUAUUAAUUCAAACUUUCUAACUUCCAAUUUCCAAGCCCAAUUUAUAAAAAUUCAACCUUCAAAUAAUACUUCAAAAUUCCGAUCUUUAAAACUCAAUUUCGAUUUCCGAAAACACUCAUACUCACUUUAAUCUAUUUAAUUAUUGUUAUUUUGAUAAUUUAUUUCAAAACUCCAUUUUAAAUCGAAUUCUCUAAAACUUCUGAUUUUCCGAAUUAAAUUCCUAAUCCCAAAAAUUCUCAUGUUCCCACUAAAUUAUUUGAUCAUUGGUAUUUUAUUUAUUUCAAAACUCCGUUUUAAAUCAAAUUCUUUAAAAUUGUUGAUUUCCGAAUUAAACUCCUAAUCCCGAAAAUUCUCAUGUUCUCAUUAAUUUACUUAAUCAUUAGUAUUUUAUCUCCAUUUUAAAUCAAUUCUUUAAAACUUCAGAUUUACAAAUUAAAUCCCUAAUCUUGAAAAUUCUCAUAUUCACAUUAAUUUAAUCACUAAUAAUUUGUUUAUUUAUCUUAAAAUUCUAUUUUAAACAAUUCUUUAAACUUUCUGACUUCUAAAUCUAAUUUCCAAUUUCAAAAAUUUCAGCAUUCCCAUUCAUUUAUUUAAUCAUUAUUUUCGUCCUUAUUAUUAUUAGUUCAUUUAUUUAUUUCAAAAUUCCAUUUUUAAACAUUUUUUUUGAAUCCCAACUUUCGAACUUAAUUUCCGAUUUCUAAGAUUCUAAUUUCCUUCAAGUUUGACAUCCCAAAAUUCCAACUUUUAAAUUUAAUUCUCAAGACUCCAAUCUUCAAAUAAUUUUCGAGACUCCAAUUCCCAAAUAAAUUUCAAAAAUUCAAUUUUCUCUCUAACAGUUUUAAUUCUCUUCGGGUUUCAAAUAAUCUUCGAUUUCUCUUGGUUUUAUAUAAACAUGAAUGCUAUUUUCAUAAUUCCAGAAUAAUGGGAUUUGUGAUAUUAAUUCCUGCAAAAAUGAAUGGGCUUUGGUGGGGGCCCGCCAUACGUGCUUUUCUCAUGAUUGAUUGAUUUGAUUGAUUGAUUGAUUGAUUGACUUGGCUAUCAUACAUGAUUUAUUUAUCCUGCUCUCCGACAUGCAUGCUAUUAUUUCUUACUUGUGCACUAACCUCUCUCUUGAUAGCGCAUGGUGGCUCGUCGCCCAGGUACGCACCUACUUUCACUCUGGUAAUUGCCCAAGCAUAUUUUGAUUCUCACGUGUGCAUGAUUUAUUCUGGGUACUCAUUGAUCUACUCGUCCAUUGCCAUGAUUGCUUCAUUUUAUUAGUAGAGACCCGACUUUAGGGACUUAGAAGGUGCUACGGUCCUUACCGUACCUUCCCGAUAGUAACCUGACCCCCGAACCCGACCCGGUUUUCGCAGACCGCCUUUUCAAAUAAGGAGUCACACUNNNNNNNNNNNNNNNNNNNNNNNNNNNNNNNNNNNNNNNNNNNNNNNNNNNNNNNNNNNNNNNNNNNNNNNNNNNNNNNNNNNNNNNNNNNNNNNNNNNNGGCUGCGUUUAGGUUAUUCAGGUUGCUCUUUCUAUGGUUUUGGAUUCUACCUGUUCAUAAGUUCAGUGGUUUUCAUCAUGACAUGGGCAUUGGUUUAUAUCACCCGCCGAUUUGUGUUCCAUGUUGUGUUCUAUUUCUAAAGUUAUUUAUUUUUUUUCUUUCUUUCUUUGUUAUUAUUCUCCCCUGCUUCCAUUUCUUAUCUGGACGUGUGGCUUCUUUUGGGUGCAUUGUUUCAUCACGACAUUCCCACUCCAUUAACUUUCAUAUUCAACCUCAUGCUCUCUCUCUCUACCCUUUACUCACACCCACCGAACCCAUUCCUCCCCGCCACUUUCCAUCACCUGCCCCAAGCAUCACCCAUUCAAUCAUUUCAUUCCUUCUCCGUGUACAUGAAGCUCCAUGCAUGCGUGCAUGGGAGCCAUGCAAAGGUGGCACGCUCCUGUAAAGGCCACAGCUGCCGGCUCCGUCCUCGGACACAGACACUAGGCCGCAGCUACAGGUUCCACUCCCGAACGCCGACGCUGGAACGCGAUGGCGAAGGCGGCAUGGGUGGCGAUAAUCGAGGCGACGGCGUGGAAAUCGGGCAUCCUGGACAGAUUUCGAGGCCCUCCGGCGUUGCCUCUCUCACCUUCAUUUCCUCCGUCGCCGUCUUCGGAGGUGAGGAAGAAGAUGAAGUUGGCUUUUGGGCUUGCCCAUGGUGUUGGGUUUGGGCUUAAGUGGGAGCCCAGCCCAAGCAAGGUGAUGGAAGUCAAUGUCUUCUCAAUGAAUGGGUUGAGACAGGGAUGGGCUUGGGCUUGGGCUUUGCUAGUGGACUUGGAGGCUUGGAUUUGGGCUUGAGGCUUGCUGAUGGACUUGGACUGAAAUAGGGUUGAUAGGGUGAUAUUAUUAUUAUUAUUAUUAUUAUUAUUAUUAUUAUUGUUAACGAAUAUUAUUAUCAUUAUUAGCAAAAUAUUAUUAUUAUUAUUAUUAUUAUUAUUAACGGAUAUCAUCAUUAUUAAUUAUUAUUAUUUCUAUUAUUAUUAUUAAUUAUUAUUAUUAUUAUUAUUAUUAUUAUCAUUGUCAUUAUUAUUAUUUGCUCAGUUUUUUCAAAUCUUUUCAUCGUUAUUAUUUAUUAUUAUUAUUAUUAUUCAUUCAAAUUUUCAAAAUCUAUUUAUUAUUAUUAUUAUUAUUAUUAAUCCAAACUUCCAAAAAUCUCAUUAUUAUUAUUAUUAUUAUUCAUUCAAAUUUUCAAAAUCUAUUUAUUAUUAUUAUUAUCAUCAUUAAUCCAAACUUCCAAAAAUCUCAUUAUUAUUAUUAUUAUUAACUCAAUUUUCAAAAAUCUAUUUAUUAUUAUUAUUAUUAAUCCAAACUUCCAAAAAUCUCAUUAUUGUUAUUAUUAUUAUUCAUUCAAAUUUUCAAAAUCUAUUUAUUAUUAUUAUUAUCAUCAUUAAUCCAAACUUCCAAAAAUCUCAUUAUUAUUAUUAUUAUUAACUCAAUUUUCAAAAAUCUAUUUAUUAUUAUUAUUAUCAUCAUUAAUCCAAACUUCCAAAAAUCUCAUUAUUAUUAUUAUUAUUAACUCAAUUUUCAAAAUCUAUUUGUUAUUAUUAUUAUCAUCAUUAAUCCAAACUUCCAAAAAUCUCAUUAUUAUUGUUAUUAUUACCUCAACUUUCAAAAUCUUAUUAUUAUUAUUAUUAUUAUCAUUAUCAUUAUCAUUGAUUAAAGCUUUCAAAACCAUAUUAUUAUUAAUUCAAACUUUCUAACUUCCAAUUUCCAAGCCCAAUUUAUAAAAAUUCAACCUUCAAAUAAUACUUCAAAAUUCCGAUCUUUAAAACUCAAUUUCGAUUUCCGAAAACACUCAUACUCACUUUAAUCUAUUUAAUUAUUGUUAUUUUGAUUAUUUAUUUCAAAACUCCAUUUUAAAUCGAAUUCUCUAAAACUUCUGAUUUUCCGAAUUAAAUUCCUAAUCCCAAAAAUUCUCAUGUUCCCACUAAAUUAUUUGAUCAUUGGUAUUUUAUUUAUUUAUUUAUUUCAAAACUCCGUUUUAAAUCAAAUUCUUUAAAAUUGUUGAUUUCCGAAUUAAACUCCUAAUCCCGAAAAUUCUCAUGUUCUCAUUAAUUUACUUAAUCAUUAGUAUUUUAUCUCCAUUUUAAAUCAAUUCUUUAAAACUUCAGAUUUACAAAUUAAAUCCCUAAUCUUGAAAAUUCUCGUAUUCACAUUAAUUUAAUCAUUAAUAAUUUGUUUAUUUAUCUUAAAAUUCUAUUUUAAACAAUUCUUUAAACUUUCUGACUUCUAAAUCUAAUUUCCAAUUUCAAAAAUUCCAGCAUUCCCAUUCAUUUAUUUAAUCAUUAUUUUCGUCCUUAUUAUUAUUAGUUCAUUUAUUUAUUUCAAAAUUCCAUUUUUAAACAUUUUUUUUGAAUCCCAACUUUCGAACUUAAUUUCCGAUUUCUAAGAUUCUAAUUUCCUUCAAGUUUGACAUCCCAAAAUUCCAACUUUUAAAUUUAAUUCUCAAGACUCCAAUCUUCAAAUAAUUUUCGAGACUCCAAUUCCCAAAUAAAUUUCAAAAAUUCAAUUUUCUCUCUAACAGUUUUAAUUCUCUUCGGGUUUCAAAUAAUCUUCGAUUUCUCUUGGUUUUAUAUAAACAUGAAUGCUAUUUUCAUAAUUCCAGAAUAAUGGGAUUUGUGAUAUUAAUUCCUGCAAAAAUGAAUGGGCUUUGGUGGGGGCCCGCCAUACGUGCUUUCCUCAUGAUUGAUUGAUUUGAUUGAUUGAUUGACUUGGCUAUCAUACAUGAUUUAUUUAUCCUGCUCUCCGACAUGCAUGCUAUUAUUUCUUACUUGUGCACUAACCUCUCUCUUGAUAGCGCAUGGUGGCUCGUCGCCCAAGUACGCACCUACUUUCACUCUGGUAAUUGCCCAAGCAUAUUUUGAUUCUCACGUGUGCAUGAUUUAUUCUGGGUACUCAUUGAUCUACUCGUCCAUUGCCAUGAUUGCUUCAUUUUAUUAGUAGAGACCCGACUUUAGGGACUUAGAAGGGUGCUACGGUCCUUACCGUACCUUCCCGAUAAGUAACCUGACCCCCGAACCCGACCCGGUUUUUCGCAGACCGCCUUUUUCAAAAUAAGGAGUCACACUUAGGGUUUUUCUUUCUUAUUUUGUUUACCCUUUAAAAAUAAAACAAAAAUAAGUGGCGACUCCAAGUCAUUUUUUUUUUCUUAAUCAAAUAAAAUCAUUUUUCUAACAAAAAUCGAGUUCGUCAUCGAGUGGGAAACACAUGAGCCGAAAUGCGGGGUCCACAAGUGUAUAUGGUAGCACAAAUUUCCUACCACUUAUUAUUUUUUCCUUUCUUAAAAAAUCAUUUACUCUAUUAAAUAAACUAACCUUGGCUUAUCACUUAUAGCAAAAUAGGUUAAGUAGUUUUUAAAAUUUUAUAAUAUUAGAUUUACAUUUUUAUCCUUCAAAAUUUCAUUAAUGCUAGAUUCUUCUAUAUGCUUAACUAAUAAAUAAUUUUUAGCAUUUUUCUUUUCUUAUAAACAUAAAAAAAUAAAAAUAUUAUUAACUUAUUGGUAUAUUUUAAAUUUUUAAUUAGAUUUAAGCUUUUAUUUGUUUGGAUUACCAAUUAUACAUAUAAAUCCUUUAUUAUUAUUGUUAUUAUUGAAAGAAAGGGGUUGAAUAGGUAGUCCCUGAAUCCCCAAAUUAAAUUCUUUAUUGCCUACUUUUGGUUUAUUCCUUUACAUGAAUUCCUUGGUGAGAGUAAACAUUUCAUUAAUAGAUAAAUAAAAUUGAUUCCAUAUCAUAGGGUAUAAUGUGGAAAAAUCACCAGUCUCAUGUGUUCCUUAGUGGAUCCUUUGGAGCCCUUAUCAAAGUUUCAUGAUGAAACCAUUGACUUUUGUUUAACCCAAAUGUGCUUUCAAGACAAAUCUUGAAAGAUUUGAGAGAUGGAGGUUCAAGUCUUUUAUGAACGACCAUGUUCUCUUAGGGUUCAUGAAAAUUCACACCUUUUGAUAAAUAAAACUUAUCUAUUUAUACAUCUAAAACCCAGUAUUUAUUUAUUUAAUUAUAGAAAGUUUCUUAGUUUUAAAAACAUUACAAAAAUCAUUUUUAGAAUCAAAUAACAAUUUUAGAGAUAAACACAAUAUUAAAAUUUAACAAAAACAAAAUUUCGAAUUAAAAACACAAUAUAAACUAAAUUACAAAAUAUAAAGUAAUUUUUAUCCUAAUUUCUUGUUUCAAAACCAAAUGGAACACCUAGAAGGGGAGUGAAUGGGUGAUUUUAAAUUUUUUCAAUAAUGAUUUAUAAGUUAUACCCAAUUCUUUUACCUUGCGAGUUGUUAGGGACUAUCAAUUCUUUUCUUUUGGCAAUUCAAACAAUAUAUCAAAUAAUAAAAAGAUAUAAAUAAUGAGACAUAAAGAUUUUUAUGUGGAAAACCCCCCACACUAACCAUGGAGAUAAAAAGUCAUGGAGUCUAAGACCUAUUAAUCUAAAUUCACUUUACGAAAUCAAGUUACACAAAUUUAUUUGGCAACUUUACCUUAAAGACUUACUCUUCGGUACUGACAACUUGAUUCACGUCCACGACGUAGCAACCCUCGAUUACUCCAAUGGAUCACUUCAAGCUUACUAAAAGGAUGAAGGCCUUCAAACCAAGAUUCAAAAAUCAAUUCCUUGAAUGAGAGAUCAGGAAUGGUGUGCCACUUUAGGCUUUCUCUCUAAGAACUCUAAAAUGAUCUCCUCAAUGAAAACCUCUUAAACAAAAUGAGAUAUUUUCCCACAAUCUCUAAUCCUUAAGGGGUUAUAAUGAGAUAUUUAUAAGCAACUAAGUUGAAGAGUUUCAGUUUUGGAAGGUUUCUCAAUUGAAUUUGUGUGAAAAACUCGGCAGAAUCAACAUGACUGCUCGAGCCAACACACUUCCCACUUGAGCGUUUCGGGCACUUGAGCGGUAAGGCUCGCUUGAGUUGUCCCAAGCGCUUGAGCAUUCCAGGCUACUUGAGCAAUCUUGCUCUAUUUCAAAAGUUAAUUUUAAAUCAUUUUAAGUUCAAAACAAAAUUGAUUCCCUUUAUACCUCAAAGGAGCCUAACUUGCCACAAACCAAACCUUUUUAGAUAUACUUGUGACUUCCUGGUUGGACGAAUAACAACUCUUAAUCUUCAAUGGAAAGCAAGUCAUUAUCUAAAAAGAUUUAUAUGGUCAAAUAUAAAAAAACAAAAAAAUUUCCAACAUAACAACAAGACUCAAUGUCCUAACAAUCUCCCCCUUUGGCAAUUUUAUGACAAAAACAACGUUACAUAUACCCACCUGAACUCUCAUAAUGGAGUUUAAUAAUACACAUUAACGUUCAAUUAAAAAUAAACUAAGGGAAUACUUUGUAUCACUUUGUAGUAUUUGUCUUCCAACUUUGUAACCUACACACAUAUAGAAAACUAUGCCAAAGGUAAAGCAAUGUGCAAGAUAAGAUAUGAUCAAGAAAGCAAAAUAGGAUAAUUGGAAAUUUUGCUUGAUGCCUUGUGAAAGCAUGAAAAAAGAACAAAUUCAUAUAGUAAUACCAAGGGACAAAGCAAAACUCGAGAAGAAUAUAUAUGUAUGCAAAUCAACCAAACAUAAUUAAAGCUACAUAAGAUGCAAUAGAUCAAUAAUAAUGCCUAGGGGUCUAUCUCCAACCAGAAAAUAGGGAGUGAAGAUCAUAGGAAGAACCUUCUGUGACUUAGAAAGGUUCUAGAGAGAUAGUCAAUUCAAAUAUAAAUAUCUUGCUGGAAACAUCUAUGUUAUGUAUCUCUCUAAACCUUCUAAGUUAUGCUUUCAUCAGUUGAUUUGGUUUUUCUCCAAUGUCUUAGGUUUAAUUUCCUCUAAUAUUUCAAUUAGAAAGAAAUUGGUAGUCAAUUGACUUAGUGGGUGUUUGGUAAAACUUAAUACUUAUUAUUUAAUGAUUAACUUUAAGUUAAAUUGUUCUUAAGUUCUUAAUUUAAAAUUUAUUACUUAUUCUGUAUUUAAGUAUUAAGGUUAUUUGAAAAAAUCGACUUAAAAUUUAUUCUAAAUCAUCAAAUUGACACAUUUACCCUUAUUAAUUUUAAUUAUAUUUAUUUUCAUUAAUUUUAAACAAUAAAUUUAUUCAUAAAACAUCUAUAUUUUUGUAGAUACAUAAUAACCAUAAAAUAUUUACUAUAAAAAAUGAGUCAUGGAUGUAGAAUUAUAAUUCAAAAAUAUACACUUAUGAGUGUGGGUAAAUAAGGCAAAAAUGAUUUGAGAUUAAGAGUAAAGUUAAUUAUUUUGACUUAAGACUUCAAGUUAAAAAUAACUUUAAGUUGCAAUAUUAAGUUAUUUUAUCAAACAUGGUUAAUUUACUUAACGACUUAAAUUAAGUUAUUAAGUUGAUUUAUCAAACACCCCACUAGUAGUAUGUUGAAAAUGAAGAGCAUCCAUAGUAGAUAAUGUAUAUGUAUUUGUGUUUAGAGUAGAAGGGCACUACAACAAUGGACUUGCAUGUGAUUUGGUCGCGAUAUGAUUUUGGUGAGAAUAUUUUAUUGUCUUUAAAAUAUUGUUAUAUGAAAUGCCAGACUAUGUUAGUAAAUAAUAGUUAUGUUAGUAGAAAUGAAAGUUUGUUUUAUAAUGCAUUGACCAUCCUAACACAUGUACUUAAUUAUCAUUAGUAGUUAGACAUGUAUUCCCUUUUUUCAAUUUUUUUCUUCUUUUUAAAUACAUUCUAGUGGUACUUUGCCUUAUGACUUAAUUUUUGUUACACUUACUACUUUUGGUUUUAGUCAUAUUUCGUUUUAUUAGUAUUUUCAUUUUGUGUUACAAUUUUAUUUAGUUUCUCUAUAUUCUCUUUUGGAUGGUGAUUUCACUUCAAAAUUUAAUUCAAAUUAGGCUUAUUAUCCCCUUAGUAAGCCUUUUCUAGGCGAGUUGUUAUAGAAAAUUAAACAAACCUCUCCUAAGGUUGGCCUUGUUACGUAGACUUCUUUUCUAUUUUGAAAUAUUAUAUUGACCUCCCUUGUUAGAUAUUGGUUUUUACAAUUACUAAGAAUAAUGCUUCUUAAUCAUUAUUAACGACGUCUUCUUUCUCCAAUUUUCUUCUUCUUCCUCCAUACAUGCUAAUUUGCAAAAAUUUAUACCCAUUAUUUAAAUGAAAUUUUUUGAAAUAAAUUAAAACCUUCCUUAUUUGAUAUUAUAGAAACCUAAUUUAAAUAAAAUAUUUUGAAAUAAAUUAGAUAAAAAAAAAAAAAAAAAAACUUGUCAUCAUUCUAACCCAAAUCAAAUUUUAAAGAAUAAUUAAAUAUUUCAAGUCUCAUUUUGUCUCAAUAUCACCUUUGCUAAUCAACCUAUCCAAUCUUAGAUCAAACCCAAAUUGCAAUCAAAUUUUGACAAGAAAAAAUCAACUUAAGACUGAAUAAGAAAACUUGUGGAAAGAGUCUCAUCAAGAAGGUGCAUGAAACCCUCCGUUCAAAAACUUCUUCUAAAAUAAAAUUAAAAAAGAAAAGAAAAAGAAAAGAAAGAUAUUCAAUGUUAAAGGACUUUUAAGAUAAAUCAAAAUUUGAAAAUGAAUGUUAAUACUUGCAAUAGAUUCCACAUUCAUGAACAAAUUACCAUUGCACCACUUAUUUUCAAUUCACACUUUAAUUUACUAUCCAUAGAAACUUUCAUUAAAUUUUCCAUAAAACAAACAAAGAGCCUUAACCCCCAAAUAUUUUAAUUCUUAAAAAUACAUCAUUUCAUCAAUUUUUGAAACCCUCAUUUUAACACAAAUUAUUUUUUUUACAAAUAAUUAAAAGAAUAAAAAGAAAAUUAAGAAGAGGUUGUCAUUAUUAUUCUUGCAAAGUCACCACAAAAUAAAUUAUAACAAAUAUAGAAAAUAAAAUAAUAUGACGAUGAAGAUAAUGCUUAGAAAGUUAGAAUGAGGAAGAUAAUAUCAUUUAGAUGAUUUAGGUUAAGAUGAGGACUAGAUAAGGAAAGUGACAUCAAUUGCCUAAUUAUUUGGGGUUUUAGAGAUACAAAAUGAGGGAGAUGACUAAAAUUAUGGUUUAAUUAUUUUUGGUUAAGGAUUAUUAAGUUAUUUUAAGGAAUUAAUUAAUUUAUUUAUAAUAAAUUUAGAAAUUAAUUAAAAGUUAAUUAUAAUAAUUAUUGAUUCAUAGUUUAAUUUAAAGCUAAUUUGAAUAAAAGAUGAAAAACUGAAAGUCCAUUAGGGUUCCACCUAGAGAGGGGAGAGGAGGUGGAUGAUUUAAAAAAUUUCAAUAAAGAUCUAUAUGUUAUAUCCAAUUUUAUUUUACCCUGUGAGAUGUUAGGGAUAACCUUUUCUAUCAAUCUUAGGCAAUUCAAACAAAAUAUCAAAUAUAAAAGAUAAGAACAAUAAGGUAUGCGAUUUUUAUAUGGAAAAUCCUCACACUAACUGUGACGAUAAAAACCACGAGGUCUAAGACCUAUUAAUCUAAAUGCACUAGAUGAAAUCAAGUUACACAGAUUUACUUGACUGCUUUACCUUAAAGAUUUACUCUCCGGUAGGUACAACUUGAUUCAUAUCCACAACAUAGCAACCCUUGAUUGCUCCAGUGGAUCACUUCAGCUUCCUUGAAAGGAUGAAGGUCUUCAAAAUAAUAUUUAAAGAACAAAUCCUUGAAUGAGAAAUUGAGAAUGGUGUGGCAAUCUAGGUUUUGUCUCUAGGAGACCCUUUUUAGAGAAUAAAGUCUCUCAACAAUCUAUCUCGAAUCUCUUCAAGAUCUCUAACCCUCAAGAGGUUAUAAGGGAGGUAUUUAUAGACAAAAGUUUGAAGAGUUUCGAUUUUGGAAGGUUUCUUAAUUGAAAUUUCGUGAAAAACUUGGUAGAAUCAACAUGAUUGCUCAAGCGCCUCAAGCACUUGAGUGGUAUGGCUCACUUGAGCGGUCCUAAGCGCUUGAGUAGUCUUUAGUGCUUGAGCACUCUAGGCCACUUGAGCAGUCUUGCUCUAUUUCAAAAAUCAAUUUUAAAAUCUUUUUAAGUUCAAAACAAAAUUGAUCCUCUUUAAUACCUCAACAUAGCCUAAUUAACAUAAGUCAAACCUCUUUAAACAUGUGACUUCUCAAUUGGACAAACAACAACCCUUGAUCUUCAAUGAAGAGUAAGUCACUAACUAGAAAGACUUCUAUGACCAAACAUUACAAAGAACAAAAUUGCCAACAUAUAGGCAAGACUUACUGUCUUAACAAUCUCUCCCUUUGACAAUUUUGUGACAAAAAAUCGUUACAUAAACCCACUUGAACUCUCAUAACGGAGUUUACAUAACACACUUUAAUGCUCAAUUAAAACUAAAUUAAGGGAAAACUUUGUAUUAGUUUAUAGUACUUAUAUUUCAACCCUGUAACCUACACACAUACAAAAAACUAUACUAAAGGUAAAGUGUUACGACCGCCUCUACCACGGCUUCCAGCACGUUUGCCACGAGGAGCUAUGGUGAUUCUUUGUUGUAACAAACCUGAUCAAGAGAAUAAAUAUGGUUUUAAUUCGAGGAAAAACCAGACCUCCCAAUAGCAAACUGCUAUAUAAUAUUCUGAUUGUUCCCCAUUGAUAUGCCGUGAAGCUCUAUAAAUAGCUUUACAAAGUUAAACAACUCCAACAUCCCUAAACUACUCAUCACCUAGAUAAGGAUAAACACUAUUCCUAACCAAACUCCUAAUACUUUAAUCUGAUAACAAUUCAGAUUGCUAUUAUUAUCCUAAAACAAAUAAAAAUAAGAUAAUUAAAUAAAAAAUGAGAUAAUCCUAACACAAUCCUACUCAGCAACUCCUAUGCCUCAUGAAUACAGCAACUCCUCUUGCUAGUGGACAUAACAUUUCCUACCCCUUUAGAUUCGACCCUUGUCCUCAAGGGUGAUAUCAGGAAAACGAAGCCUCAUGAAUACAACAACUCCUCUUGCUAGUGGACAUAACAUUUUCUUCGAUAUCUCCAAUUCCGUCACCGUUAUCCUCCUCUGGCCAGCAUCCUUCAAUCAAAAAAAGCUUCUUACACCGAUGCCCAGGGGCAAACUUUUCGUCACAAUUGAAGCAAAGGCCCUUAUCUCUACGUUCUUUCAUCUCCGUUGGUGACAAUCUUCGAAUGGCGGGAGUAGAUGAAAGUGGGCGACUGGUGACUGUUGAGUUCGUUGAUACAGUCUUUUUUGGCUCAAGGUUGAAACUGGAUCGCUUAUGAUAUUUAACCUCAUAGAGCCGAGCCAAACCUAUUGCUGCAGACAACGUUGGUGGUUUCAUGGCUUGAACAUCUAUCCUCACAUCUUCGUUUAGACCACCAAUGAAACAAGCAACCUGUUGAGACUGAUUUAACUUCCCCACUCGGCUGAGGAGUUUCUCGAAUUGGCUUUGAUACUCCCGUACUGAACCAACCUGUUUGAGCCUUAUAAGAUCUCCAAAAAAAUCAUCAAAUUUCGUUGGCCCAUACCUGGAAUUCAGCCCUUCCUUGAGCGUGAGCCAUGCAACUUCCCCUUCUUCCUUCAGUAUUUGAUACCACAAUUGUGCCUCGCCUUCUAGAUGAUACGUCGCUAGCGGAACCUUCUCUUCCUCAGCAAUUUUCUGAAAUUCGAAGAAUUGCUCUACUCGACAAAUCCAACUCGUUGGAUCUUCACUGCCAUUAAAGCGAGGAAAAUCAAGUUUAGUGACCCUUGGAAUUACCGCACCAUAAGACUCAGUGGAGUCACGAGGGCCUCUAUAAUUGAAUCGCCGAGACCCCCCACCAUUGUGUGAACUCUCUCCUCGUUCCAAACUUUGGUUGCCCGAUAUUUGAUCUAAUCGGGUAUUCAUUGACGUUAUUACUUGCAUCAGUGUUUCUUGUAACUCCUGGAACUUCCUAUCUUGCUCUGCUGCUAUAGAGCCUAUCUCUGUCUCCAAACGAUCAAUGCGUGAUUCAUCCAUAACCUGCUCUGAUACCAAGUUGUUACGACCGCCUCUACCAUGGCUUCCAGCACGUUUGCCACGAGGAGCUAUGGUGAUUCUUUGUUGUAACAAACCUGAUCAAGAGAAUAAAUAUGGUUUUAAUUCGAGGAAAAACCAGACCUCCCAAUAGCAAACUGCUAUAUAAUAUUCUGAUUGUUCCCCAUUGAUAUGUCGUGAAGCUCUAUAAAUAGCUUUACAAAGUUAAACAACUCCAACAUCCCUAAACUACUCAUCACCUAGAUAAGGAUAAACACUAUUCCUAACCAAACUCCUAAUACUUUAAUCUGAUAACAAUUCAGAUUGCUAUUAUUAUCCUAAAACAAAUAAAAAUAAGAUAAUUAAAUAAAAAAUGAGAUAAUCCUAACACAAUCCUACUCAGCAACUCCUCUGCCUCCUCUUGCUAGUGGACAUAACAUAAAGUAGUGUGAGGGAUAAAGUAAUGUUGAGAAAGCAAAACAGGAUAGUUUGAGGUUUUGCUUGAUGACUUGUGAAAACAUGAAAAUGGAACAGAUUUUUGUAGAGACACUAAGGCACAAAGCAAAGCUUGAGAGGAAUAUAGAUACACACAAAUCAGGAAAACAUAAUAGAAGCUUGAUAAGACAUAAUAGAUCAAUAAUAAUGCUUAGAAGUCUAUCUCCAACCAGAUAAUGGGUAGUGAAAACCAUGGAAAGAAGCUUCUAUGACUCAGAAUAGUUCUAGAGUGAUAAAUAGUUCAAACAUAAAUAUCUUAUAAGAAACAUUCGUGUCAGGUAUCUCUUUAAACCAUCUAAGUUAUGCUUUCAUCAGUUGAUAUGGUUGUCUCCAAUUUCUCAAGUUUAAUUUCCUCUAAUAUUUCAAUAAUUUCCCUUAAUGGAUGAAUGAAUGAAUGAAUGAAUUGAAUUAAAGAAUUCAAAAUUUUUAACUCAUAGUAACUCCCCUUAAAUUACAAUCAAUACAAUAAUUCAAAUCAAGUAUACCAAAACAUAAAUAAUAGAACAUUUAUGCAUUAGGUGGCGGUAGAGGGAUAGAGCUUGAAGCGCCCUGAGAAUGGAUACAGGAAAAGAUGUAGUUAAGUUAUCCCUAAAUCUCUCAGAGUUGGAGAUCCUAAGAGUCCAUCUUCUGAUGAAGUCGAGCCAUGGAAUUUAGAGCCUCAUGGGCGUUGGGUCUACAGAAGUAAAAGCCUUGUGUGUAGCUCGGGAAGAACUAACACAACCUCAACUCUAGAGUGAGUCCUCGGAGCAGACUCUAAAUAGUCUGUCUCUAGAAUUCCACUCUACUCCAUAGCUCGAAGCUCAUCCUCCUGGACAACUGCCUCUGCAUGCUGGCCUACAUCAUGCAGUUCAUAAGCUGGAACAACCAUCAAACUGUAUACAUGAAUGUAGUGCUUGGCCCAGGAACUCCCAUCCAAAAAGGCAUGGGUAGCUUAGACCCCUAGUGUAGGAUCAAUCUUAAAUCCCACAUCCUCGAGUAUCCGCGUGAUGAGGAGGGUAAAGGGGAGAGUGCCUCCUCUAAAGGAUAAACCACGAAGGGGAAUGAUUGUAUCCAGGAUGACCUAGCCAAUGUCAAAUUGUUGGCUUGAGAGAAUGGCGUGAAUAAAGUGAGCAGAUGGUCAACGGAUUUGGGUGCAGUGUGUAAAUGGGUAGAAGGAGUAAGUGAAUAAUGUUGCAAACAACCAUGUUUGCUUGGAGAAGCCAACAAUCAGGAUAUAAGAAGGAAAGAGGCAAAGACUGCCAUAAAGAGAAGUCAGAAUGGUGUCAAGUUUCUCUCGGGUGAGAGCCUGAACCUCUGGGGAAAACAAAGGAAUGAGAGCCUUAAUUUGCGACUUGCUAAGGACACAUUGAAUGGAAUGAGAGGAAAUAAGGAAAAAUUGACCAUGCAUGGUCACCUGAAAGCUGACUCCGACCAUAAUAUAAUGCAUGUUCUCAUAGAACAUGUGAACAAGAUGGGGAUAGGAAGUCCCCUAGAGAGAAAACAGUCUCCUAACCCUACUCUUGAAUGAUGAUAGGGAAGACAGUGUCCUGAAAAGCUUAGAGGUUAAUGGCAUGCUCAGGCUCGACACACCGAUAUGUGAAAGAAGCGUAAUUAUGGUCCCGUGCCACCUGGCAGUGAAAGCGCUCAACCGGAAGUGCAUCUAGGUUAAAAAGACCCUGGAGUGGGAUGCCCUAGACGGUUUCAGUGACCUAGGAAAGGUCACCUCCCUUUGACAUCUAUGACUAGCCAUAUCUAAGGUAUAUAAUAUGAAAAAACAAAAGCUAAAGAAAAACUAAAGAAAAUCCAGAGAAAAGCUAAACCACUAAAAAUGUUAAACUCAAUGCGUCGAACAAUACUAUACAAAUGGAAAUGAAAAAUAUGAAGCGAACUGACCUCAGAAUACAAAAGGACAGUAACCCAGAGGGCUCGAAGAGGAAUAGGAAAGUUUGAAAUGAAUAUGGCGUCCUGGAUGACCUUUAUAUAGCUUAUAGGAGUGCUUGAUGCAGAUUAGCACUCGAGCGUCCUUACUAACUUAAAUCAAAUUAUUUAUUAAUAUGUAAAUAUUUUAAAAGUUUCAAAGGAAGUAUUCAAUUUAGAACCUUUUUAGAUUUUUUUUGAAAGAAACAAAAAUAAAGCGUGAAAUAUUAUGUGUUUAAGGUGUUAGAAGACAAUAUUGUCUAAUCCAAAGCCUUACACAUUCCCACAAAAAAAAAAAAAGGAAAAAGAGAGAUAUUAUAUAAGAUUUUGAUCACAUCUAAUAGAAACUCAUAUUUAGCAACAUAUCACCAAGCACUAUCUUAUCUGAAAGCUCUAACAUGUUGGAAAUUUAUUUAAGGUUCCAUAACAACUAACAACUUUUUCUGACGACUCAGUAGUGGACCAUUUGCACUUUAACUGCAUUAUUGAAUUUAAAUCAUAUUAGAAUAGUAAUUGACUUCUCUUUUGUGAGGCUACAUAUCUUGUAGGAUGGGAUAGGUGAUUCAUUUCAUAUAUGAAAUUUAGUUAAUUUAGUAAUGCAUCCAAGUUCAUUAUGAAUCUAAUGGUAUCACAACUCCUUGAAUAUUUGUAAUCUGUAAUCUUUGAUUCAACUUCUCAAGUCUAGUCAUUUUAUCGGCAUAACUAGUUUGCUUCAAUUAUCUCUCAACUUUAUUAUAAAACUAAGGGAAAAAAUUAUCACGGAUUUUAUAUUAACUUAACCAAACAUCUUUAUAUAUAUAUAUAUAUAUAUAUAUAUAUAUAUAUAUAUUGUAAAUUUAGGAAAAUUUCAUCCAUUAGCCAUAGUAAGUAAGAAUCAAAUAAGGGAUAUGUAAGCCAAUGGUGAUAUUGAUGGCGUCAAAUCAAUGACAUAGUAGAAAAGUGGAUUGUCUAUUUUCAAACCUUUAUAUUUUCAUCCAAUAGUAAAAAGGUUUAGGCAUCACUUGAAAAGUAGUUCGUUUUUUUACCUUGGACUAUGAUUUAUGAAUAAAGUUCUUCUAUUGUAUACCUUUUGUGAUGCCCCAAACCUAAUUUAUGGGUAAAAAAAAAUAAUUUAGAAAAAAAUAAAUAAAAAGUUAAAUAAAUUUAAUUAAGGUAAAAAUGUAUUUUCGUAUUUAAAAUUCCUAGGUAUCAAUUAUAUAUUUCUUGUCUUCUCUAUUCAAAAAACCCUAUUACACAAAAAUCAAAUAUUAGAGAACAUAGGACAACGCAGGGUUGAAGAUUUGGAGGUUUAGGGUUGAAGAUUAGUUUUCCGGGUAAGAUUCUAACCCUUAAAUUAGUAUUUUAGAUUCGUUAAUUAGUUUAAACACUUCAGAUAUUCUUUGAAAAUCUGAAUCUAUGUUAGGGUUUGUUAAUUUAAUUUUUAAAUAAAAAAGAUUGAAAAUUUAUGAACAUAAGUAGAGUUAUUAUUAAAGAUUGAAAUUUUUUGAAUAUUUGAAUUAAAAAUCUAGAAAAAAAGAAGAAAAUAAAUUAUAGCUUUGGAUGUGGAAAAAAAUUAAUAUUAAUAAAUAAAUAAAACCUAUGAGUAUGGAGGUAGAAAAAUAUGAGAGUUGAAAGCAAAGAAAAAAAAAAAGAAUAAGGUUUUGUGGUUGUACAUGCCUCCUUAGUGGAAAAAAAAUACAAGGUUGCUUGCAAUAGGAUAUGACAAAGAGAGAGAGAUAAAUGCUUAGAUGUUGAUUUUUGUGGGGAAAAAAAGAUUGGGUAAUGUAGGAGAGAAAUAGGUAGCACUUGUAGAGUUGGUGGAGUUGUUGUAAAAGCUCGUAGGGGUAAUUGUUAGGUAGUGUAGGGUAUGAGAUUAAUUGUUAGGAAACAUUAGGACUUGAAAUAAUAAUAAUUGCUUCUAGUAAAAGUUUUAAUUUAGUUUAAGUAUAUAAAAGAAAUAGAUGAUUAGAAUAAGAUUUGGAAGGAAUAUGAAUUCAUAAAAAUUUCGAGAUUUACUAAUUUAGAUUAUUAUUGUUUUGGAAGUUGAAUAUAAUAUAGGUGAUAAUAUUAUUAAUAUAGGAAAUGAUUCAGAUUCUCAAACCUACAAUUUUAGAUAAAUAGUUAAUAGUAAUAGAUGAUUUUUUAUUUUUAUUUUAUUUUUAUUUUUUAUGUUAUGUUAAGUGAAGAAUGGAUUCUUUGAGAUUAAUUCUCUAAGGUUUCUAAGUGUUUCUUUAAGGUAAGGGAUGUUAAUACUGAUUUUGUAAAUGAAAAUAUUUCUUUUUAUAAGUUAUUUUAAAUUAUGAAAAAUUUUAUUUUUAUUUAUGCAUGGAUCAAAUAUAUAUUUUUUCACGAGAAACAUGUUUGGGCAAUUUCUUUGUUUAUAAAUAAAUAAAUAAAUAAUGAAAACUUUGGAAAUAUAAUGUUUUGUUUUGUAAGUUUAAAAUAAUGAAAUAAAGUUUUUUGACUCUAGUUUAUAUGACCUUAGUUAAUGGGUUAUAAUUGUUGACAUUUUCAGCUCCAGUCAAUGAUUAUAAUUGUUGACAUUUUUGGUUCCAAUCAACGAUUAUAAUUGUUGAGAUUUUCAACCCUAGCCAACGGGUAUAAUAGUUGACCUUAUAGCCCUAGUCAACAGAUAUAAUUGUUAACCUUUGGUUUUGCCCAUCUUAAAAAGAACAAAUUUAAGGCUAGCCAUUUAUUUGUAAAGUCCCACUUAACUAAGUACCAUUUGUUAUUUAAUAACCAGAGUAAAGAUAUUUUGAAUGUAUUUGAUAUGAAAUUGUUUUGAUAUAAAUAUGAAAAUGUUUGGUUGAAAAGUUCAAAUGUUUAAUGCAUGUUGAAUUCAAAAGUUUUUAUGAAAAUGAUUAUAUGUUAUAUCCCCUAUUUGUAAGUUUGAUCCAUGAAACUGUAUUAAUAUUCCUUAUUGGACUUUGAGCUCAUUCCCCUUUGUUGAGAAUUUUUUUUGGUAUUCUCAGUUUGGGUAAGGAGUGAUGACUGGGUUGGGGAAUUUUCUUUGCUAUGAUUUUGGUUCAAUCUUUAUUUUGGACAUUGUUUAGAUGUUAAAAUUUAAUUGCCAUUUAAAUUAUUUGAGUUUGGAGUUAUUUGGACGAUAACACUUUGAUUGAUGUGUUAGUUUUAAAGUUGAGAAUUGAAAAUUAUAGAAUUUAUUUAUCUUACUACUUUGAACAGAAAUUUAGUAGUUGGAGAUCAUCCAGUUACAAGAUGAAUAUUUGUGUCGUUUCCACUUUGAGCGUUCAGGCUUAGGGUGUGAAAUGACCGUUAUGCCCUUGGAGUGGGUAUAUUGUUUAUUUGAAUUUAAUGGUCCCUGAACUCCUUAAUUACUCAUAACUUUAUAUCACCUUCUCAAAGUAAGUUGUUUUACAACUACUAUCUAGCUACUUAUCUCUACUAUGACAACUUUAUUACAUAGUGAUUAAUUGAAAGAAUCUACAUGUCUUAUUUCAUAGGAUAGUUGAUUUUUUCACUCAAUGAAUCUUGCUUUUAUUAUUGAAAUUUUCAAAUCAUUGUAGUCCAACAAUUUCCUAUCCAUUGGUAAUUUCAUAUUACAUUUCCAAAGUCUAAUCAUUUAAAAACACUUGUAGUUAAUAUAUUGGCAAUUGCAUUGUGGGAAGUUGUUCACUUGAUUUUAAUGUUGAAACUUUCAAAUUGUUGUAGUCCAACAAUUCCCUAUCCAUUGGUAAUUUCAUAUCACAUUUUCAAAGUAUAAUCAUUUACAAAUACUUGUAUAUAGUAUAUUUGGUGAUUGUAGAGUGGAAAGUUGAUCGUUUUUAUGAAGACCUCUAAAAUAGAAAUUUUUUUCAUUCCAUUUAAUAAAGAAUUUCAUUAAUUGAACAUAUAUGUUUUUUAACCGGAAAGUAAAGGCCACAUUAGGCCUUAGGUGACAAUACUAGGUGAGGGUUUUUCUUAAAAUUUAUUUAUUACGAAAUAUAAAUAAUAUUAUUUAUUUUAUAAUAAAGAUUAUUAUAAUAUAUUUUUUAUAGAUUUGAAAAAAAUAUUAAUUGAGUUUUAUUUAUUUUUAAAUAAUUGUUUUCAAUAAAUAACUUAUUUGUAAAAAUAAAACUAUUAAAUAUAUGCAUUUGAAAAAUAUUUAAUUUUUAUUUGAUUUAGUAUCAAUUAAUAUUUGUAAUAUUUUUUAAUAUUAUAGAAGUUAACAUACCCAAUUAAGAUAUUCAAGAUCAAGAGAAUAUUAUAGAAGUUAACAUACCCAAUUAAGAUAUUCAAGAUCAAGAGAAUAUUUGAGAUUGAAUUAAUUUCUUUAUUGUUUAUGUUUUAGUAAAUUUUUAUAUCCAUAACAAAAUUUUUAUUGUUUAUUUUUCAUUCAAUGUUUGCAUUUUGUAAUAGAUAUUAAAACAAAUUUUUUUCUUGCAUGUUAAAAAAAUAUUUCAAUGUCUUUAAAAAUAAAAUAUUGCAGUAAAAUCAAAAUUACAUUGUGAAACUUUAAGCAAAUGUUUUAUACUUAAGAAGUGCCAAUUAGAGUAAGCAUGCAUCUACAAUUGUGAUUUAGAUGUCAUAUUGAAACAAUAGUUCUCUUUGACUAUAUCAUAAAAUUUGGUUCGAAUUACUUUAAGUCAUCUUGUAGAUUUUCAAGUUCCAAUGAUAUGCAUCAAGUAUGUGCAACAUACUUGAUAUAACUAAUAUUUUCUUAAGUAAUUGGACACUUUUUUCUAUAAAUUUACUUGAUUAUCAAUGAAUACUUUUAUGUAGGGUAUUGAUAUAAUUCGAUAAAUAUUUUAAAAUAGUAUUAGAAUAGCUUUGCUCUUUCCCAAUUAACAAAUUUACUAAAUUAACUUAUAUAUAUUUGUUUAUUUGAAUUUACUGGUAUUUGACGCAAAUUGUUAUUAUUUUUAAAAUUAUAGGAAAACCAUUAUUUAUAGAGUUUAAUUAUAUUUGGUAAAUUAUCUUUUUAAGUUUGACUAAGAUUAGGAAACUAUUAAUUUAAUAUUAAUCCAUAAGGCUCUAUAAAUUUGUAGUUUUAUAUAGGAUUUAAAAAAAGAAAGAAAAAGUAAGAAAAAGUAAGAAAAAGUGAAGAGAGAUAGGCAAAGAGUGCAUUGGGUUUUAGAUAGAGAAAGGUUGAGAGAGUUUUGAUUACUACUCAAAAAGAACAUAUUUUAGAUAGUAAUUCUCAUGGGUUUCACAUCUUUUGAGCAUUAAUUAUGCCUAAAAAUGCUCAAUUAACAUGUUGUUGCCCUCGCAAGAGUUACUAACAAGUUUUAUAAAGUUUUGGAGUCAUUUCAAGUUAUGAUUUUAAUAAAUUGAUGACAAAAGAGAUGAACUGAUUUGAAGAAGGCAAAUAAUAUUGAUGAUGAUCCAAAUGUAAAAUGAAAGAAGCAAUAUAAUUAGAUUGAUCGGGAUUUGCUGCUAAUUUGGAGGUAGUUAAGGUGGAGUCAAAAGAAGAAAAUGGAAGAAAUGACAAAGAGGACCUUAAAAACCAAAUGUUGCAGAUUUGUAUGAUCAUGCAAAAAUUUUACAUGACUAUGCGAAAUGGAUUAGAGAAGGAAAAUUGACUAUGGUAUAAGGAGGAUGCUUAAGUUGAUUUCACAUGAACAUGAGAAAAUUUCGCAUGAACAUGUGAAAAUUUUGCACAAUCAUGUGAAAUGGUCCAAAAAGCUCUCUAAUGUUGUUGUUGCUCCACUAAUUUCUCACCACCAUGCGAAAUCGAUCUUUUCAUGCAAAAUGGUUGAAGCUCAUGUGAAAUCAUGAUUUUGAUGCUAAACUCUAGAUUUGUGAAUUUGGAAGGUUUUAGAAGACCAAUGAGAGGUUGCCAAGUGUCCACUUGACCUUGGUCUAUAAAUAGAAACUGGAAUUUCCCAUGUAAAGGGCUUUGAGAUACUUUUGAUUUUAGAUUUUUCUAGAAACUCUUUCUCUAAAUAGAAUUCUUUAUUUUCUUUAAUUUUCCCUCAUUUUCUCAUUAGCCAAACAUGCCUAGUGAGACCAAAUCUCCAAGUAUGAGUGGCUAAAUCUCGUUUUUCUCAGAGGAAUGAGGAUCUAGAGGUAAGAUCUAUGGUGAAUUAUAGAAAUGAGUUUUAAUUGCAAAUGUAAUUUGAUCCAAUUGAUUGAUUAAUUGAAAUUUGAGGAUUUUUCUCUUUAAAUUGUCCUGAAUGACUAUUACAUUGCAAACUAGGUAGAUUCAUUAAAUUCUUAAAGCUAGAUUUAAUGAGACUGAAUAGUUGCAUUUGUAUGAAUCAUUGGAAAAUGAUUUAAGAUGAAUUGAAUAUAUAAUUUAAAUUGAUCUCUUGGAUUAAAUAACCUAAUUUGAAGAGAAAUUAGGUUUAGACUUAAAGGUAAAUCUAAAAUUGGUUUAGAUAAGAAUUUAGGUUUUCAAUCUAACUUGAUGAAAAAUAAAUCUCAACAUCUAUUCGCCAUGGAAAUUUUUUUCUAAAAAAUAUUAACUCCAAGAAUUCCUUUUCCUUAUCAAUUUUCUUAUGUCAUCUAUAAUGUUCUGGUUUUGUCCUCUGUAAUGUUCUUUAUUGUAUUGUGGAAUUAUUCUCUCUCAUCUAUGUAGGCAAGUUGCUAAACCACGUUAAAACCUCAAAUACCAUUUGUGUUGAUUUUUUUUUAUCUUUGUGUUCUUGAUUAAUGAUGCUUGCAUCAAAGCUUCUACCAACGUAACAAUGUGCAACAUAUUUGAUAUAACUUAUAUUUUCUUAAGAAAUUGAACACUUUUUUCUAUAAAUUUACUUGAUAUCAAUGAAUACCUACAUAUACGGUAUUGACAUAGUUUGAUAAAUAUUUUAAAAUAGUAUUAGAAUGGCUUNNNNNNNNNNNNNNNNNNNNNNNNNNNNNNNNNNNNNNNNNNNNNNNNNNNNNNNNNNNNNNNNNNNNNNNNNNNNNNNNNNNNNNNNNNNNNNNNNNNNUUCUUUUUCCCAAUUAACAAAUUUAUCAAAUACACACACACACAUAAUACUCAUUAGUAUGUCUUUUAUGAAAAAACUAUAUUGUUUAUUUGAAUUUAGUAGCCAUUCAACUCCUUAGUUACUCAUAAACUUUAUAUUACCUUCUUAAAGUCAAGUCAUUUACAAUUAUUUCUAUCUAGCCGGCCUUCUCCAUUAUGACAACUUUAUAAGAUAGUGAUUGAUUGGAAGAAUCUACAUGCCUUUGUUGAUAGGAUAAUUGUUUUUCUUUUUUUCGUAUUCAAAGAAUCUUGCUUUUGUUAUUGAAACUUUCAAAUCCUUUAUGUCUGAGAUUUGAUGUAAAUUUGCUUAGUUACCAAUGAUUUCAAAUUUCAUUAAUUAGUACCCCUAUAGAUGUAAUUUGUGUACAAAAUUUAUUUUUUAAAAGAAUUUAGGGAAAAAUAUUUUAGGUAUAUGUCUUUAACAAUUCUCUAAAAUAAAUUUUACUUGCUAAAAAAUAACUUAUAUAGAUAGAAUACAUCUACAAGAGUUCUAACUAACGAAAUUUAAAACUAAUGGUGGUUUAGCGUAUUUAAACUAAACAUUAGGAAGGGUGACUGAAAUUAACCCUCUAGGUAUAUAUGUUUAACAAAAUUUUUAUUGUUUAUUUUUCAUUUAAUUUUUGCAUUUUUCAAUAAACAUUGAAAAGGAAUUGUUUUUCCAUAUGUUAACAAAAAGAAAUUUGAACACCUAUAAAAAUAAAAUCUUGUAGUAAAAUUGGAGUUACAUUAUCAGACUUUUAACGAGUGUUUAUGUUUAGAAAGGCCAAUUAAAGCAAGCAUGCAUCUAGAAAUUGUAACUUAGAUGCAUCAAACAUGAGCAACAUAUUUGAUAUAACUAAUAGUUUCUUAAGUAACUAAACACUUCUUUUUCUAUAAAUUUACUUGAUUAUCGUGAAUACUUACAUAUAUUUACAUAGUUUGAUAAAUAUUUUAAAAUAAUAUUAGAAUAACUUUGUUUUUUCUCAAAUAUUAGAAAAUAAUAUAAAGUUACUUAUAAACUUUAUAUCAUUUUCUCAAAGUCAAGUCAUUUACAAUUAUUUCUAUCUAGUCUUCUCCAUUUUGACAACUUUUAUAUGAUAGUCGUUGAUUGCAAGAAUCUACAUGUCUUUUUUGAUAGGAUAGUUGUUUUUAUUUUUUUUAUUUUUUUUAUUCCAAAAAUUUGCUUCUAUCAUUGAAACUUUCAAAUCUUUUAUGUAUAUUACCAAUCAUUUUACAAGUGAGUUAAUUUCACUUAGGGUAGAUAUACUUAGCCACACCCCUAUAGAUGUAAUUUGUGUUUAAAUUUUAUUUUUUAUUUAGGUAAAAAUAUCUUAGGUAUAUGUGUUCAACAAUUCUCUAAAAAAUAAAUUUUCUUAUCUAAAAGUUUAUAUAGAUAAAAUACAUUUAUAGAAGUCCUAACUAAUGAAAUUUAAAAUCAAUGGUUGUUUAGUGUAUUUACAUUAAACCUUAUCGGGUAUGAUUGAAAUUAACUCUUUUACAAGCACUUGUAGCUAAUAUGUUUGUAGUUGUAGUGUUGGAAAUUGAUCAUUUUCUUGAAGGCCUCUAAGAUAUUGGAAAUAUUGCCAUAGUUUUAGACUUUUUUUUAUUACACCUAAUAAAAAAUAUUAUUAAUUUAACAUAUAUAUUCUUAACUUAAAAGUAAAGUCUCUCCAUAUUGUAUGAGCCCUUAGGUGGCAAUAUUAGGUGAAGUUUUUCUUUCGUUUAUUACAAAAUAUAAAUAAUUUAUUAUUGUAUGAUAAAAUUUUAUAUAAUAUAUUUUUAUAGAUGUAAAAUUAUUAUUGGGUUUUAUUUUAUUUUUUUACUAAAUUGUCAUUUCAAUAUAUAAAACUUAUUUGUAAAAAGACAAUUAUAAACUAUAUGAAAUACAUUUAGUUUUUUUAUUUAAUUUAGAAUUUUAUUUGGAUUAAUAAUUGAUAUUUGUAAGAUUUUUUAAUAUUAAAAAAAGUUAGCAUACUUAAGAAAGAUAUUCAAGAUCGGGAGUGUUUGAUAUUGGAUUAAUUUCCUUAUUUUCCUAUUUUAAUAAAUUUUCAUGUCCAUUACAAAAUUUUUGUUGUUUAUUUUUCACUUCAAUAUUUUUAUUUUGUAAUAGACAUUUGAAAAGAUUUUUUCCUACAUGUGAAAAAAAAAAAGAUUUGAACACUCCUAAAAAAGAAAUAUUGCAAUAAAAUUAAAGUUUACAUUGUAGGACUAUUAGCAAGUGCUAUAUACUUAAAAUAGACCAAUUAAAGUAGAAAUACUUCUAAAAUUGUAAUUUAGGUAACAAUAAUAUAAAAAGAUAAUAUUUUUGAAACAAUAGUUCUCUGGAGUUUUGGGUACGAUGGACUAGACUUUAUGUAACAAUAGAUAUACGAACUUUCCAUUAACAUCUUGAGAGACAUGAUGAGGAGCAAAGUCAUCCAAGAAGGUACCAUAGAGGUACCUUAGCUCCAUUCAUCUAGACUACAUAAUGUUUAAAGAUCAAAUUCAAUGACUAGAUUUCAAAAAUCAAUAUAAGCUUUCUCAUAUUCUACUCUAUAUAAGACAAUGGUAUCAUUUUAACAUCAGUUUGAAACUUAGAAGUCACUUAGCACAUUCUAGUUAUUAAUUUAAGAGCAUUAAAAGAAAAUAUAAAAAAAGUUACUUUAUCCUUGUGAUUUUGAUCUAGGACUUUUAAUGAUAUUAAAAAAAAAAAAAACAGAAAAAUAAAUGGAAAUAAAAUCAACAAAUUAAACAAUUGAAUUAUGUUAGUUUAAUUUUUGCAUCGUUAAAUGGGUAAAUAAAGACUCUUAGAUUUGAUAUUAAUAUGAACAUCAUGACUUCAGUGAAUCUUACAAGAAAAUUUUAGUUUGAAAGACUUCAUUCAUUAAACGUGUGGCACAUAUUAAAGUAAAACUAAGUCUUCUCUAUAAUUUGUACCUAUCAUAGUUUCUUUCCUCAUAAAUAGCCUUUUUUGAAUAUAAUAUAGACUUCAACAUGCAUGGUGGGGCCGAUCAAACUACUAGUCAAGACAACUCAUGGGCAACAACGAUGUACCAACUACAUUUAAAUACUCUUCAUCUAUUUGCAUAUCAAGAGUAAUUUAGUAGUGUCUUUCUUAUGUACCUCAUAUCUAGAUUUUCAAUGGAGAGUUCUUCAUCUAAAAUUUUGACUUGGGUUUUCAUACUAGUUUUGGUUUAGACAUGUGGAUGCAAAGGUUGCAUCAAAGAAGAGAAGUGGGCUAAAUCAUCUUACAAAUUUUCAAGUUCAAAUUAGAUGCACCAAACAUAUGCAACAUAUUUGAUAUAAUUAAUAUUUUCUUAAGUAAUUGAAUACAAUUUUUUUUUUAAAUUUACUUGAUUAUUAAUGAAUAACUACAUGUAUGGUAUUGACACAACUUGAUAAAUCUUUUAAAAUAGUAUUAGAAUAACUUUGCUAAAAAAAAGUAAAAAUAAAAAUAAAAAUACAUCUAUAUAUAUAAAAUUAAAUAAAAUUAAAAAUUAAAAAAGAAUAUAUAUAUAUAUAUAUAUAUAUAUAUAUAUUCUGUGUGUGUGUGUGUGUGUGUGCAUGGUCCCACAACUCAUUAGCUACUCAUAAGCUUUAUAUCACUUUCUCAAAAUCAAGUCAUUUUGUAAUUAUUUCUAUCUAGCCUUCUCCAUUACGACAACUGUAUAGGAUAUUGAUUGGUUGGAAAAAUUUUCAUGUCUUUUUUUAUAAGAUAGUUUUUUAUUAUUAUUAUUAUUCAAAGAAUUUGCUUUUAUUAUUGAAACUUUCAAAUCCUUUAUGUCUAGUGGUCCUACAAUUCCCUAUUCAUUGGUAUUUCAUAUUACCAAUCAUUUUAAAAAUAAGUUUAUUUCACCCGGUAAAUAUACUUAACUACCAAUGGUUUCAAAAUUAAUUGAUUAACACACUUAUAGAUGUAAUUUGUUUUUAAAUUUUAUUUUUUUAGAAGAAUUGUAGGUAAAAAUAUUUUAGGAAUAUGUGUUCAAUAAUUCUCUAAAAACAAUUUAUAUAGAUGGAAUACAUUCAUGGAAGUUCCAACUAAUGAAAUUUAAAACCAAUGACGAUUUAAUGUAUUUGCACUAAAUCUUAGGGGAGGUGUACUAAAACUAGCCCUUAUACAAAUAUUUGUAGCUAUAAUAUUUGUAGUUAUGGUGUUGGAAGUUGAUCAUUUUCUUAAAGGCCUCUAUGAUAUUGGAAAUAUCGCCAAAGUUUUGAACUUUUUGUUUCACCUAAAAAAAAUAUCAUUAAUUUAAUAUAUAUACUCUUCGCUUGAAAGUAUAGUUUUUUCAUAUUGUAUGAAGUUGUAGCUAGGUGACAAUAUUAGGUGAAAUUUUUUUGGUUAACUACAAAAUAUAAAUAAUAUAUUUAUUAUAUGAUAAAAUUUUAUAAAAUAUAUUAUUAUAGAUGCAAAAUUAUUAAUGGAGUUUUAUUUUUUACUAAAUUAUCAUUUCAAUAAAUAAGAACUUAUUUGUUAAAAGAAAAUUAUAAAAUAUAUGCAGUUGAAAAAAAUUUAAUUUUUUUUAUUUAAUUUGGUAUUUUAUUUGAAUUAAUAAUUGAUAUUUGUAAGAUCUUUUAAUAUUAAAAGAAGUUAACAUACUUAAAAAAGACAUUCAAAAUCAAGAGAGUAUUUGAUAUGAAAUUAAUUUAUUUAUUUUUCUAUUUAAAUAAAUUUUUACAUCCAUUAAACAAAUUUUAUUGUUUAUUUUUCACUUCAAUAUUUUUAUUUUGUAAAAGAAAUAGAAAUAAAAUCAACAAAUUAAACAAUUGAAUUAAGUUAGUUUAAUUUUGUCACCGUUAAAUUGGUAAAUGAAGACUCUUAUAUUUGAUAUUAACAUGAACAUCAUGACUUCAUUGAAUCUCACAAGAAAAUUUUAGUUUGAAACAUUUUAUCCUUUAAACAUGUGGCACAUAUUAAAGUGAGACCAAGUCUUCCCUAUAAUUUGUAUCUAUCACAAUUUAUUUCCUAAUGAAUAGCCUUUUUGAAUAGAAUAUAGACUUUAGCAUGCAUGGUGGGGCCUAGCUAUCAAACUACUAGUCAAAACAACUCAUGGGCAAGAAUGAUGUGCCAACUAGAUUAAGUAUUCUCCAUCUAUUUGCAUAUCAAGAGUAAUUUAGUAGUAUCUUUCUUGUGUACCUCAUUUCUUGACUUUCAAUGGAGAGUUUUUUAUCUUAAAAUUUGACGUGGGUUUUCAUACUAGUCUUGGUUCAGAUAUGUGAAUGCAAAGGUUGCAUCGAAGAAGAGAAGUAGGCUGAGUCAUCUUACAAAUUUUCAAGUUCAAAUUAGAUGCAUCAAACAUGUGCAACAUAUUUGAUAUAACUAAUAUUUUACCAAGCAACUAAAUACUUUAUAUAUAUAUAUAUAUAUAUAUAUAUAUAUUAGUGGUCCCACAACUCAUUAGCUACUCAUAAGCUUUAUAUCAUUUUCUUAAAGUCAAGUCAUUUACAAUUAUUUCUACCUAGCCUUCUCCAUUGCAACAACUGUACAAUAUAUUAAUUGAUUGAAAAAAUCAUCAUGUCUUUUUUGAUAGGAUAGUUUUUUUUAAUUCAAAGAACUUUCAAAUUAUUUUUAUCUAGCCUUCUCCAUUAUGACAACUGUAUAAGAUAUUGAUUGAUAUGAUAGUUUUCUUGUAUUCAAAGACUUUGCUUUUAUUAUUGAAACUUUCAAAUCCUUUAUGUCUAGUGGUCCUACAAUUCCCUAUUAAUUGGUAAUUCAUAUUAUCAAUCAUUUUAUAAAUAAGUGAAUUUUUCACUCCGUAAAUAUACUUAACUACCAAUGGUUUCAAAUUUAGUUGGUUAGCACACUUAUAGAUGUAAUUUGUUUUUAAAUUUUAUUUUUUAGAAGAAUUUUACGUAAAAAUGUUUCAGUAUAUGUGUUCAAUAAUUCUCUAAAAUAUUUAUAUGGAUGGAAUACAUUCAUGAAAGUUCCAACUAAUAAAAUUUAAAACCAAUGACGAUUUAAUGUAUUUGCACUANNNNNNNNNNNNNNNNNNNNNNNNNNNNNNNNNNNNNNNNNNNNNNNNNNNNNNNNNNNNNNNNNNNNNNNNNNNNNNNNNNNNNNNNNNNNNNNNNNNNGGGGGGGGGGGGGGGGGUGUAUACUGAAAUUAGCUAGUAUAUUUGUAGUUGUGUUGUUAGAAGUUGAUCAUUUUCUUAAAGGCCUCUAAGAUAUUGGAAAUAUUGCCAAAGUUUUGAACUUUUUGUUUUACACCUAAAAAGAAUAUCAUUAAUUUAAUAUAUAUACUCUUCACUUGAAAGUAUAGUCUCUCCAUAUUGUAUGAAGUCGUAGCUAGGUGACAAUAUUAGGUAAAGUUUUUUUGGUUUACUACAAAAUAUAAAUAAUACAUUUAUUAUAUGAUAACAUUUUGUAAAAUAUAUUAUUAUAGAUACAAAAUUAUUAAUUGAGUUUUAUUUUUUACUAAAUUAUCAUUUCAAUAAAUAAGAACUUAUUUGUUAAAAGACAAUUAUAAAAUAUAUGCAGUUGAAAAAAAAUUUAGUUUUUUUAUUUAAUUUAGUAUUUUAUUUGAAUUAAUAAUUAAUAUUUGUAAGAUCUUUUAAUAUUAAAAGAAGUUAACAUACUUAAAAAGACAUUCAAAAUCAAGAGUCUUUGAUAUGAAAUUAAUUAAUUAAUUUUUCUAUUUAAAUAAAUUUUUACAUCCAUUAAAAAUUUUUUAUUGUUUAUUUUUCACUUCAAUAUUUUUAUUUUGUAAAGGAAAUAGAAAUAAAAUCACCAAAUUAAACAAUUGAAUUAAGUUAGUUUAAUUUUGCCACCGUUACAUUGAUAAAUGAAGACUCUUAGAUUUGAUAUUAACACGAACAUCAUGACUUCAUUGAAUUUCACAAGAAAAUUUUUGUUUGAAAGAUUUCAUCCUUUAAACAUGUGGCACAUAUUAAAGUGAGACCAAGUAUUCCCUAUAAUUUGUAUCUAUCACAAUUUAUUUCCUAAUGAAUAGCCUUUUUGAAUAGAAUAUAGACUUUAGCAUGCAUGGUGGGGCCUAUCAAACUAUUAGUCAAGACAACUCAUGGGCAAGAACGAUGUACCAACUACAUUAAAUACUCUUCAUCUAUUUGCAUAUCAAUGGUAAUUUAAUAGUGUCUUUCUUAUGUACCUCAUUUUUAGACUUUCAAUAGGGAGUUCUUUAUCUAAAAAUUUGACGUGGGUUUUCAGACCAGUCUUGGUUCAGAUAUGUGGAUGUAAAGGUUGCAUCAAAGAAGAGAAGUAGACUAAGUCAUCUUAUGAAUUUUCAAGUUCAAAUUAGAUGCAUCAAACAUGUGCAACAUAUUUGAUAUAACUAAUAUUUUAUUAAGCAAUUGAAUACUUUUUUUGAAAAAAAUUUACUUGAUUAUUAAUGAAUACCUACAUGUAGGUAUGGCAUUGACACAAUUUGAUAAAUCUUUUAAAAUAGUAUUAGAAUGACUUUUCUAGAAAAAAAAAAGUAAUAAUAAAAAUAAAAAUACACAUAUAUUAGUGGUCCCACAACUUAUUAGCUUCUCAUAAGCUUUAUAUCACUUUCUUAAAGUCAAGUCAUUUACAAUUAUUUCUAUCUAGCCUUCUCCAUUACGACAACUAUAUAAGAUAUUGAUUGAUUGCAAAAAUCAUCACGUCUUUUUUGAUAGGAUAUUUUCUUUUUUAAUUCAAAGAAUUUUCUUCUAUUAUUGAAACUUUCAAAUCCUUUAUGUCUAGUGGUCCUACAAUUCCCUAUUAAUUGGUAUUUCAUAUUACCAAUCAUUUUACAAAUAAGUUAAUUUUACUCGGUAAAUAUACUUGACCACCAAUGGUUUCAAAUUUGUAGCACCCUUAUAGAAGUAAUUUAUUUUUAAAUUUUAUUUUUAAGAAGAAUUGCAAGUAAAAAUAUUUUUGGUAUAUAUGUUCAACAAUUCUCUAAAAACAAUUUAUAUAGAUGGAAUACAUUCAUGGAAGUUCCAACUAAUAAAAUUUAAAACCAAUGUCGAUUUAAUGUAUUUGCACUAAAUCUUAGGGGGCGUAGACUAAAAUUAGUCCUUUUACAAAUAUUUAUAGGUAGUAUAUUUGUAGUUGUGGUGUUAGAAGUUGAUCAUUUUCGUAACGACCACUAAGAUAUUGGAAAUAUCGCCAAAGUUAAGAACUUUUUGUUUUACACCUAAAAAGAAUAUCAUUAAUAUAAUAUACAUAUAUAUAUAUAUAUAUAUAUAUAUAUAUAUAUAUAUAUACUCUUCACUUGAAAAUAUAUCUCUCCAUAUUGUAUGAGGUCUAAGGUGACAAUAUUUGGUGAAGGUUUCUUUUUUUGUUUAGUACAAAAUAUAAAUAAUUUAUUUAUUAUAUGAUAAAAUUUUGUAAAUAUAUUGUUAUAGAUGCAAAAUUAUUAAUUGAGUUUUAUUUUUUACUAAAUUAUCAUUUCAAUAAAUAAGAACUUAUUUGUUAAAAAACAAUUAUAAAAUAUAUGCAGUUGAAAAACAUUUAGUUUUUUUUUUUUAUUUAAUUUAGUAUUUUAUUCGAAUUAAUAAUUGAUAUUUGUAAGAUAUUUUAAUAUCAAAAGAAGUUAACAUACUUAAAAAGAUAUUCAAGAUCAAGAGUGUAUUUGAUAUGAAAUUAAUUUCUUUAUUUUUUUUUUCUAUUUUAAAAAAUGUUCACAUCCAUUAAAAAAAAUUUAUUGUUUAUUUUUCACUUCAUAUUUUUAUUUUGUAAAGGAAAUAGAAAUAAAAUCAAUAAAUUAAACAAUUGAAUUAAGUUAGUUUAACUUUACCACUAUUAAAUUGGUAAAUGAAGACUCUUAGAUUUGAUAUUAACAUGAACAUCAUGACUUCAUUGAAUCUCACAAGAAAAUAUUAGUUUGAAAGACUUCAUCCUUUAAACAUGUGGCACAUAUUAAAGUGAGACCAAGUCUUCCCUAUAAUUUGUAUCUAUCACAAUUUCUUUCUUCAUAAAUAGCCUUUUUGAAUUGAAUAUAGACUUUAGCAUGUAUGGUGGACCCUAUCAAACUACUAGUCAAGACAAUUCGUAAGCAAGAAUGAUGAACCAACUAGAUUAAAUACUCUUCAUCUAUUUGCAUAUCAAGAGCAAUUUAGUAGUGUCUUUCUUAUGUACUUCAUGUUUGAACUUUCAAUGGAGAGUUUGUCAUCUAAAUAUUUGAUGUGGGUUUUUAUACUACUCUUGGUUCAAAUAUGUGGAUGCAAAGGUUGCAUCGAAGAAGAGAAGAUGGGUUUGCUUGAAUUCAAGGCUUUUCUUAAAGUGAAUGAUGAGCACACAGAUUUUCUUCUUCCUUCGUGGAUAGAUAACAACACUAGUGAAUGUUGUAAUUGGGAGCGAGUUAUUUGCAAUCCCACCACAGGUCGAGUUAAGAAGCUUUCCCUCAAUGAUAUAAGGCAACAACAAAAUUGGUUGGAAGUCAGUUGGUACGGUUAUGAAAAUGUCAAAUUCUGGUUACUAAAUGUCUCUAUAUUCCUUCAUUUUGAAGAACUUCACCAUCUAAAUUUGUCUGGAAACUCAUUUGAUGGGUUUAUUGAGAAUGAAGGUAUGUUACCUCUCACCUUUCAAAUUUCUUUUCACUUAUACUCCAAACAUUCUAAAGGAACUACUAGCAUAUGUUCUUAAGAGUGUUCAAAUGGAGACCAAAUGGUCACUAAUAACUAUUGAAUUUAAUAUAAAUUACUAAUGAUUAAAAUUUAAAAUAUGAAUUAACAUUUAAAUAGAACAAUAAAAAAUUAUUAUUUUAAAAUAUUAUAGAUUACAUUAGCCUUAUAUAUAUAAGCAUACUUGUUAUUUAUUAAUUAACAGGAACACUUAGGCUCCCGUAUUCUUAUCCUUUUUGCUUAAUUGUCUUUCUUUAUCUUCCAUUCCUAAAAAGUUUGAUUUCUAUAUUCCAAAUUGAUAGAGAUUGGUUAAAGAAAGGUGAUCACAAAAAUUGACUAUUGCUUUCAAAUGAGGAAUCACCAUUUUUAGAAUUUCACAUUUACAAAAAAAAAAAAAAAAACUUAGCCUUGGGUAGGGCCCAGGCCUCAUUGUUUUAUUCUGAUGUUGGGUUGGUUUAACAAUGAACAGAGUAAAGCCCAACCCAUGACUACUACGCAUUUCCAAAUUCCACCCAUCCACAACCCAUUGAUAUGACAUUUUCAGGGACUUAAUUUAAUCAAUUAAACCUAUUAGAUGGAUUCUACAUACAAUGUUAAAAUGAAUAUAAAAACUUUAAUUCAGAAAAUAAUUUCCUUUAUUUAGUUAGGAUUCAGAUUAUAGGGGCACAAAGCAUGAAAAAUUUCAUUUUAAAUUCACAAAGAUCACAAAAUCUCUUUGAAGCUCUAUGGACUUUUUUAUUUCUAACAUUUAAACACAAAAAUCACAAAAUUGAAUUAAUAAUUUGGAUACAUAUUCUUAUAUUAAAGACAUGUAAGCUUACAGAUUUAAAUAUGAAGAUCUCAACUUGUAAUUACAUGCUUCUAAUUAAAGUUAUAUUACUCUAUUUUAUAGGAUUUAAAGGGUUAUCAAGUUUAAAGAAAUUGGAGAUCUUGGACAUAAGUGGUAACGAGUUUGACAAAAGUGCCUUAAAAUCUUUGAGCGCAAUAACAUCACUCAAGACAUUGGCUAUUUGCAGCAUGGGACUGGCUGGAUCUUUUCCCAUUCGAGGCAUGUUAUAUGUUCACAUUGUUUCUUCAAAAUUAAGUAUAAUAUAUUUCUAACUUUUAAUGUUCCUUAGUUAAUCUCUCUUUUGAUUCAUGUUUGUUGCAGAAUUAGCUAGUUUGAGAAAUUUGGAAGUGUUGGAUCUAAGCUAUAAUGAUUUGGAAAGCUUUCAACUAGUGCAAGGUACUUCAAUAACUUGCUAAAAAAAACUUAUGAUAUUUUGUUAUUAAAUUAACAAUAUUAGCCAACAAUUUCAUCUCUCUUUUGAUUUGUAUUUGAUGCAGAAUUAACUAGUUUGAGAAAUUUGAAAGUGCUAGAUCUAAGCUAUAAUAAUUUGGAAAGCUUUCAACUAGUGCAAGAUACUUUAUUAACUUGUUAAAAAAACUUAUGAUCUUUUGUUAUUAAAUUAAAUGUAAGAUUAACCAACAAUUUCUUCUCAUUAGUUAUUUUUCUUUUGUAAUAUCAUUAAAUUUGAUAUAAAGUAGUCUAAGUCAUCCUUUCAAUUUUUUUAGUUUUAAUAAAUGCAUCAAGCAUGCACAAGAUGUUUGAUAUAACUAAUAUUUUCAUAUGUAAUUGAAAACUUUUUUUUAUGAAUUAAUUAACUCGAUUAUCAAUAAAUACUUACAUGUAUAAUAUUAAUAUAGUUUCAUAAGUAUUUUAAAAUUGUCUUACAACACACACACACACACAUAACAUACUUUUAUGCUAUGUUUGGUUCUAAGAAAAUUUGAGGGAAAAUGAAAGGUGUGUGAUACUUUUAUGCUAUGUAUGGUUCCCAAAACAAUUGAGGGAAAAUGAAAGGAGAAAAAGUAGAGAGGAAAAUUAAAAGAAAAGAAGAGAGUGAAGAAAAAUAUAAAAUUGAUUACAGUGAAUAAAUUAUUUUUAUGUGUUACUUUAAACUUGUUUCACUUAUUUUAAUUCUUCAAUAUAAAGAUGAAAGAUUUGAAAAUGCAUAAGUUUCUAAUUAUUUUAUAUUAUAUUAUAUUUUAUUUAAUAUUUUUUACAAUACAACCAAACAUAAAAUCUUAAUACUUGAGUUAUGUUUGGUUUGCACAAAAUAUGAGGAAAAGAAAAUAUAGAAGAAAAUUAGAAGGAAAGGAAAAGUGAAGUAAAAUAAAAGUAAAUUUAAAAUUAAUAAAUUAUUUUUAUAUGCUACUUUAAACUUAUUUCACUUAUUUUAAAUUAUUUAAACUCAUUUCUAGCAAAUAAUAAUGGAAAUUACAGAGAAGUUUGUGUUAUUCAAGCUUUACAAUGACUUUUCAGGUGAAAGAAAAUAUUUUUGUUGAAACUAAAAAAUGAAAUACCUUCCUAAAUAGCCUAUUGACUGAAAGCACAUUACCCUAACACAUACAUGCACCCUUAUUAUUUAUACAAUCAUGUAAUAAUUAAUAUAGUUAGUAGGAUUCUGAUGGUCGUUUCUGUCUUGGUUUCCAAUAUUUCUGAUUGAUAGUGUUUCGUUAAUGAAAUAUCAUAAAUUUUGACUCUAACAAGGACCUCAAUUAGACCUAAUCCUUGUUAAAUGUAACUAGGUGGCCUAAGACUAAAUAUUAGACCCAACUAAUAAAAACCCAUCUAUUUAUUGGAGCCUAAAUAACCUGGCCUUGGUUAGGGCCCACGCUUUAUUAUUUUAAGAUGUAGUCCACCUGGUUUGACACUAGAUUAAGUAAAGCCCAACUUAUGAGCAUCUGUGCAUUUCCAUCCAUCCACAACCUAUCGACAUGGACAAACUUUGAUCAAUUAAACCUAUUAGAAAUGUAUACAAAAUUUUAAGUUCAAAAGAUAAUUUUCCUUAUUUAGUUAGGAUUCAUAUUAAAAGGGCACAAAGCAUGAAUUUUCAUGUUUAAAUUCACAAAGAUCACGAAAGCUCCUUCUUGCUCUAUGGACUAUUUUAUUUGUAACAUUAUAUUACUCUUAAUUAUCAAAUUAACCAACAAAUUCUUCUCAUUAGUUAUUUUUCUUUUGUAAUGUCAUAAAAUUUGAUAUAAAGUAGUCUUGGUCAUCAUUUCAACUUUCAAGUUCCAAUUAGAUGUAUCAAGCAUGUGCAACAUAUUUGAUAUAACUAAUAUUUUUUAUAAGUAAUUGAAGUUUUUUUCUACAAAUCAAUUAACUUGAUUAUCAAUGAAUACUUCCAUAUAUGAUAUUGAUGUAGUUUCAUAAAUAUUUUAAAAUAGUCAUAGAAGUCUUUUAUCUAAUUCACUAGAAAGAAAAAUAAACUAUUCUAAUGAAAAUACUUGAUGAUUUGAAGUGAUUGCUUUUGAUUUUAUUUGAUUGCUACCAUUAUUAAUUGUUAGAAAUUUGCAACAAAUACCCAUUUUGCAUCACUUCUAUAUGCAUUGGAAUGAAUUAUAUUUCAUAAAGCUAACAAGUCAAAAAUCAUACUUUUGGAAUUAUGGAAAAGACUGCUAUAAAGCUAAUUAACCAUUUGUAAUCUAAUUAAGACUAGUUGGUUUCGAAAUAAUUCAUAUGGAGAUUAAAACAACUAUGUAAUUUAGUUUAGUAGCUUGGGUGCUAUUGUAAUGAUUAAUGAUCUACAACUUGAAAACAUCCACUAGUGCUUCCUAAUUGUAUAGCUAAAUUCAUGUUACCACUUUGAACUAUAGUACUUACAUGAGAAGAAAGCUUUUCCUUAAUGAUAAUGCAAAAGAAAUUAAGUAUCAAUUUUUGUUGAACUAACAAGUGAUAGUUUAGAUAUGGUUUGAAUACACUUCCUUUCUUCUAUUUUUUUUUUUUUUAUUUUGAAAAAAAAAACUCUUUAAUGAAAUAUAAGAACUCUUAUAUGCAUAAAAAGUAAAGACUUAUAUAAAAAAAUUAUUUUCAAAAAUUUUUAAAGCAAAAGAAUUUAUCUUCUUCAAAUUUUAAAAAUUUUGAGAAGUGUUUUUAAGAAUUUGUACUUUUAGUAUAAUAAUUCCUAUAUUUUAUAUAAAAGUUUUUGUUUAAAAAAAAUAGAAAUGUAUCCAAAAUACAACUUAUUUGUUAAAUUAAGAAUGUUUGUCAAAUCAAGAGAUAAUGAAAGUUGCAGAGAGUUUGCAUUACUCAACAUUUGCAAUUACUUUUUGAAGGUGAAAGAAAACACCUUCUUGCAUAACAUACAAUGGCAGGUUCUGGUUUGUAAGAAAUUAAUAUCUAAAUAAAAAUAUGAAUAAGACUUCCUUUAUAAUAAAUAUGUAGAAAAGAAUAGUGGAUGAUAGGAGGUGAAAAUCUUGUAAUAAAAUAUAAAUGUCGGUUAUAAGAUAAUCAACAUUUUCUCUAUUUCUUGUACCUAUGUGAUUAAGAAUCUUGUAGCUCCUUUAUUGAAAUAUAAUAUAAAAAUAUAAAUAAACUAUUUAGAAGUAAGUGCAUGUAGUUUUCAACAUGAGGAAGUUCAAAAGCAAGUUAAUUAUGAUAAUUUUCUAUAGUCUAUAUUGAACACAAAUUAUUUUUGCUAAAGGUUCAAUCGUUCUAUGAAGGUUAAAAGUUUGAAUUGUUUACAUAUGCAAAUGUGAAAUUUGAAAUUUUAUAAUUUUUUAUAAUUUUCUUGUAGAUUCAAAAGGCUUGUCCAUAUUCAAAAAGCUCGAGACCUUGAACCUCGAUGACAAUAAGUUCAAAAACACCAGCCUACAACAAUUGAAUAUAUUGACAUCCCUUAAAAAUCUUUCUCUACGAUGGAACAAUUUUGAAGGAUUUUUUCCUUUCCAAGGUUUGUGUAAUUAUUAUUACUUUUAAUGGUAAAAUAUUAAAAUUAUCAACAUCUCUUAUCUUUUUUCCUCUCAAUGGUGCUACAGAAUUAUGCACUCUGGAAAACUUGGUGAUGUUGGACCUAAGUGGGAAUGGCCUUAUUGGCAUGCAAGGUAAAUACAAAGUGAAGUUUUGGUUAUGUAUAUAUCAUCUAAGAACAUAACUAAAAUCAACAUUCUUUGUCUAUCAAUCUGUCUAUCAACAUAAUUGAAGGAAUGUCUAGCUGUACAACAUUUAAGAAUUUUGCAUGGCACAAUGAAAAACAUGGUAAUCAAUGUAUGCAAUAAAAUUCUAAUAGUUGAAAAAGAAUUUUGUUGUAAUUUUAUGUUCAUGUAUAGGUUAGAACAAAGAGAAAAUCAUGAAAAUGAAUAUUAGUUAGACUUUAUAUAUCGAUAGACAAAAAAAAAAAAAAAAAAAAGAUUAGUUCCUUAACUUAUCCUAAAAUUUUCUAGAUAACAAGGAGUUUACAACCUGAAAAGUGAAGAUGGUUAAUAUUAGUAAUAUAAUUUUGAAAUAUAAAAAUUAAUGAAAUAAUGUUCUUUAUAACUAUAAUUGCAACUAUGAAUAAAAUAUAAUAAAAUUACUUUAGACUUUGAAUCCAUGGUUAGGUUUGCAAUUUUUUGAUGAUCAAUAAAGCUACAACUUGUGCUACAAAAGAUUACAAAAUGUAUUAGUAGCAUUGCUAAGCUCAUUUAUCAACAAAAGAAAUCCAAUAACACUUUAAUUGGAAAAAACCUAGAAUCUUGUUUGAUAUAUAUAAUAGGUGAAGAAACAAAAUAAUAAUUCCAUGGUAUUAGUUAGUUUGAUAUCUCUUUUGUUAUAUGGAAUAACUAUUCCAUUUUAAAACAAUUAUUUCAUCUUAUUGUUAGAACAAAAAGUUUCAAAUAGUUAUAUGGGCUUUUGAGUUUCUUAAGAAUUUAAGCAUUUAUGAGUCACACACACACACACACACACACACACACAUAUGUAUAUAUAUAGGAAAAAUAAAAAAAUAUUAUAUGGAGACAAGGGUAGACACCCAUAACUAUACAUAUAAUUAUUUAAAUAAAAAUAUCAAUAAGAAACAAUAUACAAUAAAAUAGAAAAUUUUAAUCUUCUUAAAAUUUAAAAAUAAAAACUUAAUGAAAACAAGAAUUUAAGAAGUAAAAAAAAAUAGUAAGAAGGUCAAGAGUACAAAUAGAGAUGUAAACAAAAUAAUAAAUAAAUAAAUAAAAAUAAAAAUUUAAAAGAAAAAAAAUACAUAGAUUAACAUGAACACUAAAUGAAGAUUUUUGAGAUAGACUUAGUUAAACUUGAACUGGAUGGAUAUUAAAAAAAAAAACAAAUUUCAAAGAAAUAAAAACUAAUUAGAUGCUAAAUAUUGGAUUAAAAUAGCCAAAUGAAUAAAGAGUAAUUAUUAUUUUUUAACAUUUUUUUAUUGCCUAGAAUUAUUAUUUUGUGUAUUAAAUGUAUUCUGAGUGUAGUGACAUAAAAAAUGUAGUUAAGAAAACUAUGAAGAAUAAUAAUGGUGAUGACACUUAAUACCUUUUAUUGUACAUUUAGAAAAAAUGAGGUCCUAGAUCUUUGUGGAGAUUAUCAUUACUCAUUCGCAAGCAUGUUGAUAGUUGAAACUACCCAAUUAUCAAAAAUUGAAUUUCUAAUCUUCAAUUUUUUUCUCUCAAAUGUAUAUGUGGGUGAGAAAGCAAUAGGAAGAUUAUAAGGUCUCACAUGUAUAUGAGUCAUAGGAUAAAAAAUAUAGAGGCAAUACUAGCAUUUAUUUGAUCUAGUGGCAAGUAGAGAAAUAUAACAUAACCAUAACCAUAAUGUUCUAACCUUAUAUAUACAAGAACCAUGUUUCCUUCAUUCAAUUUUGCAACUUUUUCUUUUCAAAUUAGAAUGUAACUCGUAGGAUCCAUUGCCCAUCGAAAUUUUGAAUCGAAUAUUAUAAGAUAUUUCACAUUUCUACAUACUAAAGCAUGAGCUUCAAUGUUUUGAUGCACUUUUUGCUACUAAGUUAAAGAACUCUUUGAGGAUCAAUGGAGGUUCUAUGAGUAGAAAAGCAUUAUAAUCACAAAUGGGCUGCACUUAUGGUCUUGUCAGUGAUAUGCAAUUUGACCAAGAACCUAUUCCCAACUAUUUUAUGACUUUUAUGACUUUUAUGACUUUUCUUGGCUACUUGUAGGCAAGCUAAAGAAAUUUUCUGGUUUGUUCAAGUCUAAAAAGUGGUUUCAAGUUUAGGACCAAGCUUGGGUUGCACCUAGGUCCUUGGGCCUUGUUCAGCUCCACGUUUAAACCAACCCUGAGCCCAUCUUUGUAAUUUUUCUCCCAAUUCAUUGAUUAAUGUUAGGGUUUUAUAGAGCCUAUAAAUUGACCAACUAAAUAAAGUAAGUUUAUAAACUUUUAGGUGAAAAUUUUCUCUCUAAUAAAUGUUAAUUCAAGAGUCUCCGUAAUCUUUUUAUAUUCAUAUUAAUUGGUAUUUAAACCAGCCUUAUUAUAUUAAAGUCAAAUACUAAAUAGUGAACACUAUAUCUGCUACUACCAUUAUGAUGGUCACAAACAUAGAAUGCUCAUUUUUUUUAGAGUCAAUUGAUACUUAUAAACAACAACUUUGUUUGAAAAUAAAAUACAUUGAGUGAUUGCAUCAAGAGAUAGAUGUAAUAAUUGCAUACUUGAUGUUGAUAAUGCUAAUAUGAGUUGAUUAAAUUAAUGAGUAUUUACUUAUAAGGUAGCCCAUAGAGCAUUAUUUGUGGAAAUAUUCAUGCACCUCUACAUAUGUUCAUGAUAACUUAGGUCGAUAAAUUUAAGAAGAACAAAUUCAUAACCUUGGACAUAGUUAGUAAGAAAUUUCACCAAUAUAGUUUGGUAUCAUGAUUCUAAUUGGUCAAAUUGUUUUAAAAGAAUAUUUUAAAUUGCAUGUUAAUUUGCUUCUAAUAAAUGGAGAGAAACCAAUUCAAGAAGAGAAUUGUACUCAAGCUAUGUAUAGCAUUCAUGAAGAUGUAGAAAAUAUUGAUGAACUUACUUUUGAGCAAGUUGAAAUCAUAAUUAAAUAAAAGAACAAAUCCAAGGGUUAAGAUUGUCAAGUAAAACUUUAACUAAAAUUUAUUGAUUUUUUAAAUGCCUAUUAGAUGAACAAUAGAAGUUCUAGAUAGAAAGUAAGAACUUUUCUAAGAAAUCACUUGUUAGAUUUUAACUGAUCAAUAAAUAUAAUGUCCAAUUUAAAACUUUUAUAAAAGCAAUGCUUCUAAAGAAUAACUUGAUUUGAAUUUAAAGUUAUUAUUGAUAUUUGUUUAUAAUGGAUGUAGUUAAUCAAUUGAACACAGUAAAAAACACAUAAUUUUUUCAAAAUACCUUCUAGUUGUUGGGUAUAUUUAAGUAGUUAUUCAUAUCUCAUUAUCUUUUUACUCACAUACUAAUCUCCUUAUUGAGAAUUUACCAAUUACAAGUAGGUUGAAAGUUACUUGAAUUUAAGUCACUAAUCAAUGUUAACUUGAUGAUAAAUAAGUCUCCCUUUGAAACUUGUUUUACAAGAUAGCGAAAUGUAGUCGGUCAAUCAUCGAAACAAUGUUUAAGCAUUAGGAUUUAGUUGUUAUUUUUUAUUUUUUAUUUUUUGUGCUUUAAACAAAGACAAAAAUGAUAAAAACUCCUAAAAAGUACAUAUUAAUUGAAUUUAAUUUAUACAUCAAACAAGAACAAACUAGUGUUGGAUUUAAAAUUCAAUAGGUUUUGUAAUUAUAAUUCCUAAAAAUUUGUAAGACAACAAAAUUAUUGGACACUAGGCUAUUGGGUGUGUAUGACUAAGAGGUGAAGGAGGGUUCAUCUUAUACAAAGGAUGAUUUGAUUAAUUUUAAAGAUUCGAUAAACAAUAAUUGCAUAAUAAAGUAAAAAUAACAUUUCUAAAAAGGAAAAUAAGUAUUUUAGUCCUCAAACCUAAAAUGGCUAAAAAUUUUAAUUAAUACAAUUACAACUUCACCUACAAAAAAAAAAAAAAAACCCAAAACUUUUCAAUAGCACAACUAAGUCCAUUUAUCAAAAGCUCUAUGAACAACAUCCACUUUCAAAUCACAUAAAUCAUGUUGUUUUCAAAGUGCCCUUGAUGUUUUAAAACUUAAUAUAUUACAUAAAAAUCAACCAAUAGUGUAUGGCAUUAUAAAAAAACAUAUCCAAAUCCAUUGUCGAACUUAAACUAAAUUCAACUUUAUAUGCAUAGUCACAAGUGGGUCUUUUUGUCUUUCAAUUUGGGUUAAAUUCAUAUGUUAGUUUUUUACACAACAAGGGAUUAUCAAGGUGAUAAUUCAUGCAUAUAAAUAGUAUUACUAAUAUAAAAAAAGAUGGUAAAUGUAAUUUUUUUGUAUUCACUCACCAUUUGGCAUAUCAAUAAGAAAAAAUGUAUAUAUAAUAGGUGUUAUCAAUAAUAUUACUCAUCACUAGAAAUUAUAAUUUUUCAUUCGUUGUCACUAUUUGUGCACUUUGGAAAGCUUGCUAGGUACAACAUAUUAGCUCAAUGAAGAAAUUGAUCAAUUCCUUCAUUUCUAAAUAAAUUUGCAUAUACACUAGAAUAAAAACAACUUUUUAACUUAACAAGUUGACUGAGUCUCAGAACUCAAUAGGUUGAAGGUAUAGACUUCCAUCCAAACUCAUUGACUGGCACCAUAUGUUGGAAAAAUAAAGAAAAAUCAAAACCCUUGAGUAUAGUUGCAGACAAAUCUAAAUAUAGAGUGAGAUCUACAUUUCUUUGAAAGUUUAGAACAAAUUUUUAUUUUUAUGAUAAGACUAUGCAGUACUUAUCAUUCUCUAACAAGUCUAUAAUCAGUCCAAAGCAUGGGAUAUUGCAUAAAUUCUUGAACUCAAUUAGUCUUUAAUCCAUGCAUUUCAAGUAAAUUUAAAACCUGGUGUACUUGUUCUUGAUUCACAUCCUUGUCACUAUUAUCAUUACUUGUUCUUGAAUAUAGAACCUUAUUGUCCAUUAACAAGCGGGCCUAUGUUCCUCCAUGAUUCAAGAGUAUUAUGUUUUGUUCAUCAUCAGUUGGUCUUGCUCUAAAGCUUCUUUUUUAUGACUAUCAAUAACCAGACUUAGAUACCAAAAUUUAUGCAAGAGAGCAUGUACUUUAUACAGUCAAGAACUUGUGAGUCUAGACUUUGUUAUCUAGGUAAAAGAAUAAAUUGGUUUGUCAAAAUAGCUAGCAUUAGGUAUCUAUUCAAUUCCUAUCUUAGACAAUAAAGAUAGAAAUGAUCAAAUACAUUCUUAUUAAGAAACAUUUGAUACCAAAAGUGAUGUAAGACAACACAGUUCCUCUAUUCAAUCAAGUUUAAGGCUUAGAUGAACCUAUGAAUUUAUAUUAAUUAAUUGGGAAAGAGAAUAAAUAGGCUAAGUAGAAGUGAUAGGAUUGUAAUAGCAUUAAGUUAAUGAUCUUGUUUAGGUCUUCUACUAAAUUAGAGAAGAAACAAACAAAAGUAAUCAAACGUGUUAGUGAUAAUUAUAUCUACUUAACAUUGAGACAAUAGUUGUACUAAUGGUAAUUAUAUUAUUUCUUGAGAGUUUAAACAAUAUAUAUUGAAAAUAUUUUUAAAGGUUUAGCAACUACCAAGGUUAUAAUCAACUACGAGCUUUUUAUUUUUAAAAAUAUGAAAUAUUAAUAUCUUUACUUUCUUUGAUCUUCUUGUAGGUUUUAAAAGUUUGUCUAAGCUGAAAAAGCUGGAAAUCUUAAACCUUGGUGAUAAUCAGUUCAACAAGACCAUUAUAAAACAGUUGAGUGGACUCACAUCCCUUAAAACACUAGUUGUAAGGUACAACUAUAUUGAGGGACUUUUUCCUUCCCAAGGUAUUGCUUAUUCUUUUAAUAUCCUUAGUAACCACUCUACCAUGAUUUUUUUUUUUUCAAUUUUAUUUUCUUUCUUGAACCAUACAGAAUUAUCUAUUUUUGGAAACUUGAUGACACUGGAUUUAAGCUGGAAUAGAUUCAAUGGCUCCCUAUCAAUCCAAGGUAAAUUCUAAUCAGAAUUAUCAUUAUAUUUAGGGCAUAUAAUAAAUUAAUUAAAUUAUUUUAUCUAUUAUCAUUACUUGGUUAUUUGGAUUUUCUUGAUAUUGUUUAGCAUUUUACAUAGGAAAAUGAAAUGGAAAAAUCAACCCAUGCUUAGUGUUUAAGCACUGGGCUAGAAGUAUAUUUGUCUUCCCAAUUUAAUCAAAGAGAAAAGUCAUAAAUAACAUAAUUUAACUUAUACCUUAUAUUGAUUGAAGAGGUUAGACUACUUUUGGAUUUAAUGGUCAAUAUUUGUUGAAGAUAGGGUUUCCUAAAUUUGAUAAAAAGAACUUCAAUUUAAAUUACCAUAACUACAUAAAGGUGUGACUAGCAUAAUUAAACUCUUUUAUUAAUAGAUGUUCAUAGACUAGUAUUAUAUUCCCACACACACAAAUAAUCAAAUUUUGAAAUUAGUCUUCAAAUAACUAUGUAAUAUACGAAACUACAAAAUGAAUGGUAGGUCAUAAUUAAUUAAAUUCGUACUAUAUUCAAUGUUGGUCAACACGUGUCAAGUAAAAGUUUUGGCCUAAGUGUAAGGGCUCACUUUCUCCUAUAUAGAUAUUAUUCACUUUGGGUUGAGGCCUACUUUAAAAUAUCUCUAUACAUUUAUGAGAAGUCUACUAAAUAUAAAGUCGUAGAAACUUUUCUUCUUAGGUGAUAUGGAAUUUCACAUUAGGACCAACAUUUUAUAUAUUUUGAAAACAUAAUUUAAUUAACAUUUUAGAACUAAUUAUUAGUUAUCCAUUUAUAAUCCUAGAGGAAAUUCCUUUUACCUAUGCAAAUUAUAUACCUCUAGUAAUUACCUUUAAUUUCUCAUUUACAACUUCCUAAAAUAAUAUGAAAAAUGACAAAGUGUACAAUAUCUACCAAUAUGGGUGGAAUAUGCAGUGAGACCCACAAUGCUCAAUAUAGUACUAGCAUCUAUGUCAUCUAAUAGCAAUGAAAGUACUAAGUAAUAAAAACAAUUGUUUUGGGCACUUUAUGCAAUUGGCCUUGUAAAAAAAGAAAUCUAAGGUAGUUGGACUCAUUUACUAGUAAUUUAACAUAUGACUAGAACCUAUUGAAUCAUUUGCAAUAGCACUUACUUUGGUCAUGUCCAAAUUUAGUGCACAUGGUGCAAAAAGGGGUGUUGCUAGAGGAUGCUUUGUUUUCCCACUUAUGAAAGUCUCAAUCUUGCUAAUAUAUUUUAUGCCAUGUUUAUCAUAUACAAAUUUAGCCUAAGUGUAAGGGCUCGCUUGCUCCUAUAUAGAUGUUAUUCACUUUGGGUCGAGGCCUACUUUAAAAUAUCUCUAUACGUUUAUGAGAAGUCUACUAAAUAUAAAGUCGUAGAAACUUUUCUCCUUAGGUGAUGUGGAAUUUCACAUUAGGACCAACAUUUUAUAUAUUUUGAAAACAUAAUUUAAUUAACAUUCUGGAACUAAUUAUUAGUUAUCCAUUUAUAAUCCUUGAGGAAAUUCCUUUUACCUAUGAAAAUUAUAUACCUCUAGUAAUUACUUUUAAUUUCUCAUUUACAACUUCCUAAAAUAAUAUGAAAAAUGACAAGGUGUAUAAUAUGAGCCAAUAUGGGUGGUAUAUGCAGUGAGACCCACAAUGCUCAAUAUAAUACUAGAAUCUAUGUCAUCUAAUAGCAAUGAAAGUACUAAGGAACAAUUUAACAUAUGUUUUGGGUACUUCAUGCAAUGGCCUUGUAAAAAAAGAAAUAUAAGGAAGUUGGACUCAUUUACUAGCAAUUUAACAUAUGACUAAAACCUAUUGAAGAAUUUGCAAUAGCACUUACUUUGGUCAUAUCCAAACUUAUUGCACAUGGUGCAAAAAGGGGUAGUGGUCGAGGAUGCUUCCACAUAAGAAAGACCCUACUUAACUAUUACAAAGGUUAUUUUCCCACUUGUGGGAAUGCUAACCUUGCUAAUAUAUUAUAUGCCAUGUUUAUCAUAUACAAAUUUUUCUUUACUAAAUAUUUCUUUAAUGAUCUUGAACCUAAAAUUAAAUAUUUCAUUAGUAUUGGUCAUGUCGUUCCUCAACUUUUCAACUUUUAGAGUUAAAUCUUUAUCUUUAUCAUUGAUAGUUUUAUGUUUAGUCCCUAGAAACUUCACCUUAUUAACAAUAUGUUCAUUUAAUAUAUUGAUAUUUUUAAUUUUCAAAGAAUCAUAGAGCUCAUUAAUUUUAAUGUCUUUUUAUUCACUUUUAUGCUUUCAACCUUUGUUUUUAGUUUUCCUAUAAUAAUGCAUCAUAGACCCCAUGUACAUCAUUAAAAUAAAACUCAUUUUUUUCAUUAGGAUUCAAUUAACCCAGUGGAUCAUAAUCAAAAUUAGUUGCAUAUGAACAAAAACAAUAAGAUUAUCAUUUUGUACAUCUUUACUUUCAUUUGAGUUCUUAGCCCUACAAUCAUGAAACAUGGAAUUACUCCAAGUCACCUACAUAGCCUUCAUACCUAAUGUUUUUAAGGCAAGGACAAUCAACAACCAUGUGUCCCAUUCCCCCAAUGGUUCACUACAAAAUCAAGGUACAUAUGUUAUGCUUUCUUUGUUUCAUAGAGAUUAGAGAGGAAAACAUUGUAAAAAAAAAAAAGUUGUCAUAGUUAAUGUAAGCUAAAACUAAAAAACUUGCUUUUUCAAUUGUGUAAGCGUGUUUUGUUCUUGAUGAAUAUUUACAACAUUCAGAGUUACUAAUGUUUAUAAUUCACAGAGACCUCAUUAACAACAAGUAACAACUAAUUGUAAGUAACCAUGGAAAAAAAUAAGGAGAAAAAUAAAGGAAAAUCAAGGAAAGUGGAAAAUUUUUUCAUCCCCAUAAAAAAUGCUAAGGAAGAAAAAGGUGAAGAAAGUUUAAAGAAAGUAUAUUUUUCAAAAAUUGAAUUUUCUUUCCCUUAAAGUUGGUAUGGACAACCAAACAAGAAAAUGAUUUUUAAAUUCUUUUUUGACCUUUUUCUAUCAUUCUUUUUUUUCCCUCUACUCUAUUUCCUUUCCCUUAAACUUUCUAGGUAGUAAACAUUACCUAAGAUAAAUAGGGAAGAAAAUAUUUUAUCAUUUAUUUAUUUAGUAUUUUUCUUACCUUUUUUUGUAUUUUAUCCAAAUAUAAGAAAACUACUUUUCUUUAUUUUUUUUCUUUUCCUUGUUGCUUUUCAAGAAUCAAGCAUACUUUAAACUCUAAUUAAGAGUUACAUAGAUUUAUAGAGAAACAAUACAACUGGUAACUAAAAAUUAAGGAAAUUUAAUUUUUUAAUUUUUGAGAGUAAGUAUAAUAAAAUUGGUUUGUUUGAUACAAAAUUUGAAUAAAAUUAUUUCAAUGAAAAUUCAAGGAAAGGAAAAAAAAAACUUGAUCUCUAGACUAUAAUACUAAAUCACUUAAAAAAUCUCCUAACAUCGUUUAUGUUCAUCUUUCUUUUUAUGGAUUUGAAAAACCCAAUAAUUUGGAAAAAACUGAUUCAAGGAAGAAUAAUUUUUAGAAUAAAAGAUUAUUAUUUAAGAAGAUCAUAAAUAUUAUAGUCAUUGUUGAAUAUGAUAAAUGAUUAAAAAAAAAAAAGGUAGUUGGAAAUUUAGAUACUUUUAUAAGACAAAUGCAUUUUUCUAGUAUGAUAUGAAAAAAGGUAAAAUGAUAGGCUUUGAUCAUUUUUUAAGGUAGUUUGUUUAAAUCAUUUUAAUUUAUUUUGAUUUAAUAACAAUAACUUUUAUUACACUAGUUAUUUUGAUUUUCUUUUGAUAGAUUUUGCAAGCUUAAGCAAUUUGGAGCUAUUGGAUUUGAGUCAUAAUUUAUUUAGUGGGAUCGUUCCAUCGUCUAUAAGAUUGUUGUCUUCUCUCAAGUCUUUAUCUCUGGUUGGAAAUCUCCUCAAUGGUUCCUUAGCAAAUCAAGGUACAUAUAUUGUGAUUACAAGUUUUUCUGUUUUCUUUUUUAAUAUCUUGUUUGUUCUUUAUGCCAAUUAAGUCAUGCAUGUCUAUUAAUUUUUGGUAUUUAAUAAAAAACUUUAUUCUUAAUUCAUAAAGACCUCAUCAACUGUAAGUAACAGCUAGUUGUAAGUUUGGGGGCAUUGACAAGACGAGGAGAUGAUUGGUUACAUAUCUUAUUCUCUUUUGUAAGCUUCUGCCAAUUGAAUAAGCUUCAAGAGUUAUAUCUUUCUUACAACUUAUUCCAAGGGAUCCUUCCUCCAUGUUUGAAUAAUUUGACAUCUUUGAGGUUAUUGGAUCUCUCUUCCAACCUAUUCUCCGGAAAUCUUUCUUCCUCUCUGUUACCUAAUCGCACAUCCCUGGAGUACAACGAUCUCAAUUACAAUCAUUUUGAGGGUUCAUUCUCUUUCAGCUCUUUUGCUAAUCACUCCAACCUUCAAGUGGUCAAACUUGGAAGGAAUAACAACAAAUUUGAGAUAGAAACUGAAUAUCCAGUAUGUUGGGUUCCAAAUAUUAUGUUUUUAAAUUUAUCCAACAAUGGUUUUGAAGGUAUUCUCCCAUCCUCAAUAGCCGAAAUGAGUUCCUUAGAGUCGUUGGAUUUGUCUGCUAAUAGUUUCUCAGGGGAAGUACCAAAACAAUUGCUUGCGGCAAAAUAUUUGUGGCUUCUGAAAUUAUCAAAUAAUAAAUUUCAUGGUGAAAUGCUUUCAAGGGACUUUAACUUGACUCAGUUAGGGUUUUUGCAUUUGGACAAUAAUCAGUUCAAGGGAACACUGUCAAAUGUAAUCUCCAGAAUCUCUAGGUUAUGGGAUUGGAUGUGUUUGGCCCCCACACUCAUUUUAUUCACUAUCAAGGUUUAUUCAAUGACGUAUUACCAAUAUAUUAAUUUCACUAAUUAUAUAUUUUUUUAGUGAUUUUUGUAAAAAUAUUUUUAGUUUUUAGUGCUUUUAUUAAUGAUAUUUAUGUCGGAAAUGCUUAGUCUAUAGAGUACAUCAACACUUAACAAUCCAUUAAUAAAAAAACGAAUGAAAAAAGUUACAAUGAUUAAACUUUAAAUAAAAAAAGAAAAAACCUUUUAAUUGCAGUUGUAAUUGACCAAACAACUCGACUCUCAACAUCUUGAGCGAAGUCCAACAACACUGAUUCAAGCUUCACAAUCUAGCAUAUGGAUUUUUCUUUAAUUUUCUCCCCCUCUUCAAAAUAAAUUUCAUUUAGAAUUUUUCUAUUAUUAACUUGAUAAUUUCAUAUUUGCUAAACUUAAAAACUUCUUAUUAAGAAAUUUUUAAAAACUUCUUAAAAACAACUACAUGUCAAGUGAAAUUCCAAGCUGGAUAGGUAACAUGACCCAUUUGACUACACUGGUGUUGGGCAACAAUAGUUUUAAAGGCAAAUUACCACCUGAUAUUUCUCAAUUGCAGAGGUUGAAGUUUCUUGACGUUUCUCAAAACGUUCUUUCAGGAUCUCUUCCUUCUUUGAAGAGCCUGGAGUAUUUAGAUACCCAGAGAUUGAUACCCAGAGAUUUUCUCAAUUCCUCAUAUCUAUUGACUUUGGAUAUCAGAGACAACAGGUUAUUUGGAAGUAUUCCCAAUUCAAUCUCUAGACUUUUAGAGCUAAGAGGAAACCUUUUAAGUGGUUUCAUUCCAUAUCAGCUUUGUCAUUUGACUAAAAUAAGCUUGAUGGAUCUUUCAAACAACAAUUUUUCUAGGUCAAUUCCUGGAUGCUUUGGUCAUAUCGGAUUUGGAGAUUUCAAAACUGAGCACAAUGUGAAUAUACCGAUGUUGGAUUCGUAUUGAGAAAGCAAUCCUUCUAUAUAUACAGGUUACUUAAUAAAAUAUUUAUUUUUCUCUAGUGAACUCCCUGAUGAAGUAGAUGAAGUUGAGUUUGUUACCAAGAAUAGGUAUAGCUCCUAAAGAGUAGAUAAAAAUAUUUGUUGGGAAUUUAGAUAAUUUUAUAGAAAAGUAGACAAGUAUUCUAAUUUAUAAAAACAAUGAAUUUCUUUAGUUUGGUAUAAAAAAAUGAAGCGAUAGGUAUUGGUAAUUUUUUUUAAAGUAACAAACGUUUUAUUUUAUUUGUAUUUAAGAACAAUGUCUUUUCUUAUACUAGUUAUUUUAAUUUUCUUUUGACAGAUUUUGCAAGCUUAAGCAAUUUGGAGAUGCUAGAUUUGAGUUUUAAUUCCUUAAGUGGGAUUAUUCCAUCAUCUAUAAGAUUGAUGCCUCAUCUCAAGUCUUUAUCCCUGGCCGGAAAUUAUCUCAAUGGUUCUUUACAAAAUCAAGGUACAUAUGUUAUGAUUUGUUUGUUUCAUAUAGAUUAGAGAAGAUAAAUAUUGUAAAAAAAAAAAAAGUUGUAGUUAAUGUAAGCUAGAAAUAAGUAUCUUGCCUUAUAAAUUAUAUAAGCAUGUGUUUGUUCUUAAUGAAUCUUUACAACAUUUAGAGUUACCAAUGUUUAUAAUUCAUAAAGACCUCAUUAACAGUGAAUAACAACUAAUUGUAAGUAAUUGUGGAAAAAGUAAGGAAAACAAAAUGAGGGAAAAGCAAGGAAUUAGGAAAUUAUUUUGUUCCCAUUAAAAAAUGUUAAGGAAGAAAAAGGUAAAAGAAAGUUUAAAAAAAGUAUAUUUUUCAAAAAUUUAUUUCUCUUUCCUUUAAUUUUGCUAUGGACAACCAAACAAGAAAAUUAUUUUAUAAUUCCUUUUUUAUUUUUUUCAUUCUCUCUCUCUUUUUUUCCCUACUCUAUUUCUUUUCCCUCAAACUUUCUUGGUAGUAAACACAACCUAAGAUAAAUGGGGAAGAAAAUUUUCAGUUUUUUAUUUUUAUUUUUUUAGAAUGUUUUCUUACUUUGUAGUAUUUUAUGCAAAUAUAGGAAAAUUAUUUUUUUUUUCUUGCUCCUUUUCAUACAUGAAUCACACUUUAAAAGAAAAUUAAUUUUUAAUUAGGAGUUAAGAUAAAUUUAAGGAGAAACAAUGAAUCACGAAUAACAAAAAAUUAAGGAAAUUGAAUUUUUGAAAGUAAGUAUAAUCAAAUUGCUUCAUUUGAUACAAAAUUUGAAUAAAAAUUCUUUCAAUGAAAAUUCAAGGAAAGGAAUAAACAUUUUUGUCUCUAGAUUAUAAUACUAAAUCAUGUAAAAAAUCUCUUAACAUCAUUUAUAUUCAUAUUUCUUUUUAUAGAUUUGAAAAAUUCAACAAUUUGGAAUAAACUUAUUCAAUGAAGAAUAAUUUUUAGAUUUAAAGAUUAUUAUUUAAGAUCAUAAAUAUUACCAUCAUUGUUGAUGUCUAAGAAGAUCAUAUUCAACAAUUUUUUUAAUAUGUUGUUUUUUAUGGUAAUUAAUUGAUGUCUUGUAAUUUUUAAUAUUUAAUGAAAAACAUUAAUUUAAUUCAUCUAGAGCUCUUAAUUCAUGAAGACCUCAUUAAUGUAAUGGUGAGUAAUAGUUGGCUGUAAGUUUGGAGUCAAAGACAUGUUAAGGAGAUGAUUAGUUACAUGUCUUAUUCUCUUUUGUAGGUUUCUGCCAAUUGAAUAAGCUUCAAGAGUUAGAUCUUUCUUACAACUUAUUCCAAGGGAUCCUUCCUCCAUGUUUGAAUAAUUUCACAUCUCUGAGGUUAUUGGAUAUCUCUGCCAACCUAUUCUCCGGAAAUCUUUCUUCCCCUUUAUUACCUAAUCUCACAUCCUUGGAGUACAUCGAUCUCAGUUACAAUCAGUUUGAGGGUUCAUUCUCUUUCAGCUCUUUUGCUAAUCACUCCAAGCUUCAAGUGGUCAUACUUGGAAGGGAUAACAACAUAUUUGAGGAAGUUGGAAGGGAUAACAACAAAUUUGAGGUAGAAACUGAAUAUCCAGUUGGUUGGGUUCCCCUGUUUCAGUUGAAGGUUCUCUCUCUAUCCAGCUGUAAGCUCACCGGUGACCUUCCUGGUUUUCUUCAAUACCAAUUCAGGUUAGUGGGGGUUGAUCUCUCCCAUAAUAACUUGACAGGAAGUUUCCCCAAUUGGCUGCUUGCAAACAAUACGAGACUAGAAUUUCUAGUCCUGAGGAAUAACUCUUUAAUGGGUCAACUACUUCCCCUGGGACCUAAUACCCGUAUCAAUUCAUUGGAUAUCUCACACAAUCAGUUGGACGGACAACUUCAAGAAAAUGUGGCCCAUAUGAUUCCAAAUAUUAUGUCUCUAAAUUUAUCCAACAAUGGUUUUGAAGGUAUUCUCCCAUCCUCAAUAGCUGAACUAAGAGCCUUAUCGAUGUUGGAUUUGUUUACCAAUAAUUUCUCUAGAGAAGUACCAAAGCAAUUGCUUGCAGCAAAAGAUUUGGAGAUUCUGAAAUUAUCAAAUAAUAAAUUUCAUGGUGAAAUAUUUUCAAGGGACUUUAACUUGACUUGGUUGAAGCAUUUGUAUUUGGGUAAUAAUCAGUUCACGGGAACUCUGUCAAAUGUAAUCUGCAGAAGCUCUUUGUUGAGGGUGUUGGAUGUGAGCAACAACUACAUGUCAGGUGAAAUUCCAAGUUGGAUAGGUAACAUGACAGGAUUGGGAACAUUGGUCAUGGGCAACAAUAAUUUUAAAGGCAAAUUACCACCUGAGAUUUCUCAAUUGUCGGGGAUGAUGUUUCUUGACAUUUCUCAAAAUGCUCUUUCAGGAUCUCUUCCUUCUUUGAAGAGCAUGGAGUAUUUAGAGCAUCUACAUUUGCAAGGGAACAUGUUUACAGGAUUAAUACCCAGAGAUUUUCUCAAUUCCUCAAAUCUAUUGACUUUGGAUAUUAGAGAAAACAGGUUAUUUGGAAGUAUUCCAGAUUCAAUCUCUGCACUUUUGAGGCUAAGGAUUCUUUUGCUGGGAGGAAACCUUUUAAGUGGUUUUAUUCCAAAUCAUCUUUGUCAUUUGACUGAAAUAAGCUUGAUGGAUCUUUCAAACAACUCUUUUUCAGGGCCAAUUCCCAAAUUCUUUGGCCAUAUCCGAUUUGGGGAGAUGAAAAAGGAGGACAACGUGUUUGGACAGUUCAUUGAAAGUGAGUAUGGAUGGAAUUCUCUUGCAUAUGCAGGUUACUUGGUGAAAGAUCUAGGCUCCCCAAUUUUAGUAUAUAAUGAAAAAGAUGAAGUUGACUUUGUCACCAAGAACAGGCGUGACUCCUACAAAGGUGGCAUCCUUGAAUUCAUGUCUGGAUUGGAUUUAUCAUGUAACAACUUGACAGGCGAAAUACCUCACGAACUUGGAAUGCUAAGUUGGAUUCGUGCAUUGAACUUGUCUCACAAUCAAUUGAAUGGCUCCAUUCCAAAGAGUUUCUCCAAUCUUUCUCAAAUAGAGAGCUUAGACCUUUCUUAUAAUAAACUGGGUGGAGAAAUUCCUCUAGAGCUAGUUGAACUCAAUUUUUUAGAGGUGUUUAGUGUGGCUUACAACAACAUCUCCGGUAGAGUUCCAGAUACCAAAGCACAAUUUGCAACAUUUGAUGAAAGCAACUAUGAAGGUAAUCCUUUCCUUUGUGGGGAACUAUUAAAGAGGAAAUGCAACACAAGUAUUGAGUCACCAUGCGCACCAUCACAAUCUUUUGAAAGUGAGGCAAAAUGGUAUGAUAUCAAUCAUGUUGUUUUCUUUGCAAGUUUUACUACUUCAUAUAUCAUUAUCUUGUUAGGAUUUGCUACCAUCCUUUACAUCAAUCCUUAUUGGCGUCAUAGAUGGUUCAAUUUUAUCGAGGAAUGUAUAUAUUCCUGCUAUUAUUUUGUUUCCGAUAGUCUUUCCAAGUUAUCAACAUAUUUGUAUAAUUAGAUACUUUUAGUUGGAUGAUGUUUGCAUAAUUAACUACUAUUUGUUUCCAGAGGAUAGAAAGAAAUGGGAUGUAUAAUUGCUAUGAGUUGAAACUUACGUACUUUGCUCAAAUUUCGGCAUCCUUUGCUUUUAUUUUCAAGUUUCGUUAUUUUUUAUUUAUUGUUUAUUUCAAGAUUUAACCAUAUUAUGUUACUCUUAUAAAAACAAAUUCAAAUUUUUAGGAACUUUUAGCAUUAAAAUAAUUUCAUAAUCAGAUUUUAAAAAAUAAAAAAGAAAGAAAAUAAUAAAUAAUUGGAAAAACAAUUCAAGGGAGUAUUAAAUUAUCAUCUUAGAAUUGUUUGGUAUAGUAUGGGAAUUAAAAAAUAAUCUUUCAAUUUGUUAGACAUGUUUAUUUAUUUAUUAUGGCAAUGAUUGAAAUAUCAAUCACAAAGUAAUGUUUUCUUUUCUUUUGUAGGGCACUAACACUUUUUCUUUGAUAGUAAUAAUUGAUAAAUAUUUUACACAGUUAUUUGUUUUUAAAAAGGGAGGGAUGACAAAUAUAAUACGUGAAAUAUUUCUAAAACUGUGAUGGUAAAUAAGCCAUCUAAUUAGGGUGUAAUAUUAUUUAUUUUAAUUUAUUUGCAUCAUUUUUUGAACUAUUUUAUCAGAUUAAGGGAGAUUAAAACAUCAUGAGUUUGUUAUUUUAAUUUAUAUUUUUAAUAAUAAAGUAUGAAAUAUUAAAAAAAAUAAUCAUGAAUUUCUUUAAUUCCUUAGGAAACCAAUAUAUAAAAAAAUUGAAUAUAUUAUUAUUUUAUGUCCUAAAUUUCUAAAGUUGUUCAUCAUGUAUUAUUUUUAUAUUAAAUUUAUUAUCAUUAAUUAUUUAUUAUAUAUUAUUAUUUAUGUUUAAAAAUGUUCAUAAAUAAUUAAAAUUAAUAAAAAUAUAAAAAAUAAAAUAUUAAAAAAAUUAAAUUAAAAAGAUUUCAUCAAGCUAACAUGUUUUUUUUUAUAAAAAAAAGCAAAAAAAAAUGGGGAUAUUAUAAAGGAGGGGAAAAAGGAGCUUUGACCCAAAAUACUACGUUCUAAAAACAAAAUUCAUAAAGUACCACCCUUUCUAAAAUAAUGUCCAAUCUAAUGUCUCUGUGCUACAUAGAUUGCCACGUCAUAAAACCGUAGUUGGUAACUACGGUUUUAUUUUUUAAAAAUAGUCAAAACCGUAGUCACCAACUACGACUUUAAUUUUAAUUUUAUAUAUAAAUAUAUAUUUAACUUAUAUUUUUUUAAAUAAAAUAUUAUAUUAUUUUGAUUUUAUAUUGAUUAAAAAUAUGUAAGUGGUGUAAUAAAAAUAUUUAACUUUAAUUGAUCUCAUUAUUUAAAGAAUAGUAAUAUAUAAAAUUAAAUAAUUGAUGUCUUUAAUUUGAUAUAAAAAUAUAUUUUGAUAAUUUUAUGAAAAUAUUUGGCACUACAUUCAAUAUAAAUAUAAUUAGUUAUAAAUAUACUAUUUUAUACCCUCAUAAUGAAGAAUAUUAUAUUAUUUUGUAACUUUGUGCAAAAAUUAAAGGCAAUUAUGCACUUGUUCAAAAUAUAAUAUGACUUCAAGUGGGUAAAUAAUUGGAAAAUUACUUAAAUACAACAAAAAUAAAUUUUUUUUUUCCAUUUUUCUCCUUUCGAAAUGGGAUCAAAAUGGAAUGGAAAGACUUAAAAUGUUAAACUUAAAAUGUCAACCUAAAAGAAUUUGUUUUUCCACUUCUUAAAAUAUAGAAUUGUAGAAAGAAAAUACCUUUGUUUUUCCAAUCAAUUCGCUAUUUAGUUUAAUUGUUUUAGUAAAUAGAUGAAAAUGCUUUUGAAAUAUUUUUGUAAAUUCAUUGAUAAUAAGAAAAAUGUUUUUUAUUGGGUACUAAUGGGAGUUUUGGGCAAAAAUAAUUUCUUUAAAACAGAAAAUUCAUAAAAUAAUUUUAUUCAUAAAAUAAUUUUAUUCUCAAAAUAAUUUUUAAUGUGAUGUGUGUCUUAUUCAUGUGGGUAUUCACAUCAUAAAACUGUAAUUGGUAAUCAUGAUUUUUGAUUUUUUUUUUUUAAAUAGUCAAAAUAGUAGUUAGUGAUCAUAACUUUAAAUUUAAACCUAAAGCCAAUUUUUUAAGUUCAAAUUUUAAAUCAUAUGAAUGUUCAAUUUUUUAAAAAUUAUUUUGAUUGGAGGUUUAGAUUGUAAAUUUUUUUUAAUAUAUUAUCUUUUCUAUAUCAAUAUAGUGUUGUUGUAACUAAUUAGUUAUAAAUAUAAUUAGUUUAAAUUUAAACCUAAAACCAAUUAGUUUAAAUGAAUAAAACUAAUUAGGAAUAGGGGAAAAGGUAAAGGAAAGUUAAAGCCGUAGUUGGUGACUACGGCUUUGAUUGUUUUUAAAAUAGUCAAAGUCGUAGUCACAAAUUACGGUUUUAAACUUAAAGUUAAAACCAUGGUUGGUGACUACGGGUUUUGACUAUUUUUAAAAAAUGAAAUCGUAGUUACCAACUAUAUGACGUUUAUGGAUUUUUUUUUUUAAACGAAGUAUUUUGGGUCAUCGGGAAAAAGAUAAAGGAAAAAUCAUGUGGUAUGAUAAUUGCCACGUGUCAAAGUUGUUUUCUUUAAAAAAUAAUAAUAGUAAUGAUGAGCUCAUUUGUCUUAUCAAAGUAAAUAAAAAAACAAAAUGACAAAAAAAGGUGGCAGUUGGCCGAAGGUGAGAGAGGAGGGUUUGAGGGUAAGUUAGGAAUAUUAAUUAUUUUCACUAAGUAGAUAUUUUGAAGGUUAUUUUUUCCGAAACACAUAUUCUUUGAAAAUAAAAAAUCAAAGUUUUAAAAAAAUAUAAUUUUUUUUAAAUGACACAUGAUUACAUCAUUCCCCCUAGAUUAUUUGUUCAUUUAAACUUUUGUUUAAAUAAAAUUAGUUUUAAUUAUUUUCUUUUUGGAAUUAUAUUUAACAUUUAUUAAAAAAAAUAAAAAAACAUAGAUAUAAUAUUGUUAAUGAGUUUUCUUUUUAAUAUUUUGUAAAAUAAUUAAAUUUAAAAAUAUUUAAAUUUAAUUAUGGGCUGCCCAUUUCAAAAUAAUAAGAAUCUCAUAAUCUAAUUUUUCCAAAUUCCAGGUAAAUAUGCUAAUCUAAAAAGAAAAUAAUAAGAAUCUCAUAACCUAAUUUUUAUGUGCUGAUUGGGUUUUUUUCCUUUAAUUUAAAAAAAAAAAAAAGGAAAAAAACAAAAGUGUGCGAUCCUCUUUCUCGAGUCUUCACAUUUUGAGACACUGAACCCAAAUCAAAAUUAAUUUUCACCUCCAAUCCAAACCCUAACUGCUGCCCCCGUUUUCGUUUUCUUCUUCUCUUUCCGAAAACCCACCGGAAUCGGAAGAUUCAUAAUUCUUCAGAAUUAAUUUUCACCUCGAAGCCAAACCCCAACUGCCUCAUCUUCCUCUCAUUCAUAUCCCGAAAGUAGCUUCAACAGUCAGGCCUGUAGCCAUGAAAGCCGUAGUGAUCACUACUUCCGGUGAUCCCCAAGUUCUCCAAGUGCAAGAAGUCGAAAACCCUGAAAUUGGAGAUGAUGAAGUUCUAAUUAGAGUGGACGCCGCUGCCAUUUACCGAGCAGAUAAGCUUCAGAGGAAGGGCUUGCACCCUUCCUCAAAGGCGGCAGUCCCUACCCGGGUCUCGAAUGUUCUGAAAUCAUCGAAGCUGUUGGAAAAGCCGUCGUUCGAUGGAAGGUUGGCGAUCAGGUAUUUCAAUUGCCUAAUAUUUUGAUUUCGUUUCUGUUCCUGUAUUUUUCUCGGCUAUCAAACACUAGGAACGUGUAAAUAAGGAGGUUAGUUGAUUGCGAAAACGGGAAUUUUUUGUUUGUGUUUGUGUUAAGGAGUCUUUGUUGAGAAUUUUAUGAUUAGUUUGUGAUUUUAUGAUUAAUUUUGUGUAUCAAUAUAGGUUAAUUAUUGAGCUUAUUGGUUUUUCAAAUUUAUGGUUGUAAGAAAAUUGGUCAGUGUAAGGUUAUGGGUUCAUGGGUUCAUUACCAAUUUGCUUACUGAAAAUUUUCUGAUGCCUGAUAUAUUUACCAGCACAAAUUUACACUGUUGGUGUUUAAUGUGUGUGCGUCAAUAUUGGAUUAGGGAGGCAGAAGAGCCAUGGUUUUAAUUAAAACAUUACAUCAUCAUAUUCUUAUUUAGAUACAUCGUGUCUCACAAUUUCAUUGCAUCCAAGGCCAUGUUAUUUUUUAUUGCAUGGUUUGUCAUGAUAAUUUCUCAACCCUUCUCUGGAAAAUUAUGUUGGAUGGCUGAUAUUAAUUACCCCAAAAGAAGAAAUUUUAUGUUGAAGUAAGAUGAGUACCACAAAGAGUUACUUUUGGUUGUUCCUAUCAUCAAAUGGGCGAUUGAUGCACAAUCCAAAUGGUAAACUUUUUUUCCCCCUUUAUCCAGAUGGAAUUUUUAUGCAUGGAUGAAUUGUGAAAUGAGGACUGAUAAUAUUUCAGGUUCAUGGGGGUUCAAUUGGAAUUGGUACGUUUGCUAUUCAAAUAGCGAAAUACCGAGGAGCAAGGGUAUUUGUUACAGCAGGUUUGCCAUCACUAUUCUACCUCAUCUCAUGGCACCAAUUCCUUGUCUUCACAUGUUUUCGACCAUUUUUUACAACUGAAAACGAGGAAAAAUUAGCUGUUUGUAAGGAUCUUUGAGCAGAUGUGUGCAUCAAUUACAAGACUGAAGACUUUGUUGCUUGGGUGGAGGAAACAGGAGGGAAAGGUAUAUUCUAUUGUAUCCUAACAAUAAUUUCAGUUGAAGAUGGAAUUGCUUUUAAUUUUUUAGUGCACCUAAUCCACUAGUCUGGUAUGUUUGAAAAGAUAAAUAGUCAUCUUCCACUUGAUUCCGAUUGUGAAGAUCUAACUCCAAAAAUGUUGAAUGACAGGUGUUGAUGUUAUACUGGAUAAUAUUGGACGGGCCUACUUUGAGGGAGACAUCGAUAGUUUAAAUGUUGAUGGAACGCUUUUUAUUAUUGGUUUUCAGGGUGGAACAGUUGCAGAAGUAAAUCUUUCAGGUUUACUUGCAAGGUGCCUUACAGUGCAAGGUACCACUUUCUCUAUAGAAGAUUUUUCUGUAGUUUUGGAGUUGAAUCAAUUUGAUUAAUCUCAUCCAAGUUCAGAACUAAGGUGGAUUCUGGCAAGCCAAGGAAAAACCAAAUUACCAUAAAUUCUUUUUUUUCUGGAUUGUUUUACUUCUUGGAAAUCCUGUUUCUCGAUCUGGUCAGGUAUAUGGAAAUUCCAAGGAAAAUAUGUUUUACAUUUUCCAUAAUUGGAAACACUCAGGAAUUUAAUAUUUUCCUCUGAAAUAGCAAUGGUUUUCUAAUUACAACAUUUGUUUUUCUUGUAUCAUCCCAAAAUAUUUUUUAGGUGUUUGUUCUCUCUUGACACAGCUUUUAAUCGGGUCUGUCUUGCUUUUCGAUAGAUUUCUUGACAAGUUGCUUCUAUAUCAUACUUUCUUUAUUGGUUUUGGAUCAUGCACCUUGCUUUGUCAGCCCUGUUAUCACUACCCAAACUAGUAAAUUUAUGCACAAAACUCCAUGUGUCAGUAACUGUGGUUAUUAGGUUGUAUUAAAUAAUUUGUAAAUACGGUGGAUGAGUUUGUACUAAAUGGCAAUUGUUUAAACAGAAGUCUGGAAAACAAAGCUGUAAUUGUGAGUGAGGCGGAGAAGAAUGUUUGGCCUGCAAUCACAGGCGUACAAGUAUUUUCCAUUGACGGAAGCAGCAGAGGCUCACCAGCUCAUGGAAAGCAGCAAGCAUGUUGGGAAGAUACCGUGCAUUCAAUUAUGUUAUGGUUAUGAAUGAUCUUAUGCCUCAGAGGGAUGACAUGAUUUUAAAACUCUUAAUGAGCAUCUACUAUCUGAUACAAUGUGUGAUGCCCAGGCCUAGAUGGUCAAUGCUUAAUUUCUUAUGUAGGCCUGUCAUUUGAGAAUAAAAACCAGCCUUCCAGUCCAAACAUUUAGACUACUGGAAUCUAAAGCUUCAAGAUGGUUGAAACUGAAUUUUCAUGUGCAAACAGAUCAUAACUCUCCAACCUCCACAAAUGAGCUUACCUUCCUUAUCUGAAGUUUGAACAAAAAUGUAUGAAACGGUUAGGUAGAACUGUCUAAGAAACCAGAGCUUGGAUGUGAGAGAAACCAGCGCCCCUAAAGGUCAGGACAAGAUUACCAUUCCACCAAAGUUGAGCCUUGCAUGCAGUCACCUAGUAUUUUCUUUUAUUGGAGUCUUCCCCUCUACCCUGGCACUGGGAUUGAAGGCGAAUGAAAAACCUGCAUGGAUUGAAGGUGUGCUGCUUGAGUUGAUUGUAGUUUGAGCAUGAAAAUUUGAAGAUCCAGAACAGCAAAUGAGGAAUGCCUAUCAAUUUGAAACCAGCAUGGGUGGAUGAAUGGAGAGGUUCUUCACUGAAUUUGUCCAUGAAGUGGUUUCCAUUAAAUUGCUUGAUGUAAAAAACGAAAAAAGCAUAUAUUGCUUAUUUGAAGUUAGAAUAUAACUUAAGUUGCCAGAAUGGUUUAUGCUUAUAGUGCUGAUUUUAAAGUACGAAACAAAUUGGAACUAACACAAAAAGUAGUUAUAUACCACGAAGAAAUGAAUAAAUUUCAUCUUAUAUCUCAUAGCUUUUGAAGUGAGCGUAUUUUGAUUUGGCAAAAGUAAGGGUGAGUUCAGGAAUGAAGCUUCAUCAUUUCAAAUAUGAAUUUAUAAUCUCAAAUCAGGAAGCAAAAUGGAGUGAAUGUCAUUGACUUGAUGCAUACUGCUUAAAUGGUGAUUUAUUUAAAAAUUUUAACCACGAUUAAUUUUUUCUUUUAAAUCAGUAAUAUAACCCUACAAAAGUAAUGAAGAUUAAAAUGUUAGGCAAUUUAUUUUUUAAAAAAAAAUUGCAAAAUGUCUUUUUUUUUUUUAAUAAAUUGCAAAAAAAAAAAAAUUAUUGCAAACAAUUUUUUCUUUUUUCUUUUUAAUCAAACUGCAAAAAUCUUUUUUUUUUUCUCCAACAAAGUGAUUUUUUUUUUAAUAAAAAUAACUAAAAUCUAGAAUGCACUUUUUUUAUUUAUCAAAUCUUAAAAAUUAUUGUUUUCAAUAAAUAACUUAUUUAUAAAAAGAAAACUAUAAAAUAUAUGCACUUGAAAAAUAUUUAAUUUUUAUUUGAUUUAGUAUCAAUUAAUAUUUGUAAUAUUUUUUAAUAUUAUAGAAGUUAACAUUCUCAAUAAAGAUAUUCAAGGCCUUGAGUUCCCCUUGGGCCUUGGCCAGGGCCUUCUCUUUGUAUCAUUAUUUUGAAGAAGCAUAUUGGUGUGACGUAAAAAAAAACUAUACUAAAUAGAAAAUAAAUAAAAGCAUCAACAAAAAUAAAGGCCAAGAUCCAUGAAAAGUAAUCUUUAAAUUUGUUGCAUAUAUAAUUUCAACAAUGCAUAAAUAAUUACAACAUACACAAUACAAUAAUAUUACACAACUAUAUUUUCAAAUAUAACAUAAGAUCAUUAAAGUGAUAAAUUGUAGUCGUAUAAAAUAUUUGUACAAGUAAAGAAGAAAUUAUGAGAUUAAAAGUCUGUUUGGCAGUGAUUCUAAUAAAAACGUUUUUCUUUAAAGUGUUUCCUUUUGUAGUGUUUCCUUGGAAAAUACUUUUUUGCGAAUUAGAAAAAAUGAUUUUCAAGUGUUUUUUUAUAAUAUAUUGUAUAAGUAUAAAAACACUUUUGAUAUUAAUAAAUUACCAAAAAGGACAUAUAUAUUUAUAUUGUUAAAAAAACUAAAAAUAAUCUUUUUUUAUGAUUUAAAUAAAUUUUUUACAAGAAGAAUUAGAUUAAUAAAUAAAUAUCAAUCAUGAUAUAACAAAUUAUUUGAUUAUAUAUUAGUUUAAAAUUAAUAAUUUUUUUUAUCACUAUAAUAAAAUUUUAAAAAAUAUUUAUAAAAAACAUCUGAAUAAAUAAAUAAAUAAAAGAACAUUGAAUAAAAGAUAAUUUUCAAGGUAAAACAAUAUAUGAUUACCUAUUAAUUUCUCAAAAAAAACAAAAAAACUUUCUAAUUAAAAGUAAAUAAGAAGACAAAUGUUUUCAUAACAAAAAAGGGGGAAAAAAAAUUAUAUUAUUACAUAUUAGAGUCAUAGUUAAACAUCAAUGAGAUAUAAGAAGAUUUGCAAUUCGAUCACGUUCUUCUUCCAUCUCUCUUGCAUGAUGUGAACCAUCUUCCUCAACAAGUGAAUCCACUCUACUCUCUUCUUCAUUAAGUAGAAACAACCCUUGAUCAUCAUCAUAAGGUUUAAAUUCCAUAUCCAUUCUAGCAUUAAUCCUUAUGAAGUUGUGAAGAGCCAUUGAAGCAAUAACAAUCUUUACUUGUUUUUCAAGAGGAAAACUAUGCAUUUGUCAUAGCAUUCUCCAUCUAUUCUUCAAAACGGCAAAUGUUCUCUCAAUUGUGCACCUCAAGGAAGAAUGCCUAUGAUUAAAUAUUUCCUUUUUACCUCUAGGUGAACUACCUCGUCGAAAAUCUGGAAGAUGGUAACGCUCGCCUUUAUAAGGGCCUAAAUAUCCACUCAUUUGAGGAUAACCAGCAUCAACCAAAUAAUAUUUACCUACAAAACAAAAACAAAAAAUAUAUAUUAGAUAAUAAGAAUUUGAUCACAAAAACAAGUUUGAUAUUGUCAUUCACAAACCUCUAGGUGGAUGAGGAAAACCCAAUUCUGGCCUUCUUAAUGCCUCUAAAAAGACCCGUGCAUCAUGAGCAGCACCUUCCCAUCCGACCCAUGCAAAUGUGAAACACAUAUUGAAAUCACAUACUGUCAUAACAUUUUGGGUAGUCAUGCCUUUUCUACCAAUAUAUGGUAUUUGUCUAUCUUUAGGAACCACAACAGGUAUAUGAGUUCCAUCAAUUACCCCAAUACAAUCCUUAAAAUAUGGCCAAUACCGAUCAUCAUUUUUUAUUUUAUUAGGGACUUCCUUAAACUAUGGAUCACUUGGUUUUAUAAUAUCCAUGGCCAUAAGACAAACAACAUCUAAUACAAUCUCAAACCAUUUAGAUACAGAUUCACUAGAGUGUUGAAAUCUUUCUUGAAUCAUCCUAUUGCUUAGUCCAUGACCUAUUGUAGUGAGAAACAUUGCUAAGGCCUCUGUUAAGGGCACAUCAAAACCUUCUUUUAGGCCAUACCUUUUAGUAAGUGUUUCUAAUAAAUUCAUAAACACAUGUUUUUCCAUUCUAAAUUGCUCAAAACACCUAAUUUCAUGGCCAUUUAAGACAUCCAUUACAAACUUGUAUCCUAUGUGGGAAGAAGUUCUGCAAGGUUUUUUUUUUCUUUGAAACAAGUAAGUUUUACAGCUAUAGCACAACCCGCAAGCACCAACUGAUAAAAAUCAUGUUCAUCAUCGUUUUCAUCAUCAAAAUUUUGAUCAUUAUUAUUAGAAGACAUCUACACAAAUAAAAAAAGAAAUACAUUAAUAAAUCUGUUUUUCUCCUUUUCUACCUCUUUGAAAAAGAAGAAUAUUAUCAACUGAAUAUAAUGUUCACAAUAAAUCCUUCAAGUAUCUAGAAGGAACAUUUCCUUUAAUUGUUUGGGCAAGAAAAAGCAUAGCUCAACAAAGCUUCAAGUAGCAAGUUAUUUAUAUAUAUGAACCAGGCUAGAAGUAACCAUGAUAAGAACAUAUAAUACUGCAAUACUCAAGGUUCUUGUGUAAUUCUCCUAAAUUGUAUUUCCUUUUUAAUUUUCCAAAGUACUCAAUUUAAUCUCUCAUCACAAGCAUGGGACUCAACACUUCAAAACAUUUCUCCAAUAAUUUUUCAAGGAAUCAACUUGGUUCCAUGGCCUAUAACUGAUACUAUCAGAUGAUCAACAACAAAUAAUAUCUUAAAUGUAGUUUACCACACAUCUAACCAUACAUUUAUAUUAGAAAUGCAAAUACAAAUACAAGGCCACAGAUUUAAAGUUAUCAGUUUGCUCCUUUCCUGAUAAGCAAUAGGAAGCCCAUACAAAUAGGCUCAUUUCCCAUCCCACUGCUCUAUUCUUAUUUUGUAGAUAAUUACAUUACAUAUGAUAAAUAUAGAAGAUAGAUUAAUUCAAUUAGCAUAAAUUGGAACAAGAAGCUAUGCAUAAAUAGCAUAUAUAAUACUCACAUUACUUUGCUCUUACAACGGUUUUUUCUUUGAACCUAUAUUCUUUUGAUUUGUUGAAGUAUGUUGAGUCAUUUUUUUAACAUGUGCACCAAGAAUUUAACUUGUAUAGGCCUGCACAUAAUGUGAAAGCAAAUAUUAUUAUAAAAUGGUUCAUACAUCCGACGAGUGUCUAAUUAAGUGUUGUUUCCAACAAAGGCAUUCCUCCACUAUAGAAUUGUUCGUGCUGCAUGGAUAUUUUCUCUUUCAUUCAUUUUGUUCUAUUGGAUUUCCAGUAAGAUUUAUGUGUUCUAGGAUUUUCAGAACUACUCUUACACACACCAACUUCGAAGGUAAGUGGUAUUUUUCAUGAGGAAGAAAUUCGAAGUGAUCAUCCCAAUAUCAAAUAAUAUAGCAAAAUUAAGGGUUUAUAGGAAUUAAAGCUGGGCUUCCAUACAAUCAUGUUAAAGGUAAAUAGCAGGGCGGCAAUUUGUUCAUACAUAAAGCUGUUUUUCCCCUUUUCUAUGUCUGUGUCUUAAAUGGGUCUCGACCUAAAUGUGAAAUUGAAAUGACCCUAAUGAAAGAAGAAGUAUGUGAUGAUUGAAUUAAGAAAGAAUGCGAAGGUUUAGCCACUCGAAAAAUAUACUUGUGUCUCAUGAAUUUGUUUGUUGGGUGUGAUUCAAAGAGACAACCUAAGGUCCAAUUUUUGAUCAUCUCAUUUAAAAACCAAUUAUUUUCCAGUAUGAGUGUCUUUAAUGACAAUCUACAUCAUACCCUUGGGAGUCAUUGUUUGGGCGACCCAUUACCAGACAUAAGCGGGAUCAUCCCACCUCAAAAAAAGGGUCUGAAAUGUUAUAAAUGAGAGAUAUCGAGCACCAUAUUACAGCUCCUGGAAAUGCAAUAAUGCAUGUAUGAAGGUGCCCCUUACCAAAAAGAGUGAAAAAACAAAACCGAAUCAGCCCAAAAAUUUAAUUGGGGUUCACAGUAUUUCAUAGAAUUGAGCAAACCUUGACAAAUACCUAUAAGGCAAAGUGGAAAAUGGGGUCUUCAAACCUACCCACAAAUAGUUAUAUGAUGAGCCCCAAUCCGAAACAAGUGGUCCAAUAUAUAAGAGGGGGACCUAAUGCAGAGGACCAUAGUGCCAUAACUACUAUAUACUUGUACCAAAUGGUUAAAAAAAAAAAAUAAUAAUGUGUAUGCAGUAUGCAAUAUGCUUAUAUGCAUUCAAACGAAUCAAACCAUAAAAACUCACUGCUGGAAGGUUUGGGAGGAUACAAAGCCCUGAAAGCAACGAAAUCGAUCAGCGGUCCACAAGCUGGAUCCUCCUCUACUCUUGGGUUAUGUAUGAUGAUCUCGAUCACAUCAAAGACAUGUGGUUUACAGAUAUGUGAACCAAAAAUCCUAAACAGAGCGAUUGCAUAUGUGAACUAGAAUAGAGGAUGAGAGUUUUAGAAAGAGAAGUACCAGGAAAUGAGACUCGACUACUCUAUUGAUUUACCAUUUCAUUUUCUCAUACUUUCCUCCUAACCAAACAAUCCUAAAACCCAAAACCCUAACUAGCAUUGCAAGACAAUCAGACAUUAAAAACAAGGAAAAGAAAAACAAGCAAAGAACAGAGGGUUACCUUCGAUUAGAUAAAUGAUGUCGAAUGAAAGUGGAGCGCUUUUCAGAUGGAGAGCGAUGGAGGAGGAGAACCAAGGAGAAAGGUAAGUGAAAGGGAAAUGGAGGUAUCGGGAAUCACUUGGGGGUAUUUUUGGAAUAUUUCAAAAUUUUUGAAGUGUUUUUUUAAAAAACACCUGUCAAGUGAUUCUCUAAAAAUCAUUUUAAGUGUUUUUCCAGAUUUUCAGAAGUGUUUUUAAAAAUAUGCCAAACACCUUAUUUUCAUCCCAAAAACACUUAAAAGUAUUUUUAAGGGUAUAAACACUUUUAAAAAUCAUUGUCAAACGGGCUCUAAAAUGCUUGUCGGAUUCUAGGUAAAGAAGAAAUGAGAUAUAGAGAUUAUCCCAUCAGACAUAUAGAAUUUCAUAUACAUAAUUUCAUAUAUUUAUAGGUUUGAAGAGACAUAUUGAGAUUUUGUAGACAUGUUUGGAGUUUUAAACCUUGAAAUAUUACUCUUUUAUUAAAUUAACAUUUAUAAAAUUUGGAAGAACAUAAUUGGAUAAUAUCUUAAGUUAUUUUUAAUGAAAAUUGAUAAUUACCUUUUAAUUAUUAAAUUCAUUAUUUCUAUUUGUUUUUGUAAUAUUUCUUAAUUACUAAAAUAUUUUAUUUCCUUUAUUUAGUUUGAAAGCUAUUAUAUAUCUUUUGUUUGUAUAGAGCUCAUGUGACAUAUCUCACAAUUUAAUUUAAAGAUUCAUUACCAAAUGACAAAUUUUAUUUUGUCACGCUUCUCUUCUUUUCUCCCAGACCGGAUUGGUCGACCAAUCAUUGAUCGGAGCCUUUCAGAAUGGCUAUCAAACCGCCACUGAACCGAGAAAUCAACGGUUUAACCACUAACUCGGUGAACUGGUCUACCGGCUCAAGUUUGGAUCCCUUUAAUUUGUGGCAGAAUGCGCCCAACCAAAUUGGGCCUCAAGCCCAACAACCUAAAGUCCAUGCGGGCUAUCUACUGGAUCUCACCCAUUGUAACUUGCUCUGGGUGAAUGGCCAUUACAAACUUCCCUCAUCUGAUUUUGAUGUGGGAAUGGGAGAGAUGAGGAUUUGACAUUUGGACCUAAGGCUCAAAGGGUUUUAACUCUACUCAACUACUUUAUGCCUUCUAUUUAAUAUUGCAAACCAAAAUAAUAAUAGACAUGAUUCUUUUCAAAAUUUUUAUAAUAAUAUAAGUAAAAAUGAUGUAAUAUUUUUUUAAAUGAUAAAAUAAUAGGUUAAAUAAAUUUUAAUAUAUAUGUAAAAUUAAUUAAAUUUUAAUAAAUAUCUUCACAUUUAAACAUUACAUAUCUUUUAUUUAAUAAAAUGUUAAAAUAUUAAUAUAUCUAUAUAUUUAAUUUGAUAUUAUUAUAAAUUAAAAUUAAAAUAUUAAUAAUUUUUAUUUUCUUUAUAUAUUUGAAUUUGUAUAAUUAUUUUUUAUUUUAAUAACAUAUAAAUUGUAUAUUUAUGAUAUUACUAGUUCAACUGUAAUUCAACCAUCAGUUCGAUCAUUGAACUGUGAAUUAGUAAAUUUUUUUUAUUCAUUGAUAGGUUCGAUCCUAAAAUCAUAUAUAGAUAUCUAUGGAGUGUAUACAUAUAUUAUGUAUCAUAAAUUUAUAUAGGGAUCACCUAUGUAUGUAGGGUAUACAUAUAUUAUGUAUCGUAAAUUUAUUUUUUAUAUUAUUUAUUUUUUAAAAUAAAAAAAUUAAAUUCGUAGUUAAAAAUAAAAGAAGUAAAAAACAUUUAUAAAAUAUAUUGUAAAAUAAUGCCAAUAUAUGUAUUAUUUUAUAUAAGGUGCAACUUGGAAGGGUUGGUCCAACUCAACCUAAACCUAACUUGAUGUUUGAGUGGGUUUAGGCAAACAUUUUCAAUACUUAGGUUGAGCUUAAGUUAAGUUUUCUCAAUCCGAGUUCAAUUUGGGUUGGGUUUGGACCAAGGUUUGAAUAACUUGAGUCUAACUCAAACCUGAUUUAAUGUUUUUAUAGUGUUUAUAUCCUUUAAAAUAAUAUUCCUUUUCAUUUUAGAUUUUAAAGAAAAAAUAUCAAUUAUAAUUAUAUCAUAUACUUUUUUUUUGUUUUUGUUUUUAGAGAGAUAUAUAAGUUUACUUUUAUUUUUUUAUUGUCAUUUUGAAAUUUUGUAUUACUUACUAUUUAAAUUUUGGUAUAAAUAUAUAGAAUUUAAAACAGAAAAUAAUAUGGAUAGAUUUUGAAUCAUGCAACCUAAUCAACCCAAUUAACCUGAGUUUAACCUGUUUAACCCAAUCAAACUGAGUUUAAUUUGAUCAACCCGACUUUAACUUGACUAACCCAAGUUCAACCCAAGCUUCAAAAAAUGACGUCGGGUUGGGUUGAGUACCUUGAGUUAGAGGUCAGGUUGGAUUGAGUUUGGGUUGAUUGUUUUUUAGUUUGGGUUAGGAUCCAGUUAGCCAUUAACUCAACUAACCGACCUAAGUUGCAACCCUAAUUUAAUAUAUAUUAAAUUAUUGUUAUAUAUUGAACAACAUAAUAUAAAAAAAUUAUUUAUAAAUUUUAAAUCUUUUAGUCAUAAAUAUUGCUAAACAAAAGAAAAUUUCCAUUGUUUUAAUAGUGAAUAUUGGAAUGCAAUAUAAUUUUAUUUUAAACAAAUAUUAAAUAUUGAAAAAUAAUAUAUAUUCCAUUUCAUUUUUUUUAUUCAUUUUACAAACUAAAUAUAAACAUAACAUAACAUAUCUUAUUAUGUAUACUACCUUAGAAUAUCAUAUCCAUUAGAUAUAAUAUACAAAGAUAUCACAAUCUUUUAGAAAAAAUAGUAUGGGAUAUAUUGUGGACCCGCAUUUUUUGCAUGUGUUCCCAUUCGAUGGCAAGACUCGUUUUUUAUUUGAAAAACUGAUUUUUAAAAAUUAUUUUUGGAGUUGCCACUUUUUUUUUUUUUUUAAAUGAAAAAAAAAACUGUAAGUGUGACUCCUAUAAAGGAAAAGUAGGUUUGAGAAAAUCAAGUCAGAGUCUAAGGGUCAGGUUAUUUAUUGGAAAUAUACCGUAGUAAGUUGUAGUAGUACCCCUCUAAGUUCUAAAAAUUAGGUUUCUAUUAAUCGGCUAAGGCAAGUGUAGCAAGUGAUUGAUUAAUCGUGGAUACCAAAGUUCAGGAUAUAGAACAAAGCAAAGUAUGCACAAGAAUGAAUAAAUAAGCAAGAUGGAGAUGGGAGCAUACUUGAACGACAAACGAGAGCGCUUACAUGGAAAUAGGGUUAGUGCACAAGUGUAGAGUAAUCACAUAUAAAUCACAAAACAGAUCAAAGUCAAUCAAUAUUCAAUCACAAAUGUUGGGCCUCACCAAAACCCAAUUUAUUUACAUUAAUUAAUUAUAAUGAAAAUAGGAAAUGCAUGCCAGAAGAGAAAUUUGGGUUCAAAAAUUUUAUUGAAAUCAACAUUUUAUUGCCAAGGAAAACCCAAUUUAUUUACACCACCAACUCCAUAUUUCCCAUUUUUCUACCUACUGCCAAUUCACUCCUUUCUCUGAGAAGAUUUUUGAGGUUAUUGUCAUGCUUGAGAUAAUCCAGAAAGUUGAGCGGCAUCACUCUCUGAAAGGUAUUUUAUAGCAUGGGUAAUGUGUGGGAUACAUCUGAUAGGCUGUUAUAUCCAUAAACCACCAUAUUAAACCAUGGUUCAUAUCCCCAACACCACACAAGAAUCUGUACUCAUCCCAAGCAACUUGGAAAUCAUAAAAUCAGGUUUUGAGCGCCUCCCAAGACAUGCACAGCUUCACCCUUUGUGCAUUCCUUUGAUUUGGAAAAUUUCUUCUACAGAAUUCCCCAUUAUCAUGCCCUAAACCAAGACAUAUCAUGAUCGGAUGGGCCCCUUUAUCAAUUUCACAAUAGCCAAUAACAUAUCAUUUACUUCUGUUUUGUCAACAGGAAUUAGCAUUUUGCAUGGGAAGCACCAACGAAGAUGAGGGUUUUCAAAUUGGAUCACCAACAGAGAAACCCAUUGCAACUAUUUGAAUAAUUGAGCACAACAUCGACUUUGGAAAACUUCUCUUAAAGGUGAAAUCAUCAUCUUGGCUAAACGUAGUCACAGUUAGGUUGUGAGCAAUAAUCACAGAGGGCUUUCAGUUUGAUAGCAACGAAAAGGUAAAUGUACUCGAGAGAAGUUCUGACUCUGGGAGAAGCACUCUUGAAUCCAAGUGAAGGUCUGUUCUGGAUCUUUUCCUGGCUCUCUCUGUUAAACGAAGAUAAUCUGCCCAGGAUUUGGAUGCAAGGCCAUGUUUAGGAGACUUAUGUAGAAUAUUUAUCCAUAGCUCCCUGCCAGAAACAUUUGCAUAAAGCGUCUUCCCGGUGUGAACCAUUGUCUUGCCUGGAAGUGUCGAGCAGCAAUAUGGCCUUCUUUUUUAUUAACUAUUUUGUCAAAUUCUAGAGCUCUCAUUCCAAAUCCAUCAGUUUUCUCAAAUGAUUGGCUAGUGGAGAUCCAUGGAUAUAACAUAUGAAUUGUGCACAACAAAAGCAAUCAAACGGUAUGUUGGUUUGGCUACAUUCCACAAUCGCAAAGACUUAUCAUGCGAAAUAGUUACCAAUUGCAUUGAAUUUUGCCUAAAAAGGAUAUUCGUUAUUACAAACUGGUGUUCUUCCGUGGUGCUCUCUCUUUGCAGGCUAUCCAUGUUCCAAAGAACAACUCUCUUGUCAUGUCUGGCACUGAUUAGAGAUUUCCCAUCUGAAGAAAAUCGACAACAGGUAGAUUUGCCAUUCUUGGUCUGUAUACAUCUAACCUUAGCAAGGGUUGAACCCUUUUAUGCUUAGUUGUGCCAUACAGAUCCUUACCACCGCCUGCAGCAUGUAAUCGAAAUGAUUCGAUAAUGUCAUCUAGUGAACCAAUACUUUCAAAUGAGAGACCACUGCCUCUGUAAGUAGGGCUCAUGACUGAGAAUUGCGUAAACCCCUUUGCUUGGGUUGAAACCUGACCGAUACACAAUAUUCAUAGGCCUCUUCCCAUAACUAGCACCUUGUGUUUGCAAUAGAAUUGAACAUGUAUUGAAGUGAGUUUUUUUGCAUUUUCUCGUAAGAAAAUUCUAAACAAUAGAGACUACUUAGUGUGCCCAGCCCUUCGGAGCAUCAAGGUCCAUUUCUAUAGAGGGCCAAUUGUUCCACAGUCGAAACAGAUAACAUGGAAAGUAUGCUACAAUGCUUCAACGGGAUAAUUCUUGGGAAAAUCUCUUCAAAUUGAUGAAUGGUAGUUUUUCAUUCUUAUUUCAUUCGUUCAUGUACAUAGUAUAUAUAGAGGGUAAUCACCAUUUUAAGAAUGAGAAAGAAUGAUACAAGAAAGGAAUGAUAUAAGGAAAGAACAACUAAUAUCCUAAUAUCUCAACAUUCCUAAUAUCUAAACAUUCCUAAUAUCUUAACACUCCCCCUCAAGUUGGUGCAUAGAUGUCACACAUGCCCAACUUGUCUAAAAAUUUUGAGAACACUCGACUUGAGACUGCAGCUUUGGUGAGGAUAUCGACCAAUUGAUCUUCUGAUCGAAUCUUAGGCAAUUCCACAAUCUUAUCAUCCAACUUCUCCUUAAUGAAGAAUCUGUCCACCUCGACAUGCUUUGUACAAUCAUGUUGUACUGUAUUAUGAGCAAUAUCACAUGCGGCUUUAUUGUCACAAAACAAUCGAAUUGGUUGCCUAGAUAGGUAAUCUAAAUCCUGUAAGAGGAGUCUUAGCCAUAAUGCCUCACAAAGUCUUAGAGUCAUACCCCUAAAUUCUGUUUCUGCACUUGAACGAGCGAUGACAUAAUACUUCUUACUUUUCCAUGUCAUAAGAUUACCACCUACAAAGGUAAAGUAACUAGAUGUAGAUCGCCUAUCAUCCACUACACCGGCCCAAUCAACAUCAAUAUAUACUUCUAUACUCUAAUGAUCAACAUUUUUAGUGAACAAAAUUCCCUUUCCAGGAGCAUUCUUCAAAUACCUCAAAAUACGCAUGAUUGCAUUCAUAUGUUGCUCUCUAGGAUUAUGCAUGUAUUGACUUACUACACUCAAUGCAUAAGCAAGAUCUGGUCUUGUUUGAGCUAAGUACAUUAAUUUUCCCACAAGUCUCUGGUAUAUUCCCUUAUGGGUUGAUACUUGAUUAGGCUCAAUACACAAUUUCAAACCUUCUUCUAUUGGUGUAUCAACAGGUUGACAUCCCAACAUUCCAGUCUCCUAUAAAAGAUCUAAGGCAUACUUUCUUUGAGACAGAAAAAUUCCUUCACUUGAUCAAGAAACUUCAAUCCCAAGAAAGUAUUUCAGAGAAUCUAGAUCUUUCAUUUCGAAUUCUCUAGAUAGAUAAUUUUGCAGAGCUUUUCUUUCUUCAGGAUCAUUUCCUGUAACUACCAUGUCAUCCACAUAUACGAUGAGUGUCGUAAUCUUACUAUGUUACUUUUUCAGGAACAAAGUGUGAUCUGAAUUACUUUGAUGAUAGCCAAAAUCUCUCAUUGACUUUGUGAACCUUUCAAACCAUGCUCUCGGGGAUUGCUUCAACCCAUACAAUGAAUUCUUCAAUUUGCACACCUUUUGAUAUUGCUUUUCUAACACCAUGCAUCGUGGUGGAAGAUCCAUAUAUACUUUUUCAGAUAACUCACUAUGCAGAAAGACAUUUUUCACAUUGAACUGUUGUAAUGGCCAAUCCAGGUUUGCAGCUAAAGACAGUAAUACUCGAACUGUGUUGAUCUUAGCUAUAGGUGCAAAUGUCUCUUCCUUCUUCUAUCACUUCUUUAGUUUCUGGGUGGUCAUUACUACUUGGUUCCAAAGUUGUACUACUCAUAUCCAACUCACCUGCUUCCUAGUUCACCUGUUCAGAUUGUCUAGAUUCAUCCUUUUCAUAGAUAUGAUAAUCAUAAUUGAGAGUUUGAAUUUCCUUCUGGUACUCCCCCUGAAGUUUAGACUCAAAUGAAGAAUACAUCGAAUCUUCAUGAAACACCACAUCCAUUGUAAUAAACAUUCGUCGAGUUGGAGGAUGGUAACAUCGAUAUUCCUUUUUGUGCAAUGCAUAUCCAACAAACACACAUUGCAAUGCACGAGAAGUUAACUUGGUGCGUUGGUGUUUGUGUAGAUGCACAAAUGCCAUGCAACCAAAAACACGAGGAGGUAGAUUUGAGACGGUUGAGGCAACUACGAUAUUAAUAAGAGCUUGGAGAGCUGUUUGGAAGCUAAUUGAGUUGAAAGGUACCUGAUUGAUAAAGUAUGUGACAGAUGUUAUUGUUUCCCCCCAAUAAGAUAUCGGUAUUUUUGCUGCUAUCAAGAAAGUACGAACAACCUCUAACAAGUGUCAAUUUUUUCGUUCAGCGACUCCAUUUUGCUGGGGUGUAUUGGAACCAUGGAAGAAAAUAUCGGUAAUCACGAAUAUAUCGGUACUUCGAUUUUAUGGAUAUAUCGGCGGAUAUUUUGGAAAAAAAUAUCGGUAGGCUUAAAAUUGUUAAAAACUCAUGGAAAUGUAAAGAAAACUUCAUAAUAAUAUAAUUAGAAGUAUAAUAGACAUUUUAAAGUUGUUUUGUAGAAAAAAUUGAUAUACAUAUGAUAUAAUUUGCGAUAUUAAAUGUAAUUAUAUCAUGUCGAUCAAUAAGAAAUGUUAAUUUUGUAAUUAUUCUCAUUAUAAAGUCACAUAAAAUACUUCAUUUCAUUAAAUAGCAAUAAUUUGUACACAUUACAUUACAAUGUCCCUUUAAUACCAAAAUGAGGAUCGAUGUGGUUCAAUGGGAUUGAUAGAUGAAGGAACGCCGUCUUGCUGUUGGAGACAAUAUUGGUACCAACUCAAUGAGCCUCGAUAAUAUUGGUUAAAAAUUCUAACAUGCCAUGCAUAUAUCUCUUGAGUCCUGCCCACUGCCUCUACAUGGAUAGGAUACUCAAAGUUCACCCAUGUGUUAAUGCCCAAUCCUCCUUCCAUCUGAUAUGGAACUUGGUAAGGCAUUUGUCUUGAAGGUGAAUAACGCGACAUACCAUACUCUUCAUCUGUUGAACUUGAAGGUUGACCAUAACUCAUCACAUGAGGAGAGUAGACAUCAGCCUCAUUCGAGGAGUCACUAAAUUGAGUUCCUAUACUCAUAGAUUCAAAACUCCCUGAAAGUAACUCCUCAUUAUAUGGUUCCAUCAUUCGUUCUCUUCCUCUAUAAGGCUUCCCAAUAGCUCCUAUGCCUGGACCAGCUCUUCUAGAGCCAUGGUCUUCAUCUUGUGUGCAGUGUGUGAAAGUAUUUUCAUAGGUGAAUUGGCUGACUGGAUAUUGACUAUGUUGACGUUCAUUAAUAUCUCCUCCCGCAUUAUCACCUCCAUCAUCAGUUCCACCUCUUGAACCAUCGUAACCAGAAGCAGAAGUACCUGCAGCACUAGGUCUACUACUAUGGCCAGCACUUGUGGAGUUAAUCUCUUGGUGGGAAUCAUCAGUAUCUUUGCUAAAACUUUCAGAGUGAACUUCUUCAGACAACACACGUUCAACAUUAACUCCAAAUUCUCGAGCAUGAGCAGCAAUUCGUGGAUCGGGAUUUCCAACUUCGUCAUCCAAGUGUAUAGGUCUCACCCAUUGGAACAACUGAUUAUCUUCUUCUUCACCCACCUCGACUGAAAUGUCAAGAAUAUCAAGAUAAUCUUUUUCAGCAACUCGAUCAUUUUCUGCCUCCAUAUCGCGUAACUUUAGCCUUAUAUUAUAGUAACAAAAAACUAAUUGCUCCAAUCGAGAGUAAGCCAAACGAUUUCGUUGCUUUGUGUGGAUAAGAGCAAACGUGCUCCAAUUUCUCUCACAGGCAGUAGAUGACGCAGUUUGUGAGAGAACUUUGAUGGCUAACUUUCUCAAUGUAGGUGUUUGAUUCCCAUACAUAAACCACCAUUCAGCUGCAACCAAUUUGAUAAUCAUAUAAAUACUUAUAUGGUGAAUUUACAAUAAUGAUAAUCAAUUUUUUCCUACAAAGACUCACCGGGCACCAUGGUUAACCUUGCUGCAAUUGCCGCCCGAUCACCGAAUCCUCUUUUUGCAUCUCGAAAAAGCACAAGCUAUGUAUUCAACAUUGAAUUUGUUAAUAUCAUAUUUGUUAGUAAACGUUCAAAUAAAUUGAUGAAUGAAAUUAUUGUUUUAUAGACAAAUAACAAUUUUUUAUUUACCUCAUUUCCAAAUUGACCAAGUGAUUCAGUAGUUGGAUCUAAUUUUGCAAAAACAUCAUGGACCGCUUGAAGUAGUUCCGGAUCACUACCAACUCCACGCCUAUAUUGAAAUCUUGGAUUCAAGAAGUAUGCUACAAUAAAAUUAAGUAGAGUUAGUUUUUUUUUAAACAAAAUUAAAUACAGAGUAAAAACUUAUAAAGAUAUAUAGUACUUAAGUACCUGCUGCAUGAAGUGGAUGUUUUAGUGUUUUCUCCCAACGAUCUUGUAUUAUUUUGAACAUCCAAUCUCCAGCUCCUUGACGCGUAAGGUUCUUUUUCAUCACGUGCAUAAGCUCAUACACAAAUGGCAUUGUGGGAACAACUUCAGAAUCCAUAAGUCGAAGCACCACGUAUAAUGGCUCAUAUAAUGAAACUAUAUUUGUCAUUCUGUCCCAAUACGCAUGGUCAAACAAUAAUUGCUCCAACUCUCGUCCAUGUUUUGUUCGACUUAGCUUGUGUUGUGCCCAAUCAUCACUCAUAAACAAUUUUUUCAAAUCGACCCUUUUUUUAAGAAGACUGUCAAGAGCAAUAUAAUUGGUAGCAAACCUUGUAGCUCCUGGUCGAACAAUGUCUCCACCACAAUACAAUCUCAUUUGUGCUAGUAACCAACCAUGAUUGUAAAUGAAGUUAGUUAUCUUGCGAGCAUUGUUUAUCACCUCGAUAACACUGGGUCUUUUACCAAUGUCUUCAAAGAUUAAGUCAAUGCAGUGCGCCGCACACGGAGUCCAGUAUAAGUUAUACUUCUUCAUCAAUUGUUUCCCUGCUUUCAUGAACGCCGACCCAUUAUCUGUGACAAUUUGGACCACAUUUUCUUUACCGACUUCUUUGAUAGCAGUCUUCAAUAGGUUGUAUAUAUAAUUGUGGUCUUUAAUAUAGUUCGAUGCAUCAACUGACUUAAGGAAGACCGUGCUCCCUUUAGAAUAAACCAUGAAAUUAAUAAUACUUAAUUUCGUGGGCCCUGUCCAUCCAUCUGACAUUAUUGUGCACCCAUAUGUCUUCCAUUUUUCUCUUUGUUGGUUCACAUAAGCUUCCAUUUCUCUGUACUCCAUUUCCAAGUACUUGUUCUUUAUGUCAAAUGGAGAUGGAGGUUCGAUUCCCAUUCCUGCACUUCAUAUAAAAAAAAAAUGUAAAACAUGUCACAAAAGACUAUACUUACUAAAAGUAUAGCACAAUAUAACAUUUCAAAAAUUAGUAAUUACCAGCUUGUUGUGCACCAAUAAUCAUAUUCUUGAAGUGAUGAGACUUUGCUUUUGCGGGUGCGACGCUCUCAUAAAUGAAGAAUUUGCUAAUUAAGCGUCCCAUCGUUUCUUUAAUUGCACCACCCUUGAAUAUAUCUUUGAUAUUUUUUUGUUUUGCUGUAGAAGACUUGUAAAGCGAAGGAGCAAUAGGGGGUGAUUGUUGCAAAUGUCGCAUACUAUGUGAUUUUCGCAUCAUCGACGGUAAUCCAGUAGACUGUGAAGACUCCCCCGUUUUGCGUUUGCUUCCUACAAUAUUCUCAUAUUGUUCACGUUCCCAUUCUGAUGCUUUCGAGGCACGAACUGCAGAUCGAUAUGCAUCCCGCUCAUCUGGGUGCAUAUCUGCCGGAUACAUAUACACAUCUUCAUUCUCAACAUCUUCAUCAUCAUCAUCUUCGUCUACCAAAUGUGUAUGAUGAGUCCCCAUUGUGCCACGUAAUUGAGCACGAAUUUCUUCAAUAUCUGCAUUUUUCUUUACUUUUGCUUUUGUUUUGUCAUGCACUAGGAAUCGUAUCUCUUCUUUCACUUCGGGCGGCACUCUCGGACACUUUUUGGUGUUGUUAUGCGGGUCUUUUUGCAUUAAAUGAAACUUGAAUCGCGUGAUGCCUCCACUUUUCAUCACCAACCCACAGAAAUUACAAAUUGUUCCAUUUCGGUUACCCUCAAUCGAUAAAUAAUACUUCCAAGUCGGAUCUCGCCCUAGCAGGGCAAAACCACCUUCACUAGCCAUGCUAAAUCUAUUGCAAUAAAAAUACACUUGAAUGUGAUUUCAAUGUAAACAAAAAUCAAGUCAAUAUUUAAAUUUAAAUAUAUGAGAAAUGUACAAAAUAAUGAUAAAGAAUGAACAUAGUUGAUAUUCCAUAUAUUUAGUUAAACUAAUUAAAUAAUUUAGCUAAGUUAAUUUUUUGAAUCUAAAUCUAAUUUUAUGAAAAAUUUACUAAAUUAAAAAUUAAUCAUAAUUGGAUAUGAAACUAAAUCAUGAUAAUUAUAAAAAUUGAACAUAUUUAAUAUUCCAUAUAUAGUAGUUCAUGUUAAUUAAACUAAUUAAAUAAUUUAGCUAAGUUAAUAUUUUGAAUCUAAAUCUAAUUUUAUGAAAAAUUUACUAAAUUAAAAAUUAAUCAUAAUUGGAUAUGAAACUAAAUCAUGAUAAUCAUAAAAAUUGAACAUAUUUAAUAUUCCAUAUAUAGUAGUUCAUUGGGGUUGGAAAGCUUCAUGAGAACCUUAGUAGAGCGGUUACAACCCUACUUAGCAUGUUAAUUAAAUUAAUUAAAUGUGAAACUAAAUCACAAAUAAUCAUCUAAAAUAAACAUAUCAAUUUAUAAUUAAAUAAUCAAAUUAACCUAAGUCAAUUCAAUAAAAAUAUACAAAUUAAUUACUAUUGAAUAUAAAAAUAACAUUAAAUCAUCCAUAUUAAUUACAAUUGUAAACAAAAUUAAUUACAAUUUAAAAAAAACAUACCUUAAAAUUGGAGUAAUGAGAGAGCAAAUGAAGAAUGAAAGCAAAAAUGGGUGAAAUUGAUGGAAAAAUGGCUAUUUAUAGAAGAAAUUUGGGCCAAAAUAGCCGUUGGAACACCAAUUUACCGUUGAAAUUCAAAUCUGGCCGUUGGAUCACAAACUGGGACAAAUCUGGUCGUUGGAUCACAUUAUUAACGUUGGAAUCGCAUCUGGGCCGUUGGAUCAACGCGGGCGUGAUCUGGGCCGUCAGAUCGCGCUGGAGAGAGGAGCGAAAUAUCCCCAAAAAGUCGGCGAUUUAUCGGCGAUUUUCCGCGGCCACGGCGAUUAUUUGGAGAAAUCGCCGAUUUAUCGAUUUUCACCGAUAUAUCACCGAUUUAUCGGCGAUUUAUUGGCGAUUUUUUGCGAAAAAUCGUCCCCCGAUUUUUCUCCUGGAAAUGCCGUGUCGCCGCCUCCCGAUACAAGAUAUAUCGGCGAUAUUUCGCCGAUAUUUCGCGAUAUUUUCCUCCAUGAUUGGAACAAGUAGUUUGAUGAAUGAUGCUAUGUCCUUUCAAAUACUUUUGAAGAUCAGGACUCUGAUAUUCUCCACCAUUAUCGCUACGUAGAACCCGAACAUUUGCAUUGUACUGAGUUUCAAUCAUUUUAUGAAAUUUUUGAAACAACAAGUUCACUUUAUCUUUAGUCUUCAUCAAGCAUAACCAUGUCAUUCUGGUACAAUCAUCAAUAAAAGUAACAAACCAACGCGAACCACUCAAAGUUAGGACUUUGGAUGGGCCCCAAACAUCAGAAUGUAUAACCAUAAAAGGAAAUGGACUUUUAUUCAAAAUUAACGGAAACAAAGCACGAUGACUUUUAACCAAUUCACAAAUAUCACAACGGAAACCAGAAAUAUCACUCUUUGCAAACAAACUAAGAAACAAUUUUUUUAAAUAACCAAAGGAAGCAUGUCUCAAACGUCGAUGCCACAACCAAAUUUCAGACUUUUUUUUCUCCCCCUCAGAUCCAUCUGCCAUCAAGGCUUGUUGCAACUUAUUUGAAUCCUUUGACCGUAAGUCCAAGUAAUAGAGUUUUCCCCACUUAAUACCACAACCAAUCGUCUGUCUUGUUUGGAUGUCCUUAAAAACACAAAAUUCAGGCUAAAAAAUGACAAUACAAGAUAAGACUGCAGUGAUUUGAGAAACUGACAAAAGAUUGUAAUUUAAAUAUGGAACAACUAAAACAUAAUCCAAAUUCAAACUAUCAGUAAGAGUUAAGGAUCCUUCCCCAAUGAUUGGGGUUGUGUUACCAUUGGCUGUGGAAACAAUUUUUUGUGAAGAAGGUCUAAGGGGUGAGACCUGUCUAGAAUCAAAAGUCAUAUGAUUUGUAGCACCAUAAUCAAUUAUCCAUGCACUAUUAAUAACAGGUGUAGAAAUAUUUAAAAACUUACCACCAUAAUUUGUAGUGGUUAUCAAUGCAGAGGCUUUCUCAGCAACAUUAGCCUCUGUUUUUAUUUCGGCAACAGCUGCAGUUGAGGUUUUCUUGGAAUCUUUCUUCCGUUGAUCACGAUUAUGAUCCCACCAGUUUGAAUAUCCCACAAUUUCAAAGCAACGACUCUUGGUAUGACAAGUCUUAUUACAUUGAGUGCAUUUGAAGGUUGACCAGAAGGAUUGAAAAAACAAUAGUAUUUUUUUCACUCAUUUUUUUUUUAUCUUGAAAAAAUGGGCGAUGGCUGGCCUUACCGACAAAAUAUCCAGAAUUUCAGUUCCAUGGCUUUGAUACCAUCUUCAAAUUGAUGAAUGGUAGUUUUUCAUUCUUAUUUCAUUCGUUCAUGUACAAAGUAUAUAUAGAGGGUAAUCACCAUUCUAAGAAUGGGAAAGAAUGAUACAAAGAAGGAAUGAUAUAAGAAAAGAACAACUAAUAUUCUAAUAUCUCAAAAUUCCUAAUAUAAGGAAUGAUAUAAGGAAAGAACAACUAAUAUCCUAAUAUCUCAACAUUCCUAAUAUCUCAACAAAAUUCACCUAAAACUGGUACAAUUCGUUGGCGUACAGAGUUUGUGGAGCUCCAUUGACUUCAACCACCCAUCUUUGUAGAUUAUUGAUGACUUUAUGCUCGAAUCCCACAUGAGGAUUGACUUGACAUUCUGCCAGCUCUUUCCGGAAGGCGAUCUUGCUUAACACCUUGUGAGAAGGAGCAGAGGAAUUGGACAUUGUUUCCUCGAGAAGAUCAAAGUGGCCAAUGAUGGGUUUGGACCAGAAUUGCUAUCUGGAUUUUCUUUAGGUGAACCAAUUAGUGGAGUGGGUGGCUAUGCAACAAUUGAAGGGUGGCCAUACUAAUAAGGAGCUAUUAUUUCAUGCACAUGGAGAGAAAAGAAGUAGCUUCUUCAAGGAUUUAUGAUUAUUCAUCUCCAGCUUGCGUUGAAUAUCUCUUGAUCGAAAAAUUUCUGCUCUGGAGCUCCCUUAGUUUCACUACAACCAACUUGGCCAACUUGGUUUCAUCAUGUUUCCUACAACCUCCAGGCAAAGCAUUCCAGAUCACCGAAUCAGGUUCCAUUGGCAUUUUGUUCAUAAACUCCUUUGCCUAUUGACAACAGACUACCCCUCAAAAUUUGAUGAGAUAACAUUAAUGCUGACAUGUUGGCCAUCCCCAUAAGCAUCUUUAUAGAGAUUGAUUUUGCGUUUAGAUAUUUCUCUAUCCUCAAGUGAGUUCAACUUUUCUAUAACAUCCUUCUCCUUCUCCACUAAUAGUCUUAGCUGAACAUCCAACCUAUGUUCCCAAAGUGCUAGUAUCUCGUAUCUGAUGACUAGCCAACAACCUUGCCCUUGCUGAGACCCAAAUAAGUAUCUACAACCAUCAACAUCAACCCUCUCACAUGCCUUUGUAUUUGAAUGUUGGAUUGGGAUUGCUUUGAAUGCACUAGCACUGCAAUAAACAAUUGUUUCUUUUCCAAUAAAAACACCACAAAGAGGUGAGGGGACCGUGUUAAAGAUAUGGACUCACAUAUUUAUCAAUGGUUCAUGACUAAGCUAUUCGUCUUUCGCAUAUUUGUUUUUUAUCGGUUUUCUAAAGUAUAGGACACCUCAUGUGUAGAGCCCAAUACCAUAUGUGUCUCAGAUGAUGGGCCUGAGACACAUAUGGCCCAAUCUUUUAAACGGAGUGGUCCCUAAGGCAGAAGGGUAUAAAUAUAAAGGCUAAGUGUUUGCUCAUCAUGAUCACAUCUUUUGAAAUAAGAACAGAACCCGCUCUCUCCCGCUCCUAUCGUUAGAGAAAAUAACAGAGAAAUGUGGUGCCCUCCAUAGCCUUAGAAGAUCCAUACCUUAUCCAUCUUGGGAAAUAAUGGACUCAAGUAUGUUCCAAGAAAUGCAAAAGCAAGGCAUGUUUUCCAUGAUUGAAAUAUAUAUACAUUCAAUUUCUGUUGUUUGGGUAAUAAUGGAGAAUAAAAUAUUCACAUAGACCGGUAUUAGCAAAGCAGUCUUGUUGUCUAGAUUGUUCUGGGCCCGAGUACCCUCUACAAAAUCUUCAUCCUCAUUUGUACUCCUCCAUUAUAUUCCUAGGCGUUUCAAUGUGAUCCACAUGGCUUACAGGUAUCCAUAAAUACCGGUCUGUAUAAAAGUUGCUCUUAUGGGGCUCUUCUAGAAAACAUGCCAAUCAAGAUGAUCAACCUAGCUUAGAUGCUCAGCACCUCGAACUUACCAGAAAUAGAGGAAUAAAAAGCAAGGAUAGAAGCCAGAGUAAAAAUUGAGGGAAUAGCGAAUAGGAAAUCAAGUAAAACAUGAAUGUACAAAGCCUCAUUUCAGAUGACAUCCAUGGGCUAAUAACAAGUGGAAUUAACAAAGUACACAAACAUGAUUCUUAUAAAUAUCAAGUUCAGGGAUGAAGUCGUGCAUCAGCUACUUACAGGAGAAGUCAAGGAAACCAAGAUAAAGAUCAAAGAGAGCAUGUAUGCAAAUAAACAGAUUCAGCAAAAUAGACCAAACAGCUCGUGAUGGCCACACCAAUCAACAAGAUAACUUCCAGACAUUUGUAGAAAAAUGGAGCAGAAUAAUGUGAAAAUGAUAGAGUGCAAAGUUCACGGUGACCAUACCUGCAAGUCUCAUCUCCAAGCAGAGUUUGCUCGACUUUAAGUGUUUUCUUGCAUCUUUCUCCACAGCACAACUUUCUUCUGUUGUUCUCUCUCAAAACCUACUCUCUUAGAAUAUCAUAAUCUUUCAUUCUUUGCUCUCUAAUGUGUCUUUCUCUACCUCUCUCUCACAGUCCUGUUGCCCCCAAAACCUCCAUUAAAAAAAAUCCCAGAAUACUCCUGCUUUCACCGUUCCCAGGCCAUUGUCCCUCCCACAACUCCUCACAGCUUUUUUCUUUCAGCCUCGAGACAUUCUGCAGCUCCUCAAACAGCCUCUGCUACAUUUUCUCCCCUAGUUUCCCCUUUUAGAAAAUCACUACUCCACUCUCUGAAAAAGUGGUCUCUAACCAACCUCCACUAGAGAGAAUAUCCUCUCUAAUAGCUCACCUGUCCUGCGAAAAAAAAAAAAACUACUACAUGUGGCAAAAAGUGAUGAAAAAAACAAAAGGAAGUCUGACUCACCUCUCUUGCAAAAUAUAGUGUACUACACAUGGCAAAAAAGUGAUGAAAAAAAGUUGGUCUACAUAGACAUCCUAUUAUAUCAUAUCAUUUCAAAUCCAAAGCAACAUGUAUUUUCAAUGGGAUUUGUUGUGAUGAGUUUUACAGGAUUGUAACACGUAAAUAUGUUAAAAGAAGCUUGGGACCUUCCUAUAGUAACACAUAAAGGUACUUCCAUUGUGAAGUUGUCAAAAUUACAAAGUUUGAAAACAUAGAGAUGAAAGAUGAUGAAUCUUCUUUGAAAUUUUAUAUUGAACUCAUUAAUAUUAUUAAUUCUCAUUUCAGUAUAGGGGAAAUGAUUCUUUACUCUAAAGUGGUAAAAAAAAAUAUUAAAAUUUCUCAUCGAGAGAUUUAGACCUAAAGUGAUCAAUAUAGAAGAAAGUAAAAAAUUCUGAGUGUAGGUAAACUUGUAGACUCAAAUGACUACCAUCUCAUAAAAAUCCUCAAUUUUAUAAAUUAUAUAGAUUUCUUCAUUUGAUACAAAAUUUGAAUAAAUAUUUUUCCAAUGACAAUACAAGGAAAGAAAAAAAAAAAAAAAAACUCUCUAGAUCAUAUUAUUUAAACACUUAAAUUAUUUUAAAAUAAAAAUGUUUAUUGCUAACAUUAUUUAGGUUCAUCUUUCUUUUGAUGGAGGUUAAAAUUCACAAUUUGGAGGAAAAAAUGAGGAUUCUGAUUUUUUUUUUCCAUGUAUGAAUGGGAUUCUCAUCGUGUAUAUGCAGGUUACUCAAUGGUAGAUUUCAGCCACCAAAGUCCUGCAAUAUGAGGAAAAAGAUGAAGUUGAGUUUGUCACCAAGAACAGACAUGACUCCUAUAAAGGUGGCAUCCUUAAUUUCAUGUCUGGAUUGGACUUGUCAUGUAACAACUUAACAGGUGAAAUCUCUCAUGAACUUGGAAUGUUAAGUUUGAUUCAUGCAUUGAACUUGUCUCGCAAUCAACUAAAGGGCUCCAUUUCAAAUAGUUUUUGCAAUCUUUCUCAAAUAGAGAGCUUAGAUCUUUUUAAUAAUAAACUAAGUGGAGAAAUUCCUCCAAAAUUGGUUAGACUAACUUUUUUAGUGGCGUUCAAUGUGACUCACAAUAGCAUCUUUGGAAGAGUUUCAGAUAUGAAUGCAUAAUUUGCAAUAUUUGAUGAAAGUAACUAUGAAGAUAAUCCUUUCCUUUGUGGACCACCAUUAAAGAGAAAAUGCAGCAUAAAUGUUAAGCCACCUUACCCACCAUUAGAGUCUUAAAAAAAAAGUGAUGCAAAAUGGUAUAAUAUCGAUCUUGUGGUUUUCUUUGCAAGUUUUACUAUAUCAUAUAUCAUGAUAUCAUUAGGAAUUUCAACCAUUCUUUACAUUAACCCUUAUUGGUGUCAAAGAUGGUUCAAUUUUAGCGAGAAAUAUAUAUACUUCUUUAUGCCAAUUUCACCAAUCUUUUGUUUUUAUUUUCAUGUAUCAUUCCUUUUUUGGUUAUUUAAUUAAAAGGAUAUAUUCACAAGAAUAACCUUCAUAUUUUAAAAACAUAAAAUAAACAUUUUUUUUUUAUAAAAAUACCCUCCAACUAUAAUUUUUAUAUGUCCCUAUUUCAAAUCCAAACACUUCUUUUAAUAAUAAUAAUAAUAAAUAAGGGCAAAAAUGUCAAACUGGGAUUAUAUUUAUAAUUUUCAAUAAUUAGAGGUUGUUUUUCCAAAGUAAAAAUUAUUUUGUUCCUUUGGCACAAAUGUUUAUUUCUUUUAUGUAUUUUUUUAUUCAAAAUAUUAAACACAUUACCCUCAAGGUUACUAUUUAUUAUGAAUGGUGUUUACUUUACAUAACGACAUAUUCAAAAAAUUUAGAAUUUUUUAAUGUUAAAAUAAUUUGGAGCUUAAUAGGGAAAAAAAAGAAUAAAUAAUUAGAAAAGCAAUUCAAAAAAAUAAAAUUUAUCCUCUUAAAUUGGUUUUGUGUAAUACUAUAGAAGCCAUUUCUUGAGUUUGAUAUGGUAGAAUUUGGAUUCAUAUUUAUUUUAAAAUCAAGAAAUUCAAGUGUUGGUAGCAUCAAUAGAAUCUUAACAAAUUUGCAAAAAAAUAUUUAGGUAGAUCACAUUUAAAUAUAGCUAAUAGAAUAAAAAAUUAGUAUUAUUAGAAAGACAUGAUCAAUUAAAUCUUUUUUCUUAUCUAUGACACCGACUUUAUUUUUUUACAUAGUCAAUAUAAUUUAUUACAACUUAUAUGUCAUUAAAUUAUACACGUUUAUAUUAAAUAUAAUAUAAGAUCAUUAAUGGAAUAAUUAUGCAAGUAAUAUAAAUUGUAUAUAAUAUAAAAAAUUUAAACUCCAUCAAACUAAUGGAAUCUAUUAUAAUAAGUAGACUAGACUCCAUGUUGGCCCGAGUUGGAGGCCUGGGCCAGAUUUUAAAGGCUGGGCUUUGAGUUGCCCGUGGGCCUGAGCCAAGGCCUUCUCUUGGUAUCAUCAUUUUGAAGAAAUAAAUUGCUGAUACAGAGAAAAAAACUAUACUAAAUAGAAAAAUAAAUAAAAGCAUUGACUAAAAUGAAGGUCAAGGUCCUUGAAAAAUAAUCUUUAAAUUGUUGCAUAUAUAAUUUCAAUAAUGCAUAAAUAAUUGCAAUAUAUAUGAUAUGAUAAAGAAUUUGGAAUUAAAAGAAGAUUGAUCUAUUUUAAAUGUGGUUGGAAUAUUUCUAAAUUUGUGAUGGGAAGUUAGACAGCCAAUUAGGGAUCCAUAUUAUUUAUUUUCAAUGAUAUGAAUUUAUUUACUUUUAUUAAUAUUCUUAAUGCAACAAUAUAAAAUAUGUCAAUUUUCUAAAAUUAAAAAAGUAAUUGUAAAAGAAAAUUUUUAAUUAUUUUUCUGAAAUUGAGUUUAUUAUAACAUUUUUCUUUACAUAAAUUUCGUUUUUAUUUUUAUUUUUUUAAAAAUGAGAUAUGAAAAAAAAAGAUCAAUAUUAGUAAAAGUAAAACCCAAUAUAUAAAAAAAAAUGAAUAAAUGUUUAUGAAAUAAGAUUUAAAAGUGAGAAGGUAAUAUAUUUUUUCUCUUUUAAUUCCUAUUCAAUUCAUUACAAAAAAUAUUUUUGGUUUUUAUGCUAAAAUUUAUUGUUUAUUCAAAAAUUCUAGUAUAUCUAGCUAUCAUAGAAGAGCUCCAAAAUUUUAUUGUUUAAGAGAAUAUGUGUUGCCACUUUAAAAGAUUUAUAUGCAAAAGGGAUUGAUAUUUUUUUCCUUUGGAUAUGUUUAGUUCCCGGAAAAUUUGAGGGAAAAUGUGAGGGAAGAAAAAUAGAGAAGAAAAGUAUAACGAAAUAAAAAGUGAAAGAAAAUGAAAAAUAGAUUUAAAGUUAAUAAAUUAUUUUCAUUGGUUUUUUCAAACUUAUUUUACUUAUUUUAUUCUAUUAAAUAAAGAUUAACUAAUUUUAAUUAUAUUUGGUUUGAUUUUUAUUAUUUUUCAAAGCAAAACCAAAUAUGAAAAAAAAAACAUUUUUUUUUGUUAGUUUUUUCUUUCCUUAUUACUUUUCAGGACUCAAACAUAGCUUUUAGAUUUGGAGCAUGGAAAGAUAAGAGUAUUGAAUAAAGGUUCUAUAUAUGCCCAUGCCCAUGCCCAUGAUACCAUUGAAAAAAAUGGAGAGAGGGUGAAACCUUUACUAGAUGAUAAAUUAUUCUCUUCAAUGGAAAUCAAAUAUAAUUAUUUUUAUCUUGUAUUAAUUGAAUGUUAUACUCCAUAAACUCAAAAUUAAAAUAAAUAAAUAAUUUAAAAACUAGGACAAUCCCAUUUUUUUUCAAUUUCUUAAAAAGAAAUUAAAUUAUAUUUAUUUAUAUCUAUUUUCAUCCCUACCCAAAAAAAUAAAAAAAAUUAACAAGGUGGGACAUGUAUGAGAAAUUCUCACACUAACUCUCUCUAGUUUAUUUUUUAUUUUUUUAAAAAAAUCAAUUUAUUUUAAAAAAAAAUUAAACUACAUAAAAAAUAAACAAAUUUUACAAUUUUUUUUAAGAAAAGUAAAUUUCUUAUUUUAUAUAUGUUAAAAAUAAAUAUAAUCUUUUAUUUUUUAUAUAUAUAAUCGGGUAAGAUAAAGUGGGACAAAGAAAUAAUCCCCUUCGAUUCCAAUCUGAAUUUUUAAAAUAUAAAAUAAAAAUCUUAAACUCAUCCCAAAUUCAUUUAUUUUUAAUCCUAAACUUGUCUUAUUAAGAAUAAGACAAAGAGAGUACAUGAAAACACUUCUUUUAUCAUCAUCUCUACAAGUUCUAAUGUUUAGACUACAAUCCAUAUCAAAGAUUUAUAAAGAAAGAACAACAAUGAAUUUCAUAAACAUUUGAAAGCAUAUACAAAGUUUUAAAUAAUAUUGCUUGAGGUGCAAAUAUUAUUUGGCGCACAUGUUGAGGGACUUCAACUGGUGUAGUCUAGGUUUUUUACACUAGUAAGUAAUCUUGAAUAUCUAGAGUAACUUGAUCAAAAUCUCUUUAAUUUUAUUUUCUUUGAUGGUUGUAUGAUGAAUUAGAAUGCUUAUAUAACAUGAUUAAAAAAUUUAAGAAAAAAAAACUAAGAAGAAAGAAAGAAGCACCGAUCUUCCAAAUAUUGCUUCCACUUUAAUAUCUAGAAGGCUCUAAGAAAAGAACUUUAUUCAUGAAUCAUAACCCAAGUCGAAAAUAAAUUGAACCCAUUUUCUAAGUUAAAAUUUGAAUUUUUUUACUGAUGAAUGCAAAUUGGGAAAAUGUAUAUAAAUAUAAUUAAACUAGAAUAGUAGGUUAGGUUUGUAGGUGGAGUUUGUUUGAAUUGUUGGAACUUCCAAGUCGUUGUGGGUCUAGUGGUCUCAUAGCUCUCUAUUAAUUUCCACCAUCAAUUUUCUACAAUAAAGUCAAGUCAUUCCUAACCCCUAUAUUAAGUUGGCCUUAAAAGUUAAGUCAUUGAUCAUAGUUACAUUCAUGAAUCACAACCCAAGUUGAAAAUAAAUUGAACCCAUUUUCCAAGUUCAACUUUGAAUUUUUUACUAGUGAAUGCAAAUUGGGAAAACAUAUAUAAGUAUAAUUAAACUAAAAUAGUAGAUUAGGUUUGUAGGUGGAGUCUGCUUGAAUUGUUGAAACUUCCAAGUCAUCGUGGGCCCAGUGGUCCCAUAGCUCUCUAUUAAUUUCCACCAUCAAUUUUUUGCAGUAAAGUCAAGUCAUUCCUAACCCCUAUAUUAAUUUGGCCUUAAAAGUCCAGUCAUUGAUAGCUAAAUCCCAACCCAAGUCAAAAAUAAAUUGAACCCAUUUUCUAAGUUCAACUUUGAAUUUUUUUUAAUUGGAAAAAUGUAUAUAAAUACAAUUAAACUAGAAUAGUAGAUUAGGUUUGUAGGUGGAGUCUGCAUGAAUUUGUGAAACUUCCAAGUGGUCGUGGGUCUAGUGGUCCCAUAGCUCUCUAUUAAUUUCCACCAUCAAUUUUGUGCAAUAAAGUCAAGUCAUUCAUAACCCCUAUAUUAAGUUGGCCUUAAAAGUCAAGUCAUUGAUCAUAGUUACAUUCAUGAAUCACAACCCAAGUCGAAAAUAAAUUGAACCCAUUUUCCAAGUUCAACUUUGAAUUUUUUACAAUUGAAUCCAAAUUGGGAAAACAUAUAUAAGUAUAACUAAACUAAAAUAGUAGAUUAGGUUUGUAAGUGGAGUCUGCUUGAAUUGUUGAAACUUCCAAGUCAUCGUGGGCCCAGUGGUCCCAUAGCUCUCUAUUAAUUUCCACCAUCAAUUUUUUGCAAUAAAGUCAAGUCAUUCCUAACCCCUAUAUUAAUUUGGCCUUAAAAGUCCAGUCAUUGAUAGCUAAAUCCCAACCCAAGUCAAAAAUAAAUUGAACCCAUUUUCUAAGUUCAACUUUGAAUUUUUUUUAAUUGGAAAAAUGUAUAUAAAUACAAUUAUACUAGAAUAGUAGAUUAGGUUUGUAGGUGGAGUCUGCAUGAAUUUGUGAAACUUCCAAGUGGUCGUGGGUCUAGUGGUCCCAUAGCUCUCUAUUAAUUUCCACCAUCAAUUUUCUACAAUAAAGUCAAGUCAUUCCUAACCCCUAUAUUAAGUUGGCCUUAAAAGUCAAGUCAUUGAUCAUAGUUACAUUCAUGAAUCACAACCCAAGUCGAAAAUAAAUUGAACCCAUUUUCCAAGUUCAACUUUGAAUUUUUUUACUAGUGAAUGCAAAUUGGGAAAACAUAUAUAAAUAUAAUUAAACUAAAAUAGUAGAUUAGGUUUGUAGGUGGAGUCUGCUUGAAUUGUUGAAACUUCCAAGUCAUCGUGGGCCCAGUGGUCCCAUAGCUCUCUAUUAAUUUCCACCAUCAAUUUUUUGCAAUAAAGUCAAGUCAUUCCUAACCCUUCUAUUAAUUUGGUCUUAAAAGUCCAGUCAUUGAUAGCUAAAUCCCAACCCAAGUCAAAAAUAAAUUGAACCCAUUUUCUAAGUUCAACUUUGAAUUUUUUUAAUUGGAAAAAUGUAUAUAAAUAAAAUUAAACUAGAAUAGUAGAUUAGGUUUGUAGGUGAAGUCUGCUUGAAUUUGUGAAACUUCCAAGUCGUCGUGGGUCUAGUGGUCCCAUAGCUUUCUAUAAUUUCCACCAUCAAUUUUCUGCAAUAAAGUCAAGUCAUUCCUAACCCCUAUAUUAAUUUGGCCUUAAAAGUCCCGUCAUUGAUAGCUACGUUCAUGAAUCCCAACCCAAGCCAAAAAUAAAUUGAACCCAUUUUCUAAGAUCAACUUUGAAUUCUUUUAAUUGGGAAAAUGUAUAUAAAUACAAUUAAACUAGAAUAGUAGAUUAGGUUUGUAGGUGGAGUCUACUUGAAUUUGUGAAACUUCCAAGUCGUCAUGGGUCUAGUGGUCCCAUAGCUCUUUAUUAAUUUUCACCAUCAAUUUUCUACAAUAAAGUCAAGCCAUUCCUAAACCCUAUAUUAAUUUGGCCUUAAAAGUCAAGUCAUUGAUAGUUAUGUUCAUGAAUCACAACCCAAGUCUAAAAUAAAUUGAACCCAUUUUCCAAGUUCAACUUUGAUUUUUUUACUAGUGAAUGCAAAUUGGGAAAACGUAUAUAAAUAUAGUUAAACUAGAAUAGUAUAUUAGGUUUGUAGGUGGAGUAAGCUUGAAUUAUUGAAACUUCCAAGUCGUCGUGGGUCUAAGGGUCCCAUAGCUCUCUAUUAAUUUCCAUCAUCAAUUUUUAUGAAUUAAGAUUUAAAAGUGAGAAGGGAAUAAAUUUUUUCUUUUUCAAUUCAUUACAAAAAAUAUUUUUGGUUUUUAUGCUAAAAUUUAUUGUUUAUUCAAAAAAUUAAAGUAUAAAAAUAUAAAAAAUAUAUAUAUAUAUAUAUAUAUAUAUAUAUAUAUAUAUCUUGCUAUUAUAGAAGAGCUCCAAAAUUUUCGUGUUUAAGAGAAUAUGUGUUGCCACUUUAGAAGAUUUAUAUACAAAAAGGAUUGAUGUUUCUCCUUUGACUAUGUUUGGUUCCCAUAAAUUUGAGGGAAAGAAAAUAAAUAAAAAAAUAGUAAAAAAGAAAAAAUGAAGGAAAAUAAAAAAUAGUUUUAAAGUAAAUAAAUUAUUUUUAUAUGCUUUUUCAAACUUAUUCUACUUAUUUUCUUUCAUUAUAUAAAGAUCAAAUAAUUUUAAAAUGCAUAAAUUUCUAACUAAUUUUAAUUAUAUUUAAUUUUUCUUUUAUAUUUUUUAGACGGGAUCCAACACAUGAAAAAAUCCAUUUUUUAGCAUCUUUUUUUCUUUUCUUAUUACUUUCUAAUAACCAUAUAUAACCUUUAGAUUUAGCCUAGACUUGGAGUAUGGAAGGAUACUGAGUAUUGAAAGAAGGUUUUGUAUAUGGCCAUGAUACCAUAGAAAAAAUAUGCGAGAGGGAAAAAACCUUUAUUAAAUGAUAAAUUAUUUUUUUCAAUGGAAAUCAAAUAUAAUUAUUUUUAUAAUAAUUACUUUAUUUUUAAAAAAAAUAAUAAUAAAAAAAAUAAUUUGUUGUUGCAUAAAGUAUUCUUGCAUUUGAAGAAGCAUGUUACUACUUACUACAUAAAUAGAUAUUCAUGGAGUGCAUUCUCUAAAAAGCUCCAGUCUCAUGAAAAUAGAAAGAUGGACCGGCCGGUGAACCGGUUCGAGUUUGGAUUUAUGGGCUACCUCAGCCUUACACGCAUGAUAGGCUGUUGCAGGUGAAGAACUAAUUAAUUUAAAGCGUUCUUCUAUCCUCUCCUAUUCCUCAGUGUAUUUAAACUAAACAUUAGGAAGGGUGACUAAAAUUAACCCUCUAGGUAUAUAUGUUUACCAAAAUUUUUAUUGUUUAUUUUUCAUUUAAUGUUUGCAUUUAAACAUUGAAAAUGAAUUGUUUUUCCAUAUGUUAACAAAAAGAAAUUUGAACACCUAUAAAAAUGAAAUCUUGUAGUAAAAUUGGAGUUACAUUAUCAGACUUUUAACGAGUGUUUAUGUUUAGAAAGGCCAAUUAAAGCAAGCAUGCAUCUAGAAAUUGUAACUUAGAUGCAUCAAACAUGAGCAACAUAUUUGAUAUAACUAAUAGUUUCUUAAGUAACUAAACACUUCUUUUUCUAUAAAUUUACUUGAUUAUCGAUGAAUACUUACAUAUAUUUACAUAGUUUGAUAAAUAUUUUAAAAUAGUAUUAGAAUAACUUUGUUUUUUCUCAAUUAUAUUAGAAAAUAAUAUAAAGUUACUUAUAAACUUUAUAUCAUUUUCUCAAAGUCAAGUCAUUUACAAUUAUUUCUAUCUAGCCUUCUCCAUUAUGACAACUUUUAUAUGAUAGUCGUUGAUUGGAAGAAUCUACACGUCUUUUUUGAUAGGAUAGUUGUUUUUAUUAUUUUUAUGAUUUUUAUUUUUUUUAUUCCAAAAUUUUGCUUCUAUCAUUGAAACUUUCAAAUCUUUUAUAUAUAUUACCAAUCAUUUUACAAGUGAGUUAAUUUCACUUAGGGUAGAUAUACUUAGCCACACCCCUAUAGAUGUAAUUUGUGUUUAAAUUUUAUUUUUUAUUCAGGUAAAAAUAUCUUAGGUAUAUGUGUUCAACAAUUCUCUAAAAAAUAAAUUUUCUUAUCUAAAAGUUUAUAUAGACAAAAUAUAUCUAUAGAAGUCCUAACUAAUGAAAUUUAAAAUCAAUGGUUGUUUAGUGUAUUUACAUUAAACCUUAUGGGGUAUGAUUGAAAUUAACUCUUUUACAAGCACUUGUAGCUUAUAUGUUUGAAGUUGUAGUGUUGGAAAUUGAUCAUUUUCUUGAAGGCCUCUAAGAAAUUGGAAAUAUUGCCAUAGUUUUAGACUUUUUUUAUUACACCUAAUAAAAAAUAUUAUUAAUUUAACAUAUAUAUUCUUGACUUAAAAGUAAAGUCUCUCCAUAUUGUAUGAGCCCUUAGGUGACAAUAUUAGGUGAAGUUUUUCUUUCGUUUAUUAAAAAAUAUAAAUAAUUUAUUAUUGUAUGAUAAAAUUUUAUGUAAUAUAUUUUUAUAGAUGUAAAAUUAUUAAUUGGGUUUUAUUUUAUUUUUACUAAAUUGUCAUUUCAAUAUAUAAAACUUAUUUGUAAAAAGACAAUUAUAAACUAUAUGAAAUUGAAAAACAUUUAGUUUUUUUAUUUAAUUUAGAAUUUUAUUUGGAUUAAUAAUUGAUAUUUGUAAGAUUUUUUAAUAUUUAAAAAAGUUAUCAUACUUAAGAAAGAUAUUCAAGAUCGGGAGUGUUUGAUAUUGGAUUAAUUUCCUUAUUUUCUCUAUUUUAAUAAAUUUUCACGUUCAUUACAAAAUUUUUGUUGUUUAUUUUUCACUUCAAUAUUUUUAUUUUGUAAUAGACAUUUGAAAAGAUUUUUUCCUACAUGUAAAAAAAAAAUAUUUGAACACUCCUAAAAAAGAAAUAUUGUAAUAAAAUUAAAGUUUACACUGUAGGACUAUUAGCAAGUGCUAUAUACAUAAAAUAGACCAAUUAAAGUAGAAAUACUUCUAAAAUUGUAAUUUAGGUAACAAUAAUAUAAAAAGAUAAUAUUUUUGAAACAAUAGUUCUCUUGGAGUUUUGGGUACGAUGGACUAGACUUUAUGUAACAACAGAUAUCCAAACUUUCCAUUAACAUCUUAAGAGACAUGAUGAGGAGCAAAGUCAUCCUAGAAGGUACCAUAGAGGUACCUUAGCUCCAUUCAUCUAGACUACAUAAUGUUUAAAGAUCAAAUUCAAUGACUAGCUAGAAGGUACCAUAGAGGUACCUUAGCUCCAUUCAUCUAGACUACAUAAUGUUUAAAGAUCAAAUUCAAUGACUAGAUUUCAAAAAUCAAUAUAAGCUUUCUCAUAUUCUACUCUAUAUAAGGCAAUGGUAUGAUACCUCUCUUGUGUCAUAGAAUACACCAUGAAAACCUUAUCAUUUUAACAUCAGUUUGAAACUUAAAAGUCACUUAGCACAUUCUAGUUAUUAAUUUAAGAGCAUUAAAAGAAAAUAUAAAAAAAGUUACUUUAUCCUUGUGAUUUUGAUCUAGGACUUUUAAUGAUAUUUAAAAAAAAAACAAAACAGAAAAAUAAAUGGAAAUAAAAUCAACAAAUUAAACAAUUGAAUUAAGUUAGUUUAAUUUUUGUAUCGUUAAAUAGGUAAAUAAAGACUCUUAGAUUUGAUAUUAAUAUGAACAUCAUGACUUCAGUGAAUCUUACAAGAAAAUUUUAGUUUGAAAGACUUCAUUCAUUAAACGUGUGGCACAUAUUAAAGUAAAACUAAGUCUUCUCUAUAAUUUGUACCUAUCAUAGUUUCUUUCCUCAUAAAUAGCCUUUUUUGAAUAUAAUAUAGACUUCAACAUGUAUGGUGGGGCCGAUCAAACUACUAGUCAAGACAACUCAUGGGCAACAACGAUGUACCAACUACAUUAAAUACUCUUCAUCUAUUUGCAUAUUAAGAGUAAUUUAGUAGUGUCUUUCUUAUGUACCUCAUAUCUAGACUUUCAAUGGAGAGUUCUUCAUCUAAAAAUUUGACUUAGGUUUUCAUACUAGUUUUGGUUUAGACAUGUGGAUGCAAAGGUUGCAUCAAAGAAGAGAAGUAGGCUAAAUCAUCUUACAAAUUUUCAAGUUCAAAAUAGAUGCACCAAACAUAUGCAAUAUAUUUGAUAUAACUAAUAUUUUCUUAAGUAAUUGAAUACAAUUUUUUUUUUUUAUAAAUUUACUUGAUUAUCAAUGAAUAACUACAUGUAUGGUAUUGACACAACUUGAUAAAUCUUUUAAAAUAGUACUAGAAUAACUUUGCUAAAAAAAAGUAAAAAUAAAAAUAAAAAUACGUCUAUAUAUAUAAAAAAAUUAAAUAAAAUUAAAAAUUAAAAAAGAAUAUAUAUAUAUAUAUAUAUAUAUAUAUAUAUUUUGUUGUGUGUGUGUGUGCAUGUUCCCACAACUCAUUAGCUACUCAUAAGCUUUAUAUCACUUUCUCAAAGUCAAGUCAUUUUGUAAUUAUUUCUCUCUAGCCUUCUCCAUUACGACAACUGUAUAAGAUAUUGAUUGGUUGGAAAAAUCUUCAUGUCUUUUUUUAUAAGAUAGUUUUAUUAUUAUUAUUAUUAUUUAAAGAAUUUGCUUUUAUUAUUGCUUUCAAAUCCUUUAUGUCUAGUGGUCCUACAAUUCCCUAUUCAUUGGUAUUUCAUAUUACCAAUCAUUUUACAAAUAAGUUUAUUUCACUCAGUAAAUAUACUUAACUACUAAUGGUUUCAAAUUUAAUUGAUUAACACACUUAUAGAUGUAAUUUGUUUUUAAAUUUUAUUUUUUUAGAAGAAUUGUAGGUAAAAAUAUUUUAGGAAUAUGUGUUCAAUAAUUCUCUAAAAACAAUUUAUAUAGAUGGAAUACAUUCAUGGAAGUUCCAACUAAUGAAAUUUAAAACCAAUGACGAUUUAAUGUAUUUGCACUAAAUCUUAGGGGAGGUGUACUAAAACUAGCCCUUUUACAAAUAUUUGUAGCUAGUAUAUUUGUAGUUAUAGUGUUGGAAGUUGAUCAUUUUCUUAAAGGCCUCUAUGAUAUUAGAAAUAUCGCCAAAGUUUUGAACUUUUUGUUUCACCUAAAAAAAAUAUCAUUAAUUUAAUAUAUAUACUCUUCGCUUGAAAGUAUAGUUUCUUCAUAUUGUAUGAAGUUGUAGCUAGGUGGCAAUAUUGGGUGAAAUUUUUUUGGUUUACUAAAAAAUAUAAAUAAUAUAUUUAUUAUAUGAUAAAAUUUUGUAAAAUAUAUUAUUAUAGAUGCAAAAUUAUUAAUGGAGUUUUAUUUUUUUACUAAAUUAUCAUUUCAAUAAAUAAGAACUUAUUUGUUAAAAGAAAAUUAUAAAAUAUAUGCAGUUGAAAAAAAUUUAAUUUUUUUAUUUAAUUUGGUAUUUUAUUUGAAUUAAUAAUUGAUAUUUGUAAGAUAUUUUAAUAUUAAAAGAAGUUAACAUAUUUAAAAAAGACAUUCAAAAUCAAGAGAGUAUAUGAUAUGAAAUCAAUUAAUUUAUUUUUUCUAUUUAAAUAAAUUUUUACAUCCAUUAAAAAAAUUUUAUUGUUUAUUUUUCACUUCAAUAUUUUUAUUUUGUAAAAGAAAUAGAAAUAAAAUCAACAAAUUAAACAAUUGAAUUAAGUUAGUUUAAUUUUGCCACCGUUAGGUAAAUGAAGACUCUUAUAUUUGAUAUUAACAUGAACAUCAUGACUUCAUUGAAUCUCACAAGAAAAUUUUAGUUUGAAAGAUUUUAUCCUUUAAUCAUGUGGCACAUAUUAAAGUCAGACCAAGUCUUCCCUAUAAUUUGUAUCUAUCACAAUUUCUUUCCUAAUGAAUAGCCUUUUUGAAUAGAAUAUAGACUUUAGCAUGCAUGGUGGGGCCUAGCUAUCAAACUACUAGUCAAAACAACUCAUGGGCAAGAAUGAUGUACCAACUAGAUUAAGUAUUCUCCAUCUAUUUGCAUAUCAAGAGUAAUUUAGUAGUAUCUUUCUUGUGUACCUCAUUUCUAGACUUUCAAUGGAGAGUUAUUUAUCUUAAAAUUUGACGUGGGUUUUCAUACAAGUCUUGGUUCAGAUAUGUGAAUGCAAAGGUUGCAUCGAAGAAGAGAAGUAGGCUAAGUCAUCUUACAAAUUUUCAAGUUCAAAUUAGAUGCAUCAAACAUGUGCAACAUAUUUGAUAUAACUAAUAUUUUACCAAGAAACUAAAUACUUUAUAUAUAUAUAAAUAAACAAAAUAAAAAAUUUAAAAAGAAUAUAUAUAUUAGUGGUCCCACAACUCAUUAGCUACUCAUAAGCUUUAUAUCAUUUUCUUAAAGUCAAGUCAUUUACAAUUAUUUCUAUCUAGCCUUCUCCGUUGCGACAACUAUACAAGAUAUUAAUUGAUUGAAAAAAUCAUCAUGUCUUUUUUGAUAGGAUAGUUUUUUUUUUAUUCAAAGAACUUUCAAAUCCUUUAUGUCUAGUGGUCCUACAAUUCCCUAUUCAUUGGUAUUUCAUAUUACCAAUCAUUUUACAAAUAAGUUAAUUUCACUCGGUAAAUAUACUUAACCACCAAUGGUUUCCAAUUUGUAGCACUCUUAUAGAUGUAGUUUGUUUUUAAAUUUUAUUUUUUAGAAGAAUUGUAGGUAAAAAUAUUUUAGCUAUAUAUGUUCAACAAUUCUCUAAAAACAAUUUAUAUAAAUGAAAUACGUUCAUGGAAGUUCCAACUAAUGAAAUUUAAAACCAAUGAUGAUUUAAUGUAUUUGUACUAAAUCUUAGGGAGUGUGGACUAAAAUUAGCCCUUUUAAAAAUAUUUAUAACUAGUAUAUUUGUAGUUGUGGUAUUGGAAGUUGAUCAUUUUCUUAAAAGGUUGACCAUUGAAGUUAGUUGAAUAUAAAGUUAGGUGAACUUUACCAUUGUUAAAUUGGUAAAUGAAGACUCUUAGAUUUGAUACUAACAUGUACAUCAUGACUUCAUUGAAUCUCUCACAAGGAAAUUUUAGUUUGAAAGACUUCAUCCUUAAAACAUGUGGCACAUAUUAAAGUGAGACCAAGUCUUCCCUAUAAUUUGUAUCUAUCACAAUUUCUUUCCUCAUAAAUAGCCUUUUUGAAUAGAAUUAAUAUAGACUUUAGCAUGCAUGGUGGGCCCUGUCAAACUAUUAGUCAAGAUAAUUUGUAGGUAAGAACGAUGGACCAACUAUAUUAAAUACUCUUCAUCUAUUUGCAUAUCAAGAGCAACUUAAUACUGUCUUUUUUUUGUACUUCAUGUUUGAACUUUCAAUGGAGAGUUUGUCAUCUAAAUAUUUGAUGUGGGUUUUUAUAUUACUCUUGGUUCAAAUAUGUGGAUGCAAAGGUUGCAUCGAAGAAGAGAAGAUGGGUUUGCUUGAAUUCAAGGCUUUUCUUAAAUUGAAUGAUGAGCAUGCAGAUUUUCUUCUCCCUUCAUGGAUAGAUAACAACACUAGUGAAUGUUGUAAUUGGGAGCGAGUUAUUUGCAAUCCCACCACAGGUCGAGUUAAGAAGCUUUUCCUCAAUGAUAUAAGGCAACAACAAAAUUUGUUGGAAGACGAUUAGCACUAUUAUGAAAAUGCCAAAUUCUGGUUACUAAAUAUCUCCCUAUUCCUUCCUUUUGAAGAACUUCACCAUCUAAACUUGUCUGCAAACUCAUUUGAUGGGUUUAUUGAGAAUGAAGGUAUGUUACCUCUCACCUUUAAAAUUUCUUUUCACUUAUACUCCAAACAUUCUAAAGGAACUACUAUCAUAUGUUCUUAAAAGUGUUCAGGUGGAGACCAAAUGGUCACUAGUAACUAUUGAAUUUAAUAUAAGAACAAUUACUAAUUAUUAAAAUUUAUAAUGUAAAUUAACAUUUAAAUAGAACAAUAAAAAAAAUUAUUAUUUUAGAAAACUAUAGAUUACAUUUGCCUUAUAUAUAUAAAAGCAUACUUGUUAUUUAUGCCAUCAUUUCACACUCAACCCAAUAAGUUGGAUUCAACUAAGAGUGAGCAAUUUCACAAUUAUUAAUUAAUAGGAACACUUAGGCUCCCAUAUCCUUAUCCUUUUUGCUGAAUUGUCUUUCCUUAUCUUCCAUUCCUAAAAAGCUUGAUUUCUAUAUUCUAAAUUGAUAGAGAUUGGUUAAAGAAAGGUGAUCACAAAAUUUGACUAUUGCUUUCAAAUGAGGAAUCACCAUCUUCAAAUUUUCACAUUUACACAAAAAAAAAAAAAAAAACUAGCCUCGGGUAAGGUCCAAGCCUUAUUGUUUUAAGCUGACGUCGGGUUGGUUUAAUAAUGAACAAAGUAAAUCCCAACCCAUGACCAUCUAGGCAUUUCCAAAUUCCACCCAUCCACAACCCAUUAAUAUGGCAUUUUCAAGGACAAAAUUUAAUCAAUUAAACCUAUUAGAUGGAUUCUCCAUACAAUGUUAAAAUGAAUAUAAACACUUUAAUUCAAAAAAUAAUUUCCUUCAUUUAGUUAGGAUUCAAAUUAUAGGGGCACAAAACAUGAAAAUUUUCAUGUUUAAAAUUCACAAAGAUCACAGAAGCUCUUUGAAGCUCUAUGGGCUUUUUUAUUUCUAACAUUUAAACACAAAAAUCACCAAAUUGAAUUAGAAACUUGGAUGCAUAUUCUUAUAUUAAAGACAUGUAAGCUUACAUAUUUAAAUAUGAAGAUCUCAACUUGUAAUUACAUGCUUCUAAUUAAAGUUAUAUUACUUUAUUUUACAGGAUUUAAAGGGUUAUCAAGUUUAAAGAAAUUGGAGAUCUUGGACAUAAGUGGUAAUGAGUUUGACAAAAGUGCCUUAAAAUCUUUGGGCACAAUAACAUCACUCAAGACAUUAGCUAUUUGCAGCAUGGGACUGAAUGGAUCUUUUUCCAUUCGAGGCAUGUUAUAUGUCCACAUUGUUUCUUUGAAAUUAAGUAAAAUAUAUUUCUAACUUUUAAUGUUCCUUAGUUAAUCUCUCUUUUGAUUCAUGUUUGUUGCAGAAUUAGCUAGUUUGAGAAAUUUGGAAGUGUUGGAUCUAAGCUAUAAUGAUUUGGAAAGCUUUCAACUAUUGCAAGGUACUUCAUUAACUUGCUAAAAAAACUUAUAAUAUUUUGUUAUUAAAUUAAAGGUAAGAUUAACAAACAAUUUCUUCCCAUUAGUUACUUUUCUUUGUAAUAUCAUUAAAUUUGAUAUAAAGUAGUCUAAAUCAUCCUUUCAAUUUAUAAGUUUUAAUUAAAACGCAUCAAGCAUGCACAAGAUGUUUAAUAUAACUAAUAUUUUCAUAAGUAAUUGAAUUUUUUUUUAUGAAUUAAUUAACUUGAUUAUCAAUAAAUACUUACAUGUAUAAGAUUAAUAUAGUUUCAUAAGUAUUUUAAAAUUGUCUUACAACACACACACACACACACACACAGGGAAAAUGAAAGGUAUGUGAUACCUUUAUGCUAUGUUUGGUUCCCAAAAAAAUUGAGGGAAAAUGAAAGGAGAAAAAAGUAGAGAGGAAAAAUAAAAGAAAAGAAAAAAAGUGAAGAAAAAUAUAAAAUUGAUUAAAGUAAAUACAUUAUUUUUAUAUGUUACUUUAAACUUGUUUCACUUAUUUUAAUUCUUCAAUGUAAAGAUGAAAGAUUUGAAAAUGCAGAAGUCUCUAAUUAUUUUUUAUUAUAUUUUAUUUUAUUUUAUAGUUUUUACAAUACAACCAAACAUAAUAAAAUCAUUUUCUUUAAUUUUUUUUUCUUUUCUUAAUACUUUUCAUGAACCCUUAAGUUAUGUUUGGUUUGCAGAAAAUAUGAGGAAUAGAAAAUAGAAAAGAAAAUUAGAAGGAAAGAAAAAAUGAAGUAAAAUAAAAAUAAAUUUAAAUUUAAUAAAUUAUUUUUAUAUGCUACUUUAAACUUAUUUCACUUAUUUUAAAUUAUUUAAACUCAUUUCUAAUAAAUAAUAAUGGAAAUUGUAGAGAAGUUUGUGUUAUUCAAGCUUUGCAAUGACUUUUCAAGGUGAAGGAAAAUAUUCUUGCUGAAAUUGAAAAAGGAAAUACCUUCUUAAAUAGCCUAUUGACCGAAAACACAUUGCCCUAACAUAUACACACACCUUUAUUAUUUAUACAAUCAUGUAAUACUUAAUCCAGUUAGUGGGAUUCUAGUGGUUGUUUCUAUCUUGGUUUCCAAUAUUUCUGAUUGAUAGUGUUCGAUUAAUGAAAUAUCAUAAAUUUUGACCCUAAUAAGGACCAAUCCCUAUUAAAUGUAAUUGGGUUGACCCAAGACUAAAUGUUAGACCCAACUAAUAAAAACCCAUCUGUUUGUUGGAGUCUAAAUAACCCGGCCUUAGGUAGGGCCCAUGCCUUAUUAUUUUAAGAUGUAGUCCAACUGGUUUGACACUAGAUUGAGUAAAGCCUAAGUUAUGAGCAUCUGUGCAUUUCCAUCCAUCCACAACCUAUUGGCAUGGGCAAACUUUGGUCAAUUAAACCUAUUAUAACUGUAUACAAAAUUUUAAGUUCAAAAGAUAAUUUUCCUUAUUUAGUUAAGAUUCAUAUUAAAAAGGCACAAAGCACGAAUUUUCAUGUUUAAAUUCACAAAUAUCAUGAAAGCUCCUUCAAGCUCUAUGGACCAUUUUAUUUGUAACAUUAUUUUACUCUUAAUUAUCAAAUUAACCAACAAAUUCUUCUCAUUACUUAUUUUUCUUUUGUAAUGUCAUAAAAUUUGAUGUAAAGUAGUAUUGGUCAUCAUUUCAACUUUUAGGUUCCAAUUAGAUGCAUCAAGCAUGUGCAACAUAUUUGAUAUAACUAAUAUUUUUAUAAGUAAUUGAAUUUUUUUUUCUAUAAAUCAAUUAACUUGAUUAUUAAUGAAUACUUUCAUACAUGAUAUUGAUGUAGUUUCAUAAAUAUUUUUAAAUAGUCAUAGAAGUCUUUUAUCUGAUUCACUAGAAAUAAAAAUAAAUUAAACUAUUCUAAUGAAAAUACUUAAUGAUUUGAAGUGAUUGCUUUUGAUUUUAUUUGAUUGCUACCAUUAUUAAUUGUUAGAAAUUGGCAACAAAUACCCAUUUUGCAUCACUUCUAUAUGCAUAGGGGGAAUGAAUUAUAUUUCAUAGAGCUAACAGGGCAAAACUCAUACUUUUGGAAUUAUGGAAAAGGUUGCUAGAAAGCUAAUUAACCAUUUAUAUUAUGAUUAAGACUAGUUGGGUUAGAAAUAAUUCAUAUGGAGAUUAAAAAAAACUAUGUAAUUUAGUUUAGUAGCUAGGGUGCUAUUGUAAUGAUUAAUGAUCUGCAACUUGAACACAUCUACUAGUGCUUUCUACUUGUAUAGCUAAAUUUAUGUUACCACUUUGAACUACAGUACUUACAUGAGAAGAAAGUUAUUCCUUAGUGAUAAUGCAAAAGAAAUUAACUAUCAGUUUUUGUUAAACUAACAAGUGAUAGUUUAGAUAUGGUUUGAAUACACUUCCUUUCUUCUAUUUUUUUAUUUUGAAAAAAAAAAACUCUUUAAUGAAAUAUAAGAAAUCUUAUAUGUAUAAAAAGUAAAGACUUAAACAAAAAAAUUCUUCAAAUUUGAAAAUUUUCGAGAAGUAUUUUUAAGAAUUUGUAUUUUUAGUAUAAUAAUUCCUAUAUUUUGUAUAAAAGUUUUUGUUUAAAAAAAUAGAAGUGUAUCCAAAUUACAAAUUAAUUGUUCAAUUAAGAAUGUUUCUCGGAUCAAGAGAUAAUGAAAGUUGUAGAGAGUUUGCAUUACUCAACCUUUGCAAUUACUUUUUGAAGAUAAAAGAAAAUACCUUCCUACAUAACAUAAAAUGGCAGGUUCUGGUUUGUAAGAAACAAAUAAAUGAUAUAGGAUAUGAAUAAGACUUCCUUUAUAAUAGAUAUGUAGAGAAGAAUAGUCGAUGAUAGGAGGUGAAAAUCUUGUAAUAAAAUAUCAAUAUCGGUUAUAAGAUAAUCAACAUUUUCUCUAUUUCUUGUACCUAUGUGAUUAAGAAUCUUGUAGCUCCCUUAUUGAAAUAUAAUAUAAAAAUAUAAAUAAACUAUUUAGAAGUGCAUGUAGUUUUCAACAUGAGGAAGUUCAAAAGCAAGUUAAUUAUGAUAAUUUUCUGUUGUCUAUAUUGAGCACAAAUUAUUUUUACUAAAGGUUCAAUUGUUCUAUGAAGGUUAAAAGUUUGAAUUGUUUACAUAUGCAAAUGUGAAAUUUGAAAUUUUAUAAUUUUUUAUAAUUUUCUUGUAGAUUCAAAAAGCUUGUCCAUAUUCAAAAAGCUCGAGACCUUGAACCUCAAUUACAACAAGUUCAAAAACACUAGCCUACAACAAUUGAAUAUAUUUACAUCCCUUAAAAAUCUUUCUCUAAGAGGGAACUAUGUUGGAGGAUUUUUUCCGAUCCAAGGUAUGUGUAAUUAUUAUUAUUACUUUUAAUGAUAAAAUAUUAGAAUUGUCAACAUCUUUUUUUUUUUCCCCCUCAAUGGUGUUGCAGAAUUAUGCACUCUGGAAAACUUUGUGAUGUUGGACCUAAGUGAGAAUUUCUUUAUUGGCAUGCAAGGUAAAUACAAAGUGAAGUUUUGGUUAUAUAUAUAUCAUGUAAGAACAUAACUAAAAUCAACAUUCUUUGCCUAUCAAUUUGUGCAUGACUAUUAUUUAGUUAUUCUUCGUAACAUAAUUGAAAGAAUGUCUAGGUGUACAACAUUUAAGAAUUUUACAUGGCACAAUGAAAAACAUGGUAAUCAAUGUAUGCAAUAAAAUUCUAAUAGUUGAAAAAGAAUUUUCUUGUAAUUUUAUGUUCGUGUAUAGUAAUCAAAGAGAAAAUAAUGAAAAUGUAUAUUAGUUAGACUUUAUAUAUCAAUAGACAAAAAAGAAAGAAAAAAAAAAAGAUUAGUUCCUUAACUUAUCCUAAAAUUUUCUAGAUAAUAAGGAGUUUUUUUAUUUUGGGCUAUAAGGUUUACAACCUGAAAAGUGAAGAUGAUUAAUAUUAGUAAUAUAAUUUUGAAAUAUAAAAAUUAAUGAAAUAAUGUUCUCUAUAACUAUAAGUGCAACUGCAACUAUUAAUAAAAGAUAAUAAAAGUACUUUAGACUUUGAAUCCAUGGUUAGGUUUGCAAUUUUUUGAUGAUCAAUAAAGCUACAACUUAUGCUGCAAAAGGCUAUACAAAAUGCAUUAGGAGCAUUGCUAAGCUCAUUUAUCAAUAAAAGAAAUCCAGUAAUACUUUGAUUGGAAAAAACCUAGAAUCAUGUUUGAUAUAUAUAAUAGGUGAAGAAACAAAAUAACAAUUCCAUGGUAUUAGUUAGUUUGAUAUCUCUUUUGUUAUAUGGAAUAACUAUUCCAUUUUAAAAUAAUUUUUUCAUCUUAUCACUAGAACAAAAAAUUUCAGGGGGUUAUAUGGGCUUUUGGGUUUCUUAAGAAUUUAAGCAUUUAUGGGUCACCCAUAUAUAUAUAGGAAGAAUAAAAAAAAUAUUCUAUGGAGACAAGGGUAGACACCCAUAAAUGUACAUAUAAUUAUUUAAAUAAAAAUAUCAAUAAGAAACAAUAUACAACAAAAUAGAAAAUUUUAAUCUUCUUAAAUUUUUUAAAAUAAAAACUAAAUGAAAAAAAAAUUAAGAAGUAAAAAAAAUAAUAAAAAGGUCAAGAAUACAAAUAGAGAAGUAAACAAAAUAAAAAAAAAUACAUAAAUUAAAAUUAAAUUUAAAAAAAAAAUACAUAGAUUAAUAUGAACACCAAAUGAGGUUUUUUGAGAUAGACUUAGUUAGACUUGAACUAGAUGGAUAUUAAAAAAAAAUUUAAAAAAAUCAAAGAAAUAAAAACUAAUUAGAUGCUAAAUAUUGGAUUAAAAUAACCAAAUGAAUAAAGAGUAAUUAUUAAUUUUUAACAUUUUUUAUUCCCUGGAAUUAUUAUUUUGUGUAUUAAAUGUAUUCUGAGUGUAGUGGUAUAAAAAAUGUAGUUAAGAAUACUAUGAAGAAUAAUAAUAGUGAUGAUAAUGGUGACGACACUUAAUACCUUUUAUUGUACAUUUAGAAAAAAUGAGGUUCUUGAUCUUUAUGGAGAUUAUCAUUACUCAUCCGCAAGCAUGUUGAUAGUUGAAACUACUUAAUUAUCAAAAAUUGAAUUUCUAACCUUCAAUUUUUCUCUCUCAAAUGUAUAUGUGGGUGAGAAAGCACUAGGAAGAUUAUAAGGUCUCACAUGUAUAUGAGUCAUAGGAUAAAAAAUAUAGAGACAUACUAGCAUUUAUUUGAUCUAGUGGCAAAUAGAGAAAUAUAACAUAACCAUAACCAUAAUGUUCUAACCUUAUAUAUACCAGAACCAUGUUUCCUUCAUUCAAUUUUGCACUUUUUCUUUUNNNNNNNNNNNNNNNNNNNNNNNNNNNNNNNNNNNNNNNNNNNNNNNNNNNNNNNNNNNNNNNNNNNNNNNNNNNNNNNNNNNNNNNNNNNNNNNNNNNNNNNNNNNNNNNNNNNNNNNNNNNNNNNNNNNNNNNNNNNNNNNNNNNNNNNNNNNNNNNNNNNNNNNNNNNNNNNNNNNNNNNNNNNNNNNNNNNNNNNNNNNNNNNNNNNNNNNNNNNNNNNNNNNNNNNNNNNNNNNNNNNNNNNNNNNNNNNNNNNNNNNNNNNNNNNNNNNNNNNNNNNNNNNNNNNNNNNNNNNNNNNNNNNNNNNNNNNNNNNNNNNNNNNNNNNNNNNNNNNNNNNNNNNNNNNNNNNNNNNNNNNNNNNNNNNNNNNNNNNNNNNNNNNNNNNNNNNNNNNNNNNNNNNNNNNNNNNNNNNNNNNNNNNNNNNNNNNNNNNNNNNNNNNNNNNNNNNNNNNNNNNNNNNNNNNNNNNNNNNNNNNNNNNNNNNNNNNNNNNNNNNNNNNNNNNNNNNNNNNNNNNNNNNNNNNNNNNNNNNNNNNNNNNNNNNNNNNNNNNNNNNNNNNNNNNNNNNNNNNNNNNNNNNNNNNNNNNNNNNNNNNNNNNNNNNNNNNNNNNNNNNNNNNNNNNNNNNNNNNNNNNNNNNNNNNNNNNNNNNNNNNNNNNNNNNNNNNNNNNNNNNNNNNNNNNNNNNNNNNNNNNNNNNNNNNNNNNNNNNNNNNNNNNNNNNNNNNNNNNNNNNNNNNNNNNNNNNNNNNNNNNNNNNNNNNNNNNNNNNNNNNNNNNNNNNNNNNNNNNNNNNNNNNNNNNNNNNNNNNNNNNNNNNNNNNNNNNNNNNNNNNNNNNNNNNNNNNNNNNNNNNNNNNNNNNNNNNNNNNNNNNNNNNNNNNNNNNNNNNNNNNNNNNNNNNNNNNNNNNNNNNNNNNNNNNNNNNNNNNNNNNNNNNNNNNNNNNNNNNNNNNNNNNNNNNNNNNNNNNNNNNNNNNNNNNNNNNNNNNNNNNNNNNNNNNNNNNNNNNNNNNNNNNNNNNNNNNNNNNNNNNNNNNNNNNNNNNNNNNNNNNNNNNNNNNNNNNNNNNNNNNNNNNNNNNNNNNNNNNNNNNNNNNNNNNNNNNNNNNNNAUGCUCCUUUUUUUAGAGUCAAUUGAUGCUUAUAAACAACUUUGUUUGAAAAUAAAAUACAUCGAGUGAUUGCAUCAAGAGAUUGAUGUAAUAAUUGCAUACUUGAUCUUGAUAAUGCUAAUAUGAGUUGACUAAAUAAAUGAGUAUUUACUUAUAAGGUAACCCAUAGAACAUUAUUUGUGGAAAUAUUCAUGCACCUCUACAUAUGUUCGUGAUAACUUAGGUUGAUAAAUUUAAGAAGAACAAAUUCAUAACCUUGGGCAUAGUUAGUAAGAUAUUUCACCAAUAGAGUUUGGUAUCAUGAUUCUAAUUGUUCAAAUUGUUUUAAAGGAGUAUUUUAAAUUGCAUGUUAAUUUGCUUCUAAUAAAUGGAGAGAAACCAAUUCAAGAAGAGAAUUGUACUCAAGCUAUGUAUAGCAUUCAUGAAGAUGUAGAAAAUAUUGAUGAACUUACUUUUGAGCAAGUUGAAAUCAUAAUUAAAUAAAAGAACAAACCCAAGGGUUAAGAUUGUCAAGUAAAACUUUAACUAAAAUUUAUUGAUUUUUUAAAUGCCUAUUAGAGGGACAAUAGAAGUUCUAGAUAGAAAGUAAGAACUUUUCUAAGGAAUCACUUGUUAGAUUUUAAGUGAUCAAUAAAUAUAAUGUCCAAUUUAAAACUUUUAUAAAAGCAAUGCUUCUAAAGAAUAACUUGAUUUGAAUUUAAAGUUAUUAUUGAUAUUUGUUUAUAAUGGAUGUAGUUAAUCAACUGAACAUAGUAAAAAACACAUAAAUUUUUCAAAAUACCUUCUAGUUGUUGGGUAUAUUUAAGUAGUCAUCCAUAUCUCAUUAUCUUUUCACUCACAUACUAAUCUCCUUAUUGAGUAUUUACCAAUUACAAGUAGGUUGAAAGUUACUCGAAUUUAAGUCACUAAUCAAUGUUAACUUGAUAACAAAUAAGUCUCUCUUUGAAACUUGUUUUACAAGAUAGCGAAAUGUAGUCGAUCAAUCAUCAAAACAAUGUUUAAGCAUUAGGAUUUAGUUGUUAAUUUUUAUUUUUUAUUUUUUGUGCUUAAACAAAGACAAAAAUGAUAAAAACUCCUUAAAAGUACAUAGUAAUUGAAUUUAAUUUAUACAUCAAACAAGAACAAACUAGUCUUGGAUUUAAAAUUCAUCAGGUUUUGUAAUUAUAAUUCCUAAAAAUUUGUAAGGCAACAAAAUUAUUGGACACUAGGUUAUUGGGUGUGUAUGACUAAGAGGUGAAGGAGGGUUCAUCUUAUACAAAGGAUGAUUUGAUUAAUUUUAAAGAUUGGAUAAACAAUAAUUGCAUAUUCAAGUAAAAAUAACAUUGCUAAAAAGGAAAAUAAGUAUUUUAGUCCUCAAACCUAAAAUGGCUAAAAAAAUUUAAUUAAUACAAUACAACUUCACCUACAAAAGAAAAAAAAACCCAAAACUUUUCAAUAGCACAACUAAGUCCAUUUAUCAAAAGCUCUAUGAACAACAACAACUAUCAAAUCACAUAAAUCAUGUUGUUUUCAAAGUGCCCUCGAUGUUUUAAAACUUAAGAUAUUACAUAAAAAUCAACCAAUAGUGUAUGACAUUAUAAAAAACAUAUCCAAAUCCAUUGUCGAACUUAAACUAAAUUCAACUUUAUAUGCAUAGUCGCAAGUGCGUCUUUUUGUCCUUCAAUUUGGGUCAAAUUCAGAUGUUAGUUUUUUACACGACAAGGGAUUAUCAAGGUGAUAAUUCAUGCAUAUAAAUAGUAUUACUAAUAUAAAAAAAGAUGGUAAAUGCAAUUUUUUUGUAUUCACUCACCAUUUGGCAUAUCAAUAAGAAAAAAAUAUAUAAUAGGUGUAAUCAAUAAUAUUACUCAUCACUAGAAAGUAUAAUUUUUCAUUUUUUGUCACUAUUUGUGCACUUUGGAAAGCUUGCUAGGUACAACAAAUUAGCUCAAUGAAGAAAUUGAUCAAUUCCUUCAUUUCUAAAUAAAUUUGCAUAUACACUAGAAUAAAAACAACUUUUUAACUUAACAAGUUGACUGAGUCUCAGAACUUAGUAGGUUGAAGACAUAAACUUCCAUCCAAACUCAUUUACUAGCACCACAUGUUGGAAAAAUAAAUAAAAAUCAAAACACUUGAGUAUAGUUGCAAACCAAUCUAAAUAUAGAGUGAGAUCUACCUUUCUUUGAAAGUUUAGAACAAAUUUUUAUUUUUAUGGUAAGACUAUGCAGUACUUAUCCCUCUCUUACAAGUCUAUAAUCAGUCCAAAGCAUGGGAUCGUGCAUAAAUUCUUGAACUCAAUUAGCCUUCAAUCGAUGCCUUUCAAGUAAAUGUAAAACCUGGUGUACUUGUUAUUGAUUCACAUCCUUAUCACUAUUAUCAUUACUUGUUCUUGAAUAUAGAACCUUAUUGUCUAUUAACAAGCAGACCUAUGUUCCUCCAUGAUUCAAGAGUAUUAUGUUUUGUUCAUCAUUAGUUGGUCUUGCUCUAAAGCUUCUUUUUUAUGACUAUCAAUAACCAAACUUAGAUACCAAAAUUUAUGCGAGAGAGCAUGUACUUUAUACAGUCAAGAACUUGUGAGUUUAGAUUUUGUUAUCUAGGUAAAAGAAUAAAUUGGUUUGUUAAAAUAGCUAGCAUUAGGUAUCUAUUCAAUUCCUAUCUUAGACAAUAAAGAUAGAAGUGAUCAAAUACAUUCUUAUUAAGAAACAUUUGAUACCAAAAGUGAUGUAAGACAACAUAGUUCCUCUAUUCAAUCAAGUUUAAGGCUUAGAUGAACCUAUGAAUUUAUAUUAAUUAAUUGGGAAAGAGAAUAAAUAGGCUAAGUAGAAGUGAUAGGAUUGUAAUAGCAUUAAGUUAAUGAUCUUGUUUAGGUCUUCUACUAAAUUAGAGAAGAAACAAACAAAAGUAAUCAAACGUGUUAGUGAUAAUUAUAUCUACUUAACAUUGAGACAAUAGUUGUAUUAAUGGUAAUUAUAUUAUUUCUUGAGAGUUUAAACAAUAUAUAUUGAAAAUAUUUUUAAAGGUUUAGCAACUACCAUGGUUAUAAUCAACUACGAGCUUUUUAUUUUUAAAAAUAUGAAAUAUUAAUAUCUUUACUUUCUUUGAUCUUCUUGUAGGUUUUAAAAGUUUGCCUAAGCUGAAAAAGCUGGAAAUCUUAAACCUUGGUUAUAAUCGGUUCAACAAGACCAUUAUAAAACAGUUGAGUGGACUCACAUCCCUUAAAACACUAGUUGUAAGCAACAACUAUAUUGAGGGACUUUUUCCUUCCCAAGGUAUUGUUUAUUUUUUUAAUAUCCUUAGUAACCACUCUACCAUAAUUUAUUUUUUCAAUUUUAUUUUCUUUCUUGAACCAUCUUACAGAAUUAUCUAUUUUUGGAAACUUGAUGACACUGGAUUUAAGCGAGAAUAGAUUCAAUGGCUCCCUAUCAAUCCAAGGUAAAUUCUAAUUAGAAUUAUCAUUAUAUUUAGGACAUAUAAUAAAUCAAUUAAAUUGUUUUAUCUAUUAUCAUUACUUGGUUAUUUGGAUUUUCUUGAUAUUGUUUAUCAUUUUACAUAGGAAAAUGAAAUUAAAAAAUCAACCCAUGCUUAGUGUUUAAGCAUUGGGCUAGAAGUAUAUUUUUCUUCCCAAUUUAAUCAAAGAGAAAAGUCAUAAAUAACAUAAUUUAACUUAUACCUUAUAUUGAUUGAAGAGGUUAGACUACUUUUGGAUUUAAUGGUCAAUAUUUGUUGAAGGUAGGGUUUCCUAAAUUUGAUCAAAAGAACUUCAAUUUAAAUUACCAUAACUACAUAAAGUUGUGACUAGCAUAAUUAAACUCUUUUAUUAAUAGAUGUUCAUAGACUAGUAUUACAAUCCCACACACACAAAUAAUUAAAAUUUGAAAUUAGACUUCAAAUAACUAUGCAAUAUACGAAACUACAAAAUGAAUGGUAGGUCAUAAUUAAUUAAAUUCGUACUAUAUUCAAUGUUGGUCAACACGUGUCAAGUAAAAGUUUUGGCCUAAGUGUAAGGGCUCACUUGCUCCUAUAUAGAUGUUAUUCACUUUGGGUCAAGGCCUACUUUAAAAUAUCUCUAUACAGUUAUGAGAAGUCUACUAAAUAUAAAGUCGUAGAAACUUUUCUUCUUAGGUGAUUUGGAAUUUCACAUUAGGACCAACAUUUUAUAUAUUUUGAAAACAUAAUUUAAUUAACAUUUUAGAACUAAUUAUUAGUUAUCCAUUUAUAAUCCUAGAGGAAAUUCCUUUUACCUAUGCAAAUUAUAUACCUCUAGUAAUUACCUUUAAUUUCUCAUUUACAACUUCCUAAAAUAAUAUGAAAAAUGACAAAGUGUACAAUAUCUACCAAUAUGGGUGGAAUAUGCAAUGAGACCCACAAUGCUCAAUAUAGUACUAGUAUCUAUGUCAUCUAAUAGCAAUGAAAGUACUAAGUAAUAAAAACAAUUGUUUUGGGCACUUUAUGCAAUUGGCCUUGUAAAAAAAGAAAUCUAAGGUAGUUGGACUCAUUUACUAGUAAUUUAACAUAUGACUAGAACCUAUUGAAUCAUUUGCAAUAGCACUUGCUUUGGUCAUGUCCAAAUUUAUUACACAUGGUGCAAAAAGGGGUGGUGCUAGAGGAUGCUUUGUUUUCCCACUUAUGGAAGUCUCAAUCUUGCUAAUAUAUUUUAUGCCAUGUUUAUCAUAUACAAAUUUAGCCUAAGUGUAAGGGCUCGCUUGCUCCUAUAUAGAUGUUAUUCAUUUUGGGUCGAGGCCUACUUUAAAAUAUCUCUAUACGUUUAUGAGAAGUAUACUAAAUAUAAAGUCGUAGAAACUUUUCUCCUUAGGUGAUGUGGAAUUUCACAUUAGGACCAACAUUUUAUAUAUUUUGAAAACAUAAUUUAAUUAACAUUCUAGAACUAAUUAUUAGUUAUCCAUUUAUAAUCCUUGAGGAAAUUCCUUUUACCUAUGAAAAUUAUAUACCUCUAGAAAUUACUUUUAAUUUCUCAUUUACAACUUCCUAAAAUAAUAUGAAAAAUGACAAAGUGUAUAAUAUGAGCCAAUAUGGGUGGUAUAUGCAGUGAGACCCACAAUGCUCAAUAUAAUACUAGAAUCUAUGUCAUCUAAUAGCAAUGAAAGUACUAAGGAACAAUUUAACGUAUGUUUUGGGUACUUCAUGCAAUGGCCUUGUAAAAAAAGAAAUAUAAGGAAGUUGGACUCAUUUACUAGCAAUUUAACAUAUGACUAAAACCUAUUGAAGAAUUUGCAAUAGCACUUACUUUGGUCAUGUCUAAACUUAUUGCACAUGGUGCAAAAAGGGGUAGUGCUCGAGGAUGCUUCCACAUAAGAAAGACCCUACUUAACUGUUACAAAGGUUAUUUUCCCACUUGUGGGAAUGCUAACCUUACUAAUAUAUUAUAUGCCAUGUUUAUCAUAUACAAAUUUUUCUUUACUAAAUAUUUCUUUAAUGAUCUUGGACCUAAAAUUAAAUAUUUCAUUAGUAUUGGUCAUGUCGUUCCUCAACUUUUCAACUUUUAGAGUUAAAUCUUUAUCUUUAUCAUUGAUAGUUUUAUGUUUAGUCCCUAGAAACUUCACCUUAUUAACAAUAUGUUCAUUUAAUAUGUUGAUAUUUUUAAUUUUCAAAGAAUCAUAGAGCUCAUUAAUUUUAAUGUCUUUUUAUUCACUUUUAUGCUUUCAACCUUUGUUUUUAGUUUUCCUAUAAUAAUGCAUCAUAGACCCCAUGUACAUCAUUAAAAUAAAACUCAUUUUUUUCAUUAGGAUUCAAUUAACCCAAUGGAUCAUAAUCAAAAUUAGCUGCAUAUGAACAAAAGCAAUAAGAUUAUCAUUUUGUACAUCUUUACUUUCAUUUGAGUUCUUAGCCCUACAAUCAUCAAACAUGGAAUUACUCCAAGUCACCUACAUAGCCUUCAUACCUAAUGUUUUUAAGGCAAGGAUAAUCAACAACCAUGUGUCCCAUUCCCCCAAUGGUUCACUACAAAAUCAAGGUACAUAUGUUAUGCUUUCUUUGUUUCAUAGAGAUUAGAGAGGAUAAACAUUGUAUAAAAAAAAAAAUUGUCAUAGUUAAUGUAAGCUAAAACUAAAAAACUUGUUUUUUCAAUUGUGUAAGCAUGUUUUGUUCUUGAUUAAUAUUUACAACAUUCAGAUUUACUAAUGUUUAUAAUUCACAGAGACCUCAUUAACAAGAAGUAACAACUAAUUGCAAGUAACCAUGAAAAAAAAUAAGGAGAAAAAUAAAGGAAAAUCAAGGAAAAUGGAAAAAAUUUUCAUCCCCAUAAAAAAUGCUAAGGAAGAAAAAGGUGAAGAAAGUUUAAAGAAAGCAUAUUUUUCAAAAAUUGAAUUUUCUUUCCCUUAAAAUUGGUAUGGACAACCAAACAAGAAAAUGAUUUUUAAAUUCUUUUUUGACCUUUUUCUAUCAUUCUUUUUUUUUCCCCCUACUCUAUUUCCUUUCCCUCAAACUUUCUAGGUAGUAAACAUUACCUAAGAUAAAUAGGGAAGAAAAUAUUUUAUCAUUUAUUAAUUUAGUAUUUUUCUUACCUUUUUUGUAUUUUAUCCAAAUAUGAGAAAACUAUUUUUCUUUAUUUUUUCUUUUCCUUGUUGCUUUUCAAGAAUCAAGCAUACUUUAAACUCUAAUUAAGAGUUACAUAGAUUUACGAAGAAACAAUGCAACUAGUAACAAAAAAUUAAGGAAAUUUAAUUUUUGAGAGUAGGUAUAAUGAGAUUGGUUUGUUUGAUACAAAAUUUGAAUAAAAAUUCUUUCAAUGAAAAUUCAAGGAAAGGAAAAAAAAAAACAACUUUAUCUCUAGACUAUAAUACUAAAUCACUUAAAAAAUAUCUUAACAUCGUUUAUGUUCAUCUUUCUUUUUAUGGAUUUGAAAAACCCAAUAAUUUGGAGAAAAUUGAUUCAAGGAAGAAUAAUUUUUAGAAUAAAAUAUUAUUAUUUAAGAAGAUCAUAAAUAUUAUAGUCAUUGUUGAAUAUGAUAAAUGAUUUAAAAAAAAUGGUAGUUGGAAAUUUAGAUACUUUUAUAAGACAAAUGAAUUUUUCUAGUAUUGUAUGAAAAAAGGUAAAAUGAUAGGCUUUCAUCAUUUUUUAAAGUAGUUUGUUUAAAUCAUUUUAAUUUAUUUUGAUUUAAGAACAAUAACUUUUAUUACACUAGUUAUUUUGAUUUUCUUUUGAUAGAUUUUGCAAGCUUAAGCAAUUUGGAGCUAUUGGAUUUGAGUUAUAAUUCAUUUAGUGGGAGCGUUCCAUCAUCUAUAAGAUUGAUGUCUUCUCUCAAGUCUUUAUCCCUGGCUCGAAAUCACCUCAAUGGUUCCUUACCAAAUCAAGGUACAUAUAUUGUGAUUACAGGUUUUUCUGUUUUCUUUUUUAAUAUCUUGUUUGUUCUUUAUGCCAAUGAAGUCAUGCAUGUCUAUUAAUUUUUGGUAUUAAAUAAAAAACUUUAUUCUUAAUUCAUAAAGACCUCAUCAACUGUAAGUAACAGCUAGUUGUAAGUUUGGGGGCAUUGACAAGACGAGGAGAUGAUUGGUUACAUGUCUUAUUCUCUUUUGUUGGCUUUUGCCAAUUGAAUAAGCUUCAAGAGUUAGAUCUUUCUUACAACUUAUUCCAAGGGAUCCUUCCUCCAUGUUUGAAUAAUUUGACAUCUUUGAGGUUAUUGGAUCUCUCUUCCAACCUAUUCUCCGGAAAUCUUUCUUCCCCUCUGUUACCUAAUCUCACAUCCCUGGAGUACAUCGAUCUCAGUUACAAUCAUUUUGAGGGUUCAUUCUCUUUCAGCUCUUUUGCUAAUCACUCCAACUUUCAAGUGGUCAAACUUGGAAGGAAUAACAACAAAUUUGAGGUAGAAACUGAAUAUCCAGUUGGUUGGGUUCCCCUAUUUCAGUUGAAAGCUCUUAUGCUAUCCAACUGUAAGCUCAUCGGUGACCUUCCUGGUUUUCUUUGACACCAAUUAAGAUUAACCGUGGUUGAUCUCUCCCAUAAUAACUUGACUGGAAGUUUCCCCAUUUGGCUGCUUGAAAACAAUACAAAAGUAGGAUCUCUAGUUCUGAGGAAUAACUCUUUAAUGGGUCAACUACUUCCCCUGAGACCUAAUAGUCGUAUCACUUUAUUGGAUAUCUCAGACAACCGACUUGAUGGGGAACUUCAACAAAAUGUGGCCAAUAUGAUUCCAAAUAUUGAGUUUCUAAAUUUAUCCAACAAUCCUCCCCUUCAUUUCAUCCAUAUUUGGAUCUACCUUUAAAUCUCUAUUGCAUACAACCCAUAUAUGAUUCCCUCUAAAUUUAGCCUUCAUUUCUUGUUAAGAGGUUUUAAAAGCCAGCAAUUUAAUUUACUUUCAUCCUCUAGAUAGAUGAGAACUCUUAUAUUUAUCCAAUGAUAGGUAACAUUUUUGCAAAUGCUUUUAUUUGAUUUUUUUAAUUGGUCUUAAAAAUAAGUGUUAAUAAAGAUCCACAAUAUAAAAUAAUAAAUUAUAUCUCAAUUGACCUCAAGAUACUAUUUACUUCUACUAACUCAUUUUACAUCUCAAUUGUUCUUAAAAAGUCUAUAAUGGUAAUUAACUAUAGAAUUCAAGUUUUAAUUAUGCAAAAAAUAUAUAAAGGUUUUUAAAAUUAAUAGAAAAAGAGAUUCUGAUAAAUAAUAAGUCAUUGGAACAUUUACUUCUAGAAGUAGAGAAAGAUGGAGGAUCAUAAAAGUUGAAAAAAGAAUAAUUUGGAAGUCAUAAAAUUUUGGAAAAAGAAUAAUACAUAGAGACCUCAUUAACAAGAAGUAACAACUAAUUGUAAGUAACCAUGAAAAAAGUAAGGAGAAAAAUAAAGGAAAAUCAAGGAAAGUGGAAAAUUUUUUCAUCCCCAUAAAAAAUGCUAAGGAAGAAAAAGGUGAAGAAAGUUUAAAGAAAGUAUAUUUUUCAAAAAUUGAAUUUUCUUUCCCUUAAAGUUGGUAUUGACAACCAAACAAGAAAAUGAUUUUUAAAUUCUUUUUUGACCUUUUUCUAUCAUUCUUUUUUUUUUUUUCCUUACUCUAUUUCCUUUCCCUCAAACUUUGUAGGCAGUAAACAUUACCUAAGAUAAAUAGGGAAGAAAAUAUUUUAUCAUUUAUUUAUUUAGUAUUUUUCUUACCUUUUUUUGUAUUUUAUCCAAAUAUAAGAAAACUAUUUUUCUUUAUUUUUUUCUUUUCCUUGUUGCUUUUCAAGAAUCAAGCAUACUUUAAACUCUAAUUAAGAGUUUUAUCUCUAGACUAUAAUACUAAAUCACUUAAAAAAAACUCCUAACAUCGUUUAUGUUCAUCUUUCUUUUUAAGGAUUUGAAAAACCCAAUAAUUUGGAGAAAACUGAUUCUAGGAAGAAUAAUUUUUAGAAUAAAAGAUUAUUAUUUAAGAAGAUCAUAAAUAUUAUAGUCAUUGUUGAAUAUGAUAAAUGAUUAAAAAAAAAAAGGUAAUUGGAAAUUUAGAUACUUUUAUAAGACAAAUGCAUUUUUCUAGUAUGGUAUGAAAAAAGGUAAAAUGAUAGGCUUUGAUCUUUUUUUAAGGUAGUUUGUUUAAAUCAUUUUAAUUUAUUUUGAUUUAAGAACAAUAACUUUUAUUACACUAGUUAUUUUGAUUUUCUUUUGAUAGAUUUUGCAAGCUUAAGCAAUUUGGAGCUAUUGGAUUUGAGUCAUAAUUCAUUUAGUGGGAUCCUUCCAUCGUCUAUAAGAUUGUUGUCUUCUCUCAAGUCUUUAUAUCUGGCUGGAAAUCACCUCAAUGGUUCCUUACCAAAUCAAGGUACAUAUAUUGUGAUUACAGGUUUUUUUGUUUUCUUUUUUAAUAUCUUGUUUGUUCUUUAUGCCAAUUAAGUCAUACAUGUCUAUUAAUUUUUGGUAUGCAAUGAAAAACUUUAUUUUUAAUUCAUAAAGACCUCAUCAACCGUAAGUAACAACUAGUUGUAUGUUUGGGGGCAUUGACAAGACGAGGAGAUGAUUGGUUACAUGUUUUAUCCUCUUUUGUAGGCUUCUGCCAAUUCAAUAAGUUUCAAGAGUUAGAUCUUUCUUACAACUUAUUCCAAGGGAUCCUUCCUCCAUGUUUGAAUAAUUUGACAUCUCUGAGGUUAUUGGAUCUCUCUUCCAACCUAUUCUCCGGAAAUCUUUCUUCCCCUUUGUUACCUAAUCUCACAUCCCUGGAGUACAUCGAUCUCAGUUACAAUCAGUUUGAGGGUUCAUUCUCUUUCAGCUCUUUUGCUAAUCACUCCAAGCUUCAAGUGGUCAUACUUGGAAGGGAUAACAACAAAUUUGAGGUACAAACCGAAUAUCCAGUUGGUUGGGUUCCCCUGUUUCUGUUGAAAGCUCUUGUCCUAUCCAACUGUAAGCUCAUCGGUGAUCCUGGUUUCCUUCGACACCAAUUAAGAUUAACCGUGGUUGAUCUCUCCCAUAAUAAUUAGUCUGGAAGUUUCCCCAUUUGGCUGCUUGAUAACAAUACAAGACUAGGAUCUCUAGUUCUGAGGAAUAACUCUUUAAUGGGUCAACUACUUCCCCUGAGACCUAAUAGUCGUAUCACUUUAUUGGAUAUCUCAGACAACCGAGUUCAUGGGGAACUUCAACAAAAUGUGGCCAACAUGAUUCCAAAUAUUGAGUUUCUAAAUUUAUCCAACAAUGGUUUUGAAGGUAUUCUCCCAUCCUCGAUAGCCGAAAUGAGUUCCUUACAGUCAUUAGAUUUGUCUGCUAAUAGUUUCUCAGCGGAAGUACCAAAACAAUCGCUUGCUGCAAAAUAUUUGUGGCUUCUGAAAUUAUCAAAUUAUAAAUUUCAUGGUGAAAUAUUUUCAAGGGACUUUAACUUGACUCAGUUAGGGUUUUUGCAUUUGGACAAUAAUCAGUUCCAGGGACCACUGUCAAAUGUAAUCUCCAGAAUCUCUAGGUUAUGGGUGUUGGAUAGGUAACAUGACCGAUUUGACUACACUGGUGUUGGGCAACAAUAGUUUUAAAGGCAAAUUACCACCUGAGAUUUCUCAAUUGUUGGGGAUGAUAUUUCUUGACGUUUCUCAAAACGCUCUUUCAGGAUCUCUUCCUUCUUUGAAGAGCCUGGAGUAUUUAGAGCAUCUACAUUUGCAAGGGAAAAUGUUUACAGGAUUGAUACCUAGAGAUUUUCUCAAUUCCUCAUAUCUAUUGACUUUGGAUAUCAGAGACAACAGGUUAUUUGGAAGUAUUCCCAAUUCAAUCUCUAGACUUUUAGAGCUAAGAGGAAACCUUUUAAGUGGUUUCAUUCCAUAUCAGCUUUGUCAUUUGACUAAAAUAAGCUUGAUGGAUCUUUCAAACAACAAUUUUUCUGGGUCAAUUCCCAGAUGCUUUGGUCAUGUCGGAUUUGGAGAUUUCAAAACUGAGCACAAUGUGUAUAUACUUAUGUUAGAUUCGUAUUCAGAAAGCAAUCCUUCUAUAUAUACGGGUUACUUAAUAAAAUAUUUAUUUUUCUCUACUGAACUCCCUGAUGAAGUAGAUGAAGUUGAGUUUGUUACCAAGAAUAGGUAUAGCUCCUACAGAGUAGAUAAAAAUAUUUGUUGGGAAUUUAGAUAUUUUUAUAGGACAAUAUACAAGUAUUCUAAUUUAUAAAAACAAUGCAUUUCUUUAGUUUGGUAUAAAAAAAAUGAAACGAUAGGUAUUGGUAAUUUUUUUUAAAGUAACAAACGUUUUAUUUUAUUUGUAUUUAAGAACAAUGUUUUUUCUUAUACUAGUUAUUUUCAUUUUCUUUUGACAGAUUUUGCAAGCUUAAGCAAUUUGGAGAUACUAGAUUUGAGUUAUAAUUCCUUAAGUGGGAUUAUUCCAUUAUCUAUAAGAUUGAUGCCUCAUCUCAAGUCUUUAUCCUUGGUCGGAAAUCACCUCAAUGGUUCUUUACAAAAUCAAGGUACAUAUGUUAUGAUUUGUUUGUUUCAUAUAGAUUAGAGAAGAUAAAUAUUGUAAAAAAAAAAAAAAGUUGUAGUUAAUGUAAGCUUGAAAUAAGUAUCUUGCCUUAUAAAUUAUAUAAGCAUGUGUUUGUUCUUAAUGAAUCUUUACAACAUUUAGAGUUACCAAUGUUUAUAAUUCAUAAAGACCUCAUUAACGGUGAAUAACAACUAAUUGUAAGUAAUUGUGGAAAUAGUAAGGAAAACAAAAUGAGGGAAAAGCAAGGAAUUAGGAAAUUAUUUUGUUCCCAUAAAAAAAAUGCUAAGGAAGAAAAAGGUAAAAGAAAGUUUUAAAAAAGUGUAUUUUUAAAAAAUUUAUUUCUCUUUCCUUUAAUUUUGCUAUGGACAACCAAACAAGAAAAUCAUUUUAUAAUUCCUUUUUAUUUUUUUCGUUCUCUCUCUCUUUUUUUCCCUACUCUAUUUCUUUUCCCUCAAACUUUCUUGGUAGUAAACACAACCUAAGAUAAAUGGGGAAGAAAAUUUUCAGUUUUUUUUUUAUUUUUUUAGAAUGUUUUCUUACUUUUUAGUAUUUUAUGCAAAUAUAGGAAAAUUAUUUUCUUUUUUCUUUUUUUUUCUUGCUCCUUUUCAAACAUGAAUCACACUUUAAAAGAAAAUUAAUUUUUAAUUAGGAGUUAAGAUAAAUUUAAGGAGAAACAAUGAAUCACAGACAACAAAAAAUUAAGGAAAUUGAAUUUUUGAAAGUAAGUAUAAUCAAAUUGCUUCUUUUGAUACAAAAUUUGAAUAAAAAUUCUUUCAAUGAAAAUUCAAGGAAAGGAAAAAACAUUUUUGUCUCUAGAUUAUAAUACUAAAUUAUGUAAAAAAUCUCCUAGCAUCAUUUAUAUUCAUAUUUCUUUUUAUAGAUUUGAAAAAUUCAACAAUUUGGAAUAAACUUAUUCAAUGAAGAAUAAUUUUUAGAUUUAAAGAUUAUUAUUUAAGAUCAUAAAUAUUACCAUCAUUGUUGAUGUCUAAGAAGAUCAUAUUCAACAAUUUUUUUAAUAUGUUGUUUUUUUAUGGUAAUUAAUUGAUGUCUUGUAAUUUUUAAUAUUUAAUGAAAAACAUUAUUUUAAUUCAUCUAGAGCUCUUAAUUCAUGAAGACCUCAUUAAUGGUAAGUAAUAGCUGAAUGUAAGUUUGGAGUCAAAGACAUGUCAAGGAGAUGAUUAGUUACAUGUCUUAUUCUCUUUUGUAGGUUUCUGCCAAUUGAAUAAGCUUCAAGAGUUAGAUCUUUCUUACAACUUAUUCCAAGGGAUCCUUCCUCCAUGUUUGAAUAAUUUGACAUCUCUGAGGUUAUUGGAUCUCUCUGCCAACCUAUUCUCCGGAAAUCUUUCUUCCCCUUUAUUACCUAAUCUCACAUCCCUGGAGUACAUCGAUCUCAGUUACAAUCAGUUUGAGGGUUCAUUCUCUUUCAGCUCUUUUGCUAAUCACUCCAAGCUUCAAGUGGUCAUACUUGGAACGGAUAACGACAAUUCUGAGGUAGUUGGAAGGGAUAACAACAAAUUUGAGGUAGAAACUGAAUAUCCAGUUGGUUGGGUUCCCCUGUUUCAGCUGAAGGCUCUCUCUCUAUCCAGCUGUAAGCUCACCGGUGACCUUCCUGGUUUUCUUCAAUACCAAUUCAUGUUAGUGGGGGUUGAUCUCUCACAUAAUAACUUGACAGGAAGUUUCCCCAAUUGGUUGCUUGAAAACAAUAUGAGACUAAAAUCUCUAGUCCUAAGGAAUAACUCUUUAAUGGGUCAACUACUUCCCUUGGGACCUAAUACCCGUAUCAAUUCAUUGGAUAUCUCACACAAUCAGUUGGAUGGACAACUUCAAGAAAAUGUGGGCCAUAUGAUUCCAAAUAUGGAAUAUCUAAAUUUAUCCAACAAUGGUUUUGAAGGUAUUCUCCCAUCCUCAAUAGCUGAACUGAGAGCCUUAUGGAUUUUGGAUUUGUCUACCAAUAAUUUCUCUGGAGAAGUACCAAAGCAAUUGCUUGCAGCAAAAGAUUUGGGGUAUUUGAAAUUAUCAAAUAAUAAAUUUCAUGGUGAAAUAUUUUCAAGGGACUUUAACUUGACUGGGUUAUCGUGUUUGUAUUUGGGCAAUAAUCAGUUGACGGGAACUCUGUCAAAUGUAAUCUCCAUAAGCUCUGAGUUGGAGGUGUUGGAUGUGAGCAACAACUACAUGUCAGGUGAAAUUCCAAGCCAGAUAGGUAACAUGACCUAUUUGACUACACUAGUGUUGGGCAACAAUAGUUUUAAAGGCAAAUUACCACCCGAGAUUUCUCAAUUGUGGGGGUUGGAGUUUCUUGACGUUUCUCAAAAUGCUCUUUCAGGAUCUCUUCCUUGUUUGAAGACCAUGGAGAGUUUAAAGCAUCUACAUUUGCAAGGGAACAUGUUUACAGGAUUAAUACCCAGAUAUUUUCUCAAUUCCUCACAUUUAUUGACUUUGGAUAUGCGAGAUAACAGGUUAUUUGGAAGUAUUCCCAAUUCAAUCUCUGCACUUUUGAAGCAGCUAAGGAUUCUUUUGCUGGGAGGAAACCUUUUAAGUGGUUUUAUUCCAAAUCAUCUUUGUCAUUUGACUGAAAUAAGCUUGAUGGAUCUUUCAAACAACUCUUUUUCAGGGCCAAUUCCCAGAUGCUUUGGCCAUAUCCGAUUUGGGGAGAUGAAAAAGGAGGACAACGUGUUUGGACAAUUCAUUGAACUUGGGUAUGGAAUGAGUUCUCAUCUUGUAUAUGCAGGUUACUUGGUGGAAUAUUGGGGGUUCUCAAGUCUAGUAUAUAAUGAAAAAGAUGAAGUUGAGUUUGUCACUAAGAACAGGCGUGACUCCUACAAAGGUGGCAUCCUUGAAUUCAUGUCUGGAUUGGACUUAUCAUGUAACAACUUGACAAGUGAAAUACCUCAUGAGCUUGGAAUGCUAAGUUGGAUUCGUGCUUUGAACUUGUCUCACAAUCAAUUGAAUGGCUCCAUUCCAAAGAGUUUCUCCAAUCUUUCCCAAAUAGAGAGCUUAGACCUUUCUUAUAAUAAACUGGGUGGAGAAAUUCCUCUAGAGCUAGUUGAACUCAAUUUUUUAGCGGUGUUUAGUGUGGCUUACAACAACAUCUCUGGUAGAGUUCCAGAUGCCAAAGCACAAUUUGCAACAUUUGAUGAAAGCAGCUAUGAAGGUAAUCCUUUCCUUUGUGGGGAACUAUUAAAGAGGAAAUGCAACACAUGUAUUGAGUCAUCAUGCGCACCAUCACAGUCUUUUGAAAGUGAGGCAAAAUGGUAUGAUAUCAAUCAUGUUGUUUUCUUUGCAAGUUUUACUACUUCAUAUAUCAUGAUCUUGUUAGGAUUUGUUACCAUCCUUUACAUCAAUCCUUAUUGGCGUCAUAGAUGGUUCAAUUUUAUCGAGGAAUGUAUAUAUUCCUGCUAUUAUUUUGUUUUUGAUAGUUUUUCCAAGUUAUCAGCAUAUUUGUAUAAUUAGAUACUUUUAAUUGGAUGAUGCUUGCAUAAUUAACUACUAUUUGUUUCCAUGGGAUAGAAAGAAAUGGGAUGUAUAAUGCUAUGAGUUGAAACUUACAUACUUUGCUCAAAUUCUAACAUCUUUUGAUUUUAUUUUCAAGUUCCGUUAUUUAUUAUGUAUUGUUUAAUUCAAGAUUUAACCAUAUUAUGUUACUCUUAUAAAAACAAAGUCAAAUUUUUAGGAACUUUUAGCAUUAAAAUAAUUUCAUAGUCAGAUUUUAAAAAAUAAAGAAGAAAGAAAAUAAUAAAUAAUUGGAAAAACAAUUCAAGGAAGUAUUAAAUUAUUAUCUUAGAAUUGUUUGGCAUAGUAUGGGAAUUCAAAAAUAAUUUUUCAAUUUGUUAGAAAUGUUUAUUUAUUUAUUAUAGCAAUGAUUGAAAUAUCAAUCACAAAGUAAUGUUUUUUUUUUCUUUUGUAGGGCACUAACACUUUUUCUUUGAUUGUAAUAAUUGAUAAAUAUAUUACACAAUUAUUUGUUUUAAAAAGGGGAGGGAUGACAAACAUAAUAACAUGUGAAAUAUUUCUAAAACUGUGAUGGGAAAUAAACCAUCUAAUUAGGGUGCAACAUUAUUCAUUUUAAUUUAUAUGAAUUUACUUAUUUUUAUUUGCAUCAUAUUUUGAACUAUUUUAUGAAAUUAAGGGAGAUUAAAACAUCAUGAAUUUCUUAGUUUAAUUUAUAUUUUUAAUAAUAAAGCAUGAAAUAUUUAAAAAAAGAAAAAAAGAAAAUCAUGAAUUUCUUUAAUUCCUUAGGAAACCAAUAUAUAAAAAAAGUUGAAUAUAUUAUUAUUUUAUGUCCUAAAUUUCUAAAUUUGUUCAUCACGUAUUUAUUUUUAUAUUAAAUUUAUUAUCAAUAAUUAUUUAUUAUAUAUUAUUAUUUUAUGUUUAAAAAUGUUUAUAAAUAAUUAAAAUUAAUAAAUAUAAAAAAUGAAAUAUUAAAAAAUUAAAUUAAAAAGAUUUCAUCAAGCUAACAUAUUUUGAUAAAAAAAAAAAAAAAGAGUAAAAAAGAAGAUGGGGAUAUUAUAGAGGUGGGGAAAAAGAUAAAAGAAAAAUCAUGUGGUAUAAUAAUUGCCACGUGUUAAAGUUAUUUUCUUUAAAAAUUAAUUAUAGUAAUGAUGAACUCAUUUGUCUUAUCAAAGUAAAUAAAAAUAAAUAAAUAAAAGAAAAAAAGAAAAAGAAAAAAAGUGGUAGUUGGCUGGAGGUUAGAGAGGAGGGUUUGAAGGUAAAUUUGGAAUUUGAUUAUUUUCACUAAGUAGAUAUUUUGAAAGUUAUUUUGCCUGAAACCCAUAUUGUUUGAAAAUAAAAAAUCAAAGUUUAAAAAAAUACAAUUUUUUUGAAAUGAUGCAUGAUUACAUCAUUCCCCUGAUAGAUUAUUUAUUCCUUUAAACUUUACUUCAAAUAAAAUAGUUUUAAUUAUUUUCUUUUUGGAAUUAUAUUUAACAUAUUAUUAAAAAUAUAAAAAACAUUUUAAUAAUAUUGUUAAUGAGUUUUUUUAUAUAUAUAUUUUGUAAAAUAAUUAAAUUUAAAAAUAUUUAAAUUUAGUUAUGGGCUGCCCAUUUCAAAAUAAUAAGAAUCUAGUAACCUAAUUUUUCCAAAUUCCAGGUAAAUAUGCUAAUCUAAAAAUAAAAAAUAAAAAUUAGGUUUUUAUGCUCUCCAAUCUACCACUUAAGCAUCCGACAUGGCUAAAAUAAAUUUAAAAAAAAAAGAGGAAAAAAACAAAAGUGUGUGAUCCUCUUUCUCGAGUCUUCACAUUUAGAGACACUGAACCCAAAUCAAAAUUAAUCCUUCAAAUUAAUUUUCACCGCCAAACAUAGCUAUCCGAAAAACCCUAACCUGCCUCCUCUUCCUCUUAUCCCGGAAAUCUAAAUUCCGUGACCCUAACCCCUUCUCUUUCCGCAAACCCUCCGGAAUCGGAAGAUUCAUAAUUCUUCAGAAUUAAUUUUCACCUCGAAGCCAAACCCUAACUGCCUCAUCUUCCUCUCAUUCAUAUCCCAAAAGUAGCUUCAACAGUCAGGCCUGUAGCCAUGAAAGCCGUAGUGAUCGCUACUUCCGGUGAUCCCCAAGUUCUCCAAGUGCAAGAAGUCGAAAACCCUGAAA